rnacentral:lncRNA from 1 species
AGUAUCGAGAGAUUGGGACAUGUGGGUGAUCCUGUUAACUUCUCAAUUCGGUUGUUCAUCAGUGAAAUCCUUUCCGUCGUCGUCCAUUUGACAAAGUCAGGUGCUUGGGUCAAACCGGCACUUGUUUGUACCAAAAACUUGCCCUUCAUCUCCCCCAUUUCACUGGUUAUCCACAAGGCCAUAUCACGUACAACAUCAUGAAAUUUUACAAAUCUACUAUUUGAAGAUUCCUCAAGUAGACAUGCAUGAACGAGGGUACUGAUAAUAUUGAAUCCCUGAUUUCUGGCUCCAUCCGGGUCAUCAAAUUCAUCUAAAAAUCCCUCACAAAUCCAUUGAUUUAUCAAAAGUUCCUUAAAUAUAAAAAAAUCUUCUGGGAAUAAAGAACAAUAUAAGAAGCAAGAUUGAACUAUUUUGGAGGGCAAACUAUCAUAGCUGUAUUUCAAAAGUGGGUACACUCGUUGCCCCAUACCUGGAAAAUUUGAAGCACAUGUUUGUAGUACUCUAAUUGCAUGCUUCCAAUCUUGGGAUGCCACUUUAGAAGCCAUGGCUCGACCUAUGGUAAUUAUCGCCAGUGGCAAACCGCAACACUCUUUUGCAACCAUUUCAGCCAGCUCAGGUAUUUCUGGAUCAGAAUUAAGGGCGUCCUUUCCCACAUAUUUUUGAAACAGAUCCCACGAAUCCUUCCAUGCCAAAGAUUUCACUUGGAUCUUCUUGUGAGCUCCCAUUUGCCCGCACAAGUCCUGAGAUCGAGUGGUGAAUAUCAGCCUGGACUUAUUUUGUUGGUCAGGAGGUGGAAUUCCCACUUCUAACAGAUCCAUUUGCUCCCACAUGUCAUCCAACAACAUCACAAACCUCUUUUUGCUCAAGGCUCUCCAGAUGUCGUUGGCUUUCUCAUGGCGGCUUUUGCUUUUCCAUUUAUCAUCACAGAAUCCCACCUUCUCCCAAAUCUCGUUUUGAACCCGCUCUAGAUUUGGAGUUUUUGAAACCACUACCCAAAUUACGACAUCAAAAUUGUGGGAUGUUCUAAGGAAAUGAUUGUUGAUUUGUGCCAAGAGGGUGGUCUUCCCAACGCCCCCCAACCCAUAUAAGCCGAUCAUCCCUACAUGUUCUUCUUCGAGACUCCUCCAAACUUUGUCAAAUGUUGAUUCCAAGCCCACAGUGGGUCGGCCGGGUAUUUCCUCCACAGGAGCUGGAGGUACAAUAUCAGCCACCACCUCAAAAUUACGUCCUUCGCUCAUUAGAGUAGCCGUAUCUUGUAGCUUCCUGGCCACUUUUUUUCCCAAUGUGUAGCUGGAGAUGCAAUGCUUGGGAUGGCAACAACCACGUAAUCGUUUCUCCUCAAUGGUCUCCGCACCAUCUCCAAUCAGUUGACCGACUUCAGUUUCCAUGGCUUCCACCUUGGAAAGCCAGCCUUGUACUUGAUCCAGACGCUUCAUCUGUUGUCUCUCAGCCACAUCCACCUUCCUAUUCACAUCGUUCUUCAGCUCCCUUAAUUUUUGAAGCUCUGUUCUCAAAGUAACCCGAUUUUCUGCAAGCUUAAAUAUGUAAUUUGCUCGAGCAACAGUGCAAUCACAACAACCAGCGAUAUCGUUGGUAGAGAUUGAGACUGAGAACACAUUUCCCAUUGAUGUAUGAAAAACUCCAAGGAGAAGGUAAGAAAGAGGAAUGACAAAUUCGAUGCAGAAAAGGAAUGUCUUUUAUUUGCAGAUAUUGGGAAAGUGAUGAGGAGAAACAAAGGAAAAAGGUGAUGGGCACCAAGUCGAGGGUGAUGGGGCACACAUGGGCCCCUUGGCAAAGCUAAGUUCUCUGCGGUUUUCUUUCCUUUUUUUUUAUAUUUUUUUUUUUGGAAAAAAAAUUAUUAAAGUGAAUCAGUCAAUGGUAUAUCACUGUGAGUUUUGAAAUUUUAAAAUUAAAAUAUAAGAACUAAAAUAAGACAAAGUUGUUGAGAAGUUGAGUGUUCGAUGCGGACUAGAGGUACUCUUGCAAAGGCUUCAAUAAUAAUUUAAGAAGGUGGCUUGUGACCAGGAUCUCCUUGGCCCACGGCCCCACGCCUAGAGGAAAACGCCAUCCCAAGUUCCCAACGGCCGCGUGCACACACAUGAAUUCAUACAUACAUAUGGGGAUUAGGGUGGGAGUGAGCAGCCUGGUUUGCAGCGGAAUUCAAACUCAUCACGAGUCUUUUGACAGUGACCAUAACGAUUUCUUUGAAAGCUGCUAUCUCCAUAAUCACCUAAAACCUGAAAAAAAAAUUUGAUAACAUGGUGAAAUUGAAAAUUAUUUGACAAAUCAUUUGAUUAUUAAUAGAAUAUAUUGGGUGUCUUUGUUGUUCUAAGCUCAUUGAUGUGGUAUUAUAAUGCUUACUAAUGUGGUAUAAUAAUUUAUCAAUAUUUUGGAUUUUAUUGAGAAUUAAUUAAUUAAAAAUAAAUAAAAUGAUAAUUAAAUGUAGACCCCAAAAUUUGUCUAAUUUUUUAUUUUUAUAUUAAUUUUGAACCCAAUUUUAUCUUCGGACUUUCAAUCCCGAUUACAUGUGAUAUUUUUUGCAUUCUCACUUUUUAUUAUUUUGUAAAUUGUUUUAUUUUUAUUUUUAUUUGUUAUUAUUAUUAUUAUUAUUAUUAUAUAAUAUUAUAUUAUAUAUUUUUUAUUAUUUCCUCUCUCCUCUCUCUUCUCUUCCUCCACCUACCCUCACCUACCCCUCAUGCUCUCCCACGUCCAAAAGCUUCCACUCUCCGCUCUUCAUAAUGGCUCUUUUCCUUUUUUAUUUAUUUAUUUUUUUAUCUCCCUCCAAUAGCUUUUUUGGCCAGCUCCCCCCACUUUUCCCCCCGAUUUGAUUUUCCUCCCACUUUUCCCUUCUAAGAGAAAAGUAUAAAUGAAAGGGUAAUAUAAAUUUAAAAUAAAAAUUAAAAAUUAAACUAAAAAAUAAAUACAAAAAAAUAAAAAAUAUUUGGAUGAAAAAUCCCAAAAUUUUUAUCCGUACUUAUAAUAAGAAUAAAAAGAUUCAAUAUCUUUAAAAAUGAAAAAAAGAAAAAGAAAAACAUUAUUGCUUUUUAUUUGACAUAAAAUAGAAAUAUAGAUUGAAAGAAAAAGAAAAAAAAAAGUUAGAAAUGAGUAAUAUUUAUCAAGGAAUAGAAAAGAGAAAAAAAAAAUUGAAAUUCACACUCACUAUGUGCCUAUGUAAAGGUUAAGGGUAUCUUAGGGAUUAAUGAAAGAUAAUAUCCCUCUUCUCAAUUUUCAGACUUUCUUUGGGUGUUGGGUUUAAUUAUGUAAGAUAUAUGGACCAGAUCUUAAUUUUUUAGCCCAACUGGGCCCAAAACAUAAUUCACCCAAAAGGAAAGGCUACUUUGUAAAAAACAAUGCAUGCAAGUUGGAUUCUAGAAAUUUAAACGUAAGACUUGGUUAUAAACUAUUGCAAGUCAUCUUCCAAAAAAAAAAAAUGAUGAUUUCUAUUGGUUGUUGUGAAUUGAUUUUAUUUUAAUUGAGGGUGGCCUUCGUCAUGUUUGAUCCGUUCUUCUCCAAAACUCCUUGAUUGACAUAAAACCUUAGCAAUCAAUUCUUUAAUCUCUUCAAUUAAUUUAAUAUAAAAAAUAGACAAAACUUCAUAACCAUUCAAUGUAUGUUGCUAAGUUUUUAUAUCAUUGGUGUUCUUUCAUGUUGAAUUCUUUGGUUGACCAUACCUUAGAGUGUAUUAUUUUAAGGGGAUAGGAUUCAACACCAUGCUAUAUAUAUAAGGAUCAAGUGGCUGUCGAUCGUCAUAUUUUCUGUUGAUUCCAAGACCAACAAUUAAUUAGAUAAGGAUUAAUGGUCAAUGUAGAAAAUAUAAAAUAUAAUUAAAAAUAAGAGAAAAGUAUAAAUGAAAGGGUAAUAUAAAUUUAAAAUUAAAAAUGAAAAUUAAACCAAAAAAUAAAUACAAAAAGAUAAAAAAUAUUUGGAUGAAAAAUCCCAAAAUUUUUACCCUUACUUAUAAUAAGAGCAAAAAGAUUCAGUAUCUUUAAAAAUGAAAAAAAGAAAAAGAAAAACAUUAUUGCUUUUUAUUUGACAUAAAAUAAAAAUAUAGAUUGGAAGAAAAAGAAAAAAAAAGUUAGAAAUGAGUAAUACUUAACAGGGAAUAGAAAAGAGAAAAAAAAACAUAAAAAAUUUGAAAUUCACACUCACUAUGUGCCUAUGUAAAGGUUAAGGGUAUUUUACGGAUUAAUGAAGGAUAAUAUUCUUCUUCUCAAUUUUCAGACUUUCUUUGGGUGUUGGGUUUAAUUAUGUAAGAUAUAUGGACCAAAUCUUAAUUUUUUAGCCCAGCUGGGCCCAAAACAUAUUUCUCCCAAAAGGAAAGGCGACCUCGUAAAAAACAAUGCAUGCAAGUUGGAUUCUAGAAAUUUAAACGUAAAACUUGGUUAUAAACUAUUGCAAGUCAUCCUUCAAAAACAAAUAUGCUGAUUUCUAUUGGUUCCUGUGAAUUGAUUUUAUUUUCAUUGACGGUGGCCUUCGUCAAGUUUGAUCGGUUCUUCUCCAAAACUCCUUGAUUGACAUAAAACCUUAGCUGUCGAUUCUUUAAUCUCUUCAAUUACUUUAAUAAAAAAAAUAGAUAAAACUUCAUAACCAUUCAAUGUAUGUUGCUAAGUUUUUAUAUCAUUGGUGUUCUUUCAUGUUGAAUUCUUUGGUUGACCAUAUCUUAGAGUGCAUUAUUUUAAGGGGAUAGGAUUCAACACCAUGCUAUAUAUAUAAGGAUCAAGUGGCUAUCGAUCGUCAUAUUUUCUGUUGUUUCCAAGACCAACAAUUAAUUAGAUAAGGAUUAAAGGUUAAUGUAGAAAAUAUAAAAAAUAAUUAAAAAUAAGAGAAAAGCAUAAAUGAAAGGGUAAUAUAAAUUUAAAAUAAAAAAUGAAAAUUAAACUAAAAAAUAAAUACAAAAAGAUAAAAAAUAUUUGGAUGAAAAAUCCCAAAUUUUUUAUCCCUACUUAUAAUAAGAGUAAAAAGAUUCAGUAUCUUUAAAAAUGAAAAAAAGAAAAAGAAAAACAUUAUUGGUUUUUAUUUGACAUAAAAUAAAAAUAUAGAUUGGAAGAAAAAGAAAAAAAAAAAGUUAAAAAUGAGUAAUACUUAAUAGGGAAUAGAAAAGAGAAAAAAAAAACACAAAAAAUUUGAAAUUCACACUCACUAUGUGCCUAUGUAAAGGUUAAGGGUAUUUUAGAGAUUAAUGAAGGAUAAUAUCCUUCUUCUCAAUUUUCAGACUUUCUUUGGGUGUUGGGUUUAAUUAUGUAAGAUAUAUGGACCAAAUCUUAAUUUUUUAGCCCAACUAGGCCCAAAACAUAAUUCUCCCAAAAGGAAAGGCGACUUCGUAAAAAACAAUGCAUGCAAGUUGGAUUCUAGAAAUUUAAACGUAAGACUUGGUUAUAAACUAUUGCAAGUCAUCCUCCAAAAACAAAUAUGCUGAUUUCUAUUGGUUGGUGUGAAUUGAUUUUAUUUUCAUUGACGGUGGCCUUCGUCAAGUUUGAUUGGUUCUUCUCCAAAACUCCUUGAUUGACAUAAAACCUUAGCAGUUGAUUCUUUAAUCUCUUCAAUCACUUCAAUAAAAAAAAUAGAUAAAACUUCAUAACCAUUCAAUGUAUGUUGCUAAGUUUUUAUAUCAUUGGUGUUCUUUCAUGUUGAAUUCUUUGGUUGACCAUACCUUAGAGUGCACUAUUUUAAGGGGAUAGGAUUCAACACCAUGCUAUAUAUAUAAGAAUCAAGUGGUUGUAGAUCGUCAUAUUUUCUGUUGAUUCCAAGACCAACAAUUAAUUAGAUAAGCAUUAACGGGUAAUGUAGAAAAUAUAAAAAAUAAUUAAAAAUAAUUAAAAAUAAUUAAAAAUAAGAGAAAAGCAUAAAUGAAAGGGUAAUAUAAAUUUAAAAUAAAAAAUGAAAAUUAAACUAAAAAGUAAAUACAAAAAGAUAAAAAAUAUUUGGAUGAAAAAUCCCAAAAUUUUUAUUCCUACUUAUAAUAAGAGUAAAAAGAUUCGGUAUCUUUAAAAAUGAAAAAAAGAAAAAGAAAACAUUAUUGCUUUUUAUUUGACAUAAAAUAAAAACAUAGAUUGGAAGAAAAAGAAAAAAAAAAGUUAGAAAUGAGUGAUACUUAAUAGGGAAUAGAAAGGAGAAAAAAAAAACAAAAAAAAUUUGAAAUUAGCACUUACUAUGUGCCUAUGUAAAGGUUAAGGGUAUUUUAGGGAUUAAUGAAGGAUAAUAUCAUUCUUCUCAAUUUUCAGACUUUCUUUGGGUGUUGGGUCUUAUUAUGUAAGAUAUAUGGACCAACUCUUAAUUUUUUAGCCUAGCUGGGCCCAAAACAUAAUUCUCCCAAAAGGAAAGGCGACUUCGUAAAAAACAAUGUAUGCAAGUUGGAUUCUAGAAAUUUAAACAUAAGACUUGUUUAUAAACUAUGGCAAGUCAUCCUCCAAAAACAAAUAUGCUGAUUUCUAUUGGUUGUUGUGAAUUGAUUUUAUUUUCAUUGAGGGUGGCCUUCGUCAUGUUUGAUCGGUUCUUCUCCAAAACUCCUUGAUUGACAUAAAACCUUAGCAGUCGAUUCUUUAAUCUCUUUAAUUAAUUUAAUAAAAAAAAUAGAUAAAACUUCAUAACCAUUCAAUGUAUGUUGCUAAGUUUUUAUAUCAUUGGUGUUCUUUCAUGUUGAAUUAUUUGGUUAACCAUACCUUAGAGUGUAUUAUUUUAAGGGGAUAGGAUUCAACACCAUGCUAUAUAUAUAAGGAUGAAGUGGUUGUCGGUCGUCAUAUUUUCUGUUGAUUCCAAGACCAACAAUUAAUUAGAUAAGGAUUAAUGGUUAAAGUAGAAAAUAUAAAAAAUAAUUAAAAAUAAGAGGAAAGUAUAAAUGAAAGGGUAAUAUAAAUUUAAAAUAAAAAAUGAAAAUUAAACCAAAAAAUAAAUACAAAAAGAUAAAAAUAUUUGGAUGAAAACUCCCAAAAUUUUUAUCCUUACUUAUAAUAAGAGUAAAAAGAUUCAGUAUCUUUAAAAAUGAAAAAAAGAAAAAGAAAAACAUUAUUGCUUUUUAUUUGACAUAAAAUAAAAAUAUAGAUUGGAAGAAAAAGAAAGAAAAGAGUAAUACUUAAUAGGGAAUAGAAAAGAGAAAAAAAAACACACAAAAAAUUUAAAAUUCACACUCACUAUGUGCCUAUGUAAAGGUUAAGGGUAUUUUAGAGAUUAAUGAAUGAUAAUAUCCUUAUUCUCAAUUUUCAGACUUUCUUUGGGUGUUGGGCUUAAUUAUGUAAGAUAUAUGGACGAAAUCUUAAUUUUUUAGCCCAACUGGGCCCAAAACAUAAUUCUCCCAAAAGGAAAGGCGACUUCGUAAAAAACAAUGCAUGUAAGUUGGAUUCUAGAAAUUUAAACGUAAGACUUGGUUAUAAACUAUUGCAAGUCAUCCUCCCAAAACAAAUAUGCUGAUUUCUAUUGGUUGUUGUGAAUUGAUUUUAUUUUCAUUGAGGGUGGCCUUCGUCAUGUUUGAUCGGUUCUUCUCCAAAAGUCCUUGAUGGACAUAAAACCUUAGCAGUCGAUUCUUUAAUCUCUUCAAUUAAUUUAAUGAAAAAAAAUAUAUAAAACUUCAUAACCGUUCAAUGUAUGUUGCUAAGUAUUUAUAUCAUUGGUGUUCUUUCAUGUUGAAUUCUUCGGUUGACCAUACCUUAGAGUGCAUUAUUUUAAGGGGAUAGGAUUCAACACCAUGCUAUUUAUAUAAGGAUCAAGUGGCUGCCGGUUGUGAUAUUUUCUGUUGAUUCCAAGACCAACAAUUAAUUAGAUAAGGAUUAAUGGUUAAUGUAGAAAAUAUAAAAAAUAAUUAAAAAUAAGAAAAAGUAUAAAUGAAAGGGUAAUAUAAAUUUAAAAUAAAAAAUGAAAAUUAAACUAAAGAAUAAAUACGAAAAGAUAUAAAAUAUUUGGAUGAAAAAUCCCAAACUUUUUAUCCUUACUUAUAAUAAGAGUAAAAAGAUUCAGUAUCUUUAAAAAUGAAAAAAAGAAAAAGAAAAACAUUAUUGGUUUUUAUUUGACAUAAAAUAAAAAUAUAGAUUGGAAGAAAAAGAAAAAAAAAGUUAGAAAUGAGUAAUACUUAAUAGGGAAUAGAAAAGAGAAAAAAAAAACACAAAAAUUUGAAACUCACACUCUCUAUGUGCCUAUGUAAAGGUUAAGGGUAUUUUAGGGAUUAAUGAAGGAUAAUAUCCUUCUUUUCAAUUUUCAGACUUUCUUUGGGUGUUGGGCUUAAUUAUGUAAGAUAUAUGGACUAGAUCUUAAUUUUUUAGCCGAGUUGGGCCCAAAACAUAAUUCUCCCAAAAGGAAAGGCGACUUCGUAAAAAACAAUGCAUGCAAGUUGGAUUCUAGAAAUUUAAAAGUAAGACUUGGUUAUAAACUAUUGCAAGUCAUCCUCCAAAAACAAAUAUGCUGAUUUCUAUUGGUUGGUGUGAAUUGAUUUUAUUUUCAUUGACGGUGGCCUUCGUCAAGUUCGAUUGGUUCUUCUCCAAAACUCCUUGAUUGACAUAAAACCUUAGCAGUCGAUUCUUUAAUCUCUUCAAUCACUUCAAUAAAAAAAAUAGAUAAAACUUCAUAACCAUUCAAUGUAUGUUGCUAAGUUUUUAUAUCCUUGGUGUUCUUUCAUGUUGAAUUCUUUGGUUGACCAUACCUUAGAGUGCACUAUUUUAAGGGGAUAGGAUUCAACACCAUGCUAUAUAUAUAAGAAUCAAGUGGCUGUAGAUCGUCAUAUUUUCUGUUGAUUCCAAGACCAACAAUUAAUUAGAUAAGGAUUAACGGGUAAUGUAGAAAAUAUAAAAAAUAAUUAAAAAUAAGAGAAAAGCAUAAAUGAAAGGGUAAUAUAAAUUUAAAAUAAAAAAUGAAAAUUAAACUAAAAAGUAAAUACAAAAAGAUAAAAAAUAUUUGGAUGAAAAUUCCCAAAAUUUUUAUCCCUACUUAUAAUAAGAGUAAAAAGAUUCGGUAUCUUUAAAAAUGAAAAAAAGAAAAAGAAAAACAUUAUUGCUUUUUAUUUGACAUAAAAUAAAAACAUAGAUUGGAAGAAAAAGAAAAAAAAAGUUAGAAAUGAGUGAUACUUAAUAGGGAAUAGAAAGGAGAAAAAAAAAAACAAAAAAAAUUUGAAAUUCACACUUACUAUGUGCCUAUGUAAAGGUUAAGAGUAUUUUAGGGAUUAAUGAAGGAUAAUAUCCUUCUUCUCAAUUUUCAGACUUUCUUUGGGUGUUGGGUCUUAUUAUGUAAGAUAUAUGGACCAACUCUUAAUUUUUUAGCCUAGCUCGGCCCAAAACAUAAUUCUCCCAAAAGGAAAGGCGACUUCGUAAAAAACAAUGCAUGCAAGUUGGAUUCUAGAAAUUUAAACGUAAGACUUGGUUAUAAACUAUUGCAAGUCAUCCUCCAAAAACAAAUAUUCUGAUUUCUAUUGGUUGUUGUGAAUUGAUUUUAUUUUCAUUGAGGGUGGCCUUCGUCAUGUUUGAUAGGUCCUUAUCCAAAACUCCUUGAUUCUCAUAAAACCUUAGCAGUCGAUUCUUGAAUGUCUUCAAUUAAUUUACGCAAAAAAUAGAUAAAACUUCAUCACCAUUCAAUGUAUGUUGCUAAGUUUUUAUAUCAUUGGUGUUCUUUCAUGUUGAAAUUUGUGAAUGACCAUACCUUAGAGUGCAUUAUUUUAAGGGGAUAGGAUUCAACAAUACUAUCUAUAUAAGGAUCAAGUGGCCGCCGGCCGUCAUAUUUUCUGUUGAUUCCAAGACCAACAAUUAAUUAGAUAAGGAUUAAAGGGUUGGUCAUCCAAAGAACAAAUCGCACAGAUGUAAAUGUCAAGUAGGAUUCAGGAUUUCUGCCUAGUGCCUAUGGAUCAACACUUAAUCAUUGUGUUGUUGGAAAGUAAACUUUGAGUUUAUAAAGUUUUUAAAAAAUUAGAUUUUGAUUUGAUUUUUAAAAAUUAAUUAGAAUAUUUUCAAGCAUUUUAAACUUGAGCGAAAAAUUUAGCAUUUGUUUCAAUACAUUUUCUGUUUUUUAUUUUUUAAAAUCCGGAAAUAACAUUAACUUCCGCAUAAGAUACAAAUACUCUUAAAGACUCAUAUGAAAAAAGUAAUAAUUUUAUAAAUUGUUUAAAAUAAUUGAUAUAUAUAAAAAAAAAUUAAAUUAUACUUUUUGUAAAAGAUGCUCUUUUUUUUUUAUUAAAGUUUUUGGUUUUAAAAAAUAGAAAAUAAGCAGUGUGAAAUGAACAAUUAAGCUCUAUUUGGUAAUUGUUUUAAAAAAUAAAUUUUUAUUUUUCAGAAUAAAAAAAUAAAGAAACUCUUUAGGUAACCAUGAAGCAAAAAACGGUUGUGUUAUUAAAAUAAAAAAAUAUGAUGUUUUUUGAAAAUAUCCUUUUGUUAUUUUGACUUGAUUUCUGUAUGUUAUUUAAAAAAAAUAAUUAUACAAAAAUGAAGAAUGAUGAAAAGUAAAACACUAUGUAUAAAAAUUAUUUUAAAAACAUUUUUAAAAAUAUAGAAAACAAGUUAAAAAUAUUUUAGAAUUUCAAACACAUUUUUGUUUUAUAAAAUAUUAUAGAAUGAUUAAAUAUCAUGUAACUAUCAUAAAAAAACUAUUAGUAGUUUUUUCUUUCUUUGGAUAAGCAAGUCAUAUAUAAAGGAAUUAUGUAGCAGCCGAAUAAGACUAUGGGAAGUGUUAAAAUAUAAAAUAGGAAGUGUGAAAUGAACCAUGAAGCUCUAUUUGGUAAUUUUUUUUUGAAAAAACAGUUUUCUUUUUUUGAGAACAAAAAAAAUAAAGAAACACUUUAAGUAACCAUGAAACGAAAAACGGUUUUGUGUGAUUAAAACAAAAGAUAUGAUGUUUUCUAAAAAUAUAUUUUAGUUAUUUUCAUUUGAUUUCUAUCUAUUAUUUUUAAAAAAUAAUUAUACAAAUAUGAAGAAUGACAAAAAGUAAAACACUAUGUAUAAAAAUUAUUUUAAAAACAUUUUUAAAAGUAUUUUAGAAUUUCAAACACAUUUUUAUUUUAUAAAAUAUUAUAGAACGGUUAAAUAUCAUGUAACUAUUAUAAAAAACUACUAGUAGUUUUUUCUUUGUUUGGAUAAGCAUGUCAUAUAAGGAAUUAUAUAGUAGCCUAAUAAGACUAUGGGAAGUGUGAAAAUAGAAAAUAGGAAGUGUGAAAUGAACAAUUAAGCUCUAUUUGGUAAUUGUUUUAAAAAAUAGUUUUCUAUUUUUUGAAACAAAAAAAUAAAGAAAUACUUUAGGUAAUCAUGAAACAAAAAAUGAUUGUGUUAUUAAAACAAAAAAUAUGAUUUUUUCUGAAAAUAUCUUUUAGUUAUUUUCACUUGAUUUCAAUGUGCUAUUUUAAAAAAAUAAUUAUAUAAGUAUGAAGAAUGAUAAAAAGUAAAACACUACCUAUAAAAAUUAUUUUAAAAAUAUAGAAAACAAGUUAAAAAAUUUUUAUUUUAUAAAAUAUUAUAGAACGGUUCCGGAUGUCAAUCGAAUUUUUAUUUUAUAAAAUAUCAUGUAACUAUUAUAAAAAACUAUUUGUAGUUUUUUCUUUGUUUGAAUAAGCAUGUCAUAUAUAAAGGAAUUAUGUAGCAGCCCAAUAAGACUAUGGGAAGCGUGGCACCAUGCAUUCCUCUUAGUUUGCUAGAUACGCUAAUUGUUUACGUGUGAAUUGUGAUUGGCCCUCUCCAGACUCCAUAUUUCUUUCUCUUCCCUCUGAAUUGUUGAUGUGCGAUUAGCCCACUCCAGAGCAUCUCCAUUUUUCCUUUUCUUCUCUCUCCCACUCAAUCGCAGGCACUCACAACCUGGUGAUUAAUAACUAGAAACCAUGAGUAGUAGUGGAGGAGAAUUCAUGGUAACAGUGAGGAGGAAAGAAGUAGUGGCAGCUAUGCUACCAAUGCAGAAGCACUGGCUACCACUCUCUAACCUGGACUUGCUUUUACCCCCCAUUAAUGUUGGGGUGUUUUUCUGUUAUAAGAAGCCACGUGGAAGUGCCAGCGGAGGUGAUGACUUCACAUUUGGGUCCAUGGUUAGGGUUCUGAAAGAGGCCAUGGCCCAAGCCCUGGUGCCCUAUUAUGCCUUUGCUGGAGAAGUCUUGUCUAACUCAUUGGGGGAAGCUGAGCUUCUUUGCAACAACCGUGGGGUGGAUUUCUUGGAGGCUUAUGCGGAUGUAAAACUACAAGACCUCAACUUGUAUAACCCUGACGAAAGCAUUGAAGGCAAGCUUGCCCCUACGAGGAAGCAUGGCGUCCUCUCAGUCCAGGUCUUUCUCUUUCUGUGNNNNNNNNNNNNNNNNNNNNNNNNNNNNNNNNNNNNNNNNNNNNNNNNNNNNNNNNNNNNNNNNNNNNNNNNNNNNNNNNNNNNNNNNNNNNNNNNNNNNNNNNNNNNNACCAAAAAAUAUGCAAGAUGAGUGUCGUGGUGGAUGGAAGAAAGAGGUUAAGCAGUGGAGAUGAGGAUAGGACAACAGCGAUGGCCUCAUACUUUGGAAAUGUGCUGUCCUUCCCCUUUGGUGAGAAGACAGUAAAUGACCUCAAAGAAAAACCACUGAGUUGGGUGGGAGAUGAAGUUCAUGAUUUCCUGGAAGCGGCUAUGACAAAGGAACAUUUCUUGGGGCUGAUAGACUGGGUGGAGGCUCAUCGCCCAGAGCCGGCUGCACUGAAUAUGUGCUGCAGUGGCAAUAGCGACGGGCCAGGAUUUAUGGUGUCAUCAGGGCAGAGGUUCCCGGUGACAAAGGUGGAUUUCGGGUGGGGUAAGCCGGCCCUAGGGUCAUAUCAUUUUCCAUGGGGUGCGGAAGUUGGGUACGUGAUGCCAAUGCCAACCCCCACUGUAGAUGAUGACUGGGUGGUGUACAUGCACCUCUUGAAAGCCCAGAUUGAGUUGAUUGAGACUGAGGCUGCUCAUAUCUUUAGACCCUUAACAGCCGACCAUCUCAAUUUGCUUAACGCAGAUUAGCUAGCUUUCGUCCACCAUCUCAUAUUCAGAAAUUUAGAAGUAACUCCCUCGCAUGUUGUUUCAAAUGUUAGAAUUCCUUUUCCUUUUCUUUAUAUCAGAAAUUAAUUACUUUGUAAUAAAAAGAAGUGAAAAACGAAAAUUUUGGAAUGACUUGUACAAGCAUAAAUGCCUCCUAGCUAUAUCUUAAUUACUAUCAUAAGACUAGUAUAAGGAUUAGUAAGGACUUGAAAAUUAAAUCCUAGCUAGGGUUCACUUUUGUAACCUGAAAAAUGAUCAUGUAUACGAAAAUCUUUUCUAUGUUUAGAUCUAGUUUAGAAGGGGGAAUAAAAAAAAAAAGAAAAAAAAAGAGAGGCUGGGGGUGGAAAUUAAAGAUGUUGGAUGUGUAACUACAAUAAAUUGAAAAAUAAUAUUUAAUUAUUUUUAGAUUGUCAUUUGGCCAUUAAAAAAUAAUUAAUAUUAUAAUAUGAUUUAUAUAUUUAAAUUACAAAAUAAAAUAUUUUUUUUUUAUAAGAAAUAAUAAAAACCUUUUUUCCUUACAAGUUCUUUUAUUAGUACUACUUUUUAUAAAUAUUUAUUUUAAAUUUAUUGUAAAAUAACAAAUAAUAAUAAGAAAAAAAUGAUUGGCUUUCAUUUGCUUUGUUCAUGUAUCAAUAGAGGUGAAUAUCAAGAUGUUUCCACUUUCUAGAGCCUCACACACUCGUUACAUUUUGACCCACUUCUCAUAUUCUCUCUCCUUUGUAUUAUCUCCACUUCAAAUUCAAUAGAACGGGGAUUUCUAAUUUCUCCUUUCUCUCUCUAGAAACUAAUAUGCUUUUCAUUGUUUCUCUCUCUUCCUAGGAAUUUUUGUGGAUCCAUGGAAGAGCAAAGCUCAGUCUCUGCAGCUUCAACUCCGAGAUUGCUUCCGAAUUGCUAUGAGUUUCAUCUUCUAAAAUAAUUAUUUAUUUGGUCUAAUGAUUUGAAUUAUAUGAUUUAGUAGUUCGUGAAGAACAUUAAAGACUUGGACUAGAGUUUCUCAUUCGGUAGUGACAAACCUAAGGCUCCUCAUCAUCGCCACCAAAGUUGUGUUCCUUUGAAGUUGAAUACGACCUGGUAAAAAUUCGAGGGAUUUUGCGUUGGGAUAAAAAGGAAUUGUAAAGUAUUCACCUACACAAGUUAAAAGAUUUCCUACAAUGUUAACAACCUCUCAACAGCCGCAACCUAACAAGAAAAGGCAAUUAUAUUAUCUAAAAACAUCCAACCAAAAUUACACCAAAUAUAGCAAGGAAAAACCCUCCUAACCGAGGUAAAAAACCACGGGAAAAAUUUCCUUCACUUUAAUAAAAAUAUGAAUGCAAAUAAAUCCUCACUACUUUCUUCACCUUGAUAAAUAAUGGAAACAUAUAUCAAUGUCUAAGGAGGGAAUCUAUCAUCCUAGAAAACAAAAAAUAGAAGGGGAUUAGGUAGAGAUCAUACCACAAGAACUCCCCUAAAAGGUUGAUGAAAGAACAUAUACCCUUCACCCUUGAACCCUAGAACAAUGCCAAAAAAACAACCUUAUUUUCCUCUUCCUCUUUCUCUACCAUUUUUCACCAACAUACUAAAGCCUUAACGUUAUUUACAUUUGGGCUUAAAGAAUUCCCAUAAAAAAAAAAGCCCAAUACAUGGUGAAGACUUUGUAAACUUUACUAGCCUCACUGGUAGAAGUGACACCCCCUCGUGUUGACAUGCUAAAGUGGUAGGCCGAGUAAGACAUGCACGACACAACGACCAGAUGUUAGAAAGUAGUCACUUGACCCCUGUUGCUUGUAAGCAACACUUCAGCUAAGCAAGGGCUAGCCUACACUGGCUCAAAGCCCAUAUUCGGACAGAGCACUAGCUCAACCUGUAAGGCAGACCCCAUCCAAGGGUCUCCCCUGUUAACCAUACCCCACAAAGGUCUUGACCCAUCUAGAAACCAAACUACAAAAUUCUUGGUCUUAUUAAGACCUCACCAAACCUAUCACCGGCAGCGGCUGUCCUACCCACAAAACAACCAAAAGCGUUCUACAUUCUAUACACCACAGCUAAGCAACAAGUCCAAACUCUAAACAGUGAAAAUACAUAAUCGGUAUGGGGAAUGAAGGCUUACCAAAGUUCAGAAGGAACACUGCUAAUUGAAGCUUAGCCCUCCUAAGCCCAAAAAUGGGGAAACUAGUAGGGUCACCAGAAAGAUGAACAGCCACCGAAGUUGCAGUGGUGUAGAAUGCAAGAGUCGUCGAAGAAAAUGAAUAGUAGAGCAGCGCAACGAUGGUAGCUAUAGGUUGCAGAAUGUAGAGAGAUAAUGACGAGAGAAAAAAAAAAGCCUUGGAGACAAGAAACAUCCAAAUGAAUCCUAAAAGGUCUGGGAUCCCAUAUUUAUAAGGGACCAAAACCCUAGAGAUCCUAAAAGCCAGCCGUCAUGGGACACAUCCUGAAGCGACACGCCGCCUGAAAGAAUGCCUUGAUGGAAGUAGCCCUCUUGUAAGUGUCUAACACGUGUCUCACCAGCAUUAGGGGACUCUAGGGGAUUUCAGCUCAUCCACCCCUCCCCAGACAUAUACGCACAUGCUGAAGGGAACAUUAUGGGGACCUUAUCCCAUGUGUACACCCACAAGCACUUCCAUGUGUUUAUCCACGUGGCAUCACCCCAAUCGGGCCACGUGUCAAAUCUUCAUCACUACCCGGACAACCUCCAAGGUAUUCGAAGACAUCUUGCCUGGACCAUUUGCCCUGCUGAAAUGGCCCACAUCCCCUUGAUAGCCUCAAAUCCUCUUUGAUAAGCGAGGCCCUCGUUAGCUGACACCUGAUCAAACUCAUGGGAUAUUUUCUAUCCCCACAUCCACUUCAGUAGACAAGCAUGUCAAAACUCAGGUCAUCAGCAAGGUUGAAAGAAUGGCAAGCUAUGACGCGCCAUCUAACACAACCCCUAACUAUCCUGCAGGUAUGAUGAUUGCCCUGCCACUACUGCACAAUCAUCACUACCCAGCCAACUCAGCACUACGAAGCCCCACUCAUCUUUGAACACUAUAAAAACCCUACGGUAAUAUAACAAAAGGGGACAGUGAGUUCUCAAAUCCACUCUCUAUCUCUCUCUCUCUCUCUCUCUCUAAAGUUUUCCAUUCUUCCUAAUGUCUGACUUGGGCUUUGGAGGGUGUGUCUGGACAACCCAUCCGGACACCUUUGUGUAGGGAAGCAUAAAUCCAAGAUUUCGGUACCAGAGCGGGAGCUUUCUCCACCACGUCUAAGGAAUGAAUCUAUCCUCAGUUGACCGGGUAUCAACACUACCUAGCUCAAUGGUUUCUCUUUCAGUUCAUUUAUUGUCUUCUUACCAAAUGGGAUGGACAACACAUUUUCGAAGUAAGAGGCUAUCAUUGUUUCUUUAACCUUGUCUUCAUUGCUCAAUCACUUUCUUUCAUCCACCACGGUGCCCAUCUUGCAUAUAUUUUGGUUUUCGUCUUCCAUGACUGCAAUUUUGGCCACCAUCUUCCACAGAAAAGCAUUGAGAGACUCUAGUUUGGUCCUCUUGCAGGAGCUACCCUUGCUGGUGGCUAGUGAUUGGAGUAUACUGAGAGUUGUUCGGUUGUGACAUAGUAAAAGCGGUUUAUGAGAAGAUCAUCACCAGGCUGUGGAGCUUUGGGAGGAGGUAAGGCUGACAUGGGGAUGUACAUGUCAUCAAGGGAUAGAUCAUAGGAGCCCGGACAUCGAGGGUUGAGGAGAGAGCGCCGGAAAGAUGGUAGUACGGAUAAUGGCUUGGACUGAGCCAUUUCAGCCCAUGAAACUAGAAACAUAUUGGCAGAAUAUGUGUCUACUUUCCUAUGAUCGAAUGUACAUGCCACCAAAACUCCGCCACAUUUGAGUUGAGUCACUUGUCAUUAGUUCAUUUACAUAACAAUAAGCAUGUCACGAUUACAACUAAUUAGGAUUAGCAUAUCACAGAGAAAGAGAGAGAGUUACCUGGGCUGACAGAACGUCAUGUUUCUUCUUAGGGACAAGCUUGCUUUCAAUGCUUUCAUCAGGUUUAUAUAAGUUGAGGUUUUGUAGUUGUCCAUCCGCAUAAGCUUCCAUGAAAUCAACCCCACGGUUGUUGCAAAUGAGCUCGAGAUCACCCGCUGAGUUACUCAAAACUUCCCCUGAAAAUGGAUAAUAGGACACCAGUGCUUGGGCCAAGGCCUCACUCAGAACGCCAAUCAUGGACCCAAAUGAUAAAUCAUGGGGCUUUCUGUAAUAGAAAAACACGCCCACAUCUACUGGAGGCAAAAGCAAGUCCAGGUCAGACGGUGGCAGCCAGUACUCCUGCACAGGCAGUACAACUACCACUACUUCCUUCCUGCUCACUGUUACUGUGAAAUCUCCAUCACCCAUGAAUCCUAAUUAAUUCUAAGUGUCUUUGUAUGCCAGAGUGAGUAAUGGAAGAGAAGCAAACUUGUAAGCGUGCGUCUGAGUAAAAAAAAUAGCAGCAAGAAACAUGGAUUUUAUAGCACAGGACAGUACUUGUCUCAAGUCCCCACUGACAUUUCAUCAAAUUUUGAUGAGAAAAAUUGAAUGAAUGAGAAUGACUACAAAGACCAAGAGUGGUACGAAGGAAUGAAAAUAUUUGUCUUAAUUUUGUUGUAGAUGAGAAAUAAUGAAUUGAUACAGGUUGUAUAUAUUGUUACAUAAACCCCAAGGGGGACUCCUUGAAAUGGAAAAAUAAAUAAAUAGAAGGCUGUAGAAAAUAUCUGAGAUACAUUAAUUUUCAUGCCAAACCCUAGGUUUCCUCCAAGAUCACCAAAUGAGAUGAGUUCAAUGAUCCUUGGAAAAGAAGCUAAUAAAUUUGUGGCUUCUCUUUGGUCAUGAGAGGUUAGAUGUCUUCUAAUUGUGGUACAUAUUUUGGUUGGAUAGCUCAUCAAUUCAGUGACAAUAAACUGAAUGAAAGUGAAAUUUCAAAGCCAUGUCAUUUUUCAGUUGUCUUAAUUUCCUGAAAAUGAUUGAUGGGUUAUUUUAGAAGUUGGGAAUUUCCUUGGAAAUAUCUAUAGAAAAUUAUUUGAUCAAUCAAAUGGUACAUAAUUGAUAACUUCAACACCAUUGCAUACUCCAUGACGGGUUUUACUUCCUAUUUGAGUUUGAAAGAGAAGAGUUCAAAAACAAAAUCUUUGGAAAGCUACACAGCAUAAUAUAUAUAUAUAUAUAUAUAUAUAUAUAUAUAUAUAUAUAUAUAUAUAUAUAUAUAUAUAUAUAUAUACACAUAUACAUAUACUAGGCCCGAAGGUAUAUAUAUUUAAUUGAUGACUAGAAAUCUCUGGAAAGAAACGAGUUCAAAGACAAUCUCUGGAAAACACCCCUGCAUGACAUGAGAAAGAGACACUUCACUAUUUUACUUAUUUAUGAAAUUUCAAAUUAAUUCUAUCCUUCAAAAAGGAUACAGACCUGAAUACAACCUAAAACCGUGAUCACUUUUCCUCUCAAAUUAAGACUGCCAUCUGGUGGCCUUUUAAUUGCAGUGAUCCUACCAAAGAACGCAUGCAUAGGCCCUGUGAGACUGAUAAUUACAAAGGUGGUGUGGUGGUGUACAACUCUAGUCCAUGCAUCGGAUUAGGUCACUCUUUCUUUCUUCACGACAAUGGAAUUGAUUUUAUGGAACUUACCAAGGUUUGGUAAUUGAGAUUUUCGUAUUAAUGGAUGACAAUGACUUAUAGCCUAGAUAUUUCUAUGCAUCUCUCUUGUAUAAGAAAGACAUUUAUGUCUUUCUUGAAAAUGUUUGAUUGUUUAUUUUUGCAAGUAAUUUGGAAAAUCGUUGUUUUAGCUCGUCACAUCUUUGAAAUGAUGUGCAACCAAUAGUUAGGAGCUUCACAAAAGAAAAUUCUUGGCAUAUAUUAAGUCCUUAACUAAAACAACAAACACUAUAAUGUUCUCUAAAUACAUCUUAAUUAAUUUGGAGGGUUUUGGCCUUUCAAAUAUUUUUUAAUUUCUCCUCCAUCAACAAUUUAUCCACAUUAAAUUUACAUUGAAACAGGACUGGCUUGGUGGGAAACAUGUUUUGACACAUGGACGCCCAAUAAAUUGUUGGGUUUGUUGAAAGAAUUAGCAUUUUUCAUGGUUUAACUGUUUGAAUGACUGGGCACCAUUAAAUAUGUUGUUGUGAUUCGAUUAUUCCUAUGUUAGUACUUUCUUAUUUCUCAAUGGUGGGAAUGUGGUAAACUAGCUAGUUAUUCUCUUAUGAAAAACCAUGACAAAAAAUGAUAAUAGGGAUAUAAAAAUAAGAUAAUGAAAACAUAAAAUAUCUAAGGUAUAUAAUGAUUUACGUGAAUUAGCCUAAAACUUAUUUUCAUAGGUGAAAGUAAAGAAGAAAUUCCAUUAUUAUUAAAAGAUAUUACAACUCUAGAGUUCCUUUAAUCCCAAAGUCUCAAUUAUAUCCAAAAAAGAGACUUUCUCUUGGCCAAAAUUUCUUUCUAUAUAUAUUCCUAAUUUCAUAGCAAUAUUUCAUAUAGAAAACUAAUUAUAUAACUAUCAAAAGUAUUUAUUCCUAAAAGAAUAUAUAACUAUAGGAUAUUUCCUUUAUGACAUAGGAAACUCCCUUACAUGAAUAUAUCCUACAAAGAAAACAUCAAUGACUUACCAAUUGACACAAAUUAGAAUUUGAAACAUUUUUCAACAAUGUUCACAUUGGCUUAUAUUCAUAAGCUUUGAAUAAACUCGGAAGUCUUUUAUGUUACUUCGCUUUCAUGGUACCUCUAAGGGACCUUGAAAUACUACCAACACCAAUUGAGUUUAAGUAAUGCCUGAACUUAAUUAAAUGUAAAAACGAGCAUAUUCAUAUCAUAUUUGAUGGAUUAUCUAUUCACUACAAUAACACCCUUUGCAAUCACAUCUUUGAUAAAAUGCAUUCAAACAUCAAUAUAUUUAGUCUUCUUAUGAAACAUCUAAUUUUUAUUUAAAUGUAUGGCAACCAAACCCUUAAGCCAAACAUGAAAAUCAUCACUUCCAAGAAAGAAAAUAUCCUCAUUAUAGAAGGAGAGUCAUUAAAGACUUUCAAAAUAUAAGUUGUGUUAAACAAAAACCUGACUUAUAUAAAUAGAUUUAAAUUGAAUCUUGUCAUACUAAAGGCCCUAAAUUGAUUUGAUGAAAUAAUAAGGUUGAUGAAUUAAGGAUGUCGGGUAGCUAGAGUGUGUUUGUUUUUAACUAUGGAAUGAUCUAUCAAUUGUUAUACAUGUCAUAUUCCUUGCUAACUUAACUGAAUUAAUUUGAUUCAUUAUAUAAUAUUGUGAAAACUUUUGACUUUUAUAUGGAACUGGUAUUUUCCUCUCUUAUUUUUUAUAGUAAGCUAGUCGGUAGCCUUAUCAGGCCUACCUUUUUAUAUCGAUUUACAACAUCUCACCGUUAUCCCUUUGGCAACUACAACUUGAUGCAUACACGGAUGGUUCACAUGACAAUGAUUAAAUUUUAAUCAUUACAAAUUACUUAACUCAUGUUAGAUUCUCAUUAAGGAUGAUCACCUCCAUUGCACCUGCAUUAAGUUUGGCAAAAUUUUUAAGAAAUGAUAGAAGUAAUAAUAAAUAUUUUAAAUUUAUUUUGUUGUAGAAAUUGAUAUAUGUACAAUAUAAUUUAUCCCAUUUAACAAUGAUUUAUCCGUAGCAAGGCUUGUGAGUUAUGACAACAUCAAAGUAAGAAACAUGUCUAGCAAUGGGCAAUGACUAAUGCCAAGGACAAAAGACUUCGCUCCCAUGUCACCAAAGUGUUUCCAUCACAAGCCAAAGUGGGAUCUACGCAUAGAGAUCUCUUUGGUAGCAGCCUGGUCGCCUAUAAAUCCACCACUCCUCCUCAUCCCUUCCACAAACCAUUCCCAUUUUUUUGUUUCUCUCUAUCUCUCUUAGGUGAAAACCAUGGGUGGUGGAGGAGACUUCAUUGUAAUUGUGACCAGGAAAGAGGUUGCGGCAGCAGGGCUACCAAUGCAGGAGCAUUGGCUGCCCCUAUCUAAUCUUGAUUUGAUUUUUCCUCCUAUAGAUGUGAGUGUGUUUUUCUAUUACAAAAAACCCCAUCAGAAUGUUAAUGGAGGUGAUGACUUACCUUUGGGUCCAUGGUUGGGGUUCUGAAGAAAGCCAUGGUCCAAGCAUUGGUCCCCUACAAUGCUUUUGCAAGGGAAGUUAUGGGUCUAUGCAAUAACCGAGGGGUAGAUUUCAUGGAGACUUACGCAGAUGCAAAACUACAAGACCUUAGGUUGUAUAACCCUGACAACAGAAUUGAAAGCAAGCUUGUCCCUAAGAAGCAGCAUGGUGUCCUCUAUGUGCAGGUAACACUUCUCUCUCUCUGACACAUCAUGAUAUUGUCAUGCCAUUAUUACUCUAUGUGAUAAAAAAAAAUGAAGGAAAAUGAUAGGUGACUGGGCUCAAAUGUGGUGGAGUCAUGGUGUGUUGAUUUUCUUACAACUAUUCCUAAUAAAGAAAUUAGAGAAAAACAAAAGAAAACACACAGAUUUAACAUGAUUUGACAUAUUGUUUACGUCCACGAGAACAUGGAGGAAGACUUUCACUAUAUCCCAAAAUUAAGGUUAUAUAAAAGGGUACUUAUAUUAAUCUUAGGUAUUGAAAUUCCAAAAAUACUCCUGAAUCGUACCAUGGGAGCGUUGCCCCCCGCAUGUCCCCAACCUAUCGUUCGCCCUUUUUCUCUAUAUAUGUCUUUCAUUCAAUAUAAGUCACAUACUACAACAUGGUGGGCUGUACAUUCAAUCAUGGGAUAGCUAACGCAUAUUCUACUAAUAUGUUCCUAGGUCAUGGACUGAGAUGACCCAAUGCAAGUCAUUAUCUGUGGUUCCAUCUUUCCAACGCUCUCUCCUCAACAUCAGAUGUCCAUGCUCCUAUGAUCCCUCUCUGGAUGACAUGUACGUCCCUAUAUCCGCCUUACCUCCUCCUAGAGCUCCGCAUCCUGGUGGUGCUCAUCCUUCCAUAAGUCGCAUAUACUAUGUCACGACGAACAACUCAGUCUACUCCAAACACUAGCUAGUACCAGAAAGGGAAGCUCCUACAAGAAGACUAAACUAGAGUCUUUCAGUGCAUUUUUGUGGAAGAUGGUGGCUGAAAGUGUUGUCAUGGAAAAUGAUAAUAAAAAGAUAUGCAAGAUGGGCAUCGUGGUGGACGAAAAGAGGCGGUUAAGUAGUGGAGAUGAGGAUAAAUCAGCAAUGAUGGCCUCUUACAUUGGAAAUGUGCUGUCAAUCCCCUUUGGUGAGAAAAUGAUAACUGAAGUGAAAGAGAAACCCUUGAGUUGGGUGGCAGAUGCAGUUCAUGACAACCUGGAAGGGGCAGAGACAAAUGAGCCUUUCUUGGGGCUCAUAGACUGGGUAGAGGCUCACCGUUCAGAGCUUGCUUUGGCAAAGAUAUACUGCAGUGGCAGCAGUGAAGGAUCGGCGUUUGUUGUGUCAUCAGGGCAGAGAUUCCAAAUGUCAAAGGUGGAUUUCGGGUGGGGUAAGCCUUCUAUGGGAUCAUACCUUUGUCCAUGAGGUGGAGGAGUUGGGUACGUGAUGCCAAUGCCAAGUCCAACCAGAGAUGGUGACUGGGUGGUGUACAUGCACCUCUUGAAAGGGCAGAUGGAGUUGAUAGAGACUGAGGCCGCCUAUGUCUUUAGACCUUUAACGUCUGAGUAUCUCAACCUGAUCAACUGAAGUUGGCUUACAUCCAGAUGACUUCUUAUGUAUUCAUCAAUGUCUCUUAGUUUCUUCAUCCCUCUGUCUUAUAGUUUAUUAGGUCCUUCUAAUUUUUCUCUUUAAUAUGGUGAAUCUUUUGGCUAUGAAGAAUGAGUUUUUGGAUUUACAUGAUGUAUGAAUCCUAAUUAAACUAAUAUUAUGUUUCCUUAGUAUGUUAUACUUAUUAAUUUGAGUUUGAUUCUUUUUAGGAUUUGGAAUCCUAACUUUAUUAAGAGUUUUUAUUUAUUUAUUAGAAUUAGGUUUCUAUAAUUGCUCCUAUAUAUAUUCCAUAAUAAUAGAAAGUUAUGUGGUAAAUUUUACAUAAAUAUUUAUCACCUCCUUCAUUGUUUUUUUAUCCUUUUUUUGUGUGGAGAAAUUGUUCUUGUGCUAGAAAGAUCAUUUUUUAUUGCUCACAUUUGGUAUCAGAGCGUGGAGAUUAAAGAUGCAAGCAACCAAUAAUAAUAUGAUCCAACCCCAGUUUCCAAAGUUCGAUGGGAAAAAUAAUUUUGAAUUUUGGAAGAUCAAGAUGUAACUAUUAUUUAAGUAUCAAGAUAUUUGAGUGAUUCGUGCCCAAUUGGUGUCUCAGCUGAUUCGUGUCCAGCUGGUGCUCCUUGAUUGAGGGAGUAAUCAACAAAAUUUAUAACCUAUAACACCAUAUACUAGGGUAGCAAAGAAAAAGCUACUAUAGUAUAGCGGCUCUAGGAUCGUUCACUGGGAAGGAUUAGCAAGCUACCAAUGAUACCAAUUCCAAGUGAAUUGGUCUUGUUUCAUUUCAAGGUUAGCUUAAGAAAUAAAACACAAACUUUGAUUGGUAAAGAUUUAAACUAACUAACAUAACAAGUACUCAGAAUAACUUAGAAAGAAAAGCAUUCCUUGGAGAGUUAGGUUCACUGGUGUGGUUCCUCAUGCAAAAGACAUAGCUCCGGUCAGAUGGUUUCUUUCCUCGCAUUAGAGAUUCAACAUAUAGUCAAUUCUCUAACCGGUGCUGUACAGAUACCUCCUUCAAUUAGAUUUCACUUUAAUUCUCUCACUGAUGCAACUUGCAAUGGUUUAAGCCUCUCACUAAGCCGUAACCAUUCAAGGUGAUCUUUAACCUUGGACUUCCCUUCGCAAGCUCGCAAGAGAUAACUAAUGGAUGUCUCCUUGGAGUCCAAAAGCUUACCAAGUGUUGGCUCUUCUAGAAAAUCCUACCCUAAAGUCACCUCCCAAAGGCUCGCAAGGGGUAAACUAGUGCAUUUCCAUGGUUGGAAAUCACUUGCCUUACCAAGUGUUGGCCCAGGUGACUCUAAAGUGUUUUAAGUUAACUAAAAACAUAGAAAUCACUAAAGGAUUUCACUUCCUCUUCAUUAAUAGCUAAAACCACAAAGCUUUGCAUUCUUGCACUUGGAACCUUCCCCAGCAACCUUAGCUCCAAGGAAUUAGAGGUUUAGUUACUCAUUCUCUGGGGAAAACUCCUCAGAGAGUUCAUAACUUAGUAUAUAAAAUAAAAAUACAAAGUGAGAAGGUAAGGCAAUACAAAGAACUGAACUUUACUUGCUUACCAAAAACUUUACAAAAGGAUCUCCUCCUUGAGAACAGGCUCCCGAGAGGUAUAUAUAUGAACAUAAUAUAAAACUAAUUAUUACAUAGAUAUUUACUCUUUUUACUAACUUAAAAGCUAAGGAAUCUUGUAAUUGGUGGCUUAUAAGGAGUAUUUUGGGAUUUAGACAACAAAAAUCUGAUGUAAAAUAUCUCCCAAUGUCGGUAGCAAAUAUCGGGAUGCUUCAGGAACCAUUCCGCAAGAGAAAAUGGUGUCUGCGAGAUUUCGCAGGCAUUCAAGAAGGGCUGCGAAAUCAUUUUGCAACACAUGCUAACUUCGCAGGGCUGCGAAGUUGGCUUCCACCUUGAGGUUCUCAGCUCCCAGCUUGCGGCAUAUAUCGGGCAACUUCAGGAGGGAAUCCACAACACUGUUCAAAAAGGCUGCGAAAUCACUUCGCAACAAAAGGGUGAUUUCGCAGCACUUUGCAAAAUGCUUCCUUCAGCUUGGAGUGAUUGGCUUCCAAUGGCUGCAACUUCUUCAUUUCAACUCCGAAUUGCGCACCGUUUGAAGCAUUGGAUUGUUGACUUCCUGAGCUUUGAAAUGGUAUAUAGCAUGCAUCAAUUGGACCUCAGAAAGUGCUCCAAAAGUGGCUGCUACGACUGUCAUCAAGAAUAUGCUUCUUGGCAGAUUCUCUUUACUUUUUCUCCUUGCAAUCCGGAUUUACUCUUGGCAAAUGACUUCUAAGCUUUGCCCAAGAUUCCUCAUAACUCUCCUCAGUCUUGACUUGCUUUGGUGAUCAAAAUACUAACAAAAACACCAAAACUUACACAAAGUAAUUAAAAUUGCUUUCAAGGGUCCUUAACAUGCUAAUUGAGUUAAAAGGCCUAAACUACUACUCAAAAGUGUUUAAAAGGAUUAAUUACAAGCUAUCAAAUAGCACUUUUUGAGUAGUAAUCACUCCCCCCAACCGACAUAUUGCUAGUCCCUUAGCAAUAUAGGAGAGAAAAAUGAAAAUAAAAAGCAACUUAUACUAAAAUUUACAACAUCAUGCUAAACAAAAACAAUUCUCAAGUGGCAUGAUGAUUUUAUUCUCUCAUGAAACAAAAAAGAAAUACAAAUCCAAAUUUCUACAAGAGUCAUAACAAACUAUGCUAAACACUGUCAAACAAGGGAAUGCAUUAUGCAAACUAAAGUUUUAAAAUCAUUUCCACUUUCAAAGAACCAAACUUUAAUCUUCCACAAAAAAUCUAUGUGUAUUGGUUUCUUAGCUUCUGAGAAUAAUAUGCUAAACUAAUCUCUCCCCCCAACCUAUCUCUUUUCAAUACUUAGCAAACUGACCAAAAUCAAUAAGAAAAGAACACACUUUCAUCUUCUCCUUUUUUUUUUUUUUUUUUUUUUUUUUUUUUUUUAAGGUAGCUUUAUGGGGUACUCUUUCUGACUUGUCCAUGUAAUGGGGGUCCAUCGAUGACUCCCAACCAAUUAAGGUUUAGGGCACCAAGCUUUAAGGAUCUUUCAACCACUAACUCCUCGGAUUUUUCCCCGGACUUUUAAGAAUGAAUUUCUACUACCCAAGCAUCUACCAUAUGCUAACUCUACCUAUUCACCCUUAUAACGAGCAUUGAGGUCGGUGACUCCCAACCAAUUAAGGCUUAGGGCACCAGGCUUUAAAGAUUUUCACCAUAUACCCCUCAGACCUUGCUCGGGUUUCAAGGCAAGCAAACAACUUUCUUUAUUUCAAAGGCUCAUUGGCCUUUUGCAGGGUGUUUCAAUUUUAUCAAAUGAGGUCAAAUAUACCAAGUCCCAAAAUUAACCUAAGUCAAGAGGGAAAUAGUUUUUCAUAUUAUAAUCGGAAUCUAAUGUGCACAGUGUGUGAAUAGCUUAAAGUGGAAGAACUAAAUUCAAUUUCAAUAGAAGUUUCAAAAAUUGAACCACUUUAGUGAGCAUAAUCCAUACUCUAAGUCAAGUGAAAAACAACAGUUCAAUUUCUCUUGGUUUAAUUUGAAAAUUUUUCCUCAAAAUUCAUGGAGAAUAGAAUAAAAAGAGUAAAAAGUAAAAACUACAACUAAUUAACCAAUAUAAUUGCAUUACCAAAAAUAUUUAGCAUACUUCCUUCCUCAUUCCCCCCCAACCGAACUGAGCAUUGUCCUCAAUGUGAUAUGAGUGACUGUAAUUAAAGGGAGGAAGUGGUACCUCCUGAAUGAUAUCAAAUUCGAAUAUUGAUUGGAGAAACCACAUGUUUCAAAAAGAAUAGAAUAUGUGAGAAAAGGUAAUAAGAAAAAGUUAAUGCUAACUGUUAAGAAGAAAUAUUAAACUUGUAUUACUUUAAAUUCAUUUAAGUACAAUGCAAAAGAAAAGCAAUACAAGCAAUCCCAAUUAUAGUACCAAAAUAAUGGGAUUUCUUUUCAACUAAAAAAAAAACAAAAUAAAAAUAGUAGAUAUAUAAUAGUCUGAUGAGUGGGUGGUGCUGGGGCUAGGCAGAUGGGUCUGCCUCUUCAGUAGGUGCUUCAGCUGGGGCUUGGGGCUCUGGAGGAUGAGACUCUGAGGGAUGAGAGUGUGGCACUGCUGGAGUAGAAGUGGAGGGCUCUACAGCUGGUGGCAGAUCGAAAUGAAGCUGGAGCUGCCUUAAGAUGGCAGCUUGUUGAGCCUGAGUGGCCAACAUCUGCUCUUGGCAUGCUCUAAUGGUUGCCAUCUCUUGAGCAAGACUGCUCUGAGAUGCUGUGAGGGUCUCCAAUGCACGACACAACUCUCGAUAUUCAGAUAUAGGAAUGGUCAUCCUCGGUUCAGCUGAUGUGGAUGGCUGAGAUGAAGCUGGAGCAGCUGGUGGAGCUCUAGGAAUGGCAGGAGCAGCAACUGUUAUACCCUCAGGUAUGUGUCGUGGGGAUGCUCUCCUUGCAGCUGGCUGAGGUGGCUCUUGCUUAUCAACUUUAUAGGCCGUCAUGUUGUUCCAUUUAUCAAGAGUGAAUGGCUCACGGCAAAUGCACUUUCUCUCCAGCUGAGGCUCAGAAGGAUAUCCCAAGUGCUCUAGAAUUUGGCAUAGCAGCCUUGGAAAGAGGAGGGGAAUGCAAUCAGCUCUCUGAAGCUUCUUUUUGUGCACCUUCUCUUCGAAAUAGAGAAGGGCUGCCAAAAUCAGAUGAUGAGGCCCAAAGAAAAAUCCUUCUGACAUCUUGUAAAGGGCUUCUAAGAGGACUCCCCUUCUUUGAGUCCAAUGCUGCAAUGGGUAGAGAUUAUGACGCAAAAAUGCAUCAAUCAGAAACAUGACUGGAGGAAGCUCCCCCCUCAACAAAUGUGAUCGAUUUACAGUUCCUCUGGAUAGGGUGCGCACCAUCUCCAGCUCAGUAGGAUUGGUCUAAGCUCUAAAAUCAUCGAAUUGGGUUGGCUCAUAGGGAAUUUGCAGGGCUUCAGCAAUAUGACGUGCUCCCAAUAUGCCAUGCCUCCCAUCAAUAGUGAAAUGAAUUAAAGUUGGAUCCCUGACCUGGUUGGUUGUCAUGGAUUGAUAGAAAUCCAAGGCUACCCUUGGGUAGAAAAAGUCUCUCGGAGUCAGUAGGUGCUCCAUGUGGUACUCCUCAGCAGAGUGAAUGUCUGUGCAAGGUUCGGCUGCAAUUGGAAUGUGGCUAUGUCAAAGCAUAGCUCUAAGUGGAAUGGCCGAGCUCUACAAUCCAAAUUUCCCUCAAUUGGGGGCUGAGUUAGCAUUGGCCGCCUGAUAACUUCUUCCGGAGCUAUUUCAGAUGGAAUUUGGGGCUCUGGAAGUGGCGCUUGAGGCUCCUGAGAUUUUUCUUGUGGUGUCGGAGAUGGCACCAGAUGCUGAAUUGGCGAGGGAACUGGAGUUGGAGCCGGCGACGGCUCUGGAGAUUGCUCAGUCAGGUCAAUGGGUUCUGAGCUCUCCACCCUGGGUCUCUUUUGCGAUGGCCGACCUCCUGACCUGGUUAGGUAUCGUUUUGCCAGAGGUUUUGGCGGCGCGGGCUUCACCGAAGGAGGAAUUGCUUUCGGCUGCGGAGGGUCAGGAAUAGGAUCUGGAACUGGUUCCUUUCGCAGGCUUUUCUUGCGGUUUGAAGGGGAGGAAGACUUGGCCCCUCUGGUUCGCGCCAUUUCGGAUUACCGAAGUUUGGCCGACGUUGCUGAUCGGAGAAGAUGACCGGAGGCUUGCGCGGUGAGGCUUGAGGAAGGAGAUGGACGGUCUGCGAGAAUGGCACGCUCUGAUUUUGAAACCCUUUUCGCAGCUUAAAUGACCGGUAUAAAUAGGAAAAACGGAAGACUAAGGGUCAGUUUGAGUUUCGCAGCAAAACGCCAAUUUCGCAGCAAAAUGCCGUUUUCGCAGCAACUUCGCAAUGCAUUUCGCAGCUGCGAAAUGAAUGUCACUGUGUUGCGAAGUGGCACACGUGUGCCAAAAUCGCUUUCGCAAUUGCGAAACACCCUGCGGAAUGGGACUUUUGGUGCGAAAUCAGGCUUUACCACUUCGCAAUGCGUUUCGCAGCUGCGAAAUGAGGGCUCCUGUGCUGCGAAGUGGCACUCGUGUGCCAAACUCGCCUUCGCAGCUGCGAAAAUUCUCGUAGAGAACUCCAAAGUGUUGCGAAAUGGUUUGGCAACAAAAUACUCGUGUCGCAGAAGUUUCCUUCAGCCUGCGAAAUCUCGCAGAGCUCUGUUUUUCCUCUGUUUUCACUCUGUUUUUGCUCCGAUUUCGAUCCGAUUUUUUUUCUUUCAAUUUCCUUGCAAUUUCUUCCACCUGGGAUCAUUCAAAAAGAUUAAAACACACAUAAAAACAUGAUUUAAGAUCAAAAACUAAGAUCAAAAGUAGGGAUAAACUUGAAAAUUUACAAAAUUUAUAAAAAUUUUGGACUGGGGUAAAACCACGUCCAGCAAACCCUUCUUUGCUUAGGCUUUUUGAGGCUCAAGGAGGUUGAUUGCCUUCUUUUCUGGUUUAAAUGGCUCCAUGAAUGGCUUGAGACGAUAUCCAUUGACUCUAAAGCUAUCCUUGCCAUUUGAAUUCAAUAAUUCCACUACUCCAUUGGAAUAUACUCGGUGAACAACGAACGGGCCUAUCCACCUUGACUUGAGCUUCCCAGGAAAGAUAUGGAGUUGAUUACUACCAAAAAGUGCUAUUUUGUAGACCUAAUUAUAAUGGUUUUAAGCACCUUUGAGUAGUAAUCAUAUUCAUUUAAACCAAUUAAUUCAUUAAGGUCCUUAGUAAUUGGUUUUAACCAUUUUGUGGCAAGUUUACAUGUUUUUAUCAGCUUAUGAAUCGAUUCAAGCAUGCCAAAUGAUGGAGGAGCUACUUGGACAAGUUGAAGCAAAGAGGAAAAGCAAGCAAAGUGAAGAGAAGCAAAGAGGACAGCAGCUGCAGUCUUCUUUCGCACUUUUGGAGCACUUCCCGAAGUCCAUUUUUUGCAUACUAUAUACCAUUUCAAAGCUCUAGAAGUCAAGAAUCCAACACUUCAAACCAUGCACGAUUUGGAGCUGAAAUGAGGAAGAUAUGGCCUUCGGAAGCCAACUGCUCCAGGUUAUGCGAAAAUUUCGCAUUCCACAAGGUGUUAUGCGAAAUUCGCAUAACAUUCGCAUAACAUUCGCAUAACCCAUGCGUGUUGCGAAUUUUGCUCUGCCUUUGCCGACUCCACUUUAGAUAUUUUCCUUUGUAUUUUGUGAUGUAAUUUCCUUUCUUAUCCUUGUAACUAACCAAUCACAAGCUUUUGCUUUUGUAAAGACUAUAUAAGGGGUGGAAAUCACCUCUUGAAAAAAUAGACGCAUAUAUACAGACGGAGCCUUGCUCUGUUUUUCUCUCUUCUCCUGUUCUUUCCCGUUUCUAUUUUCUUAUUAGCCAAACAGCCUCUAAGGGCUUUUCCUCAGAGGAUGAGUAGCUAAAACUUUUAGUUUCUCAAAGUAUGGAUGUUAUGUGAUGACUUGGAUGCAAUCCCAUGGAAAUCUCUCGCACCCGGAAGGUAAGGUAGCCGUUUUUCAUUAAAGGUUCAUUAAUGCAAAGUUUGGUUUUUAUUUCCUUUGGACAACUUCCAACGGCCAAUACUUGAUAAGCUUUUGGAUUUCUAUCCAUUAGUUAUCUCCUACGAGCUAUUGGAAGGUGAGGUUUUCAAUUCCAAGUUUUGUAUUAAUCCGUUAGAACCAAUUUCAAUGGCCAUUGAAAGGUGAGUUUAUCACUUGGAAUGACUUUGAGUUGCCAAUAUUUGGUAAGCUUUUGGCUUUAGACCAUUAGUUAUCUCUUACGAGCCAUUCAAAGGAAGUCUAAGGUGAAUAACCGUUGAUGAAAUUCACUACCAUCUGUUUUGUCAUUUUAAAGGAUUAAAACUUGAUUUGCUAAAUCCAUACCGGUUCGGGAAGCAAGCAUCACCAUAGUUGCAACCCCAAUGCGAGGAGCCUAUCCUGAGAUUUCCAAUUUGCAUAAGAGCCAGAGCAUAGCUAUCCUAUCUUUGAGAAACUUGUUUUUACACCCUUUCAUUUUAGUCUUUAAUGUAGUUUAGAUAGUUUAAAUCUUUCUAAAACAUUUACAUUUUCUUAAAGCUAACAUCCNNNNNNNNNNNNNNNNNNNNNNNNNNNNNNNNNNNNNNNNNNNNNNNNNNNNNNNNNNNNNNNNNNNNNNNNNNNNNNNNNNNNNNNNNNNNNNNNNNNNGGAGAUGAGUUGAUCAUGCUACUCUUCAUCCUCUGUUUGCAACUUUGGAAUUGAUAUAAGCAUUAUUCUUAAUUCCUCCAUCUCAUUAAGGUCUAGAUAUCUCUUUUCUCCGGCUCUGAUCAAAUCCAUGUUCAGCUUCUUUAUCGCCCACCAAGCUUUGUAUUCAACUUCCACAGGGAGAUGACAUGCUUUGCCAUAGACAAGACGAUAAGGAGACAUGCCAAGAAUAGUCUUAUAAGCUGUUCUAUAUGCCCAUAAUGAAUCAUGAAGCCUAAUAGACCAAUCCUUUCUGCUGGAAUUCACCACUUUCAUCAAUAUGUUCUUUAUUUCCCUGUUAGCUAGCUCAACUUGCCCGGAAGUUUGAGGAUGAUAAGGUGUAGCCACCUUAUGCUUCACUCCAUACUUGGAUAACAGAGCUUCAAAAGGUUUGUUGCAAAAAUGAGCACCUCCAUCACUGAUUAUGGCUUUGGGCACCCCAAAUCUUGAGAAAAUGUUCUCUUUAAGAAACUUGAGAACCACCUUGUGAUCAUUUUGUUUACAGGGGAUUGCCUCAACCCAUUUAGAAACAUAAUCCACCCCCACCAAGAUGUAAGAAUUACCAAAAGACAUUGGGAACGGCCCCAUGAAGUCAAUGCCCCAUACAUCAAAUAGCUCAACUAUUAGAAUGGGGUUCAUAGGCAUUUGAUUUCUUUUUGUUAGUUUUCCAAGCCUUUGGCAUCUAUCACAACUCCUACACAUGAUGUGGGCAUCUUUGAAAAGAGAUGGCCAAGUAAACCCUAAUUGCAACACCUUCAUAGCUGUUUUCUGAGAGGCAAAGUGGCCUCCACAUGCAUUCUCAUGACAAUGAGAUAGAAUCCCUUGCUGCUCAUCUUCAGGGACACACUUCCUUAUGAUCUGAUCUGCACAAUACUUAAAAAGAAAGGGCUCUUCCCAAUAAUAAGCAUGAGUUUUGGCAAAGAAGUGCUUCCGGUCCUAUGCAUUCCACUCACUCGGAAUUUCACCAGUUACUAAAUAAUUAGCAAUAUGGGCAUACCAAGGAGUUUUCACUAGGAACAUGAGUGAUUCUUCAGGAAAAUCAUCAUUAAUAGGCAAGGGAUGGGAAUUAUGUGCUAUAACUAACCUCGAAAGGUGGUCAGCUACCACAUUCUCCACUCCUUUCUUAUCUUUGAUUUGAAGAUCGAAUUAUUGUAACAAAAGAAUCCAUCUAAUCAACCUUGCUUUUGCAUCUUGCUUUGUCAAUAAAUACUUCAAGGCUGAAUGGUCAGUGAAGACAAUGAUGAAAGACCCCACUAAAUAAGCACGAAAUUUGUCCAAAGCAAAUACUACAGCUAACAAUUCUUUCUCUGUAGUUGUGUAGUUCCUUUGAGCUUCAUUCAGUGUUUUACUUGCAUAGUAAAUCACAUAGGGCUUCCCAUCUUCCCUUUGGCCAAGCACAGCUCCUAUAGCAAAGUCACUGGCAUCACACAUCAGUUCAAAAGGUAAUUGCCAGUUAGGGGCUCUCACUAUUGGAGUUGUUGUUAAAAAUUUCUUCAGUUGAUCAAAGCUAUUCUGACACCUUUCAUCCCAUAUAAACUUAGCAUCCUUAGCUAACAGCUCACAAAGAGGUUUUGAAAGACUUGAAAACCCUUUUAUAAACCUCCUAUAGAACCCUGCAUGGCCAAGGAACUGCCUUACUCCUUUUACAGUUGUUGGGGAUGGUAAUUUGACAAUAAGCUCCACCUUUGCUUUAUCAACUUCAAUGCCUCUUUCAGAGAUGAUAUGACCAAGGACAAUUCCUUGACGUACCAUAAAAUGGCAUUUCUCCCAGUUGAGCACCAGAUCUUUUUCAAUGCAUCUGUGAAGAACUGCUUCCAAAUUAACUAAGCAUUCCUCAAAUGUAUCUCCAUAUACGAUGAUGUCAUCCAUGAAAACCUCCAUAAUUCGCUCCACCAUAUCACUGAAAAUACUCAACAUACAUAUUUGAAAUGUAGCAGGUGCAUUGCAUAAACCAAAAGGCAUUCUCCUAUAAGCAUAUGUCCCAAAUGGACAUGUAAAAGUGGUCUUUUCUUGAUCUGCCAAAUCAAUUUCAAUCUGAAAAUACCCUGAAUACCCGUCCAAGAAACAAUAGAAUGGAUGUCCAGAGACUCUCUCCAGCACUUGGUCAAUAAAUGGCAAUGGAAAAUGAUCCUUCCUGGUUGCAGCAUUCAACUUUCUAUAAUCAAUACACACCCUCCAACCUGAAGUGAGGCGUGUAGUAACUUCUUCUCAUUUUUCAUUCUGAACCACUGUGAUCCCUGACUUCUUUGGUACCACUUGAGUAGGACUCACCCAAGGGCUAUCAGAUAUAGGGUAAAUGAUUCCUGCUUGAAGUAACUUCAGCACCUCAGCUCGCACCACCUCUUGUAGAUGAGGAUUCAAUCUUCUUUGAAGUUGACGAAUUGGCUUUGCCUCCUCCUCCAUAUAUAUAUGAUGAGUACAAACUAAAGGACUAAUGCCUUUCAAGUCAGAUAUUUGCCAUCCUAUUACCUUCUUACACCUCUUGAGAACUUCUAUUAAACAAUUCUCUUGAUGACUGGUCAAAGAUGAAGAUAUCACAACAGGACAUUGAAUAUUUUCUUCAAGAUAUGUAUAUUUCAGCUCCACAGGUAAAGGCUUCAGAUUGAGUUUUGGAAUUUCUGGUUCAGCAGCUGCCUCCUCUUCUUCAUUGAACAAAGGUAGAAUCUCUUCUAUCUUUCUCCAACUUUGUAGAGUAGCAAGCAUAGUAGGAGAUUCAGACAAACCUUCCUCAAAAUUCACAAGACUUUCAUUCAACUUGUCUUGCAUAUUUUGAUUACAGUGCUCCUCCACCAAAGUAUCAAUAAUGCACAGCUCUUCUGGACCUUCUUCUUCUUCCGGAGUGAUUUGCUUUUUAGACAUAUAGAAAAUAUUUAGAUCCAGUGUCAUGUUGCCAAAAGUGAGUUGCAUCAGCCCAUUCCUACAGUUGAUGAUUGCAUUUGAGGUAGCAAGAAAUGGCCUUCCAAGGAUGAUAGGAACUAAAUUAGCUUCCUUUACAGUAGGAUAUGUAUCAAGAACAAUAAAAUCUACUGGAUAGUAGAAAUUAUCCACUUGAACCAAUACAUCCUCAAUUACCCCUCUUGGAAUUUUCACUGAUCUAUCUGCCAGGGAUAGAGUGAUUGUUGUUGGCUUCAACUCUCCAAGUCCCAAUUGCUUGUAGACAGAAUAUGGAAGCAAAUUCACACUUGCUCCCAAAUCUAGCAAGGCUUUCUCCACUACCUUUCCUCCAAUCAUGACCGAAAUGGUAGGACUUCCCGGGUCUUUGUACUUCAAAGGAGACUUACAUUGUAAGAUUGCACUUACUUGCUCAGUCAAGAAGGCUUUCUUAUUUACAGUCAACCCUCUUUUGAUAGUACAUAAGUCCUUUAGGAAUUUUGCAUACGUUGGAACUUGUUUAAUCAUAUCCAGCAAUGGGAUAUUGACUUUCACUUGUCUCAAUACUUCAAGGAUUUCAGCUGCAUUUCUAACCCCCUUUUUCCCAUGUAAUGCUUGAGGAAAAGGUGGAGAAGUUGAUUUCUUCAGCAUUUCUUCCUUCAGAAGUUCCUUCUCUGGAAUUACAUUCAUUGUUGAAUCAGAGUCCUUCUUUUCUUCACUGAUCUCACUCUCUUUAUCUUCCAUUUCCUUCCCUUUCUUUAUCUCUUCUUCUUUCUCAACAUGUGGCUUGGGUGUUGGCUGCUCAAUUUUUUUACCACUCCUUAGAGUGAUCAAGGCUUUCACAUCUUUCAUCUGUGAUGAUUCUCCCUCUUGGCUUUCCACUUCAUGGACACCUUUGGGAUUUUGGUGAGGUUGAGAAGGAAAUCUUCCCUUUUCUUGCAGUGUAUUCAAAUUUGUAAGCCUUGAAAUUGAAUAUUGGAUGUUAUCAAACUUUUGGUUCAUAUCAUUUUGCAUUCCAUCCAUCCUUUUAUUCAACAUACUCUCUACUCUAUCAAUUCUUUGAUAGAUUUGAGCAUUGGUGGCUUCUUGCUUUCCAACAAAAUCUCCCACUACCUUGCUGAGAUUAGCCAUUGCUUGUUCAAGACUUGAAGUUUGUUGAGAUGGUGGAUCCGGCUGUUGGUACUGAGUUGCUCUGGCCUUCCAUGAGAAAUUUGGAUGAUUCCUCCAACUUGAGUUGUAGGUAUUUCCAUAAGGCGCAUUGUUAUUGGGCCUGAAUUGUCCAACAACAUUUGCUUGAUCUCUAAACAUCUCCCUUUCAGCUGAAAUGGCAGGGCAUUCCUCUACCAAAUGUUCAUAUGAUUGACAAUUAGGACACAGCUUCACUUGCACUGGUGCUUCAGCAACAGCUUGCACUUCAUGAAUUCUUUUCAGCUCCAACUCCUCCAAUCUUCUUGUCAUAGCUGCCAACUUUGCUUUCAUAUCAUCAUCUUCUUUCAAGGUAUACAUCCCAGCCUUUGUAUUGAAAGCAUUUAGUUGAGACUUCAUCUUACCCACUUCUCCUUUGGUUGGUUCAUCCCAUCCUCUUGAAACAUCAGCUACAUAGCUCAAGAAAUCCAUAGCUUCCUCCGGAUUUUUGCUCAUGAAAUCUCCUCCACACAUUGUCUCGAGGAGUUGUUUCAUUGAGGAGGACAUACCAUCAUAGAAAUAGCUCACCAAUAGCCAAGUAUCAAAGCCAUGGUGAGGGCAAGCAUUUAUAGCUUCCAUGUAUCUUUCCCAACACUCAUAGAAUUUUUCAUUCUCUUUAGCUGAGAAGUUUGAAAUUUACCUUUUCAAGCCAUUUGUUCUAUGAGUGGGAAAAAAUUUCUUAAGGAAUUCAGCUUGUAGAUCAGUCCAAGAACGGAUACUCCUUGGCCUUAAAGAAUUAAGCCAAAUUUUGGCCUUAUCCUUUAAAGUAAAAGGAAAUAACUUCAGCCUCAUCAAAUCAAUUGAAGCUCCUCCCUCUUGGAAUGUAUUACAAACAUCUUCAAAUUCCUUGAUAUGUGCAUACGGAUUCUCACUUUCCAUCCCAUGGAAAGUUGGUAGAAGUGGAACAAGAUACGGUCUGAUCACUAGCUGCUCUGUAUGGGGCACUAUACAUGAUGGUGCACUCAUACGAGGUGGAUGCAUGCGGUCCCUCAUUGAUCUGAAUUCAUUGAGAUUAUCUUGACGACCUUGGUGACUAUGCUGAUCUUCAGGUGUAGCUUCCAUGAUAUUCAAGAUCACUUCGAAUUCUUUUCUCUGAGGUGUAUCACACUUAACAAGCCUUCCUCCACUAUCUCGUAUCCACUUUGGCAUACACAACUAAUAUCUAUCUGCAACUUAAAUGAAAAUAAAGGACAACAACAGAAACAGGGCUACAACAACAAAAUUAAACUAGGCUAAAUUUUAAAAGAUAAACUUGGAUUAUGAAUAAGUAAAGAAAGAAUGAUAAUUAGUAAAGUGAAAGAAACGUUACCAACUUGUGAUGAAAAUCACAAGUGCUCAAAAAUGGUAUCACUAUAAAUUUGACACCUUCCUCGGCAACGGCGCCAUUUGAUUCGUGCCCAAUUGGUGUCUCAGCUGAUUCGUGUCCAACUGGUGCUCCUUGAUUGAGGGAGUAAUCAACAAAAUUUAUAACCUAUAACACCAUAUACUAGGGUAGCAAAGAAAAAGCUACUAUAGUAUAGCGGCUCUAGGAUCGUUCACUGGGAAGGAUUAGCAAGCUACCAAUGAUACCAAUUCCAAGUGAAUUGGUCUUGUUUCCUUUCAAGGUUAGCUUAAGAAAUAAAACACAAACUUUGAUUGGUAAAGAUUUAAACUAACUAACAUAACAAGUACUCGGAAUAACUUAGAAAGAAAAGCAUUCCUUGGACAGUUAGGUUCACUGGGGUGGUUCCUCAUGCAAAAGACAUAGCUCCGGUCAGAUGGUUUCUUUCCUCGCAUUAGAGAUUCAACAUAUAGUCAAUUCUCUAACCGGUGCUGUACAGAUACCUCCUUCAAUUAGAUUUCACUUUAAUUCUCUCACUGAUGCAACUUGCAAUGGUUUAAGCCUCUCACUAAGCCGUAACCAUUCAAGGUGAUCUUUAACCUUGGACUUCCCUUCGCAAGCUCGCAAGAGAUAACUAAUGGAUGUCUCCUUGGAGUCCAAAAGCUUACCAAGUGUUGGCUUUUCUAGAAAAUCCUACCCUAAAGUCACCUCCCAGAGGCUCGCAAGGGGUAAACUAGUGCAUUUCCAUGGUUGGAAAUCACUUGCCUUACCAAGUGUUGGCCUAGGUGACUCUAAGGUGUUUUAAGUUAACUAAAAACAUAGAAAUCACUAAAGGAUUUCACUUCCUCUUCAUUAAUAGCUAAAACCACAAAGCUUUGCAUUCUUGCACUUGGAACCUUCCCCGGCAACCUUAGCUCCAAGGAAUUAGAGGUUUAGUUACUCAUUCUCUGGGGAAAACUCCUCAGAGAGUUCAUAACUUAGUAUAUAAAAUAAAAAUACAAAGUGAGAAGGUAAGGCAAUACAAAGAACUGAACUUUACUUGCUUACCAAAAACUUUACAAAAGGAUCUCCUCCUUGAGAACAGGCUCCCGAGAGGUAUAUAUAUGAACAUAAUAUAAAACUAAUUAUUACAUAGAUAUUUACUCUUUUUACUAACUUAAAAGCUAAGGAAUCUUGUAAUUGGUGGCUUACAAGGAGUAUUUUGGGAUUUAGACAACAAAAAUCUGAUGUAAAAUAUCUCCCAAUGUCGGUAGCAAAUAUCGGGAUGCUUCAGGAACCAUUCCGCAAGAGAAAAUGGUGUCUGCGAGAUUUCACAGGCAUUCAAGAAGGGCUGCGAAAUCAUUUCGCAACACAUGCUAACUUCGCAGGGCUGCGAAGUUGGCUUCCACCUUGAGGUUCUUAGCUCCCAGCUUGUGGCAUAUAUCGGGCAACUUCAGGAGGGAAUCCACAACACUGUUCAAAAAGGCUGCGAAAUCACUUCGCAACAAAAGGGUGAUUUCGCAGCACUUUGCAAAAUGCUUCCUUCAGCUUGGAGUGAUUGGCUUCCAAUGGCUGCAACUUCUUCAUUUUAACUCCGAAUUGUGCACCGUUUGAAGCAUUGGAUUGUUGACUUCCUGAGCUUUGAAAUGGUAUAUAGAAUGCAUCAAUUGGACCUCAGAAAGUGCUCCAAAAGUGGCUGCUACGACUGUCAUCAAGAAUAUGCUUCUUGACAGAUUCUCUUUACUUUUUCUCCUUGCAAUCCGGAUUUACUCUUGGCAAAUGACUUCUAAACUUUGGCCAAGAUUCCUCAUAACUCUCCUCAGUCUUGACUUGCUUUGGUGAUCAAAAUACUAACAAAAACACCAAAACUUACACAAAGUAAUUAAAAUUGCUUUCAAGGGUCCUUAACAUGCCAAUAGAGUUAAAAGGCCUAAACUACUACUCAAAAGUGUUUAAAAGGAUUAAUUACAAGCUAUCAAAUAGCACUUUUUGAGUAGUAAUCAUUGAGGAGGAGUAGAUUAAGGAUUUGUGGUACCGAAAGAUCAAAUUCAACUCACACAAGUGCAAAAAGAUAAUUUGGUGAAUUUGAAGAAGAAAGGUUUGAAGGCUUGCCUUUGCAUCUAUCAGUCAACAAAACUGCCUAUUUUUUUAUAAGAUUGUGAAUGCAAGUACGACAAAAGAUGUAUGGGACAUCCUUAUGAACACCUACAAAGGGGUAAAGAAGGUGAAGAAGGCACGAUUAUAGACUUUGAGGAGAUAAUUCGAACUUCUUCAAAUGGAGAAAACAAAAAGAGUCUUCGACUACUUUUCAUGAACAUUAGCUCUUUUCAAUCAGAUGAAAUCUAAUGAUGAAAACAUUUUAGAUCUCCAAGUUAUGGAGAAAAAUUUUCAAACCUUAACCAUGCCAUUCGAAUACAAGUUAACAACAAUUGAAGAAUCGAAAUAUCUUAGUACCAUGACGUUGGAUGAAUUGAUGGGUUCCUUGCAAGUCCAUGAACAAUGCGUAGAUGAAAGGUCCCAAAUUGAGGCAAAAGAAGCAUUAGAAAACCAAGUCUUAAAAAAGAAAAAGAGGAGUCUCAAAAUAAUUUUGAAUUAAGUAAGAAAGGUUAGAAUCACUACAAGAAAGAUGAUUAUUAGCAACACAAUUUUUUGUCAUAAAAAGGUUAAUAUCAUUGCAAAAAAGUUUUCAUGACGAAAAUUAUUUUGUUUCAUGAACAUCGCCUUAUCCUCAUCACAAAAAGUUUUUGCAACAAAUAAAAAUUUUCAUCUCUAAUAGUUUAUAGAGACAUAAUUUGUUUGUUGUUUCCAAUAAUAUUUUGACAAAAAGAUUUGUUGUUAAAUGUUUAGAAUUUUGUUGCUAAAAAUGCUCAAUAAUGAAUUAAAUUGUCGCCAAAUUAGACACAUACAACAACAACGAAAAUUAUUAUAUCGUUGCCAAAUAGAUUUUGAAACAAAACUUUAUUUUGUUGCUAAAAGUUAAGGUCAUAUUUUAACAAAAAAAAAAUUGAUGUCUCUAAAUGUAUGAACUUUUGUUACUAAAUAUCUAUAUGUGUAUAAUAAUUUUAUCAUCAUAUCUUAAAAUAUUCAAUUAAUAUAUUUUAGUUUUUAUAUUUAAUUUUAAAUUAUAAAACCUCGUUAAAAAAUUAAAUUUUGUGAUACCUUAAUUUUAUUAUAUAAUUAAUAAUUAUAACAUCUAAAUGAAUAAAUAAAUUAUAUGAUAACAUAGUUUUAAUACAUGAUUGAUAAUAUUUUAUCAAAUAUAAAAGAACUUUGUUAUGUCCACAUAUACGAAAAAGAAAAAAAAAAGAUAGUAAACAUUGAUAUCCACAUUUGUAAAAUGUGAUAAGUUUUAGAAAUAAAAGAAAAGUAGCAAACUAACACAUACACAAAAUAUGAUAAUAUCUAAAAAAUUGCAAUGAACUAAAUUAAGUACCAGACAUACAUGCCAAAACCAAAUGCUUAGAAAAUGUCGAUCAUCAUCCAUGAGUGUGACUAGGAAUCUAUGAACGGUGUAUCAUGUGAGGGAGAUGAACUUUCUGAGCCUGAACCUAGAAUGUGCAUGUAUUGACAUUUCACAAACAAAACUAGCUAAUUGAUCCAUCUGGAAUUGUUGGUGCUAGAUUCGAGCCUCUUGACUUUGGAUGAGCUCUUGUGUUGAUCUAAGCUCAUUCUCCAAUUCUAUCUCUCAAUGUGACUUAGCACAUAUAGAUCUCAAUGAGGAUGGGGGUGGUUGAGGGCCAUGACUUAACCCCUUGAUAGAUCUCAAGCCUAUCUAGCACGUGAACACAUAUAUCAACCUUUUUCAAGUUUUGACCAUCUUCCAACACUAGUUACCUUUGCAAUUCCAACAUUCUUUCCUACAAAUAUAAAGAAAAGUUAAAUAAUAUAAAACACAAACCAACUGAAUAAAUAAAAGUUCGAAAAAUAAAGUACAUUAGAAUAAAAUCUUUUUAGCAUAUUCAACUAUUAUUAUUUAUGUAUGGAUCUAACUUAGCUAAUUCAACUAUAAUUUAUUGCAAAGAGACAUUACGUGUAGAUCUAACAAUUUACUUAUGUUUCAUAGCAUGUUCUUCAUGACUAUGAGAAAAUUUUAAAAGGUUCAUAUUUAUUUUAUAGAAUUUUCAUAAAUUUUGUAAAGUUUUAUUGAUCCAUCCUUCUUCUUCACAAAUAAAAAAAGAGCUCCCCAAGGCAAAACACUAGGUCAAUAAAAACCCCUAUCUAACAACUCUUGAAGCUGAGACUUCAACUCCUUAAGCUCCACAGGUGCCAUCUUGUAUAGAGUCUUAAAGAUAGGAACUGUUCCUGGUAGCAAAUUGUUAGGAAUAUUAAGCUAAUCCAACUAUGGUAAUCACCUUAGAGGAGGGGGAGGGGGGGUUUGAAUAGGGUGAUGGUCUCUUUUUGCAAAUAUAAACUAUGUGAAAGUAAGAGACAAUUUAUAUGCAAGUAUAUGAUAAGCAAUAUAAAGACAAUUGCAUAUAAAUUAAAAGAGUAGGGAAGAGAGAAUGCAAACACAAGAGUUUAUAGUGGUUCGACGCAACCCGACCUACAUCCACUCUCCUCUAGCUUCAAUCCCGAGCUUGAGGUUCCACUAAUUUAAGGCUUCCAAACCAAGCCUUCAAGCAAUACAAUUGGAUUAUGGCUCCAAUUCACCCUCUUGGACUUUUGGCUCUAAGCACCCUUUACACUUCUGAAGAGCUAUCCCACUCUUGAACAACCCCUCAAGUGAUACCCCAUACUUGAGACUUCCUCUCAAAGAUUUACAAAUAAAAGAUCUCACAAAAUCCUAGCACAAGAACUUUAAGCUCAAAUGAUACAAGAAAACUAGGAUUGAAGUGUGCACUAAAGAUAUGCAAGUUUUAGAACAAUGAUGCACUCAAAAACACUCUUCCAAGGCUCAAAUAUAAUCAAGAAAUGUUUGGGAAGGUUAAGCUUUUUAAACAAUGAAGAUUGGAGCCUUUUUAUAGAAGAGAAAAACCAAACUAGUCUUUUGGGGGUUCGACCAGUCGAGCUAGGGGUCGAUCGGUUGACUAGCCGUUAGCAUUUAAUGCUUGGUAGGUAACCGUUGGGCCUCAACCGGACCUCGACCGGUCCUCGACCAGACCUUGACCGGUCCUAGACCGGACCUCUACCGGGAAGAGAAUCAUCUCAACCGGGAAGAGAAAGCCACUAGGAGAGAAAGAAACUUUUUGGCCUUCCUCAACCAGACCUCGACCGGACGAGCACAACCAGUCGACCGGUUCCUCAAUCGAUUGAGUCGGUUGAGCCAUUUUUGGCUCAACACCCAACUUUUUCAACUUAAAACCUUUUUAAAACAAGUUUGAGAAAUAUUCAACACAAGGCUUUAGUUGAAAACAUGAAAUCAUCCAAUUUUUAAGAUAUUUAAAACAUAAUAACUAUUUGAUGAUUUUGGUGCAUAAAUAAAUAAUGUAAUGCAUGAAAAUCCUAGUGCACCAACAACCUUACAAAGAGAUCUUAUGAAGCUUGGGUCUUGAAAAACACUUCUCUUUGAGGUGGUCUUCUUCUUCAUGAUUUCUCCUUGGCUUGAUUUGUCUUUGUGAUUACCACUUUGGAAAUCGUCUUGCCUAAUCACACUUAAAAUAUAAUCAUUAGUUUUAAACUUUGUUUUGUUAUCAUCAAAAUCAAGAUUAACCAAACCUUGGUUUCACACAAAUCAAUGGUAAAUUCCACCUCCAUUUCUAGUGGCAAGCCAGGCAAAUUGUCUAGAAAAAUAUCAGGAAAAUCCCUUGCAACGGGUAUGUCCUCCAAUUUUAAAUCAUUUUCAUCACUCUCCACAUAAGCCAAAAAGCCUUGACAACCCUUCCUAAGAAAAGAACUAGCUUGUAAGGCUAAGAUCAUACAGAGUGGUCUAUCUGCAUGCUUUCCCUCAAAACUAAACUCAGAUUGACCAGGGAUGCUAAAUAUCACCCUUUUCCCAAAAUAAUCAACAAAAACAUGAUAGGAAGCUAACCAACCCAUUCCCAAAAUUACAUCAAAAUCCUUAAGGUCAAGGAGUACUAAGUCAACUGGCAUUUCCCUAUAACCAAUCAUCACAAGAAAAUCUCUAAGCAUUUUGCUGGUCACAACAGAAACUCUCAUAGGAGUAGCAACAAUCAAAUCAAAGUCCAUGAUAGCAACAGGCAUACCCAACCCAACAAACCAACAAAAGAUACCGAAACAAAAGAGUGUGUUAAGCUUGGAUCAAUUAAGGCUCUAGCAAAUAAAGUGUGAAUUCAAAUAGUACCUAUCACCACAUCAGAAGUAGCUUGAGCAUCUCGAUGAGUCAUAGCAAACACCCGCCCUUGGGCCCUAGGCUUCUUUUUAUCCUCUUUAUUCUCCUCCUUAAGCUUUCCAAUGAUAAAAUUUUUAUUCUCUGGACAAUCUGGAACCAUGUGUCCUUGCUUCCCACAGCCAAAGCAAGUUUUAGUCUCCCUAUAGCAUGGCCUACCCCUGUGCUUCUUACCACAAGUAGGACAGAUCACAUCUGAAUUUUGUGUUAUCUUCCCUUUAUUCUGAUUUCUAGUAGAGGCAGACCUUUUUUGUGCUUAGUUACCAUGAGCACCAUCACUGCUAUUCCUCUUCCUUUGUUGUUCCCUAUACUGAUGAAGCUCCUCAUUAUCUUUUUCUACAAUAAGGUCUCUGUCCACAAUCUCUGAAUAGAUGCCAAGUUUCAGAAUAGAUAUCUUGUUCUUCAUGUAAGACUUUAAUCCAUCCUGAAAUUUUAAUACUUUUUCUUCCUCCAUAGCAAUCAACUGUGGGGCAAAACGUGACAACUCUAUAAAUUUGGCCUCAUACUGGGCCAUAGUCAUCUCCUCUUAUUCCAAACAAACAAACUCUCCCACCUUUUGUCGCCUAACACUGUCAGGGAAGUACUUCUUGUAGAAAGUCUCCAUAAACUGUCUUCAAGUUAUAGGUCCCUGAUCGUCCAAAAGCCUUUUGAUCAUAUGCAACCAAUGAUCUGCUUCUUUGUCUAACAUAAAUGCUGCAUAAGAGGCCAUUUGCUCCUCAGAGCAAUCUAUGACAUCAAAGAAUUUCUCCAUCUUAAGAAUCCAAGCCUCUGCUUCUAUUGGAUCUGAAGUGCCAAAAAAAAUAAGGAGGACCUAGUUUCUUAAAGUCAUCAAAGGAGCUACCCCUAGAAAAUGAGGGUUGUCACUGAUCAUUAGUCUCAGCAGCUCUAAAUUGAUGCUCAACCAAAUCAACUAAAGUUCUAGGAUACUUAUAAAGCCCUUCUACAUUCAAGGGAGGCAAAUCCUAAAGUAGAGGAGGUACAUCAUUAUUAGCUUGACUGUUUUGGGAAGAUGUUGUUCUUCUUGGUGCCAUGAUCUCCUAUAAAGCAUAAGGCAUAGCUAAAUUAGUCGCUAAGAAAUCAAUUAGACAAUUUGGAUUUAUAAAGAAGAAAAAAGAGUUUAUACAAGAUGAAGCUAAAACUUAAACUAAUGUGUUACUCAUCUAUCCCCAAAGUAAACUAAAUCAAGUUCCCAACAAGAUCAUAACCUAAUGCUCUGAUACCACUUUGUCAUGCCCUAAAAUCCACUCCAAGGGCAUGAUGGUCAUUUCACACUGAUGCGACUCAUGGUAGCUUAGCUUUAAAGGCGUAUCAACAAAAUUUAUACCUUAAAUACUAUUACUAAAGUAGCCAAGCUACUAUAGCAUAGUGGUUCUAGGAUCGUUCACUGGGAAGGGUUUUCGCAAACACAAGUGAUAUUCAAAUUAGGAAAAUAGGUGAUUUUCUUAUGGAUGUUAGCUUUAAAAGAAGAUGAAAAUGUUUUAGAAAGAUUUAAACUAAUCUAAGCUAACAUUAAAGACUAAAAUAAAAGGGUGUAAAAGCAAGUUUCUCAAAGAUAGGAUAGCUAUGCUCUGGCUCUUAUGCAAAUUGGAAAUCUAAGGAUAGGCUCCUCGCGUUGGGGUUGCAACUAUGGUGAUGCUUGCUUCCCGAACCGGUAUGGAUUUAGCAAAUCAAGUUUUAAUCCUUUAAAAUGGCAAAACAGAUGGUAGUGAAUUUCAUCAAUGGUUAUUCACCUUAGACUUCCUUUGAAUGGCUCGUAAGAGAUAANNNNNNNNNNNNNNNNNNNNNNNNNNNNNNNNNNNNNNNNNNNNNNNNNNNNNNNNNNNNNNNNNNNNNNNNNNNNNNNNNNNNNNNNNNNNNNNNNNNNNNNNNNNNNNNNNNNNNNNNNNNNNNNNNNNNNNNNNNNNNNNNNNNNNNNNNNNNNNNNNNNNNNNNNNNNNNNNNNNNNNNNNNNNNNNNNNNNNNNNNNNNNNNNNNNNNNNNNNNNNNNNNNNNNNNNNNNNNNNNNNNNNNNNNNNNNNNNNNNNNNNNNNNNNNNNNNNNNNNNNNNNNNNNNNNNNNNNNNNNNNNNNNNNNNNNNNNNNNNNNNNNNNNNNNNNNNNNNNNNNNNNNNNNNNNNNNNNNNNNNNNNNNNNNNNNNNNNNNNNNNNNNNNNNNNNNNNNNNNNNNNNNNNNNNNNNNNNNNNNNNNNNNNNNNNNNNNNNNNNNNNNNNNNNNNNNNNNNNNNNNNNNNNNNNNNNNNNNNNNNNNNNNNNNNNNNNNNNNNNNNNNNNNNNNNNNNNNNNNNNNNNNNNNNNNNNNNNNNNNNNNNNNNNNNNNNNNNNNNNNNNNNNNNNNNNNNNNNNNNNNNNNNNNNNNNNNNNNNNNNNNNNNNNNNNNNNNNNNNNNNNNNNNNNNNNNNNNNNNNNNNNNNNNNNNNNNNNNNNNNNNNNNNNNNNNNNNNNNNNNNNNNNNNNNNNNNNNNNNNNNNNNNNNNNNNNNNNNNNNNNNNNNNNNNNNNNNNNNNNNNNNNNNNNNNNNNNNNNNNNNNNNNNNNNNNNNNNNNNNNNNNNNNNNNNNNNNNNNNCCCAAAUAGCUCCUCCCAUCAAAUUGGCAAGCUAGAAAUGGUUCAUAAGUUGAUAAAAAACAUGUAAACUUGCCACAAAAUGGUUAAAACCAAUUACUAAGGACCUUAGUGAAUUAAUUGGGUUAAAUGAAUAUGAUUACUACUCAAAGGUGCUUAAAACCAUUAUUAUUAGGUCUACAAAAUAGCACUUUUUGGUAGUAAUCACACCCCCCAACCGACUCAUUGCUAGUCCCUUAGCAAUGGAGGAGAUAAAAACUAAGUAAACUAUAAUAAUAUACAUAAAAGGGAUCAUGCAAAUCACUCCAAAAAAUGACAUGAGUGGCAUGAUGGACAUCCAUGGAUCAAUAAAGAUGUGAAACUCAACCUAUAAUAAGAGUUGUCAAAGCAUUCACUUGAUCAUAGAGUACAAAGAAUGGAUAUUAUGCAAGUUUAAGCAUCAAAAGAAUUUCCACUCUCAAAAGAUCCAAAUCAAAUUCUUCCACUAAAAGCAAAGUGUUAAUGUGAUUAGCUUCCGAGUAUAGUAUGGAUAACUAUCAUCUCCCCCCAACCUAAGUCUUUCUUUAAGCUUAGCAAAAUUAACCAUCUCUUGAUAGACUAGGAACGCACCUCUUAUUCACAAUUUUUUUUUCACUUACUAAACUUAACCAAUUCACCCAUGUAACAAGCAAAGGAUCGAUGACUCCCAACCAAUAAAGGCUUAGGGCACCAGGCUUUAAAGGCUUUUGCCACCCCUUCGGACCAUGCUCAGGUUUCAAGGCAAGCAAAGAAGUUUAUUCUAUUCUUUUUUUUUUCUUUUUCUUUUUCUUUUUCUUUUUCUUUUUUUCUAUUUUUUUCAAAGACUCAUUGGUCUUUAUGAGGUGUCCCAACACUAUUAAAGAGAGGUUAAAGGUGUCAAAUUAUGAUUUCUCAAGCUUAGAGGGUGAGAUAGUUUCACAUUUUAUAACCGGAAUCUAAUGUAUGUGUGUGCGAAUAGCUUAAGGUGGAAGAGAUAAGUUUGCAUGAAAUGGGAGUUUCAACCAUUCAUCAACUUUUAGAAGAGCAUAAUACAAACUCUAAGACUCAUGUAAUCAAGUUGAAACUCGACUUCUCUCAUUUAAUUUUGAGAGUUAAUCCUUAAUAUCCAUGGAGUUUAAAGCAAAAAUUUUAAAAUUUAAACAAAAAGUAGCUAAUUUAACUAAGUAUGAUAAAAAUUUAAACUAAUACUUACUUCCUCAUCUCUCCCCCCAACCGAGAUGAACAUUGUCCUCAAUGUUUGAAUCGAAAAUAAGGAGGAAGGAAGUGGUACCUCAUGUGAUGUGGACUUGGAGUUGAGAAGAUUGAACCACCUGUUUCAAAAUUCAAAAAUUGAAUGAGAGAGGAAUUUAUACUAAAUAUUUACAAAAAUGAUGAGUGGGCCCCACUUUGAGCAGCUGAGGACAAGGCUCAAAGGGUCCAUGCCAUGAUGGUAUACUCAUAUAAGUUGUAAUGACAUUUGAAUGUAGCUUGCAGGGGUGUUAAAAUUGGAGAUUUUUGGCUAAAACAGGGGAAAACAAAGGAGGAGUGAACAGUGAGUGCCAAAAUUGGCACAGUCACUGUUCACCUCUUUUGAAGCCCGACUGUGUGUUUUCCAAGUUUUGGGAAAAAAUUCAAAAAUGGUUUUUUAAAAGGUAUGGUUAGGCUUUAAACAAGAUUCCUAAGGUGUUUGGGUAGUUUUUAAAUGAUAAAAAACAAAAUUAAAUGAUGGAAAAUGAAAAUCAAAGUGGACGGCCAUGCAUGGAAUGGUUUUGAAAUUCGAUUUUUAAAAAGUUUUGGAUGGAUGGGAUUUGAAAAAUUGGGUUUGGAUUUGAAAACAAAAGGUUUGGAAAUGCAUUCAUGAAUUUUUAAACUUGGAAAAACAUGGAAUUCAAGAAAAAGGCCUUCCCGAGAGCUUUGUUUUUAGAAAUUAGCUUGAAAAUCAUUUCGCACCAAGAUAAACAAGGUGCGAAAGUUUUCGCACUGGUAAUUGAGGUGCGAAGAUAGCAUCCCGGGAGGCUUGGCUUUCCAAAAUGUAUAGAAAUUCCUUUUCGCACCAUGCACUGUCACUGUGCGAAAAAUUCGCACUGAGUGUGUUCAUGGUGCGAAAUUCCACUGAGAGCUUUGCUUAUGCAUUUUGGCUCCCUUGUUUCCUCUGUUUCACCUCCAUUUCGAUUUUUGCAAGCAUCGUACCUGCAUGAACACUUCAAAACUCAUCUUAAAAACAUAUUAAAACUAAAUUAAAGCUAAAAAUUCAAACUAAAACAUGCAUAAAUUUAAAGAAAGCAUAGAAUUUAAAUGAAGCUGAUAGCAUGUACCCCAAAAAGAAGAUGAACUAUUUAGCUCAUCCUCACUCACACACCCACUUCAUACUGAAUUCCCCCUGGAUCCCAAACAAAAUUGGCAUCCUUCCCAUUUGGUCCAAGGGAAUUCAUUUCUCUUCUCUUCCCUAGAGAAGUGGAUGCUUUAAAGGGUUCAAGUAACCCUUUAUCAUCUUGAACCUUAUGAUUUUCAAUGGAAGGUUGGUCCAUAAAGUUGUCAUAGCAAUCCUCCACCAAAGUGUCGAUCAUCAACACUUUCCUUGAUCUUUUUGCAUUGGUUCCUUGAAGGUUAUGGUGGGGUUGAGGAGGAAGCUUCCUUUUCCCCCUUGCUAUGUCGAGAUUGGUGAGCUUCUCAAUGGAGUCUUGAAUUUUUUCUAUCCUUAGUGAUAGAUCAUUAUAAACCCCCUCCAUUCUUAUAUUUAUUGAACUCUCCAAAUUAUCAAUCUUUUCAUUAAGAUGAGAGUUGAUCUUUUGUUGCUCACCUACAAAGUCCUCCAUGACUUUGCUUAUCUUCAAAAUGGCUUGCUCCAAUGAAGAUGUACUCAUUGAUGGUUGAGGUUGAGGUUGGGUUGCAAGGUUGGGAUGGUUUAUAUACUCAAAUGAAGUUGGCAUGGCUUGUGGUUGUGCUUCAGUAUGCACAUUCCUCAAUUCAAACUCCUCUAUCCUUCUAGCCAUAGAUGCUAGCUUUGCCUUCAUGCUCAUGUCUUCAUUCAAGACAUACUUACUACCCCAUUGGCUUUGUUGAACUUGCCUUUUCCCUAACUCAAUCCGAUCCCUCAUGGAUAAGUAUGCAAAUUUGUCCUUCUUAUGAUCAUAAUGAGAGCUUUGAUCUUCAUGUGGAAUUUCCAUUUCUAAAAAAAAUGAUAUUCAACUAAGGCUCUUUUUUUUUCAACUUGUACCAGGGUUCCCUCUUGGUCUCGAAUCCAACAAGGAAUGCACAAAUUGAAAUUAAAACAAAAAUAAAAGAAAAGAGAAUAAAAAAAAUUUAACUAAAUAAAAACUAAACUAAAAAAAAUUAUAAGAAAACUCACCAAACUUGUGAUGAAGAUCACAAGUUAUCCUUAAUGGUUGCUUCACUGUGCUUGUGGCACCUUCCCCGGCAACGGCGCCAUUUGAUGCGACUCAUGGUAGCUUAGCUUUAAAGGCGUAUCAACAAAAUUUAUACCUUAAAUACUAUUACUAAAGUAGCCAAGCUACUAUAGCAUAGUGGUUCUAGGAUCGUUCACUGGGAAGGGUUUUCGCAAACACAAGUGAUAUUCAAAUUAGGAAAAUAGGUGAUUUUCUUAUGGAUGUUAGCUUUAAAAGAAGAUGAAAAUGUUUUAGAAAGAUUUAAACUAAUCUAAGCUAACAUUAAAGACUAAAAUAAAAGGGUGUAAAAGCAAGUUUCUCAAAGAUAGGAUAGCUAUGCUCUGGCUCUUAUGCAAAUUGGAAAUCUAAGGAUAGGCUCCUCGCGUUGGGGUUGCAACUAUGGUGAUGCUUGCUUCCCGAACCGGUAUGGAUUUAGCAAAUCAAGUUUUAAUCCUUUAAAAUGGCAAAACAGAUGGUAGUGAAUUUCAUCAAUGGUUAUUCACCUUAGACUUCCUUUGAAUGGCUCGUAAGAGAUAACUAAUGGUCUAAAGCCAAAAGCUUACCAAAUAUUGGCAACUCAAAGUCAUUCCAGGUGAUAAACUCACCUUUCAAUGGCCAUUGAAAUUGGUUCUAACGGAUUAAUGCAAAACUUGGAAUUGAAAACCUCACCUUCCAAUAGCUCGUAGGAGAUAACUAAUGGAUAGAAAUCCAAAAGCUUAUCAAGUAUUGGCCGUUGGAAGUUGUCCAAAGGAAAUAAAAACCAAACUUUGCAUUAAUGAACCAUUAAUGAAAAACGACUACCUUACCUUCCAGGUGCGAGAAAUUUCCAUGGGAUUGCAUCCAAGCCAUCACAUAACAUCCAUACUUUGAGAAACUAAAAGUUUUAGCCAAUCAUCCUCUGAGGAAAAGCCCUCAGAGGUUGUUUGGCUACUAAGAAAAUAGAAAUGGAGAAGAACGGGAGAAGAGAGAAAAACAAAGCUUUAUAUAUCUCUAAGUUAAUGUACAGAGGAUCGAUCCCCAAAACAUCCCCCUUUUUUCAUCCCCCUUUUGGAGGUGUUGUGCACCUCUAUAUAUAGCAAAAUUACAAGAUAAAGCUUUAUGUCGGCUGAAUACAAGGUUACAAAAGGAAUUUACAUGAGAAAAUAUCAAGCUAAAAAUAUUUGGGAAGUCGGUGGUGCGUGCGUGGAGAAACAGAGGAUUCAAAGGAAUUUCGCAAUGUAAAAGGCACAUUGCGAAAUUUUCGCAAGGUGAAUUACUCAUGAUGCGAAGUGCCAUAUUUUCGCAUCAUGAGUUAAUUCACCUUGCGAAAUUUUCGCAAUGUGAAAUUCACAUUGCGAAAUGGCAAAAUUUCGCACCAUGAAGAAAAUCACAUUGCGAAAUUUUCGCAAUGUGAAAUUCACCUUGCGAAAUUGGUCAUUUGGCAUGAUGCAGUUGCCUUCCGAAGGCCAUAUCUUCCUCAUUUCAGCUCCAAAUCAUACACGGUUUGAAGCGUUGGAUUCUUGACUUCCUAAGCUUUCAAAUGGUAUAUAGCAUGUAGAAAAUGGACUUCGGGAAGUGCUCCAAAAGUGCGAAAUAAGACUGCAGCUGUUUUCUUCACUCUGUUUUCCUCUUCUCCAUUGCUUGUGCUCGUGUUUCCACUUGAAAUUCAAGCCUGUAAUCAUCCAAAAUCCUUGCUUAACUCGCCCAAAUAGCUCCUCCAUCAAUUGGCAUGCUUGAAUUGGUUCAUAAGCUGAUAAAAACAUGUAAACUUGCCACAAAAUGGUUAAAACCAAUUACUAAGGACCUUAGUGAAUUAAUUGGGUUAAAUGAAUAUGAUUACUACUCAAAGGUGCUUAAAACCAUUAUUAUUAGGUCUACAAAAUAGCACUUUUUGGUAGUAAUCACACACCUUAACCCCAAAGGCUCAAAGUGGAAAUGACACAAACAUUCGUAUUGUAAUUAGAAAUUUACCAAUUACCAAAUUCCUAUUCAGAGUAGUAGAACAAAAAUUCUAAAAUCUCGAGAUAAUACUUUUUGAAACUAACACAUCAAACCAAGUGUUAUUGUCCAAAUAACUCCAAACUCAAAUAAUUCUAAUGGAAAGUAAAUUUUAACAUCUAAACAAUGCUCAAAAUAAAGAGAGUUUUGACAAAUGUCCUAACAAGCUAAUUUUCCCUCCUAACCAUCACUCCUCUCCCGAACUAAGGGUACCUGGAAAAUUAUCAACAAAGGGGGAUGAACUCAAAGCCCAAUAUGGAAUAUUAACACGGUUUCAUGAAUCAAAUAUUUUCAAUUACACUUACAAAUAGGAGAUAUAACAUAUAAUCUAUUUAUAAAACUUUUGUAAUAAACAUGCUAAAACAUUUAAACUGUUCAACAAACAUUUUCAUAUAUAUAUAUAAAUCAUUUCAUAUCCAUUUCAAAUCAAAUACAUUUCAAUUGCUUUUACUCUGGUUAUCAAAUAACAAAUAGUGCCCAUUUAAGUGGGACUUUACAAAUAGGUGGCUAACCUCAAAUGUUCCUUUCUAAGGUGGACGGAACCAAACACUACUAGUACUAAUAACCUCUAACCAAACCCCUAGAGGCUGGGAUCCAAAUCAAUUACAUUCCCCACCACAAAAAUGUAAAGGUCAACUAUUAUAUCCCGUUGACAAGGGCCAAACAAAUCAGAGUCAAAUUCUUUAUUUUAUUUAUUCCAAUAUACUAAUGCAGAAAAUCUCCAAGUGUUUCGAUGUAAACAAAAUAAAUUUUAUAAUACAUUUUUCCAUACAAAAAUAUAUUUGAUCCAUACUUAAAAGCAAAAAUAACAAUUACACAUUUCAAACAACAUAUAUAAAAAAAUUAUUUUUUUUGCAAAAUUUGUAUUAAUUUCCCUUACCUCAAAAUAAGUUCUAAAAAACUUUGGAGAAAAAUAAUUCUGGAAAAUCUACUCUUUACCUAACAAAGCAUAAGAGAAAUAACCAUUACUAUUUAUCUAAAAUUAUAGGUUUGACAAUCCUGAAAUUUUAGGUAUUCAAAUUAAUGUUUAUAAUUAUGAAAGAUAAUUUAAUCUAUUUAGAAAAAUUAAUAAAUUCCUAAUUCAUAUCAAACUUAAAUUUUACUUUCAAUUUAUUUCUUGGGACACAACAUAAUUUAAUUAAACUACAAUUUAUUUCACUAAUUAAAUUUUAUGCUAUAAAUUUAACUAAUUUGUACUUGACCUCGUUUCUUUAUACAUAGUUUAUUCUACCACUUUCAUCAUUCUUCUAUCUUCCCACAUGCAUGCAUUUUUUUAUUUUUUUUUGGCCACUGUUUAGUAUUAUUAUACACUUUUAGAAAUCACCCAAUACAUUGAAAUCUUAUAAUUUUUUUUAAAUAUUUUCCAAUCCCUUAAGUCUCAUAUAAUCAUAUAUUUAUUUACUCAUUUAAUUUUUCAAAUUUCAUUGCUUAGAUCUACUCAUCUAAGAAAAUUUGAAUUUCCCUAUUUUCAUCAAUGGAACAACCUUUAUUCAUAAUUUCAAUAUUUUGAUCUAAAAGUUUUAAAUAGAUUAACCCUAGCCUAAAUCGAAAUCUUCCAAAGAAUUUUUUUUUUUUUCAUCUAAAAACUUAAGAUUUACCAAUUUUCAACAAUAAAUCAUCCCAUAAUCUUAAAUAUCCAAUAUUUUAAUAUUAAAACAAAUUAAAAAUAUAUAUUAACCCUAAUCUAAAUUAAAAAAAAAAAUCAAAGAAUAUCUAGCGUGUUCAGAACUAACUAACGAAUAUAAUAUAUUAAUUUAGAGUUAGAAUCUUACCUAGAAAAAUCUGAACUUCAAACUUUGAACCUUUAAACCUUUAGCCCUAUGAUCUCCAAUUCUCUAAUUUUGGUUGAUAGGGUUUUCUGAAUAAAUAAUACAAGAGGAAAAUCUAAUUUAUACCUAAGAUUAUCAAUUGUAAAAGGACUCUUUCACCUUUAAUGAGUUUAAUUAAUUAAUUAAUUAAUUACUUUUUAAUUUACUAUUUUGCCCCUAGAGUUAAUUUUGGGGUGUUACAAUUUUUUUCUAUUUUCCCAAUUUUUUUUUCAAAAAUGUGUACUGAGCAUGUAAGUGACUUCAAGGUCAUUCGGAUUAAUUGAGUUAAGGUAUUAGGCUUCAAGGUCAUUCGGAUGACAUUUUCUCUAUUUACACUUCGGCUAUGUUUGGUUCCCGGAAAAUUUGAGGGAAAAUGCGAGGGAAAGAAAAUACAAAGGAAAAGUAGAAGGAAAGAAAAAGUGAAGAAAAAUAAAAAAAUAGAUUAAAAGUUGAAAAAUUAUUUUUUUGUUAUUUCAAACUCAUUUUAUUUAUUUUAACUCAUCAAUAUAAAGAUUAAAUAAUUUAAAAAUACAUAAGUUUUUAAUUAGUUUUAAUUAUAUUUGAUUUUCUUUGAUAUUUUUCAUAGGACAACCAAACAUGAGAAAAUCAUUUUCCUUAGCAUUUUUUUUCUUUCCUUCGUACUUUCCGGGAACCAAACAUAGCCUUCAUGUUAGCAAGGCUUCAAGGCUUCUGAUCACUAUGAAGUUUGAUUCUACCCUCAUUAUCUUACUAUGAAGUGACAAGAAGUAGAUUUUUUGUAUCCUCGUUCAACAAUAUCUUCACACUAUGAAGCUCUCACCACUUGGAUUCCUCCAUUGAGGACGAUCAGUAGUAAACUUCGGUAAUCUCUCUAUUUAUUAUAAAUUUGUUAUUUUUUAUGAAAACUUUAGGGUUAUGGUUUAGAUAUAUUCCAAAUCCAUGUUAGCAAGGGUUAAAUAUUUUUAUGGCUUUAAUUGUUUUUUUAAACACGAGGAAGAACCUAUGUUAAAGAAAAAAUAAAAAUCCAUCCUUACUUUUCAGUUCCCUUUGUACUAAAAACAGAGGUGGAUUUUAAGGUUGAUGCAUUAGCAUCUCAAAUGCAGAAAAUUCUAGUGCUUUUUUCCCGUGUUUGGUCACUGGCAAAAUAUAGGAAAUGGAAAUAAAAGGUGGAAAAGGAAAUAAUAUUGAAUAAAGAGAAAUGGUUUAGGUUUAAGAUUCUUUUAUCAGCCUCUAUUGGGUCUCUCAGAGAAGGUGGGAAAGAGAAGUGAAUAUAACUUAAGUUUUCUUUUGUUUUUGUUUUCUUUCUUUCUUUAUUUUUUUAUUUUGUUUAGUUAGAAAAAAUGGUGUUAACAGUUGACUUUAUUAAAGAAAAUGUAAGGUCUCAACAAUGCUAUAAAGCAAGCUUUUGGGAAAAAAGAACCUUGAAGUUUAUUGUUUUUUUCUUUAUUAUAUUUGUUUUUAGAAACUGACAUCAAAUGAAAAUGCAAGGUGUAAUAUGUUGAUUCUAAGAUUAAAUUUUUUUUGUUAGCCUUUGUUUGGUUGCUGAGAAAAUGUAGGAAAAAAGAAUGGACACUAGUUGAUAAGGUCUAAAAGUUCUUAAUCAAAUUGUAUCAUUAGUUCUAUAAGCACUACCAUCAUAUUGAAAUUAGUUUGAACCAUGAGUUUAAUUUUUUUUUUUCUAUUUUUGGUGAAUUCAAGUUAGCUUAGGGAUAAAUAAUAUUACCUUCUGAAAUGACUUUCAUGUGGUGCUAUAUAAGUUCCGACAAUUACGCAUAAGUUCAUUAAUUGAUAUAUGAAAUCUAGUUUUAGUUUGAUGGUUCUAUUAUAUAGUUUUGCCUACCAUGGUAAAAGAGCCCAGGGAUUUUACUUUGAUGUCAUGUUUUAAGGGAUUCUAGUCAUAGAAUUAGGCUUAGUUAGAGUUUAAAAUAUGGACUGCAUUUGUAGUGACAUGAAUAAUUAUGAUUUGUAAGUCUAAUUAUUGUUGCCCAUGAUUGGUUUAUGAUUUUUGUUCAUCCUUGUUCACCUGAACUAACCUCCAUAUAAUAUAGUAAAUAUAGCAUAGGGAUGCCAAUUUAUUUGGAGAGAAGGUUUUAAAGUUGUUAUGAAUAGUUGUCUAAAGCAACAUGCAAAUAGAGAGAAUUUGUGUUUUUAGUUAUUUUUCACAUAACAAUUGAAGAGCUUGUACCUUCCAUGAUUUUAUUUUUCAAAACAUACUGCUUCCCAUGAGUUCCUUCAAUUGCUUUUUACUCUUGUGGGAGAUUAUUAUGAGAAUUUACCUUUUUUAUGCAGGCUUAAACUAAAAACAUGGAGUUAAAACUCAUUGAAGCCAUGAAUUCUGAAGAGACCUGGUUGAUGGUUGGUUCAAAAUUUGAGCCUAGGGUUCUAUUAACUCUCAAAUCAAUUGGGGAUACCUUCUUUUCUUUAGCAAUUACCAAGGGACUUGAACUCUUAAAAUAGGAUAUACUUAUUAAGGUAUGGUAUUCUUUACAAUUUUAUGUGUUGAGAUAUUAUUGAUCAAAGGGUUUUGUAAUAAUUAUCAAGGGUUAUUGUUGCAUGCCUGAUACAAAUUUUUGUCCUAUUUAGUCUGAAAGUGUAGAAUCAUUUUUUUUUUUAAUUUUCUUUAUUUUUUUAUUAAAUCUUGAACAUCUCAUGUUUCUAGUGUUGAGAUCUUCUAGGAAGUAAGGAAGAGCUUAUGAGAUGGCUAUUAUGAACCACACUGAAACUUUUGCAUGCGUAAUAUCAUUUUUUUAAAAUCUUCCUUCUCAAUCCCUUACAAGAACCAAAUGGAUUUCUCUUUAUUAUUUUCAUUUUCAAACCAGACUAUAGUAAAAAACAAAGUGUUGUUCUUGUAAAGGGUAGAUAAUAAAAAAUAAAUAAAAAUAAAAGUUGCCCUAGAAAUUAACAGAGAAAGCAGCUUUAGUUGGUUAGGGCACUUUAGUUUCAUCAAAAUCUAAAUUCUCAAUUAGCCUAUCUCAAACCUAUGUGGUAUAUUUAACUUGUGAAUUGAUUCCUUAUCUCUGAUCUAUUACUAGUUGGCAAUUGAUCUCUAUGGCAGGUGGUUAUGCACGAGUGCUCAUUGCUUAGCCUCUAUUGCCUUUUUAUCUAGGAUCUUUCCAUUAACACAUAAUUUUCUAUAAUAACUUUUUUGUGUUGAGUCAUUUGGCUUGUACUUCAGAUUUUGGCAAUCCGUUGUGAUAUGCUCUCUCUUUUAUAGGGCCUCAUGGUAAAGUUAGCUAUGUUAUGCUCUCCAUUUUGAUUACUUCUAUUAGGUUCUGUAAUAUAAAUCAUUCAACAAGAAGUUAGGAGUGAUAGUCUCACUCCUCUUAUCCCUGAAAACCUAGUGUUGUUGAUUUUUUAUUUUUUAUUUUUUGAUAAAGGGUAAACAUUAUAAAUGAACAAGGAAGCUUUAUAAAAAAAGGGAUAUAUACUAAAUCUGCAAUGCCUAACAGUCUCGAUAAUUUUCUUGAUGUAAAGUUUAAAGGAAAAUAUAAAUGAAAUUAUGUGAUCAUCAAGACCCAAUGCUUUGAAUUCACAUAUUGGUAAUCAAAAUACAAAUAACAUUAGAUAUAGUCUACAAGCCAGUAGAGCAAAGACCACCAUAAACACUGUUCAUAGAUCCUAAUUGUGAUAUCAACUUUGAUAUUAUUAUUUUAUUUAAUUGUUUUUCAUGUUCAUAUUAAUGUGUUUAAUAGCCUUAAAAACAAACUAGGGUACCAUACGAAGUAUUUUCAUUGGUAAUUUGCUUUCAAACUUCUUGAAACAUUGUUGAAUACAACACAUUUCACUUUGAUGACUAUUGAGACAUAGUUUGAUAAAGGCAAGGCUAUAGAAACAAAGAACAUAAACAAUUGAGGACUUUGAGUAAUGAUGAUUAAUUGCAUUACUCUUCUUAUUUCAUUAAUGAAAUUUUUUUAGGGUUUAGGGCUUUAAGUUUUUCUUUAUAAUUUAAUUUUAUCCUAAAAAUGUCAACUUCUUUUUCUCUCUUCCAAUCCUUAUUCUAGAUUUCAAACAUAUGUAGAAACAAUUUUUCUUUUUAUUUAGCAUCCAUCAAAAAAAUAAUGGAAUUGAAAAACUUUGUGUAUAUCAUAUAUUUUUGCUAAACCACAUUAGACUACGACAUAGAUUGAUAGAUUUGGUGUAAAUUUUGGUAUCAUGUUACUAGUAUUCUUUCAUAAUGAUUGCUUGAGACUUAGUAAAUGAUAAGUUAUGAUAAUGGUUUUUUGAACUCCUUUAAUGGGUAUAGCAUUAUAUUCAUCUAAUUGUUAACACAAUGAAAUUGCAGGCAAGUAUGUAGUUGUGCUCUAGUGGAAGCUUUUUAUUUGAUUCUUGCCCCAGCUAUGACCACAAAUCAGAAGAUCCAAUUGAGAAGUGAUAAUGGAUUUUUCAUGAGUUUGUUUGAUUCAAAGUAGUUUAGCAUUCUGUAACAUGUGUUAACACAUGUGGAAUGUUAGCAUGUUAAAUGCUAGACAUUUUAGUAACCUAUGAAUUGAAUGUUAUAUAUGAUGAAAAAGCAAGUGUGAAACACUUAAAGGAGUAUUUAGUAUGAAUAUGGUUAUUCUUUUGACAGUCAUCUCAAAACAACAAAUCAUUAUAUCAUUUUGGUUUACUUGUAUUUUUUAAUCGGUGAAGGUGAAAUCAAAUAACUCAAUAUAUAGAAAUUGUAAGGUGCAUUUCAUUCACUUCUAAGAUGAGAUUAAUAGGUAAUGUUAUUUUCAUAACAAAAGAAGGGUUUAUAAUUACAACUCAAUUUAUAUAGCAAAUACUAAAAUAGAAAAUGAAAUAAAAGAAAAAGUAUAUAGGAUAAGAGUGAUUUGAAAAAAUAGUUGAAGAAAAUAGAUAACGAUCUUAUACAAAAAUACUAUAUUGAUUGAUGCAUUGUUAGGUAAUAAGUUACUACAUAUGUAUAAUUUUAUAUUUUAUAAUCCAUAUAUUUCUCCAAAUAUGAAUUAUUAUUAUUAUUAUUAUUAUUAUUAUUAAUUAUCAUUAUUUUAUAAUUAUGUUUUCAUUUGAGUCAAAAAUGUGAUCCUUAAAUACUUGGAUCCAAUGACUAUUUAUAUACAUAUCACAUUUUUUAUAUACUUUUGUAUUCAACACAUAUGUUGAUUUAAUAACUUAUUUUGGUAUAAUAUCUUCAUAAAAUUUAACUUCAUAAUAUUUUUUUUAGAUAAUAUAACAUUAAUUUAAAAAAUAUUUAAUGUAAUUAAAUGUUAAGAUUAUAGAGCAAUGCCUAACUAGUCAUACACAAAAUCAAUGGUGCAAAUUUUUUUACACUCAACCAUGCUCACAUUUGUAAGACUAUAAUCCAUGCAAAAGGAUCCUGUAAAUCAAAAUCUAGUAUAAUCAUUCAACCUCUCAUAAAAUCCAACCACUCAAGGUUACAUAUAUGAUUCAAAUCAAUAUAUUAUUAUAAGAAAUACAAAUUUAUAUUUGAAUAAUAUAUGGAUUGAAGAAUCUAAAAAUAAAUAUAUUUGAAUAUUAUAUAACAUCAUCUAAUCUAAAUUAACUAUAUAAUACAAAAAAAAAAAUUAAUCAUAAUAUUAAGAGACAAAAAUGUUAUGUUGUUGGAAACUAAACAUGAGUGACAAACAAAUUGUCUCUAAAUUUCUAUAAUAUUUUUUAAUAACAAAAAAUUCAAUAACAUAUUUCAUCACUAAAAUGUAUAUUCUAAAACAAAAAUUUUGUCACUAAAUGUCAAAUGUUGUCACAAAUUAUUUUAUGAAUAACUUAGUUGCACAAAUUUCUUCCCGAAAAUAUGUUUGGCGACAAAAGUUACAUUUUUGUCUCUAAAACUACUACAUGCAACAAAUAUUGUGAUGAUUUCUAAAUAUAGAAAUAUUUAGUGACAAUUUUUUUUUUCUAUAGUAAAAAUUUGUCACUAAUUAUCCUUUUUCUUGUAGUGAAUUGGUAGAAUGAAGGACAAGGGAAUUCUAAAUCAGGCCUAAAAGGAGGAAGAGGUAAUAGUUUAACUCAAAAAAAUAAUAAAUCUCAUAUUCAGUGUUAUAUCCGUAAAAAAUAUGAUCAUUACAAGUCAAGAAUGUAGGGUUAGGAGACAUAAUAAGAGGAGCUUUCAAGCCAAUGCUAUAGAAGGUAGUGGUGAAAAUUCAAAAUCCUUGCUAUUAGCCAAUGAUACUUGAAAGGAUGAAAACAAAAGUUCAUGGUUUCAAAUAUAAGAUGUAGUAAUCAUAUGUGUAGUAGGAAAGAGAUGUUUCAAUAGUACCAAUUAAGGGUAGAGUUAAGAUUUCUAUUAAAUUGAAGAAUGGAUUUCAAAAUUUUAUCUCUAAUGUGUUAUAUGUUCCAAGUCUUCAUCAAAAUCUAUUAAGUAUGCUACAACUUUCAGAAAAGGGGUAUGAUAUGUAGAUCUAUAGGGCAUCUAUACCAUCAAUGAUUAUUAGAAAGGACUAAUCGCAAAGGUGAAUAUGACACAAAAUCAUUUAUUUCCGUUAAAUAUUAAUUGUGAAAAUUUACUUGCUUUAGUUUUAUAAUUGAUGAUAAAAAUUGGUUAUGACACUCACGUUUUAAACAUUUAAAUUUUGAAAGUCUAAAAUUACUUGUUGCUAAGAAGAUAGAUUUUUGGUUACCUUUUAUUGAUUCACCAAAUGAAAUUUGUGAAACAUGUGUUUUGGGAAAGAAAUAUAGAGAUCCUUUUCCUAUAGGAAAAUCACGGAGAGCUAGGAAGCCUCUCGAGUUGAUUCAUCUAAAUCUAUUGUCCAGCUGAGGUUCCCUCAAAUGAAAAUCAUAGAUAUUUUAUAACAUUUAUUGAUGAUUUUAGUUAGAAGGCUUAGGUUUAUUUUUUAAAGCAAAAGGGAGGUGCAUGUGAAAAUUUAAAAAAAAAAAAAAGCUUAUGUGGAAAAACAAAGUGGGCAUAUCAUUAAAAUUUUGAGAACAAAUAGAGGUAUUAAAUAUAUUAUUUGUGAUUUUAAAAAAAAAAAAUGGUAUUGAGCAUUAAUUGAUUGCAAGGCACAUUCCACAACAAAACGAAAUUACAGAGAGAAAAAAUAAAACAAUUAUAAGUAAGAUGAGGUGUAUGUUGCACUUAAAACAAUUGCCUAAAAUAUUUUGGGCUGAAACAGUCUCGUAUAUAAUCUAUUUAUUGAAUAGGUGUUCCACUAAAAGUGUUUAUGAAAAAAGCCCAUAAGAAGUUCGGAGUCAUAAAAAACCUAACAUUGGUCGUCUAAGGGUGUUUGGUUGUAUAGCAUAUGCUCAUGUUCCUAAUGCAUUACGAAAAAAAAACUUGAUAAUAAAGGUGAAAAGUGCAUUUUUAUUUGUUAUAGCCAAGUGAUAAUAGACUAUAAAUUUUCAAUCCACAAACCAAAAUUUCAUUGUCAAUUAUGAUGUGGUUUUUUAUGAGCAAGUAGUAUAGGAUUGGUCCUCUAAUGGAAAAAGACUAUCAAGUGUUCAAAUUCAUCUUGAAGAGUAAAGUGAAGAUCAAAGAAUGCAACCUACUAGUGCACCAAUUAUGACCAUGUCUUGUAAAGUCAUUAAGGCAUCCACAACGUCAACACACUUUACCUGCUUGCUUACAUGCUUAUGUGGUUGGUGAUGGCAGCGACCCAACAUGUGAGGAACUAACGAAUUUUCCUUUAUUUACAUAUUGUUAUUCAUUAAGUUGUGAGGAAGCUACUCAAGAUGAUUGUUGGCUUAAAGUUAUGGAUGCAGAAAGUCAUGCAAUUAAGAAAAAUAAUACAUGUGAGCUUACUAAUUUCCCUAAUUCUAAGAAGCCAAUUGAUAUCAAAUAGGUGUAUAAAACCAAGUAUUAGACAAAUGGAGAAGUCAAUCGCUUCAAGGCAAGAUUGGUGGAAAAAGGUUACAAGCAAAAAUAUAUAUUGAUUAUUUUGACGUAUAUGCUCUUGUUGCUAGACUUGACAUUGUUCGCAUGAUUAUCUCUCUUACUACACAAAAUAAUUAGAAACAUUUUCAAAUGGAUGUAAAAUUAAAUUUCUUAAAUGGCGAACUAGAAAAAGAGGUUUAUGUUGAACAACCUCAAGGAUAUAUGAUAAAAGGAAAAGAAGAAAAUGUCUAUAAGUUAAAAAAGAAAAAGCCUUAUAUGGAUUGAAACAUACACUAAGAGCAUGGUACACAUGUAUUGAUACUUAUUUCAAGAAGAAUGGAUUUCAAAGAUGUCCUUAUAAACACACUUUAUAUGUCAAAUCUAAUUUGUAGGGUGACAUUCUUAUUGUGUUUAUGUGUAGAUGAUUUAAUUAUCACUAGUAUUAAUUUGAAGAUGAUUGUGGAAUUCAAAGAGGUGAUGAUUAGUCGGUUUGAGAUGACAGAUUUGGGAUUGAUGUCUUAGUUUAUUGGGAUUGAAGUAAUUCAAAAUAGAUACAAGUAUCUUUAUUUUUUAAAAGUAUGCAAAUGAUAUUCUUAAAAAAUUCAAUGUGGAAUCUUAUAAUCCUAUUCUAACUCCAAUUAAAGAAAGACUGAAACUAGGAAAAAGUAUGGUGAGUUAGUUGAUCCUACUAAUUUUAGAAGAAUGAUUGAAAGUUUUUGGUAUUUGACUUCUAUAAGACCAGAAAUUAUAGUUGGAGUUGGUCUUGUAAGCAAAUUUGUAGUCUCCAUGUCAAUUUCACUUGCAAGUAGCAAACCAUUUCCUACAAUACAUUAAAGGUAUGCAAAGUGAUGGUAUUUUUUAUACAUAUUACAACAAGAUUAAGCCUAUUGGAUACACAGAUAGUGAUUGAGCAGUUGAUAUAGAAAAGCAAAAAAAAGACCUUCGGGCUAUAUAUUUAAUCUUAGCUUAGGAGUUUUGCUAUUUAUUUAUUUAUUUAUUUUUUGUCAUCAAAGAAACAACAAGUAAUUGUUUUGUCAAUAGUAGGAGCAUAGUAUAUUACAACCACUAGUAGUGCUACUCAAGCAAUAUCGUUGCAUCAAAUGCUUUUUGACUUAAAAGCAUACUCAAGAAGUUCCCACAAAGAUUUUUGUGAUAAUAAAUCAACAAUCACAUUGACCAAAAUCCAAUUUUUUAUGGAAUAAGCAAACUUAUUAACAUCAAAGCCUAGUUUCCAUGGCCUACUUACGUAUACUAUUCUGAAUGCCUUGGUUUCAUAUCAGAAAAAUAAUAAUUUCUUUUAAUAUUGUCCUAUCUAUGAUCUUAUCCUCUUGCUUCUAUUUUGCUAUGUUUUUUUUGUUUAAUCUAUGAAAAUCAUCAUAUUUUAUUUGUAUUUGUUACAUGCAUGUCUUCCUAAUCAUUUUCAAUUGAUCACUUUUUUUUUAUAUAUAAUAUAGAAAUAUUUAAUUAAAAGAAAUGAAAUAAUUUGUAAAUUAUGAAUAUAAGUCUUUUCAUGUUUUUUCUUGAAAAGUAAUCCAAUUUUAACAUAAAUGUCCAUGCAUUUAUGAGUUUCGCCUUUACAUGUCUAGUAAUGGAACAAAAUGUGAGCUGUCGGCAGCUCCAUCGAUGGAGACGCCAUGAUACUUUAAAUGCCCAACUUACUGACUCCAUGCAAAUCCAUCUCUUAAACUUAACAACAAUCGUACCGUUAGCUCAGCAAGGAACUUGAGUGUUGCAUUUAUGCAGAAACCGUACACUUAAUUUGCGCUUUGUAUGCUUGUAUUUGAUGUUACAUGUGAGAUCUAGUGACUUACUAGCUGUAAUAUGGAUGCAUAAGCAGGGCUUUAGGACGAUAUCGACCCAUUCUACAAUCUUCCCCUAGGGCCCCGAUUCAUAAUUUUGAGUCGUUACACUUCAUUUCAUAAGUUAUUGGACUUCGAUCAUGAUGCCGCAGACACAAGAAAGCGCUUGGCACAAAUAAUUCAUUUGGUUGAUUAAUACUCACUCUCAAGUGUCAUGAAGAAGUGGCAUAAUCAGGCCUCAGAUUAGGUGAGGGCGAAGGGCAAGGUCAUGUGCCCUUAAGUAAGUGUAUGGCAUAUGCUCUUUGUUAAAGCGACGUGACGGACCAUGUAUAUGCAUCAACGCUCGGUUCACAUUUAUUCACAUUGAGCGUGUGACCGCUUUUCUCAGGCCACCAUAGGCUUUUCUUUGGCCCGCAUUUACUUCACGUAGCACCACAAACAUAAUAGGGCCUACUAAGCUUUCACAUUAAAGCAAGAGCAAAAUUCUUUUACCAUAGAACACUUUUUUUAAUCACAAAUUAAUUUACGGCAAAAUCCCAUAUUCGAGUUCCAAUGAUCUAGUUUUAGGAAUUCCAUGGAUGUGACUUUCUAACUAAGGAAGUUGAAGCUAUGUAUGGGAAUGAUAAUUGACAAAGAGUAAUGCGUACAAUAAAAGUCCACACAAGUGCAAGCUUUAAUCCAUUGUAUCAUUCACCACAUUUUUUUCCUUUUCCUUUUGUUUGUCUUUUUGGGUUACCGAGAAUGCCAUAAUUAGUGGGAAUAAAGGAGAGAAUAUAUGUUUGAAUUUUGUAUUGUCACGAAUGAAUGACUCAAUUCAUUGAAGGAGCUAGCAUCUUUUGGUCAUUCAACCUCUAUAGGUAAUGGUGGAUGUGUGGUAGAGUUGAUAAUUCUAUUUGAUAGGUUUCUGAAUCUAGACGCUUUGUUUGACGUACAAAUUUGGAAUUUGAUUUGACCAAUUUCAUUUAAUUUUUGUAAAAAAUUAAUUAAAAAUUCAUAAUGAUUUAAUGUAGAGGAUGGAAGUCAGCAUGGGAAUAGUGUAGUACCUCAAAAAAGUUAUAUAACUUUUACUUUUGACUUUUCAAGUUUAUACAUUUUGAGGAUCGAAUUAUUCACUUCAAUAUUUAAAAAUCAUUAGCAUGCCAAAAGGCACCAACUUUUACUUUACUUUUUUUUUUUUUUUUUUUUUUUUUUUUAAGUUUAUACAUUUUGAGUAUGGAAUUAUUCACUUCAUUAGUCAAAAAGCUCAUCAUCCAUCAUGAUUUAUUUUAUUUUAUUUUUUAAAUAUUCACUUUUUUGUUUUUUUUUUGUUUUUAUAUGUUGGCUUAAUAAAAAAAUUUAAUUUCAUUUUCUUUUUCAUAAAUUUUCAAAUUUAUAUUUUUUUAAUUAUUUAUGAACAUUUUUAAUAUAAAACAAUAAUAUAUAAUAAAUCAUUAAUGUGAACAAAUUUAAUAUAAAAAUAAAUACAUAAUAAGACAUUUAGAGAUUUUUAAGACAUAAGAUUUUUUAUAUUUCUAAAAAAAUUAUUUAUUUUAUAAAUCUUAUUACAUUGUCAUAUUAUUUUAUUGUUUAUAUUUUUUAAUAUUUUAAAAUUUUCAUAUGAAAAUCAGAAUCGAUGAUUAUAGUUUUAAUUUUUUACUUGUAAAUAUAACUUGAGUAAGGUUUUAACUUUAUAUAUAUAUAUAUAUAUAUUAAAAUGUUUAAUAUUUUUACUUAAAACGGUAAAAGCUUAGUUGUAAUUUUAACUUUUAACAUUUCGUUUUGCUAAAAUUUAAAAUUAUUUAUUUAUAUAAAAUAAAAAUAAAAUAUAUUUUUUAUUAAAAAAUGUAUUUAAUCAUUUAUAUUAUUUUUUAAAUUUUAUUAAAAAAUAAAAUUUUUACAUACUGAAGUUGCACAUCCAUCAACAUAACUUCUGGAAAAGAGAAUAUUACACUUUUUUUUAGGAAAAAAUGUAUUACUUUUUAUAAAAAAAAAAAAAAAGUAACAUUAAAAUAUAUUAAUAGUAUCAUUAUGAUGAAAAUGAUGUACCAAUUUUUUUUUUCAUUGUCUAGAAAAAAAUGAUAUCACUUUUUUAUGAAAGAAAGUAAUAUUGAAAUGUAUUAAAAGUACCACUAUGAGAAUGAUAUAUAAUUUUCUUUGAUUUAUGGUAAGAUAUCUAAAAAUUUAAAUUUUUAAUAAAAUUAAGAGAAAAUUAAUGUAAAUGACUAAAUACAAAUUUUUUAUGAAACAUAUAUUUUAUUUUGUAUUUUAUAUAAUAAAAAAUUAAAAAAUUUAACAAAUAAAAAAUGCUAAAACCACAAUGUGGACCCCGCAUUUUCAUGCUCAUGCGUUCCCCACUCGAUGGCGAGCUCGAUUUAUAUUUUGAAAAAUGAUUUUUAUUGAUUAUUUGAAAAUGACUUGGAGUCGCCACUUAUUUUGUUUUAUUUUUUAAAGGGUAAACAAAAUAAGAAAGAAAAACCUUAAGUGUGACUCCUUAUUUUGGAAAAGGUUGGUCUACGAAAAACCGGAUCAGGUUCGGGGGUCAAGUUACUUAUCGGGAAGGUACGGUAAAGACCGUAGCACCCCUCUAAGUCCCUAAAGUCGGGUCUCUACUAAUAAAAUGAAGCUGAUAUGACAAUUGAUGAGAAAAUCAAUGAAUACCCGGAACUAUCAUGAACAUAUGAGUAUCAGAAUAUACAUAGAGAAUAACCAAAGUGGAAGUGGAUGCGUACCUGAUCAGCAAACGACAACACGCUAUCACAAAUUAGGGUUAGUGCAUAGUAAUGAACAUAAAGUAUAUCACUCAUAUCACCCAACCAGAUAAAGGAGCACCAAUAUCAUGCAUGGUAUUUCAUUCAAUUCCAUUUUUAUUUUAAAGGAAAUUUAUUUGAUGUCGGGCCCCCACCAUAGCCCGUUUAUUUUGCAUGAACUAAUUCCAUAAAUUCCAUCAUUUGGAAUUACAGAAUUUGACUUUUGUUUAUUUCAAAACAAUUUAAAAUGGGAAAUUAUAUGGAAAAUGGGAGUUCUAGGACCUAAAAUUAAAUCUAAGGAUGAAAAUUUGAAAAACAAAAUUGUUUGAAGGAUUUGGAAAUUGGAAAAUUAUUUAAGGAAAUAAGGAUUUAAAAAAUAGUAAUCAUUUGAGAGCUAGGGGUGUGAGAAACCACUUAUGAAAACAGGAUAAUGAUGGAGAAGUGAGAACGUCGGCGAGACAGAAUUCCGGAUGUGAGUUUUGUGGAGAAGGUGGAACGUCGACGAGACAGAAUUCCGGAUGUGAGUUUUGUGGAGAAGGUGGAACGUCGGCGAGACAGAAUUCCGGAUGUGAGAUAUCCGGAGAAGGUUGAACGUCGGUCGGACAGAAUUUCGGAUGUGAGAUAUCUGAAGAAUGUGGAACGUCGGUCGGAUAGAAUUCCGGAUGUGAGAUACCCGGGUGAAAUGUCGGCGGAGAAGAAUUCCGGAUGUGAGAUAUCCAGAUAGAGUGUCGGCGGAGAAGAAUUCCAGAUGUGAGAUAUCCGGGGUGGAAUGUCGGUGGAGAAGAAUUCCGGAUGUGAGAUAUCUAGGGUGGAAUGUCGGCGGAGAAGGAUUCCGGAUGUGAGACAUCCGGAUGGAAUGUUGGCGGAGAAGAAUUCCGGAUGUGAGAUAUCUGGGUGGAAUGUUGGCGGAGAAGGAUUCCGGAUGUGAGACAUCCGGGUGGAAGGUUGGCGGAGAAGAAUUCCGGAUGUGAGACAUCCGGAUAAGGUGGAACGUUGGCUGGAUAGAAUUCCAGAUGUGAGACAUCCGGGUGGUAUGAGCGAUGCCACGCGUCGCCAACUUCAAAAUACCCCACAACACACUAGGAGAUGGAGUAGGACUCUACUGACCUUGUACCCACGUAGAAUCCUUCACUAGAAGCCACAUACCGCAACCAUGCUCAUCAACUCAAACCAUAACUCACCAUGUUCACUAUUCAUUCUGUUAAAACAGAGAAAAAAAGUGAAAAAGAGCAUUUACAAAACAGAGUUCAAAGACAAGAGAAGCAAUGAUUGGAGACCCAUUUCCUUGUUUCGUCCAUGGACUUGCAAGGGGGUGGAGAGAUCCAGGGGUUUACACAAAAACAAGGGAGCAAGCAUUGAGAUAUCUCACGCUGGAGCUAAAGCAGAUCCCAGGUCUUUUCAAGAAGAAAAACAUGAUACAGCAAUUGUUGAUGGCAAAAUUCCCCUGCUGCAAUAGUAAUCACCGACAACGGAAUCUCGAUCAACGCGUUGUAGUAUUCCUCAUUCCUCCUGCAAAAAGGAUGUCCAGAUGUGUUGUCCGGACACACCCUCCGAUGACUAAGUUAGUCUUUUGGAAAUUGUUGGAAAAUAGAGUUUUCCUUUGGGAGUUUUGCUCCGUGAUUUUUGUCAAGGACGUUUAUCAUUUUUCAAGAUGUUUAUCCCUUGUUGCUUAUCUCUCAUGGCUUAGCAGGAUGCUUUCUUGCUUAUUCCUUACCUCUCUGAGAGCCUCCUUAGAGUUUAUAUAUGAGUCAGAAAGUAUGGCCUCGCUGUACUAGCGGGUCCCAUCGUCAUGAUUGCGGCUCAUAAGGCGGCAAAGUAAUCAUGACGUUUCUGGUCCAAGAUGGCGGCUGUCAGGAGGAUAUUUAGGCGGUUCCACCGCCUCAAUUUAUGACUUUAAAAAUAUCGGGGAUGUGUCAGGAGACCUGAGAAGACUUGGGAAUGUCUUGUCGAAUGUAUCUUGCAUUAAAGAUGAGUGACAGCUCAGGAGACUUGGUCGUCAGUAUUGUCAGAGUUAUCUUUUUUAUUGUGGGCGGAAAUGGAUUUGGUGAAUCGCGAGUAUCUGACGAGCCAAGCUAUCCGGGGAAUCUGAAUCGUUGGUCACAGAUGUUAUCCGGAUAAGCGUUAUCGCAUGUUUGCCCGGGGAAGUUGAAACGUCCUCCUCUCCCACCCGGCGACAGGCCCCGGAUGUGAAAUACCCGAAGAAGGUGGAACGCCGGUCAGAUAGAAUUGCGGCUAUGAGACAUCCGGAGAAAGUGGGAUGUCGACCGGGUAGAAUGGCGGCUGUGAGACAUCCGGAUAAAGUGGGAUGUCACCCGGGUAGAAUGGCGGCUGUGAGACAUCCGGAUAAGGUAGAACGUUAGCCGGGGUGGAAUUCCGGAUGUGAGACAUCCGGAGUAAAGUGGCGCCAGCCGGACAGAAUUCCUACCCGGGUGGAAUGAGCUAUGAUUCCACGCGUCGAAAAGGGGGACGUUUGCGUGUCCAAGAGAGACGAAGCUACGUGGCAAUUUUUGGGGAGGAUCCCACAACAAUGACAACAAAACCGUAAUCAUCCUAAAGAUCAGUAAAAGCUAAUCUUAUGGCUUGAGAUUCAUGCAUAAAACAAACAAAGAUAUCCCAUAACAAGAUAGUGAAAAUAAUAAGCAAAAUCCAUACCUGAGAAGCUUAUUUACAAGCAAACCGAAAAAAAGCUGCUCCCAGGAAGUCCUUCGUCUCCUUGUAGCAGGUGUCUUCCCCUUUUCUCGUCUGAGGAUUCCCUCCCCAUUUCCUUCCUCGAGCUUCCUGGAAUCACCUUUCUCUUCUCUCCUUUCUCUUCUUUCUUUCAGCCGGUGCUCUUUUCUUGGGCAAGCCAUUACCUCCCUUUUUGCUGUUCAUCACCUCAGCAACAUGGCCUUCUAACCACUCCCCUUCAGCUGCAUGCCUCAUGCAGAUGGCAUCUUGCUCUCAACUGGGGGUCCCCUACCCUCUCUUGCAACUUAACGGUUUUUAGCUUUUCUGCUGAAUAUAUCUCCACGUGUCAAGCUUCCAUUGGCCAUCAAAACCACUAACUUGAUUCUUUACUAGUCAAUCUGGAAGAGACACGUGGCUCCUUGAGAGCCUUCCACCUGCAAAGAAAAACUUACAGCAAAUGUGAUAAAACAUGAGCCCCUAAAUGGGGUCUACACACAACCAAGUUUUUAUCUUCUUUAAUUAAAAAUAUUAAACAUUUUAACAAAAAAAAUUAAAAUCAUGACUAAUUUACAUAUCUAUAAAUAAAAAGUUAAAUUUGUUUAUUAUGUAUUUAUUUUUAUGUUCAUUUUUUCAUUAAUUAUUUAUUAUAUGUUAGUAUUGUUAUUAUUUUAUAUUUAAAGUGCCCAUAAAUAAUUAAAAUAAAAAAAUAAAAGAGUAAAAAAUGAAAUUAAAAAUAUUUUAUAAGAAUGUGUAACUAGAAUAUUAUAAAAAAGUCAAAAGGUAAAAUAAAGAAAGAUGAUAAUUAAAAACAAAAAUAAUAUUGCAUAUUCAUAUAUCAAAUUUAAAAAAAAUUGAUAAACAUGAUUAAAAAAGAAAAAAGAAAAAAAAAAUGUUGCCAUUGUCAUAUGUUAAUUUUUUAAAAAAAAAUAUUAAUAAUGAGUUCUUUCCAUUGUCAUGUCAAUUUAAAAAUUGAAAAAAUUUAAAAAAGAAAAAAGAAAGAGGAAUGGUAGUUCACGGCUAGUUACGGAAGAGAGAAAAGGUCAAAAACAAUGUUGAAAUUUUUUUCAUGUUACGCAUGUUUACCAAAUUUCUUUUUAAAAGUUGUUAAUAUAUAUAUAUAUAUAUUUCGGUCGGUGAAGCUGAUUUCCCCUAUUAUUUAAUGAACAUGGCCACUAAGUCACUAUCAGCUUUCUGUUGUCAUUUUCUUGUCACUGUAUAUCCUUCGUUGGUUCGAGGAGUGGCUUGCGAUACGUGUACAUAUACCUUUUAUUAAUUUUUUAUGUUAAAAAUAAUAUCUGAGGAGUGAGGACAAUGAUUUUAGAUUAAAAUCAAAAUUUGACAAAAUAUCAGUGGGGAGUUGGGACAAAUAGUGCCCUGUGCUAUAAAAUCCAUGUUUCUUGCUGCUAUUUUUCACUCAGACGCACGCUUACAAGUCUGCUUCUCUUCCAUCCCUCACUCUGGCAUACAAAGACACUUAGAAUUAGUUAGCAUUCAUGGGUGGUGGAGAUUUCACAGUAACAGUGAGCAGGAAGGAAGUAGUGGCAGCUGUACUGCCUGUGCAGGAGUACUGGCUGCCGCUAUCUAACCUGGACUUGCUUUUGCCUCCAGUAGAUGUGGGUGUGUUUUUCUGUUACAAGAAGCCACAUGAUUUAACAUUUGGGUCCAUGAUUGGCGUUCUGAAGGAGGCCUUGGCCCAAGCACUGGUGUCCUAUUAUCCAUUUGGAGGGGAAGUUUUGAGUAACUCAGCGGGUGAGCCCGAGCUCCUUUGCAACAACCGUGGGGUUGAUUUCAUGGAAGCUUAUGCGGAUGUACAACUACAAAACCUCAACUUGUAUAACCCUGAUGAAAGCAUUGAAAGCAAGCUUGUCCCUAAGAAGAAACAUGGCGUUCUGUCAGUCCAGGUAACUCUCUCUCUUUCUCUAUGAUAUGCUAAUCCUAAUUAGUUGUAAUCAUGACAUGCUUAUUGUUAUGUAAAUGAACUAAUGACAGGUGACUGAGCUCAAAUGUGGCGGAGUUGUGGUGGCCUGUACAUUCGAUCAUAGGAUAGCAGACGCAUAUUCUGCCAAUAUGUUUCUAGUUUCAUGGGCUGAAAUGGCUCAGUCCAAACCAUUAUCAGUACUACCAUCUUUCCGGCGCUCUCUCCUCAACGCUCGACGUCCGGGCUCCUAUGAUCCUUCCCUUGACGACAUGUACGUCCCCAUGUCAACCUUACCUCCUCCCAAAGCUCCACAGUCUGGUGAUGAUCUUCUCAUAAACCGCCUUUACUUGUCACAGCCGAACAGCUCAGUCUACUCCAAUCACUAGCUACCAGCAAGAGUAGCUCCUGCAAGAGGACUAAACUAGAGUCUCUCAGUGCUUUUCUGUGGAAGAUGGUGGCCAAAAGUGCAGUCACGGAAAACGCAAACCAAAAAAUAUGCAGGAUGGGCACCGUGGUGGAUGGAAGAAAGAGACUGAGCAGUGGAGACGAGGUUAAAGCAGCAAUGAUGGCCUCUUACUUCGGAAAUGUACUGUCCAUACCCUUUGGUAAGAAGACAAUAAAUGAACUGAAAGAGAAACCAUUGAGCUGGGUGGCAGAUGCAAUUCAUGAGUACCUGGAAGGAGCAGUAACAAAGGAGCAUUUCCUGGGGCUGAUAGAUUGGGUGGAGGCUCACCGUCCGGAGCCAGCUUUAGCGAAGAUAUACAGCAGUGGCAGUCGCGAUGGACCGGCAUUUGUGGUGUCAUCAGGGCAGAGAUUCCCAGGGUCAAGGGUGGAUUUCGGGUGGGGUAUGCCGGCUCUGGGGUCAUACCAUUUUCCAUGGGGUGGGGAAGCUGGGUACGUGAUGCCAAUGCCGAGUCCUGUCAGAGAUGGAGACUGGGUGGUGUACAUGCACCUCUCCGUGGGGCAGAUAGAGUGGAUUGAGACUGAGGCUGCUCACAUCUUUAGACCCUUAAGUUCUGAAUAUCUCAACUUGAGCAACUCAGAUUAGCUUACAUUUAUCACUUCCUAUUUGUUCACUGUCCCCCACAAUGUUUGUUAUUGUCUCCAUCUCUAUUUGCUGAUUGUCAUCGGCUUGAUGUUUAAUAUCCGUUUACGAAGAAGCCCCGAUUUUUUGUGGCCUGUCUAUUCCAAUUUCCAACCUCGUUAAUUUUCCUCCUCUAUACAAAAUUCUCUAUGAACAUAAAUAAUACAUUAAUUGUGGGAUUAGCUUUGGCAAAUAGGAAGUAGUUGAAAUUCAUGGAGUUAAGUCCGACUGAUGAAAAAGACGUAACCCAAGUGGUAUUUUUAAUACAAAAAAAACCAUUUUAUAAAUAUCUUAAUUUUUUUUUAAAAAUAAAUUGUUAUUAAUAAAAAAUUUACUAAAUCAUAUAGAAUAUAACUAUUUCCAAGUAAUAAGUCUUUUGUACGUGCUUAAAAAAUGAGACAGAUAUGAACCUAAUAAAGUACGAUUUUUUUUUUUAAUAAAUUAAACAGAAUUUUUUAAACAAAGUGAAAAAUUAAAAAUCAAAAAAUCAAAAUGGGAGCAGUCAAUUGGGAAAUAUUGUCCUUUUUCAGACUGCAAAAUGAGUGUAGGCCUCUGCAGUUGCUGCAUUCUAGUUGAUGUGUGAUAAAAGGUUUGUGCCCACGAACCAUUCGGCCACCCCAGGAAGGGAUGAUACCCUUUGGUGCAGAUCCAGACAGCUAUUUACAAAGGGUAGGUCAAAAAACUUAUCAAACCCAUGUGCCAGGGCCAAUAAUCUCACUCUCUAGUCAGAUAUAGUGAGCACUGAGCAGUACAAAAAGUCGGUUUCAUGAGUCUUUUAACUCUUUAUGUCCCAUGUGCAUUCAUUUUUAUAUGCUUAGAGUUUUGUCGAAAUGCUUUGGAGGGUUUUGGCCUUUGAAAUAAUCUAAUUUCUCCUUCCCCAAUUAUUAUUGAUAUUCAAAUUUUCUGGUGGCAGAACUAAUGCUUUUAUAAAUAACAAAUGAGCACUCACUUGGUUCAAUAAAAGAAUUAUAUAUCAUCAUUAAAUAAUACACAUACACAUAAAAAAGCAAAGGUUAGGUAAAAACUUAUCAAACCCAUGUUCCAAUGCCAAUAUAUAAUCUCACAGGGAAUCAAUUUGGUGGGUCUUGAUGGUCCAUGUGCAUUCAUUUUCAUAUGAUUGGAGUUUUGUCUAAAUAUUUUUGGAGGGUCUUGGCCUUCAAAAUAUUCUAAUUUCUCCUUUACCGAUUGUUUUGUAUAUUAAGUUUUUCUGGUGGCAGAAUUAAUUCUUUUAUAAAUAACAAAUGAGCACAUGCAUCAGUUAAUUCAAUAGAAGAAUUAGCAUUAUAAAAUAAAACACAUACUUAUUCAUUGAGUAUUACAAAAUAACGAGGAUAGACAAUAAGAAAAAAAAAAAAAAAAACACAGAAUAAUAACAUAUAGAUUUAUAUGGAAAUCACAAUAGAGGAGAAAAAAUCUAUUAUGUAAAAAAUUGGUACAAAAUGGGGAGAAACGUGAGUGGCUACAACAAAAUCAUAAACAUCAUAGCCCUUCAAAAUUAUACAUCAUCGCAUAUAAAUAAAUAAAUAAAUAUAAAUGGGUUACACUAUUGGAUCAGCGCUACCACCACAAACCCAAAAAAAAUCUCAUAAUUUUGGCUUUAUCACAUAAUGUUGCACCAUGAACUUUUCGGGUUGGACCAAAUAGAAUUCGGGUUAUCAAACUCUAACAUUGAGAAUUUUUUAUAUGUUAUGAUUUGAGUAUAUAUCCUAUAAGUAUGGUUUGAAAUAUCGGUAAAUAUGAAUAUAUCGGUAUUUGAAUUUUAUGAAUAUAUAAAAAAUAUUGAUAGAUAUUUUGACAAAAAUAUCGAUCAUGUGAAAAUUAUUCAAAAUUCAUGAAAAUAUUUAAAAAAACUCUAAAAAAAUAAUAAAAUAAGUAAAAAUACACGUGUUAAAGUUAUUUUAUAAAUAUAAUUGAUAUAAAUAUGGUUAAAGAGAAAAAUAUUAGUAAGGAAUAAUAUAUUGAUCUUAAUAUAAUUUAUUAUAUAUCUUAUCAAAUUAAUUUUAAUUUAGAAAAUAUUAGAACUUCAUUAUUUUUUUAUAUUUUAGUAUUUUUUUUAAUAAAUUUAUAUUUUAAAUAUUUUAAAAUAAAGACAUUCAAAAUUAAAAUGAUAAAUAUAAAAAAUUUAAAAGUGAAAUAAUAGUAAUUUUUUAAAAUAGGAUUAAUGAAAUAAAUGAUGAUACAUUGAAUAUUAAACUAUAAUUUAUUUAAUUCAAAUGCAUUCAAUCAUAUAAUAAAUGAUGAAACAUAUAUGAUUUUUUUAAUAUUUAACUUUUUUAUAUUUAAUUAUCAUAUAAAAGAUAUAAAAAAAGACUUGUUAAGAAAAUUAUAAUAUUGGUUAACUUGGUUUUCAUAUUUUUAUUAAUCAAUUAAAGAAAAUAAUUAUAAUUAUUUUUUUUAAUAUUGAACUUUAGGAUAUUUAAAUUGAACAUAAAUUUACAAAUGUGAAGUUGCCCCAAUGGAAUCCAAGUUUUGGCCCCCGGCAGCAAAAAAUGUUGGUCAACAUCUCUAGGCUGCAACGGCUAAAAAUAUAGGAAGAAUUGUGUUUUGGGCCCAAAAAUUAACAUUUGGUCCAUAUAUUAUACAUAUUUAAACCCAAGACCCAAACAAAGUAUGAAAAUUAAGAUGAAGGAUAUUGUCUUUCAUUAAUCCCUAAAAUACCCUUAACCCUUACAUAGGCACAAGUGAGUGUGAAUUUCAAUUUUUUUUUUGUGUUUUUUUUCCCUUUUUCUAUUCCCUAUUAAGUAUUACUCAUUUCUAACUCUUUUUUUUUCUUUUUCUUCCAAUCUAUAUUUCUAUUUUAUGUCAAAUAAAAAGCAAUAAUAUUUUUUUGUUUUUCAUUUUUAAAGAUAUUGAAUCUUUUUGCUCUUAUUAUAAACAAUGAUAAAAAUUUUGGGAUUUUUCAUCCAAAUAUUUUUUUUAUCUUUUCGUAUUUAUCUUUUAGUUUAAUUUUCAUUUUUUAUUUUAAAUUUAUAUUACCCUUUCAUUUAUAUUUUUCUCUUAUUUUUAAUUAUUUUUUAUAUUUUCUAUAUUAACCAUAUUUUAAAAAAUUUAAAAAUUGACUCAUUUCAAUUUAUUAUAUAUAUAUAUAUAUAUAUAUAUAUCCUUUUAGCUUUUUAAUUUUUAAUGUUUUUAUUUUAAAAUUUUUAAAAAGAUAAAUUUAUUGAAAAAAAUAACUAAGAUAUGAAGUUCUAAUAUUAUAUUAAUAAUUUUUCUUGUCUAGAUAGACUAAUGCAAAUUAUUUUGACUCACAACAAGAAAAUUGUCAAUACAAUUUUUUAGUUAAACUUUAGAAAUUAAAUUUUAAAUAAAAUAUAUUAUAUACAAUUUUAUCUAAAAAUUAUUGAAAGUGGUAUUUAAUUUUUUUUUUUAUUGACUUUCAAACUUAUCUAAUUUUUUACUUGAAAGGUAAUAGAACAUGUUUACAAAAAAAAAAUAAAAUUAGUUUUUCAUUUUUUUUAAAUAAAUGAGUAUAAAUAUAUUAAAAGAAUUAAAGAUAAUCUUAGUAAAAAAUUUGAUAAAUAUGAUUAUAAUUUUAAAUAUAGAUUCAUUUGGAUAAAAUUUCAGAAAAAAAAAAAUAUAGUGGAAAGAAAGAACAUUGUUAAAACUACAAAAACAAAAUAUGCAAUUACAAAAUUUUGAUGAUGAAAUUUAAAAAUAAAAUUUCAAAACAAUUCAUGAGUGAGAGCAUUUGUGCAGGGAAAAAAUCUUUGAGUGGAAAAAAAUGAGAAAGUUUUUCAAAAUCACUUGAAAUCUUCAACAAAAAGUAGUCUUGUACACCCUUGUACAAUUAGUAAAUUUGUCUUGUACAGUUAGUGUAAUACCUUUGUACAAUAACUCAAAUUUCAUACAUCAUCUCAUGAAUACCUGACAAUAGGUCGGUUAACCAUGUUUGCAUUGAUUUGGUUUUAAAAAAGAAGAAAAAUUGUUAUAUAAUUUUGUUUUACAAUCAUCAUAAGUGAGGUACCUAUUCAAAUGACCAUAUACAAGUUAAAUAAAGUGCAUGAGAUGAAUGUAUGCUUAACUAAUGUGUGUAAGGAAUGUCAUUUAUCCUCAGUUAGGGGAAAUAAACAAAUAAGUUUUUCAGAAUCACUUAAAAUCCUUCACAAAUAAUAGUCUUGUACACCCUUGUAUAGUUAGUAUAUUUGUCAUGUACACUUAGUGUAAAUACCUUGUAUAGUGACUCAAAUUCUAUAUACCCCCUACUCAAUGUGUAACCAUAGGUAGGUUAACCAUGUUUUCAUUGGUUUGUUUCAAAAAAUAGUGGAAGAUGGAAAAACAAAAUUUUCUUUCAAACAUCAUUAGUGGGAUAAGUAUUCGAAUUAUCAUGUGCGAGUUAAAUAAAGCGCAUAAGAUGAGUGUGUAAUAGAUGAAUGUGUACCUUAAGAGUGUGCAAUCCUUAGAUGACAAGACCAAAAAAAAAAGUUGUCCCAAAUUGAUUAAAAUCUUUCACAAAUGAUAGCCUUGUAUACUCUUUGUAUAAUUAGAACAUUUGUCUUGUACAGUUAGAACAUUUGCCUUAUCCAAUUGAAUAUUUACCUUGUACAGUUAGUAUAACACCCUUAUACAAUGGUGCAAAUUUCAUCCAUAUGCAUAUAUUAUGUGUCACAUAUGAUGUGUAAACCUUGUUUCCAAUGGUUUGAUUUAAAAAAUGAUAUAAAACGUAAAAAAAAAAUUUUCUCUAAACGUCAUUAUUAAUGUAAGUAUUUGAAUUGUUAUAUGCGAGUUAAAUAAAGUACAUGAAAUAAAAGAAUUUGUGGUAGGAGAACAUAUAAUCCUUAGAAUGACAAGAAAAAAAAAAAGUUGUUCAAAAUGUACAGUUUUAUACACCCCUUGUACAAUUAGUGUAAUAACCUUGUAUAAUGGUAUAAAUUUCAUAUAUAUGUAUAAAUUAUAUCCACAUGAGUGUGUAAACUAUGUUCCCAAUAGUUUGACAUUUAAAAUAAUUAAAACAAAUAAAACAUUAUUUUAUUUUAUUUUCAAUGCAAAAUGUAAUUAAAAAUAAAACAAAGAAAUUACUUAAAAACUAUUAUUUAAGCCAAGUUUAUUUAUUUAUUUCCUUUUAUUUUUGGAAAUAAAGAAAAAAGAAUAAAAAAUAAUAGAUUAAAAUGUGCACAUUUUAUUUAUUACUUUGUUAAUUAUGGAUAUAUUAAAAUUUUCUAUUAGACAAAAAAUAAAUAAAGAAAAUAAAAUUAAAAAGAGUAAUAAAUAUAUAUAAUUUAGUUAUUUAAUUAUUUUUCAUGUAAAAGAUAGUCCCACAAAAAACACAUAAUUGAUCAAUGUCUUUGUUUAAUUGUAAACAUACUGAUUUGUGCCCAAUUGGUGUCUCAACUAAUUUGUGUCCAGCUGGUGCUCCUUGAUUGAGGGAGUAAUCAACAAAAUUUAUAACCUAUAACACCAUAUACUAGGGUAGCAAAGAAAAAGCUACUAUAGUAUAGUGGCUCUAGGAUCGUCCACUGGGAAAGAUUAACAAGCUCUCAAUGAUACCAAUUCCAAGUGAAUUGGUUUUGUUUCAUUUCAUGGUUAGCUUAAGAAGUAAAACACAAACUUUGAUUGGUAAAGGUUUAGACUUAAACUAACUAACAUAACAGAAGUUUGGAAUAAUUUAGGAAGAAAAGCAUUCCCUGGAGAGUUAGGUUCACUGGGGUGGUUCCUCAUGCAAAAGACAUAGCUCCGGUCAGAUGGUUCAUUUCCUCGUGUUAGAGAUUCAACAUAUAGUCAAUUCUUUAACCGGUGUUGUACAGAGACUCCUUCAAUUAGAUUUCACUUUAAUUCUCUCACUGAUGCAACUUGCAAUGGUUUAAGCCUCUCACUAAGCCUUAACCAUUCAAGGUGAUCUUUAACAUUGGAUUACCCGUCAAAAGCUCGCAAGAGAUAACUAAUGGAUGUCUCCUUGGAGUCCAAAAGCUUAUCAAGUGUUGGCUAUUAUAGAAAAUCCUACCUUGAAGUCACCUCCCAGAGGCUCGCAAGGGGUAAACUAGUGCACUUCCAUGGUUGGAAAUCACUUGCCUUACCAAGUGUUGGCCCAGGUGACUCUAAGGUGUUUUAAGUUAACUAAAAACAUAGAAAUCAUUAAAGGAUUUCACUUCCUCUUCAUUAAUAGCUAAAACCACAGAGCUUUGCAUUCUUGCACUUGGAACCUUCCCCGGCAACCUUAGCUCCAAGGAACUAGAGGUUUAGUUACUCAUUCUCUGGGGAAAACUCCUCAAAGAGUUCAUAACUUAGUAAGAAAAUGAAAAUACAAAGUGAGAAGGUAAGGUAGUAGAAAGAAAAUAAACUUUACUUGCUUACCCAAACUUUUUCAGAAGGAACUCCUCUCUGAGAACAGGCUCCCGAGAGGUCUAUAUAUGUACAUAAUAUAAAACUAAUUAUUACAUAGAUAUUUAGUCUUUUUACUAACUUAAAAGCUAAGGAAUCAUGUAAUUGGUGGUUUACAAGGAGUAUUUUGGGAUUUAGACAACAAAAAUCUAAUGGAAAAUAUCUCCCAAUGUCGAUAGCAAAUAUCGGGAGGCUUUAGGAACCAUUUCGCAGGAGAAAAAUGGUGUCUGCGAGAUUUCGCAGACACUUAAGAGGACUGCGAAAUAAUUUCGCAACACCAAGCUAUCUUCACAGGGCUGCGAAGAUGGCUUCCACCUUGAGGUUCCCAGCUUCCUUCUCGUGGCAUAAAUCGGGCAUCGUCAGAAGGAGAAACAUUACACUGUUCAAAAAGGCUGCGAAAUCACUUCGCAACAAAAGGGUGAUUUCGCAACACUUUGCAAAAUGCUUCCUUCAGCUCGGAGUGAUUGGCUUGUAAUGGUUGCAACUUCUUCGUUUCAACUCCGAAUUGCACACCGUUUGAAGCAUUGGAUUUUUGACUUCCUGAGCUUUGAAAUGGUAUAUAGAAUGCAUCAUUUGGACUUCAAAAAGUGCUCCAAAAGUGGCUGCUACGACUGUCAUCAAGAAUAUGCUUUAUGGCAGAUUCUCUUUGCUUUUUCUCCUUGCAAUCCGGAUUUACUCUUGGCAAAUGACUUCUAAGCUUUGCCCAAGAUUCCUCAUAGCUCUCCUCAGUCUUGACUUGCUUUGGUGAUCAAAAUACUAACAAAAACACCAAAACUUACACAAAGUGAUCAAAAUUGCUUUCAAGGGUCCUUAACAUGCCAAUUGAGUUAAAAGGCCUAAACUACAACUCAAAAGUGUUUAAAAGGAUUUAUUAUAGGAUCAAAUAGCACUUUUUGAGUAGUAAUCACUCCCCCCAACUGACAUAUUGCUAGUCCCUUAGCAAUAUAAGAGAGAAAAAUUGAAAAUAAAAAGCAAACUAAUCUAAAAUUUACAACAUCAUGCUGAUCAAAAUCAAUUCUCAAGUGGCAUGAUGAUCUAAUUCUCACAUGAAGCAUUAAAGAAAUACAAACCCAAAUCUCAACAAGAGUCAUAACAAACUAUGCUAAACACUGUCAAUCAAGGGAGUGCAUUAUGCAAACUGAAGUUUUAAAAUCAUUUCCACUUUCUAAGAACCAAACUUUAAUCUUCCACAAAAAUCUAUGUGUAUUGGUUCCUUAGCUUCCGAGAAUAAUAUGCUAAACUAAUCUCUCCCCCCAACCUAUCUCUUUUCAACACUUAGCAAACUGACCAAAAUCAAUAAGAAAAGAACACACCUUCUCUCUUUUUUCUUUUUUUUAGUAAGGUAGCUUUAUGGGGUACUCUUUCUGACUUGUCCAUGUAAUGGGGGUCCAUCGAUGACUCCCAACCAAUUAAGGUUUAGGGCACCAAGCUUUAAGGAUCUUUCAACCACUAACUCCUCGGAUUUUUCCCCGGACUUUUAAGAAUGAAUUUCUAAUACCCAAGCAUCUACCAUAUGCUAACUCUACCUAUUCACCCUUUUAACGAGCAUUGAGGUUGGUGACUCCCAACCAAUUAAGGCUUAGGGCACCAGGCUUUAAAGGCUUUCACCAUAUACCCCUCAGACCUUGCUCGGGUUUCAAGGCAAGCAAACAACUUUCUUUAUUUCAAAGGCUCAUUGGCCUUUUGCAGGGUGUUUCAAUUUUAUCAAAUGAGGUCAAAUGUACCAAGUCCCAAAAUUAUCCCAAGUCAAGAGGGAAAUAGCUUUUCAUCUUAUAAUCGGAAUCUAAUGUGCACAGUGUGUGAAUAGCUUAAAGUGGAAGAACUAAAUUCAAUUUCACUAGAAGCUUCAAUAAUUGAACCACUUUAGUGAGCAUAAUCCAUACUCUAAGUUAAGUGAAAAACAACAGUUCAAUUUCUCUUGGUUUAAUUUGAAAUUUUUUCCUCAAAAUUCAUGGAGAAUAGAGUAACAAGAGUAAAAAGUAAAAACUACAACUAAUUAACCAAUAUAAUUGCAAUACCAAAAAGAUUUAGCACUUCCUUCCUCAUUCCCCCCCAACCGAACUGAGCAUUGUCCUCAAUGUGAUAUGAGUGACUGUAUUUAAAGAGAUGAAGUGGUACCUCCUUGCUGAUAUCAAAUUCGAAUAUUGAUUGGGGAAAACCACAUGUUUAAAAAAGAAUAGAAUAUGUGAGAAAAGGAAAUAAGAAUAACUUAAUGCUAACUGUUAACAAGAAAUAUUCCACUUGUAUUACUUUCAAUUCAUUCGAGUACAAUGUAAAAGACAAGUAACACAAGGAAUCCCAAAUAUAGUACCAAAAUACUAGGAUUUCUUUUCAACUAAAAAAAAAACAAAUACAUAAAAAUAUUAGAUAUAUAUAAUAGUCUGAUGAGUGGGGUAGUGGUGCUAGGCAGAUGGGUCUGCCUUUUCAGUAGGUGCAUCAGCUGGGGCUUGGGGCUCUGGAGGAUGAGACUCUGAAGGAUGAGAGUGUGGCUCUACUGGUGUAUCAGUGGAGAGCUCUACAGCUUGUGGCAGAUCGAAAUGGACUUGGAGCUGCCUUAAGAUGGCAGCUUGUUGAGCCUGAGUGGCCAACAUCUGCUCUUGGCAUGCUCUGAUGGCUGCCAUCUCCUGAGCAAGACUGCUCUGAGAAGCUGUAAGAGGCUCCAAUGCACGGCACAACUCUCUAUAUUCAGAUAUAGGAAUGGCCAUCCUCGGCUCAGCUGAUGUGGAUGGCUGAGAUGAAGCUGAUGUAGCUGGUGGAGCUCUAGGAAUGGCAGGAGCAGCAACUGUUAUACCCUCAGGUAUAUGUCUUGGGGAUGCUCUCCUUGCAGCUGGCUGAGGCUGCUCAGGCUGAUCAACUUUGUAGGCCAUCAUAUUGUUCCAUUUAUCAAGAGUGAAUGGCUCACGGCAAAUUCGCUUUUUCUCCAACUGAGGCUUAGAAGGGUAUCCCAGAUGCUCCAAAAUUUGGCAUAGCAGCCUUGGAAAGAGGAGUGGAAUGCAAUCAGCUCUCUGAAGCUUCUUUUUGUGAACCUUCUCUUCAAAAUAGAGAAGGGCUGCCAUGAUCAGAUGAUGAGGCCCAAAGAAAAAUCCUUCUGACAUCUUGUAAAGAGCUUCCAGGAGGACUCCCCUUCUUUGGGUCCAAUGCUGCAAUGGAUAGAUAUUAUGACGCAAAAAGGCAUCAAUCAAAAACAUAACUGAAGGAAGCUCCCCCUUAAGCAGAUGUGAUCGAUUUACAGCUCCUCUGGAAAGGGUGCGCACCAUCUCCAGCUCAGUAGGAUUUGCCCAAGCUCUAAAAUUAUCGAAUUGGGUUGGCUCAAAGGGAAUUUGCAGGGCUUCAGCAAUAUGUCGUGCUCCCAAUAUGCCAUGUCUCCCAUCGAUAGUGAAAUGAAUCAAGGUUGGAUUCCUAACCUCUUUGGUUGUCAUGGAUUGAUAGAAAUCUGUGGCUAUCCGGGGAUAGAAAAAGUCUCUUGGAGUCAGCAAGUGCUCCAUGUGAUACCUCCUCAGCAGUUGGAAUGAUUGGGCAAGCUCCGACCUCACUCUGAAUGCCGGUAAGUUGAAGCAUAACUCGGAAUGGAAUGGCCGUGUUCUACAAUCCAAGUUUCCCUCAAUUGGGGGCUGAGGUAGCAUUAGCCUCCGGAUUACUUCUUCCAGAGCUGUUUCGGAUGGAAUUUGGGGUUCAGGAAGUGGCGUUGGAGGCUCCUGAGAUUUUUCUUGCAGCGCCGGAGAUGGUACCGGCGACGGAACUGGCAUGAGAAUCGGCGAGGGAACUGGAGACGACACUGGAGUUGGAACCGGUGAUGGAAUUGGUGAAGGCUCUGGAGAUUGCUCAGUCAAAUCGAUGGGUUCUGAGCUCUCCACCCUGGGCUUCUUUUGCAGCGGCCGACCUCCUGACCUGGUAAGGUAUCGUUUUGCCGGAGGCUUUGGCGGCGCUGACUUCACCGGGGGAGGAAUUGCUUUCGGCUGCGAAGGCUCUGGAGCAGAAUCUGGAACUGGCUCCUUUCGCAGACUCUUCUUGCGAUUCGAAGGAGAUGAAGAUUUAGCCCCUCGUGUUCUCGCCAUUUCGGGAUACCAAACUUUGGCCGACGUUGCUAAUCAGAGGAGAUGACCGGAGGCUUGGACAGCGUGGCUCACUGAAGAAGACGAACAACUUACGAGAAUGGCGCUCUGAUUUUUGAAACCCUUUUCGCAGUUCAAAUGACCGGUAUAAAUAGGAAAAACGGAAGCCUAAGGGUCAGUUUAAGUUUCGCAACAAAACGCCAAUUUCGCAGCAAAAUGCCAUUUUCGCAGCAACUUCGCAGUGCGUUUCGCAGCUGCGAAAUGAGAGUUCUUAUGCUGCGAAGUGGCACUCGUGUGCCAAAACCACUUUCGCAAUUGCGAAAUACCCUGCGGAAUGGGACUUUUGGUGCGAAAUCACGCUUUUCCACUUCGCAAUGCGUUUCGCAGCUGCCAAAUGGAUGCUACUGUACUGCGAAGUGGCACUCGUGUGCCAAAUUUGCUUUCGCAGCUGCGAAAUACCCUUGCAGAGACUUCUACAGUGUUGCGGAAUGGUUUGGCAACAAAAUGCUCAUUUCGCAGAAGCUUUCUUUAGCCUGUGAAAUUUCGCAGAGCUCUGUUUUUCCCCUGUUUUUGCUCUGUUUUGGCUCCGAUUUCGAUCCGAUUUUUUUUCUUUCAAUCUCCUUGAAAUUACUUCCACAUGGGAUCAUUUAAAACGAUUAAAACACACCUAAAAACAUGAUUUAAGAUCAAAAACUAAGAUCAAAAGUAUGGAAACAACUUGAAAAUUUACAAAAUUUACAAAAAUUUUGGAUUGUGGUAAACCACGUCCAACAAACCCUUUUUUGCUUAGGCUUUUUAAGGCUCAAGGAGGUUGAUCUCCUCCUUUUCUGGUUUGAAUGGCUCCAUGAAUGGCUUGAGACGAUACCCAUUGACUUUGAAGCUAUCAUUGCCAUUGGAAUUCAAUAAUUCCACCACUCCAUUGGAAUAUACUCGGUGAAUAAUAAACGGGCCUAUCCACCUUGACUUGAGCUUCCCAGGAAAGAUAUGGAGUCUUGUGUCAUACAGUAAAACUCUUUGCCCUUCCUGAAAUUCCUUGUUGGAGAUGAGUUGAUCAUGCCACUUCUUCAUCCUCUGUUUUGCAACUUUGGAAUUGAUAUAAGCAUUGUUUCUUAAUUCCUCCAUCUCAUUAAGGUCUAGAAAUCUCUUUUCUCCGGCCUUGAUCAAGUCCAUAUUCAGCUUCUUUAUUGCCCACCAAGCUUUGUAUUCAACUUCCACAGGGAGAUGGCAUGCUUUGCCAUAGACAAGACGAUAGGGAGACAUCCCAAGAAUAGUCUUAUAAGCUGUUCUAUAUGCCCACAAUGAAUCAUGAAGCCUAAUAGACCAAUCCUUUCUGUUGGAAUUCACCACUUUCAUCAAGAUGUUCUUUAUUUCCCUGUUAGCUAGCUCAACUUGCCUGGAAGUUUGAGGAUGAUAAGGUGUAGCCACCUUAUGCUUCACUCCAUACUUGGAUAACAGAGCUUCAAAAGGUUUGUUGCAAAAAUGAGCACCUCCAUCACUGAUUAUGGCUUUGGGCACCCCAAAUCUUGAGAAUAUAUUCUCUUUAAGAAACUUGAGAACCACCCUAUGAUCAUUUUGUUUACAGGGGAUUGCCUCAACCCACUUAGAAACAUAAUCCACCCCCACCAAGAUGUAAGAAUUACCAAAAGACAUUGGGAAAGGUCCCAUGAAGUCAAUGCCCCAAACAUCAAAUAACUCAACUAUUAGAAUGGGGUUCAUAGGCAUUUGAUUUCUUUUUGUUAGCUUUCCAAGCCUUUGGCAUCUGUCACAACUCCUACACAUGAUGUGGGCAUCCUUAAAAAGAGAUGGCCAAGUAAACCCUGAUUGCAAUACCUUCAUGGCUGUUUUCUGAGAGGCAAAGUGGCCUCCACAUGCAUGCUCAUGACAAUGAGAUAGAAUCCCUUACUGCUCAUCUUCAGGGACACACUUCCUAAUAAUCUGAUCUGAACAAUACUUAAAGAGAAAGGGCUCUUCCCAAUAAUAAGAAUGAAUUUUGGCAAAGAAGUGCUUCCUGUCCUAUGCAUUCCACUCACUUGGAAUUUCUCCAGUUACUAAAUAAUUGGCAAUAUGAGCAUACCAAGGAGUUUUCACUAGGAACAUGAGUGAUUCUUCAGGAAAAUCAUCAUUGAUAGGCAAGAGAUGGGAAUUAUGUGCUAUAACUAAUCUUGACAAGUGGUCAGCUACCACAUUCUCCACUCCUUUCUUAUCUUUGAUUUGGAGAUCGAACUCUUGUAACAAAAGAAUCCAUCUAAUCAACCUUGCUUUUGCAUCUUGCUUUGUCAAUAAAUACUUCAAGGCUGAAUGGUUAGUAAAGACAAUAAUGAAAGACCCCACUAAAUAAGCUCGAAAUUUGUCCAAAGCAAAUACCACAUCUAACAAUUAUUUCUCUGUAGUUGUGUAGUUCCUUUGAGCUUCAUUUAGUGUUUUACUUGCAUAGUAAAUCACAUAGGGCUUCCCAUCUUCUCUUUGGCCAAGCACAGCUCCUAUAGCAAAGUCACUGGCAUCACACAUCAGUUCAAAAGGUAAUUGCCAGUUAGGGGCUCUCACUAUUAGAGUUGUUGUUAAAAAUUUCUUCAGUUGAUCAAAGCUAUGCUGACACCUUUCAUCCCAUAUGAACUUAGCAUCCUUAGCUAACAACUCACAAAGAGGUUUUGAAAGACUUGAAAAACCUUUUAUAAACCGCCUAUAGAAACCUGCAUGGCCAAGGAACUGCCUUACUCCUUUUACAGUUGUUGGAGAUGGUAAUUUGACAAUAAGCUCCACCUUUGCUUUAUCAACUUCAAUGCCUUUUUCAGAGAUGAUAUGGCCAAGGACAAUUCCUUGACGUACCAUAAAAUGGCAUUUCUCCCAGUUGAGCACCAGAUCUUUUUCAAUGCAUCUAUGAAGAACUGCUUCCAAAUUAACCAAGCAUUCCUCAAAUGUACCUCCAUAUACGGUGAUGUCAUCCAUGAAAACCUCCAUAAUUCGCUCCACCAUAUCACUGAAAAUACUCAACAUACAUCUUUGAAAUGUAGCAGGUGCAUUGCAUAAACCAAAAGGCAUUCUCCUGUAAGCAUAUGUUCCAAAUGGACAUGUAAAAGUGGUCUUUUCCUGAUCUGCCAAAUCAAUUUCAAUUUGAAAAUACCCUGAAUACCCAUCCAAGAAACAAUAAAAUGGAUGUCCAAAGACUCUCUCCAGCACUUGGUCAAUAAAUGGCAAUGGAAAAUGAUCUUUCCUGGUUACAGCAUUCAGCUUUCUAUAAUCAAUACACACCCUCCAACCUGAAGUAAGGCGUGUAGUAAUUUCAUCCCCUUUUUCAUUUUGAACCACUGUGAUCCCUGACUUCUUUGGUACCACUUGAGUAGGACUCACCCAAGGGCUAUCAGAUAUAGGGUAAAUGAUUCCUGCUUGAAGUAGCUUCAGCACUUCAGCUCGCACCACCUCUUGUAGAUGAGGAUUCAACCUUCUUUGAAAUUGACGAAUUGACUUUGCUUCCUCCUCCAUAUAUAUAUGAUGAGUACAAACUAAAGGACUAAUGCCUUUCAAGUCAGAUAUUUGCCAUCCUAUUGCCUUCUUACACCUCUUGAGAACUUCCAUUAAACAAUUCUCUUGAUGACUGGUCAGAGAUGAAGAUAUCACAACAGGACAUUGAUUAUUUUCUUCAAGAUAUAUAUAUUUCAGCUCCUCAGGUAAAGGCUUCAGAUUGAGUUUUGGAAUUUCUUUUUCAACAGCUGCCUCUUCUUUAUUGAACAAAGGUAGAAUUUCUUCUAUCUUUCUCCAACUUUGUAGAGUAGCAAGCCCAAUAGGAGAUUCAGACAAACCUUCCUCAAAAUUCACAAGACUUUUAUUCAACUUGUCUUGCAUAUUUUGAUUACAGUGUUCCUCCACCAAAGUAUCAAUAAUGCACAGCUCUUCUGGACCCUCUUCUUCUUUCGGAGUGAUUUGCUUUUUAGACAUAUAGAAAAUAUUGAGAUCCAGUGUCAUGUUACCAAAAGUGAGUUGCAUAAGCCCAUUCUUGCAGUUGAUGAUUGCAUUUGAAGUAGCAAGAAAUGACAUUCCAAGGAUGAUAGGAACUAAAUUAGCUUCCUUUACGGUAGGAUCUGUAUCAAGAACAAUAAAAUCUACUGGAUAGUAGAAAUUAUCCACUUGAACCAAUACAUCCUCAAUUACCCCUCUUGGAAUUUUCACUGAUCUAUCUGCUAGAGAUAGAGUGAUUGUUGUUGGCUUCAACUCUCCAAGUCCCAAUUGCUUGUAGACGGAAUAUGGAAGCAAAUUCACACUUGCUCCCAAAUCUAGCAAGGCUUUCUCCACUACCUUUCCUCCAAUCAUGACUGAAAUGGUAGGACUUCCAGGGUCUUUGUACUUCAAAGGGGACUUAUAUUGUAAGAUUGCACUUACUUGCUCAGUCAAGAAGGCUUUCUUGUUUACAGUCAACCUUCUCUUGAUAGUACACAAGUCCUUUAGGAAUUUUGCAUACGUUGGAACUUGUUUGAUCAUAUCCAACAGUGGAAUAUUGACUUUUACUUGUCUCAAUACUUCAAGGAUUUCAACUGCAUUUCUCACCCCCUUUUCCCCAUGUAAUGCUUGAGGAAAAGGUGGAGAGGUUGAUUUCUUCAGCAUUUCUUCCUUCAUAAGUUCCUUCUUUGGAAUUGCAUUCAUUGUUGAAUCAGAGUCCUUCUUUUCUUCACUGAUCUCACUGUCUUUAUCUUCCAUUUCCUUCCCUUUCUUUAUCUCUUCUUCUUUCUCAACAUGUGGCUUGGGUGUUGGCUGCUCAAUUUUUUUACCACUCCUUAGAGUGAUCAAGGCUUUGACAUCUUUCAUCUGUGAUGAUUCUCCCUCUUGGCUUUCCACUUCAUGGACACCUUUGGGAUUUUGGUGAGGUUGAGAAGGAAAUCUUCCCUUUUCUUGCAGUGUAUUCAAAUUUGUAAGCCUUGAAAUUGAAUAUUGGAUGUUAUCAAACUUUUGGUUCAUAUCAUUUUGCAUUCCAUCCAUCCUUUUAUUCAACAUACUCUCCAUUCUAUCCAUUCUUUGAUCGACUCGAGCAUUGGUGGCUUCUUGCUUUCCAACAAAAUCUCCCACUACCUUAGUGAGAUUGGCUACUGCUUGUUCAAUACUUGAAGAUUGUUGAGAUGGUGGAUCCGGUUGUUGGUAUUGAGUUGCUCUGGCCUUCCAUGAGAAAUUUGGAUGAUUCCUCCAACUUGAGUUGUAGGUAUUUCCAUAAGGCGCAUUGUUAUUGGGCCUGAAUUGUCCAACAACAUUUGCUUGAUCUCUAUACAUUUCCCUUUCAGCUGAAAUUGUAGGGCAUUUCUCCACCAAAUGUUCAUAUGAUUGACAAUUGGGACACAGCUUCACUUGCACUGGUGCUUCAGCAACAGCUUGCACUUCAUGUAUUCUUUUCAGCUCCAGCUCCUCCAAUCUUCUUGUCAUAGCUGCCAACUUUGCUUUCAUAUCAUCAUCUUCUUUUAAGGUAUACAUCCCAGCCUUUGCAUUGUAAGCAUUCAACUGAGACUUCAUCUUUCCCACUUCUCCUUUAGUUGGUUCAUCCCAUCCCCUUGAAACAUCAGCUACAUAGUUCAAGAAAUCCAUAGCUUCCUCUGGAUUUUUGCUCAUGAAAUCUCCUCCACACAUUGUCUCGAGGAGUUGCUUCAUUGAGGAGGACAUACCAUCAUAAAAAUAGCUCACCAAUAGCCAUGUAUCAAAGCCAUGGUGAGGGCAAGCAUUUAUAGCUUCCAUGUAUCUUUCCCAACACUCAUAGAAUUUCUCAUUCUCUUUAGCUGAGAAGUUUGAAAUUUGCCUUUUCAAGCCAUUUGUUCUAUGAGUAGGAAAAAAUUUCUUGAGGAAUUCAGCUUGUAAGUCAGUCCAAGAGCGGAUCCUUCUUGGCCUUAAAGAAUUAAGCCAAAUUUUGGCUUUAUCCUUUAAAGUAAAAGGAAAAAACUUAAGCCUCAUCAAAUCAAUUGAAGCUCCUCCCUCUUGAAAUGUAUUACAAACAUCUUCAAAUUCCUUGAUGUGUGCAUACGGAUUCUCACUUUCCAUCCCAUGGAAAGUUGGUAGAAGUGGAACAAGAUACGGUCUGAUCACUAGCUGCUCUGUAGGGGGCACUAUACAUGAUGGUGCACUCAUACAAGGUGGAUGCAUGCGGUCCCUCAUUGAUCUGAAUUCAUUAAGAUUAUCUUGACGACCUUGGUGACUAUGCUGAUCUUCAGGUGUAGCUUCCAUGAUAUUCAAGAUCACUUCGAAUUCUUUUCUCUAAGGUGUAUCACACUUAACAAGCCUUCCUCUACUGUCUCGUAUCCACUUUGGCAUACACAACUAGUAUCUAUCUGCAACAAAAAAUGAAAACAGAGGACAACAAGAGAAACAGGGCUACAACAACAAAAUUAAACUAGGCUAAAUUUUAAAAGAUAAACUUAGAUUAUGAAUAAAUAAAGAAAGAAUGAAAAUUAGUAAAGUGAAAGAAACUUUACCAACUUGUGAUGAAAAUCCCAAGUGCUCAAAAAAUGGUAUCACUGUAAACUUGACUCAUUCCCCGGCAACGGCGCCAUUUGAUUCGUGCCCAAUUGGUGUCUCAGCUGAUUUGUGUCCAGCUAGUGCUCCUUGAUUGAGGGAGUAAUCAACAAAAUUUAUAACCUAUAACACCAUAUACUAGGGUAGCAAAGAAAAAGCUACUAUAGUAUAGUGGCUCUAGGAUCGUCCACUGGGAAAGAUUAACAAGCUCUCAAUGAUACCAAUUCCAAGUGAAUUGGUUUUGUUUCAUUUCAUGGUUAGCUUAAGAAGUAAAACACAAACUUUGAUUGGUAAAGGUUUAGACUUAAACUAACUAACAUAACAGAAGUUUGGAAUAAUUUAGGAAGAAAAACAUUACCUGGAGAGUUAGGUUCACUGGGGUGGUUCCUCAUGCAAAAGACAUAGCUCCGAUCAGAUGGUUCAUUUCCUCGUGUUAGAGAUUCAACAUAUAGUCAAUUCUCUAACCGGUGUUGUACAGAGACUCCUUCAAUUAGAUUUCACUUUAAUUCUCUCACUGAUGCAACUUGCAAUGGUUUAAGCCUCUCACUAAGCCUUAACCAUUCAAGGUGAUCUUUAACCUUGGAUUACCCGUUAAAAGCUCGCAAGAGAUAACUAAUGGAUGUCUCCUUAGAGUCCAAAAGCUUAUCAAGUGUUGGCUAUUCUAGAAAAUCCUACCUUGAAGUCACCUCCUAGAGGCUCGCAAGGGGUAAACUAGUGCACUUCCAUGGUUGGAAAUCACUUGCCUUACCAAGUGUUGGCCCAGGUGACUCUAAGGUGUUUUAAGUUAACUAAAAACAUAGAAAUCAUUAAAGGAUUUCACUUCCUCUUCAUUAAUAGCUAAAACCACAGAGCUUUGCAUUCUUGCACUUGGAACCUUCCCCGGCAACCUUAGCUCCAAGGAACUAGAGGUUUAGUUACUCAUUCUCUGAGGAAAACUCCUCAGAGAGUUCAUAACUUAGUAAGAAAAUGAAAAUACAAAGUGAGAAGGUAAGGUAGUAGAAAGAAAAUAAACUUUACUUGCUUACCCAAACUUUUUCAGAAGGAACUCCUCUCUGAGAACAGGCUCCCGAGAGGUCUAUAUAUGUACAUAAUAUAAAACUAAUUAUUACAUAGAUAUUUAGUCUUUUUACUAACUUAAAAGCUAAGGAAUCAUGUAAUUGGUGGUUUACAAGGAGUAUUUUGGGAUUUAGACAACAAAAAUCUAAUGGAAAAUAUCUCCCAAUAUCGGUAGCAAAUAUCGGGAGGCUUCAGGAACCAUUUCGCAGGAGAAAAAUGGUGUCUGCGAGAUUUCGCAGACACUCAAGAGGGUUGCGAAAUAAUUUCGCAACACCAAGCUAUCUUCACAAGGCUGCGAAGAUGGCUUCCACCUUGAGGUUCCCAGCUUCCUUCUCACGGCAUAAAUCGGGCAUCGUCAGAAGGAGAAACAUUACACUGUUCAAAAAGGCUGCGAAAUCACUUCGCAACAAAAGGGUGAUUUCGCAACACUUUGCAAAAUGCUUCCUUUAGCUCGGAGUGAUUGGCUUGUAAUGGCUGCAACUUCUUCGUUUCAACUCUGAAUUGCACACCGUUUGAAGCAUUGGAUUGUUGACUUCCUGAGCUUUGAAAUGGUAUAUAGAAUGCAUCAUUUGGACUUCAGAAAGUGUUCCAAAAGUGGCUGCUACGACUGUCAUCAAGAAUAUGCUGUAUGGCAGAUUCUCUUUGCUUUUUCUCCUUGCAAUCCGGAUUUACUCUUGGCAAAUGACUUCUAAGCUUUGCCCAAGAUUCCUCAUAGCUCUCCUCAGUCUUGACUUGCUUUGGUGAUCAAAAUACUAACAAAAACACCAAAACUUACACAAAGUGAUCAAAAUUGCUUUCAAGGGUCCUUAACAUGCCAAUUGAGUUAAAAGGCCUAAACUACUACUCAAAAGUGUUUAAAAGGAUUUAUUAUAGGCUAUCAAAUAGCACUUUUUGAGUAGUAAUCACAUACUAUAUUUUAUUUUAUUUUAUUAUUAAAAUAACUAAUGGAAAUAAAUAAAAAUGGAUAAUCAAUGAAUGAAAUUUAAUUCUUUUUAUUAUUUUCAUAUAAAAAAUAGUAUUAAACAAGGUUUUCAAUUUUUAUUUUUAAAAAUAGUUUUCAUUUAAUAAUUAAAUGUUUUUUCAAAAAGAAAAUAUAAAAAAUAUAAAUCAUAUUACAAGUUUUUUAGAAAGUAAUUUUUAAAAUAGUUUUUGAACAGAAUUUUUUUUUAUUUAUAAUUUAAAAUAGAAAAUAAUGCCAAUUCUCAAUAAUUUAUAAAAAAAUUAAAAACAAUAAAUAUUCCAAAUUGUUAAAAUAAAAUUAUUAUGGUUGCAUGAAUAGUGGUGCAAUAAAGACAAAAAAAAAAAACUUAUGUGAAAGGUCAUUGGGUAUUUUAAUCCAUUACUAUUUUAUAUCCUUAAAAGGUAAUAUAUAGAAAUUUAAAGGAUAUAUUGGUUUUUUAACAUCUUAUAUCCUUUCCAUCAAUUAUGAAAGUUAUAUAGACCAAAUGUUAAUUUUUGGACCUAAUUGGACUCAAAACACAAUUCUUCAAAAAAUGUAAGCGUUGACAAGAUGGCUUCAGCUUGACCCGCAUUGACCAUGCACCGAAAAAUCGGGAAAAAUGCCGAUAAAUAAUAUUCCACAAAAAUCCCAUCUCCGAUAGGCGAAAUAAGUAUAUUAUUUCUUGGGGUAAGGAAAAUUUUUAAUUUAAUUUAUGACAAAUAAAAUAUUUUUUAACUAUCGGAGCUGGAACCAAUAGUGACUUAUCGGCUAUCUCCAUGUUUGAGUGUAUGAUUAAAGCCCAUCUGUUCAGACCGGAGAGCCGACAUAUGGAAAAGAUGGGAUGAUUCUCAAUCUGCCAGCAUAAAAAUUGGUGCGUAAGCCAACCUAAUGACUAACGGGGUUGCUACCACCUAAGCCCCAUUGGCUUGGUUUACUUGUUCCAAAUCAUCAUCAGUGGACUUGAAGGGACCAGUACCACUAACACAGAAGAAUAGAUAACCUUAACUCUGCGCAACUUCUACUGCGGGAAAGUAAUGUGUUUAACAAAAGAUGGCAGUGUAACCAGAAAUUAAAUAUCAAAUCAUUUCUCUGCAAUGAAGACAACACAGUGACACAUAGACACAGUCACUGUCGCUACCAUAAUCACACUUGUUGUGGGGUUACUUUCUUUUGUCAAUAGGGACGAAAGAUAUACUAGCCACUCGCAUAAAUAAAUAUCUAUAGAAGGAUGGGAAAAACUGAAUGAACUAGCUCUUAGGUUGCCUUAGCAAUGGCUUGGCAACCUCAUUCUCAUUCCUAAUGCUUUUCAAUGCAUCAGAAGGGAUUAGUUGAGUGAGAUGAACAAGUGGAUGAUAAAAAAUUAAGAAAUAACUGAGAGAAUUCAUCCAGGAAUAACUUUAUAUGCAUACAUACCUUGUUGAUUGAGUUAAAAUACUAUUUUGAGUAUCAGAAAAAAGAAGGAUUGCAAGAGGAACUUUCUCAAAAUUUUAAUCUAAAUGGGGGCAAAUAUAAGAAGGUUAUAUCAAUGUUUUCAGAAUCGGACCGAUCAUUGAAUCGGAAAAGCUUUUAGUUAAUGGUUCACUUGUCGGACUGAUGGUCGAACCGCAGUUGAACCAAUGACGUCAUAAAUAUAUGUUAUAUUAUUUUAUAUAUUUUUAAAAUUUGAAAAAUUAAUAAAUUCUAUCUAAAUUUUAAUAGCAUCUACUUUGUUUGUUGAGUUUUUUUACAAAAUUUUUUACUUGUAGAAUUCAUCAAUCAUCAUAUAUGAUAUCUAUAACAUAAUAUAAGAUGUUAUAACUAUUUUAUAUAAAAGAAAUAUAUAUAAUAUAUCAAAUUGUUUAAUGAAACAUAAAAAAUAAUAAUAAAUUUUUUUUAAUUUAAUUCAUUAAAGAAAUGAAAGAUAUGUUAGGAUAGAAAGAAAAAUUUAAUAUUUAAUCUCAAUAAAAUUUAAAUUUGUUUAAAUAACUAAUAUAAGUGAGUGAUGAAUAUUUUUGUUUAAUAAUUAUUUAUAAUCUAAUAAUUAAGUGUUUUAAAAAAUAUGUUUGUAAAAAAAGAAAUAAUGAAUAAUAAAUAUUAAAUAGAUUUUAUUUAUUUUCUCACAACAUAAUCAAAUAUAAUUUAAAAUACUUCAAAUUUGUUAUUUAAAAAAAAAAACUGAUUUUUGGGAGAGUUGCAAACAGAGCCUAAUUGUCCUCCGUCUAGUUCUAAAUCCAAAAUCCGAAAAACGCUCCAUUGAUGAUCUCCUACCAAAAUCAAACUUAUACAUAUCAUAAAUAAACCAGACUCCAUGGUUGGGAUUGAUAAACAAUAUUGGUGAAUUAUGGGUGGCGAAAACCAAGUUUUUGAGUAGGUGCUGGUUAUGUUCCCAGAUGAGAUGUCAGAUCGCUGGCAGAUGGUCACCAAUCAUGUGAACGAAAGACAGUUGAAUCGUUGUAAGGUCUUCAAUCUUGAGAACGGAAGGGAGCUGUGCCAAUUGAAUUUGCAGGUUUUGUGGUCGUUGAUAAUGUCACGGUCUACGGUUAGGCUUCAUUGGCCUCCAACGAUGUUUGAGACCAUAACUCCGGGCCGCAGGGUUCAGAGGAAAAAACAGACUCCUAGGAAUCGCCGUCGGGUUCAGAUGAAGAAGCAAAAGUUGGAGAUCGUCACAGGGGAGUUGAAUGCACAAUUUGAGAGGUUUAUUGUUUUACAAGGGGUACCCAGCCACAAGGGAGGGAGGGGGGCGGGGAGGUUUCCAACGCUGGCGAGAGCUGUCUAGGUGUCGAGGGCUGCGACAUGUCAGUGGUGGGCGGAGCGGCAGACCGACAUUUGCUGUGGGGGGAUGAGGGAGGGUUUGUGAUAGGAUUUCAUGGUUAAGAACUAUAAAUGGGGGGUUGAAAAGACCUGUUUAUAUAUAUAUCUCUCUUUGGAUAAUCUCAGGACCAGAUGAUGAACACUUGUAAAUUCUUGUACUAAGAAAUAUACAGAGCUUUUGCUCUGCCUUUCCUUCUCAUUUUUGUUUUCACUUUUCUUGCUAGCCAAACAACCUUUGAGGAUGAUUUCUCAGGGGAUGAGUGGCUAGGUUUUACGUUUCUUGGAGUGAUGGAAGUUAGGUGAAGGACUUGAAUGCAAAGGUGGGAGUUGUCCUUACUUUAAACGAAAGUAGUUGUUCACCAUUAAUGGUUUUUAUUUCAAGGUUUAGCUUUAAAUCCCUUAAAAUCACCUUGAAUGGCCAAUACUUGGUAAACUUUUCGGAUUCUAUGGAUGCUUAUUGCUAGAUCUAUGGAUGUCUAUUAGUUAUCAUUUACGAGCCAUUGGAAAGUGGUUCAAGGUGAGGGUCUUUACUGUUUGAAGCCAUUAAUGGGAAGCAAUUACCAUUUUUCAUGAAUCCUUUGGAUCAAAUCUUAAUUGCUAAAUACAAAACCGGUUUGGGAGAUAACCAUCCUUUAUGUUAUUGUCCCCAACGUGAGGAGAAGAUCCAGAAUCUCCCCCUUUGCCUAAGGAACCCGAUCCUAGUGACCUAAAGCUCCAAGAGACCUUUUCUUUGUAGUUAACUUCACUUAUUGUUUUUGCUUAACUUAAAAUCAAUCUUUGCAACUACAAUUCCAUUUUCUUUAAAAACUAACUUUCAUAAGAAAAAACACCAUUUUAUUUCUUUCACUAAGUCAACUGUACGAUGAAAACCCAUUCUUGUGGAUGAUCCUAGAGCCACUAUACUAUGUUAGCUAUGCUACCCUAGUGUGAGGUGAUUUAGGUUUUAUAAAUUUUUUUGAUAACACCCAUUUGAGCCAGAAUCAAAUGGCAUGACUACAAUGGGGACGAAUCAAAUGGCGUUGUUGCCGAGGAUCAAACCUAGGUCACCCGCGUGAGAGAAGGGUAUACUCACCACUAUCAUUGGUUGAUUACAAGUAGAAAAUAGUAAAUUACACAAAAUAUCUGGAGAUAAAAAUCUAAUGGAGUCGGUGCAUAGGAAGAUUUCGCAUACCAUGCAAAAUUUCGCAUAGUGUGUGAAAUUCUUUGGCUGUUUUUUGUGGCUUCGCAUGGUGUGCGAAAUUUCUUCCUCUAGUUUUCUUCCUUGCAUUUCUCUAAUUGGUUUGACAAAAGACUAUGAAGUGCUCCAAAGCUUGGAUUCUUCAUGUAUUUGAGCUUCAACUUGCAUUGCCAUUGAUUUCACAAAAUUCUCCAUUUUCUUGGCUUGUUUCAAUGAUAAAAAAGCUACCAAAAACACCAAAACUUGCCAAAAACUAAUUAGUAACCCUCAAUAGGUUCCCUAAUGUGCCAAUUGAGUUAAAAGGUAUUAACUACUACUCAAAAGUGUUUAAAACAAUUAGUUUCAAGCUAUAAAAUAGUACUUUUUAAGUAGUAAUCAGUUUGGAGGUUAUAGCUUUGAUUUUCUUAUAUACACUCCAAAACGACGUCAUUUUGAUGCUAUUUUCUUUAAAAAUUAAUUUAAUUGAACCGGCUGGUUUAGAGGGAACCGAUCGGUUCAUACGACUCAUCGGUUGGACUGUCUGUUCAAGUGGUCCGACCCCAGUUUAAUGCAAUUCCAGUCCAAUUAACCGAACCGGACUGGAACCGUGACCGACUGAUGGUCAGACCAAUUGGUCGGGUCUGAUUUUUAAAACCAUGGGUUAUACAUCAAGAGCAUGGUAAUGGUUUGUAACCUAUAAAUCAUCAGAAAAAUAUAUACAAUUAAGUAAACUCAAAAAAUUAAUAAAAUAAAUAUGUCUCACAUUUAACAUUAUUUAAAUAGUUAUAAAAGUAUUCGCUCAAAGUUAUUUAUGAUAAUGAUAAUAAAAGAAAAUUAUUUUAUUUCAAAUAUAAUAACAUUUUUACUAACAAAUACAAUAAUCAAUUCCAUGUUGAAUGACGAGGGGGUUCAAAAUCAUCAUCAUCACUCCUACGACGAGUAUACAAAUUAGGAUGGUAAUUCUUGUAGUGAGGAUAUGGUUGAAAGAGUUGUUCAUAACUCGAAUAUGUUGGUUGAGAUGAUUGGCUUGAUGAUCCGUAAUUAGGAAAAUAUGGUUUCAAAGGCUAUUCGGGAUCAACACCAUAUUGAUAGUAUCCAAUACCUCAAUAGGCAAUGCUAUUGCUACUAGAAGAUUGAUCAUAUCCAUAGGAAUCACUAGCUCGUGUUCCAAUAUUUGAAUAUCCCUCUAGAUGCAUCAUUGGAAAUCGAUCAAAAUCAUUUCUACUAAAAGUACUGAAAGAGCUAUCACGGUCUCUAAAGUUGUGAUAUGAUCUAUCAUCUACUCCUCUUAAAUACGACCUUGUCCUAUACCCAAAUUCUAUAAGUGCUCAUCAAUACGGUGAUAAUUUGAUCUAUGACAACAUGCCCACUAGAAUAAUCAUCAUUGUUGGGAAAUGUAGUUAGUCUUUCCAAAUGCUUUCGUUGUUCCCAUAUCCUUGGUCAAUAUGCAUGAUUUGUAUCUUGUGUGGUAUAGUAAUUUUCAUCUCUUUGUGCCCAUGACAUGCCAUGAUCUAAUUGACUAACAUAACCGCCACUAGUGCUACCAUCUCCUCCAAUACCCUCACUAGUGCCACCAACUCCUCUACUGUCCCUACUAGUGCCACCACCCUGCUUACUACUCCCAUUAUCACCAUCAUCACUACUAGAACUUGAAAAAUUGUUCUAAGAGUCUUACCUUUAUGAUGGGAAUCAAUAUCUCUUUCUUGUGUAGCAUUACUUAUACGCCUACAAACUCUGCGAUUUAGGGUACUAUCAUCUUCAUGAAUUGUUCCUCUACCUUCUUCAUUAGGGGUAAGACCUUUAUCCAACCAAUCCAAAUUAUCAGAUGAAAAAAUAGGCUAUUUUCCUUCUCGUAUUCACUCAUCUAAUAUAUCAUCAUCAUUAAAGAUAUGAUUCAGAUAAAUUGGAUUGUAUAAAUCUUCAUUGUUUCGCUCUUGCAUCAAAUUCUUAACUCAAAGUCUCAUAUUGUAGUGCACAUAAACUAACUUAUGCAACUUUUUCAUUGCCGAACGGUUGCACAGCUUUGUGUGAAUCAAUGACCAUGUGAUCUAAUUUAUUUAACAACCUAAUGAAGAACAAGUUUGGCUUAAAAUUGUAACAGUAAUCUUUUGUAGAUGUGGACUUUCGUCGUCAUAGUUGUUCCACCAUUCGGCUAUAAUAAAGAAAAUGCAUACUUAUUAAUCACUAUGAUAUAUUUAACAAAAAAUGAUGAUAAUUUCUUAUUUGUAAUAGACAUAAAUGUAUUGAGUACUUGGAAGAGAAUGAUUUAUUGCUUUCUUUGUAAGUGCACUUCCAAAUUCUCCUUGGCAGUCAACAAAUAAUUUCACCUACAUCAUUAACAUUUUUUUUUUGUUAAUGCACAUUACAUAUACAAAAUGUAUUAUAUAAAGGUCACAAAUUAUUAUUAUACCUCGUUAAUAGCUUUUGCUUGUCUAUCCCAAUCUAGCUAUAAUCUUUUGAUAACCUCCUUUAAUCCAAUUUUAAUUUAUGGAUGGUUGGAGAAAUACUUUGAAUAUUGGAAGAUUGGAUUUAAAAAAUAUGCUACCAUAAGUUAAAUAAUGAUCAGUUUAUAAUAAUUUGUACUUUAAAAAAAUAAUAAAAAAUAUAUAAAGAUUUUUUUAUAUUACCUGUAGCAUGCAAAUGUCUGUGCAAUUGACCUUCCCAUCUUCUAUCAAUGACUUCCCAAUACUUUUCCCAUUGCUUGACCGAUGCCUUUAUAGCCAAUUUAGUUCUAUCCAUUGUUUCACAAAUGAUUGAUAGUAUGGGCUUUUUAUCUUGAUCAACCAAUUUCAAUACUUUGACGAAAGGUUCCAUGAUGGUUUGAACUUCCCCCGUCUUCUUCCAAAAUUGAUCAGUUAAGAUAAGAUUGGAUACCUUAUCUCUUAGACUUUUUUUGCUCCUAUCUUUAUUUAAUUCACUCCACUCAUUUGUUGUGCACAUUCUCUUCAAAUCAACCUCAUAAUGUAUAAGACUCUUAAGUGAAAUGAAUUCAGUGGCAAAACAAGUUAUUCCUAACCUUAACAAAUCUCUAUCCUUGGUGAACACUUUCAUCAAAUUCACUACUUUCAAGCUAUUAUAAAUAAAUCCUAUGAUCAUCUUUACUUGAUCUAAUGUCUCCUUAAUCUACUUCAUGCUUGCAAUAUUUUCAAGCAUUAAAUCAAUACAGUGGGUUGCACAAGGAGACCAAAACAAAUGUUUUGACUUCUCUAUCAACAACAUACUAGCUGCUUUAAAACUUGCCUCAUUAUCAGUGACUACUUAAACAACAUUUUCCUCCCCAACCUCCUCUACAACUUUAUCCAUAAGGGAGAUGUAGUUUGUUGUCUUAGGUAUGUUGGUAGUGUCAACUGAAGAAUGGUAUAUCAUACUUCUAUCACAAUAAAUCAUGAAAUUGAUGAUAAGCUUUCUAGUCCUAGAACUCCAACCAUCACAUGUGAUUGUGCACCCAUAUAUAGGUCAUUUAGCCUUCAAUGUUGUUAUAUACACCUCAAGCUCUUAUACCUCCUCUUCCAAAUAUGUAUUUCCAAUUUGGUAUCCCGUGAGACCCUUGAUGCCUGGACCUGCUUCUGCUAUGGUACCAAUCAUUGAUUGAUAGUAAGGUUCACUAUCAGCUACAUUAAAGAGUAUUGUAUUAAAGAGAAAGAAUUUAGAAAUAGUUUUACCCACUUUUUUCACGCCUUUGGUAGAAAACAAGCUUUCUAUUGAUUUCUGCUUUGAUGGGAAGGGAUCAAUUCCUUUUGGAGGUAUGCUAGCUCCUUCUCUUACACUGAAGCUACGUUUUGGUCCGCACUUAAUCCUAGUAUUUGUAUUUGUUACAUCCAUGCCUUCCUAAUCAUUUUCAAAAGAUCACCUUUUUUAUAUAAUAUAGAAAUAUUUGAUUAAAAAGGAUUAAAUAAUUUGUAAAUUGUGAAUUUAACCCUUCUCAUGUUUUUUCUUAAAAAAGUAACUCAAUUUUAACAUAAAUGUCAUUUAUUAUUUAAAGUAUUUACAUAUAGGUUUUUAAGGAGAUGAUUAUUUUUACAAGAAAUUAAUGAGAGCAUUUGUCCAAAUGAGGCCAAAAAAUGGUGGAAGGUCAAAUUUCAAAAAUUGGGUAUUCAAAAACUCUUUUAAUCAAAUAACCUUAUAAUAUAUUACCAAAGACUAACAAAACAGUUUUUUCCCGUUAAUUUCAAUCCAUUAAUUGACCUUUUUUUAUAAAAGAAAAAAAGAAUAAGAAAAAGAAAACACUUCUAAUGAAAUCGUUGCUAACAAAAGUGCUAUAAAUAAAAAAGUUUUAUGGUAUUUGUUUGACAACAAAUUUUAUGAGAAUAAUUUUUUCGUAGUAAAAUAUAUUUGACCAAAAAUUUUAUUUUAUUGUAAGAGGGCGAGCUUCCACCAUAAAUUUUAUUUUGGCAAAAAGUUAUUUUUUGAUAUGUCGCCAUAAAUUGUAUUUUGUGGUGAAAAGUAACUUGUUGUCACAAAUUUUAUUUUGUAGAGAAAUUAUUUAUUUUAUUAUGAAAUUAAAUUCCAUGGUUAAAAAUAAUUGUUUAUGAACUUACAACAAUAAAUUUGCACCAAAUAAUUUUUUGUGGAAAAAAAUCUUUUACUAUAUAUAGAACAUUUUUUUAAUCACAAAUUAAUUUAUGGCAAAAUCCCAUAUUUCACUUUCAAUGAUCUAGUUUAGGAAUUCCAUGGAUAUCACUUUAAUCGUUUAGCACUUUCUAACUAAGGAAGUUGAAGCCAUUUAGAAAUUGGUUGUUUUAGUAACAAAUUUUAGGUAUUUAAAAUUAUGUUGUUAAAAAGUAUUCUAAAAACUAAUUAAAAAUAUGAUAAGAUAAAAAUAAAAAAAAAUAAAAAAUUGUUUUUUGUUUGAUAAAAACCAUUUAAAAAAAAAACUAUGAACAGAAAUAAUUAUGUAGUAGUUAGAUUUUAUUUUACCCUAUUAGGGGCUACUCCCGAAAUCCACUUUUUGUUUUAUUUUAUAACGUGUGGUAGAAUAUGGAAGAGAUUCAAAUUUAGUAGGUGUUUAUUUUCUAAUCAUUUAAAUUUAUUAAACAAUUUUUUUAUUUAUUUAAUAAAAAAAGUUAUUAAUUAGUAUCAAACAUGAGUCAUUCCUACACUAGUAGUACAUGAGAGUCUCCUUGUAGUGGAAGAGUUAUUAAGUUCAUAUCCUAUUAAGGCAAUUUGAGAGAAACAUGAAGCCAAUUACCAAUGGGAAGUAGGUUCCUUCACUCUACAGACAUGUUCAUAUGCAAAUGUAAGAAUGAGAGACUAUGCCAAUAGCUAAAAUUGAAGGUUCUUGAGAGGGAUUUGGUUGAAAGAUUUGAGCACUGAAACACUCAUGAUCUGAUUUGAAUGAGAAAACAAUCAAAUGGUAAAUACAUAAAAAGUCAAUUUGACAUGAUAAAGCCACUCAAACCUCAAUCUUGGUGGUGAUGUUUAUCGUGGUGUGCAUGCGUGUUAAUGUUUAGUGAUAUUAAUUCAUGUAACUUUAUAUUUUCCAUGAAUUAAUAUUGGAUUGUUUAAAAUUGAAAAAAAAAUGGAAAAUUUUAAAAGUUAAUAACAGAAAAACUAAAAGAACAAUUGAGAAAUAAUAGAUUUAUAUAACUGUUUUCUAAACGCACAUGCGUGUUAAGGUUUUGGGAAUGAAAGCACACCUCGGUGCAGAGUGCAUGGAAUUGCCAAUAUUUUUGGCAUCAACGCAGACUUCUUGAUUUUCCCAAAGUUGGGGCUUGAAACUCCUAAUAUUUUGGGAUCAACGGCCCAUAACCAAGUUUUCCUAAAAAAUAUUGAUAGAUAUUUUGACAAAAAUAUUGAUAGAUAUUUUGACAAAAAUAUCGGUCAUGUGAUAAUUAUUCAAAAUUCAUGAAAAUAUUUGAAAAAAAAAAUUUUGAGGAUAGUACACUGGUUUAAAAACAAGUGGCCAAAACCAACUAUAUUAGAAUUUAGACCUUUUUUUCUUUUUAAAUGAUUUUAUUUCAAGGAUUAUAUAAUGGGCCGAAACUCCCGGCUCAUUCAAAAGUCUUUCUGUAGCACAAAUAUCUUUUAGGAAGAAGGUUAGAUUUUGGGAGAAUUGUGUUUUGGGCCCAGCUGGGCCAAAAAAUUAACAAAUGGUCCAUCUAAUUGACCUAAUUAAUGAUAAGGAUAUCAAAUGUUAAUAGACGAAAAUGCCCUUUACAUUUCCAAUUCAAAUUGUUGUAAAUUAAUGGGUUUCACAGCUGGUAAACGUGAAAUGCCAUGUCACCAGAGUGAUAAAGCCACUCAAACCUCAAUCUUGGUGGUGAUGUUUAUCGUGGUGUGCAUGCGUGUUAAUGUUUAGUGAUAUUAAUUCAUGUAACUUUAUAUUUUACAUGAAUUAAUAUUGGAUUGUUUAAAAUUGAAAAAAAAAAUGGAAAAUUUUAAAAGUUAAUAACAGAAAAACUAAAAGAACAAUUGAGAAAUAAUAGAUUCAUAUAACUGUUUUCUAAACGCACAUUAGAAUUUAGACCUUUUUUUUCUUUUUAAAUGAUUUUAUUUCAAGGAUUAUAUAAUAGGCCGAAACUCCCGGCUCAUUCAAAAGUCUUUCUGUAGCACAAAUAUCUUUUAGGAAGAAGGUUAGAUUUUCACGUUUGUCAGUGUUCCCCCACCAACCAUACAGGAUGUGACAAUCCUCCAUGUAAUAGUCAUGGGCCCAAGCCCCAUGUCUGUCUAAUAAUUGCAUUAGAAUGUGAAUCUCCAACAUCAGAUCCCUGGAAUCACCGGCAAAACCCAUAGUGGAUGUGGCUCUACCUCUCCAACAAAAGAUUUGAAUAGAUUUGAACCCUAAAAAAUAUGUAUAAAAUACCACUUCAUGAAUAAUAUUUUUUCAAAAAGUAUCGAAAAAGUACACUUUAAUAUUAGACUCAAAUCUUAAUAUAGCAGUUGUCACAAUGACCUUGUUUGGGCUAAAACUAAUGAAGAAGGCAAUAUUUGUGUAAUAUUGGUUUUGUGUUGAAUAUGAAGUAACAUCAUAUUGGUUUUGUGUUAAAAUGUCCAAUCACUUGAUUUUCAAUAAUGUUGAAAUGUAAACUUUAGUAUCUUUUAACAUUUUUCAUAAGCCAAAUCAAAAACUAUAUAUAUGGUUGAUGGUAUAAUUUUUUAUUUUUUAUUUUUUUGGAGAACUAUGCAAUUACACCAACUUAAAAAAAAAAAUUCAGAAAUUAGAAGUUUAAAUUUUACUUUUUAAUUUAAGUGUACUAUCCAUUCAUGUAUUCAAGUAUAAGCCAUAUUUAGGAAUUCCAUGGAUAUCACUUUAAUCGUUUAGCACUUUCUAACUAAGGAAGUUGAAGCUAUGUAUGGGAAUGAUAAUUGACAAAGAGUAAUAUGUACUAUAAAAGCCCACACAAGUGCAAGCUUUCUUCCAUUGCAUCAUUCACCACAUUUUUUUCCUCGAAUUUUGUAUUGUCACAAAUGAAUGACUCAAUUCCAAGCCUCUCCAACGGUCCGGGCCGGGCCGCCCGGCCUGGAGGAGUCAGUCCCGUGGCCCAGCCCGGGCCGGGCCACUGAGCCCGUUGACUGGUCAACGGGCUGGGUCGGGCCGGGCCUUGGUAUAUCUAAGCCAAUGGGCCCUCAAGCUGGGCGGGCUUGGCGGGCUGGGCUGGCGGGUUGGGCUGCGGGGUGGGGAAAAAAUUUAAAUAAUUUUCAGUUUUGAAGAGAAGGGGAUUUGAACCCCUUCCCUUAUGGAACCACAAGGGAGCUAGCCACCAACUGAGCUGGGCCUUUUUUUGUGUAACUAUUUUGCAUUAGUUAUAUAUAUAUAUUAGAAAUGUUGUAUGAUUUUUUUAAAAAAUAAAAGUGAGUUGGCGGGCCUACAAGCGGGCCAGCCUGUCGGGCCGCGGGCUUUUUGGAGAGGCUUAGAGUCAAUUCAUUGAAGGAGCUAGCAUCUUUUGGUCCUUCAACCUUUAUAUGUAAUGGUGGUUGCAUGGUAAAGUUGAUAAUUCUAUUUGAUAGGUUUCUGAAUCUAGACGCUUUGUUUAACGUACAAAUUUGGAAUUUGAUUUGACCAACUUCAUGUAAUUUUUGUAAAAAAAUAAUUAAAAAUUCAUGAUGAUUUAAUGCAGAGGGUGGAAGUCAGCAUGGGAAUAGUGUACAUUUUGAAACUUUACUUUUGACUUUUCAAGUUUAUUAAUUUUGUAUGUUAAAAAUAAUAUCUGAGGAGUGAGGACAAUGAUUUUAGAUUAAAAUCAAAAUUUGACAAAAUGUCAGUGGGGACUUGGGACAAAUAGUGCCCUGUGCUAUAAAAUCCAUGUUUCUUGCUGCUAUUUUUCACUCAGACGCACGCUUACAAGUCUGCUUCUCUUCCAUCCCUCACUCUGGCAUACAAAGACACUUAGAAUUAGUUAGCAUUCAUGGGUGGUGGAGAUUUCACAAUAAUAGUGAGCAGGAAGGAAGUAGUGGCAGCUGUACUGCCUGUGCAGAAGUACUGGCUACCGCUAUCUAACCUGGACUUGUUUUUGCCUCCAGUAGAUGUGGGUGUGUUUUUCUGUUACAAGAAGCCACAUGAUUUAACAUUUGGGUCCAUGAUUGGCGUUCUAAAGGAGGCCUUGGCCCAAGCACUGGUGUCCUAUUAUCCAUUUGGAGGAGAAGUUUUGAGUAACUCAGCAGGUGAGCCCGAGCUCCUUUGCAACAACCGUGGGGUUGAUUUCAUGGAAGCUUAUGCGGAUGUACAACUACAAAACCUCAACUUGUAUAACCCUGAUGAAAGCAUUGAAAGCAAGCUUGUCCCUAAGAAGAAACAUGGCGUUCUGUCAGUCCAGGUAACUCUCUCUCUUUCUCUAUGAUAUGCUAAUCCUAAUUAGUUGUAAUCAUGACAUGCUUAUUGUUAUGUAAAUGAACUAAUGACAGGUGACUGAGCUCAAAUGUGGCGGAGUUGUGGUGGCCUGUACAUUCGAUCAUAGGAUAGCAGACGCAUAUUCUGCCAAUAUGUUUCUAGUUUCAUGGGCUGAAAUGGCUCAGUCCAAACCAUUAUCAAUACUAUCAUCUUUCCGGCGUUCUCUCCACAACGCUCGAAGUCCGGGCUCCUAUGAUCCUUUCCUUGACGACAUGUACGUCCCCAUGUCAGCCUUACGUCCUCCCAAAGCUCCACAGUCUGGUGAUGAUCUUCUCAUAAACCGCCUUUACUAUGUCACAGCCGAACAACUCAGUCUACUCCAAUCACUAGCUACCAGCAAGAGUAGCCCCUGCAAGAGGACUAAACUAGAGUCUCUCAGUGCUUUUCUAUGGAAGAUGGUGGCCAAAAGUGCAAUCACGGAAGACGCAAACCAAAAAAUAUGCAGGAUGGGCACCGUGGUGGAUGGAAGAAAGAGACUGAGCAAUGGAGAUGAGGUUAAAGCAGCAAUAAUGGCCUCUUACUUCGGAAAUGUGUUGUCCACCCCCUUUGGUAAGAAGACAAUAAAUGAACUGAAAGAGAAACCAUUGAGCUAGGUGGCAGAUGCAAUUCAUCAGUACCUGGAAGGAGCAGUAACAAAGGAGCAUUUCCUGGAGCUGAUAGAUCGGGUGGAGGCUCACCGUCCGGAGCCAGCUUUAGCAAAGAUAUACAGUAGUGGCAGUCGCGAUGGACUGGCAUUUGUGGUGUCAUCAGGGCAGAGAUUCCCAACGUCAAGGGUGAAUUUCGGGUGGGGUAUGCCGGCUCUAGGGUCAUACCAUUUUCCACGGGGUGGGGAAGCUGGGUACGUGAUGCCAAUGCCGAGUCCUGUCAGAGAUGGAGACUGGGUGGUGUACAUACACCUCUUCGUGGGGCAGAUAGAGUGGAUUGAGACUGAGGCUACUCACAUCUUUAGACCCUUAAGUUCUGAAUAUCUCAACUUGAGCAACUCAGAUUAGCUUACAUUUAUCACUUCCUAUUUGUUCACUGUCCCUCACAAUGUUUGUUAUUGUCUCCAUCUCUAUUUACUGAUUGUCAUCGGCUUAAUGUUAAAUAUCCGUUUAAGAAGAAGCCCGCCUGAUUUAGAAGCCCCGAUUUUUUGUGGCUUGUCUAUUCCAAUUUCCAACCUCGUUAAUUUUCCUCCUCUAUUCAAAAUUCUCUAUGAACAUAAAUAAUACAUUAAUUGUGGGAUUAGUUUUGGCAAAUAGGAAGUAGUUGAAAUUUAUGGAGUUAGGUUCGACUAAUGAAAAAGACGUAACCCAAGUGGUAUUUUUAAUUCAAAAAAACAUUUUAUAAAUAUUUUAAUUUUUUUUUAAAAAAUAAAUUGUUAUUAAUAAAAAAUUUACUAAAUCAUAAAGAAUAUAACUAUUUCCAAGUAAUAAGUCUUUUGUACGUGCUUAAAAAAUGAGAUAGAUAUGAACCUAAUGAAGUACGAUUUUUUUAAACAAAGUGAAAAAUUUAAAAUCAAAAAAUCAAAAUGGGAGCAGUCAAUUGGGAAAAUUUGUCCUUUUCUAGACUGCAAAAUGAGUGUAGGCUUCUACAGUUGCUGCAUUCUAGUUGAUGUGUGAUGAAAGGUUUGUGCCCACAAUGGUGCAGAUCCAAACAGCUAUUUACAAAGGGUAGUGUUGAGGCCUUGCGUCUCGAUGAUCCACGUAGCUGCCAAAUGGACGCACACUUUCAACCAAGAUAGAUUUCUGGUUCAGUCGUCCCUGCAAAAGAUGUCCGGACACACCCUCCGAUGGUUUUGUCAGCCAUGUCUAGAGAGAUUAAGCAGUUGACCUUUUACUAGGUAUAGCAAGCUUACCUUUUUCCUUGUGUGAAGGUUCCUUUAUAUAGUGUCAGAAGCUCGUCCUCCCUCUUUAAUGAUGGGAGGACUUUUUGGCUCGUCAUGAUGACUCCAAGGUGGUGGCAGGGCCAUCAUCACCCUGUGGGCGGCUGUCAGAGAUCGUGGGAGGUGACUUGCCAUCAUUCCUGUCCUUUCGCUCUGCAGGCGGAGGAUCGUGGGAGGUGACCUGCCACCACUCCUAUCCUUUCGCUCUGCAGGCGGCAGAACGUGGGUUGUGGCAGGCUGUCGGAAUGAUGUAGCAAGACUUGCUCACCUCAGUCAAUGAUCCGGAUAGGAUAUGUUACCAUCCGGGCGUGACAUUCGCGAGUGAUGUGUGCUUCUCCCUGAGGGAGUCCGGAUAGGGGAACGCGCCACAUGUCCUCUUGGAGAGUCCGGAUGGAGUUUGAUCCGGAUAGCAAUGCGUGCCACAUGUCCCACUUUGGAGAGUCCGGAUGGAGUUGCUUCGGAUAGCGAAGCGCGCCACGUGUCAUCAGGGGGAGGGGUCCCUACAAUGCCCCCCUUUUAACCUAUCGAUUUAUCCCGGGCAGAAUGGGCGGGUUAAAAAUGAUUGUUUUUGAAACUGCGGUUACCUUUUGCACUCAUUGGGCCACGUGGUGCACGGGGGCGAAAAGGAAAAUAGGGUAUUUAUGACGAGCCGCCGUCUCUGGGAUUUCCUAGGCAGCAUGUCUUUUCAGCAACGGCGCGGCUGGACGUUUGGGAUACCAAGGGGCUGUCUCACUAUAAAUAACAAACUGAGCCCUUCACUCUUGCAUUUUUUUCUUCUGCAUUUUUUACUGGUAGUGCUUUCUCUUCAGCCUUCUGCAUACCUUCGUUUGUGAGCGAGGUUCUAGGGUUUCUAUUACCAACAUUCGUGCCGUGACGGUGACUACAUCGCGGACUUUAUCUCCAUUUUCCCAGUUUACGCUCGGUACGUUCUCUAUCCCUGCCUUCUUCUUACUGUGUUUGUUUUUGCGGUUGCUUUUGGCUUGUUGGGCAAGUUUCUUGCGACUGGGAGUCAGUAUUGGUUUCUAGGGCUUUUUCGGGGGGUUUUGAUCGUGUUUUGGGUGCGUUAGGGUUUCUAUUGCCCCCUUGCACCUUUUGUGGGCUGCCGAUCCUUCUUUGGGGUAGAGUCAAGGGUUAGGAUGGAGAUGCUGGUUAUGUUAGGUUUUCUGAGCGUCUUCACUGCUAAGGUUAUUUUUUUAUUGUUGGCAUUCUAUCAUGCAGGUUUCGUUUUAGUCCCACUCUAAAAAAUGUCGGCGAACAAGGGUGCUGCUUCGUCUAGCGAGGCUGAGCAGAGCGGCAAAGAUGCGUCCGGAGAGGUCCACGCGGAAAAAUCCGUGGACAAGUUGAACGUGAGGGAGUUCUAUGAACACUUCUGCAUCCCAAACGGCAUGUCCAUUCAGCUUAUGGACGGGGAGGCCGUGUCCACGGAGAAAUCUGCGAACAACGCUAUCUUCUUCAACAAGGAGCAAUUCAAUGCUGGGCUCCGGUUCCCCCUCCCAUUGUUGUUCAAAGAAUUUCUCCACGUCACCUGGAUCCCAACAUGGUCCGGGUGCUGAUGGGGUGUAGCAUUCUGAGCAUGCUGUUCAACCUGGACCUCUCACUACUGGAGGUUCUUUUUAUCUACUCGAUUAAUAAGAGGAAGAAUGAUAUCUAUAGCUUUGUCGCCAGCCUUCCAUCCCUUCAGUUGGUGACCAGCCUUCCUGACUCGACCAAGGGGGUCGCCAGAGGACACGUGAUGGUCAAGGGCGUAUGGGCGGGUUUGACGGAGCAUCCGGACAGGCAGUUUGCUCCAAACCAGUCAUUGAAGGCCCCAGGUAUGAAUAAGUUGCUUCCUGUCCUCCCGUGGUUGCGAGUUAGGUCAACAUUAUUAGGUGGCUGACAUGCUUUGUUCUCUUGGGUGCAGACAAGGAUAGAAGGGGGAAGUUGGUAGAUUGGGUGGAAAAAGCUUCGUUCGACCGGUUGAACAGGGUAUUUGAGAUUGCGGCGGACGAGAGGAGCUGUGAAACGCUUCUCUCCGCGCAGAAUCUCUGCUUGGUUACCCAAGAGCCCCAGCCAUUCGUACUCAACAUACUUCCAAGGCGGCUUCCCAAAAAUGUGGUGGCUGGGGAGCAUUUCAUUCUCAAAGAUCUCCCAUUCUACACGGCGGUGCGAAAGGCAGAUGCCCAAGCACGCAAAGCACUUCUCAACGAACGGGAGGAGAAAAGACAAGAGGGGACUUUGCGGAAGGCCCCUAGUGAUAAACGCUCCGCGCCCUCUCCUCCUGUUGGCGCUCCAGCGGGAAAGAAGAAGAAAGUUCCCACUAAGGGAAAAACAAUAAAACCUCCAACUCCCACAAAGGAAGUAGUAAUAAAAUCGCCAACUCCCACAAAGGGAAUAAUAAUAAGACCUACAGCUUCUUCCGGCUUGCCCUCUGUUUCAAGCGGUUCCGGACAUAUCGCGUGUCUAAAAGGAUCGGGGCCUUCAAUGCCAGCGGCUGAACAGAUGGCUCUUCUGGCUGAGGAAGCAACCUCAGUGUAUCAGCCGGGCUUUUCCCCUCCGGACGCGGAUGUAGACGGGGCCUCUUGUGCUGAAACGUUGCCUCCUAUGGCGCCUCUAAUGGAAGAAACGGGGGCUGAGAGGCAGGGUUUGCCCCCUUGCGAGUCAAGCUCCCUUGCCCUUGUACCGGUGAAGGGGCCAGCUACGAGGAGGUCUCGUCCAGCCCGCGAUUUAAAGUCUGGCAUCAGUGGGCGGCUUCAGGGUCGUCUUCUGGAAACCAUCGAAGUCAGCUGCUCAUCCGCCCAGGAAGAUCAUCCAAAGGAGUGUGAGCCGGAGAUGGCGGAAGAGAACCCAACCGACCCGAUGCUGGUCCCGGAUGAGAGUUCGCCCGAAGAAACUCAGCUGACCGUGAAUGAUGGGGGCCCAGAUCCAAGGGAGGAGUCACACCAUAACGCCUCAUCAGAAGGGAGUCCCGUUGAUGAUGCGACUUGCACCUCCGCUAGCCCUUCCAACUAUGCGGAGUUGGAAGAAAUGUUGAAAUGGAUUCCACCCGGCUCAAAAUGUUGCUCUACCUUCAGCAAAAAUGUUUGAGGCGACGGAAAUGGUAUAGUUUACUCCUCUUUAUUUUCUUGUCAUACUAGUCUGCUUGUCACAUGGUUUGUAAUUGAACUUCUUGUUGUGGGUUUUUCUGCAGCUGGUGAGCGGUAUUCGCGGCAUGGUUCAGCAACGCGAUCUUUUUUCAGACCUGCUGUGGAUUUUCGACCACAUGAAGGCCUUCGUCUCCCAGCACAUGAGUGGUGAAGAAGAAUUGCGCUCGAGAUUGGAGCAGGCCAAAGCCAGCUUAUCCGCUGCCCAGAGAGCCUCUGAAGAAAGUGCCGAAGCGUUGAAGAAGUCGUAGGACGAAAGCGAGGCUCUCCGGAUAAAGCUAGCAGAGGAAAAGAGACGGGAGGAAGCUACGGAAGCUCGUCUGCACGAGGCGGAGGACGAGGCGGCCCAGCUGAGGGGGGAGGUCAGACAACUCCGGACAGAGGUGUCAAUUGAGAAAAAAUAGAAAGAGGAAUCGCAGUUGCGUUUAUCAGCACAAAAAGAAGAGCUGGAGGCUGAGUUUGCUGCGCAAAGGGAGGAACUCGAGGCGGAAUACCAGAAACAGGUAGAUGAGAUGUAUCUCUUUGGCUACCGUUGCUGCAUGAAGAAGCAUGGUAUCAAGCGAGACGUCCCUUCGAUUCCUCCUAGCGAGGAAGAAAAGUUGCGCGGCAAGCCUUCCCAAUAAGAGCUUUUCUUUUUGUAACCUUUAGUGCUAUUUCUCUUUGUAUUUGUAGUCCAGAGGACCUUUUUGUAUACAUUUUUCACAAGUAUUAAUAAAACAUACUUAUUCACAUUGUGCUUCUAUCUUUCUUUCAUUGGUAAUACUGCUUUAAAUUGGAUACAUUCCAUGGUCGGAGCAAUGGGGUUCUGUCUAGCUUCUAUAGAUGAUAAGCUCCACUUUCACUUGUCUUGGACACUAUAUAGGGGCCUUCCCAAUUGGCUUGAAACUUUCCUACUCUUGUCUCAGCAGUGUUUUUGAAGACCUUUCUAAGAACCAACAUUCCACUUUUGAAACUCCUGGGCCUUGCCUUGCGAUUGUAGUGAGUUGCUGCCUUUUGUUGAUAGUCGGCCAUCCGAAUGGAUGCAGUCUCUCUUACUUCAUCUGCCCAGACUUCUUCCAAAUUCUGCAUUUGCAUCAUCCUGGAAUCCUGCCUCAGUCCGGAUAGUGGGUAGCCCUAAUUCUAUAGGAAGGAAUGCGUCUAUACCAUAUGCGAGGGCGAAGGGAGUGUUUCUUGUUGGUCGUCCGGGUAUGGUUCGAUAAGCCCACAGGACGCCGGGUAGCUCCUCCACCCAUUUCCCUUUGGCUUGCUCGAGCCUCUUUUUUAAGGCAGUUAUUAGGGUCUUGUUUGUAGUCUCUGCUUGUCCAUUGCUUUGAGGAUAACGCGGUGUGGAGUAUGAAUUCCAGAUGUUUAGUUUCGAAUAGAAAUUCCAGAAAGCUAUGCUAUCAAACUGUGGACCAUUGUCAGCUAUAAUGGUUUAGGGGAUUCCAAAGCGGCAGAUGAUGUUCUUCCAUACGAACUUGGUGACAUCUUUCUCUUUGAUGCUAGCAUAUGCUUUAGCUUCCACCCAUUUACUGAAGUAAUUUGUGGCGACGAGCAGGAAUUUUUUCUGGGCGGCUGUGACUGGUAGGGGACCUACUAUGUCCAUGCCCCACUGCGCGAAGGGCCAGGGGCCUGAAAUUGGUUUCAACGUCUCUGACAGCAUAUGUGGUAUGGGGGCAUGCCUUUGACACUUGUCACAUUUUUUGACAUAAGCUGCCGCAUCCUUUUUCAUCGUGGGCCAGUAAUACCCUUGCGAAUGGACCCUGUGCCCCAGAGAUCGACCUCCGGAAUGGUUCCCACAUACUUCCUCAUGCAACUCAGCUAAUACAUACAGGGCCUCUGAGUGGUUUAGGCACUUGAGAUAGGGACCUGUAAAGGACUGUUUGUACAAGUGCCCCCCGAUCAGGGUGAAAUGGGCGGCUUGCAUCCGGAUCUUGUGUGCCUGCUUGGGCUCUUCGGGCAAAAUUCUUGUCUGGAGGUACCUUAUAAUGUCUUCCGUCCACUCUUGGUCGUCUGCUUGGUUUGCCUCAAUAGUAUUGCAAGUGGAGGUUUCCGCGACGGAAAGGUUGGCUUGCACAUGUAUAGACAAUAAUAUGGCUUCUUUGAUGGAGAGAGAAGCAGUUAUGCCUGCUAGGGCGUCAGCACGUCCAUUUUCAGUCCGUUUAAUUUUUUCGAUCGUCCAUUUGGUGAACCGUUGUAAGGUGUUCCUUACUUUAGCCAGGUAUCGCGCCAUGCGCUCAUCCUUAGCUUUGUAUUCCUUCUGGACGUGCUUUACCACAAGUUGAGAAUCACUAUAGACUCGGAGCCUGGAAACGAAUAGAGCCAGGGCGAGGUCCAAUCCGGCUAGGAUGGUCUCAUACUCUGCUUCAUUGUUAAAGGGGGGGAACCCCAGUCGGAUGGCUUGUUCCAGAUGUUCUCCUGUUAGGGAUUACAGCAGAAGCCCUACUCCGGAUCCUUAUGACCGGGAGGCUCCAUCAACCCACAAAGUCCACCACUCUUUUUCACUUGGUUCCUUGCGCUAGAUAGGCCUUCGGGAGUAUUCCAGCACGAAGUCAGCCAUCACUUGGCCUUUCAUGGAUAACCUGGGUUGGAACUCGAUUCCAAAUUCGCUCAACUCUAUGGCCCAUUGAAGCAUUCUUCCGGUUAAGUCCGGCUUGUGCAGGAUGUUGCGAAGGGGCUGGUCAGUUAGCACGACCACCGGGUGAGCUUGGAAGUAAGGGCGGAGUUUCUGGGCGACACUUCGAAGAGCCAAGGCCGUUAGCUCCAUCUUUGAAUACCUUGUUUCUACGUCCGCCAACACUCUGCUGACGUAGUAAAUAGGUUUCUGCUCCUUGGGCGAGGGGCAGCGGAAUAGAACAGCGCUGAUUGCCCACUCUGAUACAGCCAGGUACAUAUACAAUUUUUCUCUAGGGAGGGUAGAAUGGGCGGUUGCAUGAGGCAAUGUUUAAUUUUUUCGAAAGCGCUUUGACAGCUGUCCGUCCAUCCGCUCGUUCCAGCUUUUCGUAUUGCCAAAAAGAAGGGUCGCAGCUUAUCAGUGAAACGGGCUAUAAAGCAUCCUAGCGCGACGAGCUUGUCUGUGAGGCGCUGUAAUUCUUUUUUGCUCCUAGGGGGUGGCGUUUCCAUGACUGCCUUAACUUGAUCCGGGCUAACCUCUAUCCCCCUUUGGCUUACCAUAAAUCCCAGGAAUUUGCCAGCACUUACGCCAAAGGCGCAUUUAGAAGGAUUCAGCUUCAUGCCAUAGUUCCUUAAGAGGUGGAAGACUUCUUGCAAGUGGAAGGUAUGUUCCUCUCGGGUUUUGCUUUUCACCACGAUAUCGUCAAUAUAUACCUCCACUGUGCGUCCGACCAGAGGUUUGAAGAUCUUCGUCAUCAGUCUCUGAUAAGUGGCGCCAGCGUUUUUAAGUCUGAACGACAUGACUUUGUAGCAAUAAAGACCGUGUGGCGUUAUGAAGGCUGUCUUCUCUUCGUCGGCUGGGGACAUGGGGAUUUGGUGGUAUUUGGAGAAGGCGUCUAAGAAGGAGAGCAUCCCUUGCCCAGCAGUAGAGUCCAUAAUUUGGUCUAUCCGUGGCAGAGGGAAAUUGUCUUUUGGGCAUGCAUUAUUGAGGUUGGUGUAAUCGACGCAUACAUUUGCCUUCCUUUUUGGGUACCACUACUACAUUUGCCAACCAGUCCGGAUACUCCACUUCUCUAAUGAAUCCGGCUGCCAGCAAUUUGUCAAUCUCAUCCCUGAUAAAUUUUUGCCUGUCCGGGUGAAAGCGUCUAACUCUCUGCCAGACGAGUCUUGAUGUUGGCAAGACGUUAAGUCUAUGAGAGACGAUGGAAGGGUGAAUUCCCUUCAUAUCAGUAUGCGUCCAUGCGAAGACGUCAUGGCUUUGUCAGAGGGCGUCUUGGAUGUUCCGAGUCUCUUCAGGCGCCAAGAGGGAACUGAUAUAUGUAAGGUGAGUACCUUCUUCUGAAAUUUGGAUCGUCUGCAAGGGAUCUGCUGCCGGGGGAUCUUUGUCCAUCAGGCUUAGUAAUUGUUAUUGGUCAAGUACAUGGGUGGACUCAAGGAGGGGUUUAUCCUCUUGACUAGUUCCUAUCUCUCGUGCUAUCUGGUAGCACUGGCGAGUGGCUAGCUAGCUGCCAUAUAGAUCGAUUUGACCAUCCUUAGUAAGAAAGCUUACCACUUGAUGAUAUGUAGAGGGAAUGACUUUCAUGUAGUGCGGUCAUGUGCGCCCCAAGAUGACAUUGAAGGGUGAUAAAUCUUGUACCACCGAAAAUUGUACGUUGAGAGUGACUGGGCCAGCUUGGACCGGCAGCACAAUAUCUCCCAAGGAGGUAGUUGACGCUCUGUUGAAUCCGGACAAAAUUCACCCAGGGUUUUCGAGGCCUGUUAGAUUGCGCCCUAUGUGGCUAAUGACCGAUGCUUGUACAAGAUCGGCCGAGCUGCCCAGAUCAACUAGGAUGUGUCUUACGUCGAAGUCUCCUAUCCCUAGGGACAGGAUGAGGGCGUCGCGGUGCGGCUGCAAUAUCCGUGUGGGGUCUACUGGUGGGAAAAUGAUUGUCCCAUCUAUGGGGCUAGGGCCCCCCCCAGUUAUCCCAGGCCAUAUGGAGUUGAUGCGCUCACGCACCGAUGUAGCCUGCAACAGCCUCUGUUUCUUUCGUUUGGAGUCGUACUCCUCGUCCAUUGGUCAUCCGUUGAUAUAGUUUAUAAUGGAUUUGGGGGCGAUUGGAACCCUAGGGACUCCAGAGUUGGGAUUUCAGGAAGCGUCCCUACCUCUGACAUCCGAGCGAAGGUAUUGCUUCAAAUGUCCCGCCCUUAUGAGCCUCUCGACCAAAUAAUGGAGGCUUCUGCACAUCUUCGUUGUGUGACCAUGCUCCUUAUGAUAGGCGCAUUUUUUACUAUGAUCCCUUUUGGAUGGGUCCGCUGUGAGGGGUCUGGAUCACCUGAAGUCGGACAUGUCUUGGAUCAUAGGGAGAAGUUUCUCAUAGGAUAUGGAAAGGGGUGUGAGGGGCGGCUGUUCUGGGCGGCGUUGUUCUUCCUGCCUUCGACCAGACGGCCUUAGCCGGUCCGGAAUUUUGGCACUUCUCUCCGCACCACUCCUGGAUGCCUGUCCGACAACCAAGACUUGCUGAGUGGCUGCUCGCACGUCAUCUUCAAGCAUUGAGUAUUUGCUUGCGCGUCGGAACAAGUCGUCCAUCGUCAUAGGAGGCUUUUUAGCCAGCGAUUCGAAGAAUGGGGUGCCUGGACGAUGCUUCGCUUGAAGAUCUGUAGGACAACAUCUAUGCUGUAAGCUUCUACUUGUAAGACGGCCUAACCAAACUGCUUCACGAAUUCUCUCAACGACUCGUUCUCCUGCAUUUUUAUGUUUUGCAGAGUGCUGAUGUUCUGUUUUUGCCAAGCGGAGCAUAAGUAUUGUCCCAUGAAAGCCUCCGACAGGUCCCUCAAAUUAUCAACAGAAUUGAGAGGUAGGCGGUGAAACCAUGAGAGGGCCUGCCCUUGUAGGCUGGCGGGGAAUACUUUGCAUAGCAGCUCGUCAUUUCCUCUAUCUAGAGUCAUGAGUUGUCGAUAAUGCAUGAUAUGGUCGAAGGGGUCGCUAGACCCAUCGUACGUAGAGAAUUUAGGUACGAGAAAUCCCCUUGGGGGAUCGUAAUGAAUAAUAUGAGAGCAAAAAGGUAUGGAGAGCAUGUCGUCCAGCCUUUUGCUGAUGGAGCCACUGGGUGGCUCGUUUGGGAGGUUUCUCCCAGCUUGUCGUACCGCUUGGUGCGGGGGAACGUUUUGCACCAUAGGGGUGACCAUGGGGUCAGGGCGUGCUCUGUGCCAGUCAGGGGCAUCACAGAGUGGCCUCCCAGGCUCCUGUGGGCCUAGUCUCGCGUGCAUGGUGCCAGACAACUGGGAUCUUUUGUCACGUCGUCUCUUUGAUGAGAGAUGAGUAGAGUUCGAGCUUUCCUCUUGGGGAGUUUGGUGUAGGGGCAUGUGUUGCUCUUGUGGCUUAACGUUGCUUGUUUUUGGGAUGGCUCCUGUUGUCCCAGGGUAUAUUGACUCUAGGUCAGGCCUUGAGUUUGCUACCUGGCCUCUCGAGCGCUGACCACGAGGAGGCCUCGCCGAUGAAGCCUAGAUGCGCAACACAACGUUUUCUUCUCUCAAUCUCGCUGUCUCCUGGAGGAGAGCCUGCAUUUGUCGCUCGCUUGCCAACUGUCUUCUCUCGAUGGCUCGACGCCAUUCGAUAUUAUCUUCCUCUUCCCUAGCAGACAAGCGGCUUCUGGAAGGUGCAGACAUCUUUACCGGCGACUGAAUCAGCGAUUUUCCCACAGACGGCGCCAAUGUUGAGGCCUUGCGUCCCGAUGAUCCACGUAGCUACCAAAUGGACGUACGCUUUCAACCAAGAUAGAUUUCUAGUUCAGUCAUCCCUGCAAAAGAUGUCCGAACAAGGUGUCCGGACACACCCUCCGAUGGUUUUGUCAGCCAUGUCUAGAGAGAUUAAGCAGUUGGCCUUUUACUAGGUAUAACAAACUUACCUUCUUCCUUGUGUGAAGGUUCCUUUAUAUAGUGUCAGAAGCUCGUCCUCCCUCUUUAAUGAUGGGAGGACUUUUUGGCUCAUCAUGAUGACUCCAAGGUGGUGGCAGGGCCAUCAUCACCCUGUGGGCGGCUGUCAGAGAUCGUGGGAGGUGACUUGCCAUCAUUCCUGUCCUUUCGCUCGGCAGGCGGAGGAUCGUGGGAGGUGACCUGCCACCACUCCUGUCCUUUUACUCUGCAGGCGGCGGAACGUGGGUUAUGGCAGACUGUCGGAAUGAUGUAGCAAGACUUGCUCACCUCAGUCAAUGAUCAGGAUAGGAUAUGUUACCGUCCAGUGUGACAUUUGCGAGUGAUGUGUGCUUCUCCCUGAGGGAGUCCGGAUAGGGGAACGCGCCACAUGUCCUCUUGGAGAGUCUAGAUGGAGUUUGAUCCGGAUAGCAAUGCAUGCCACAUGUCCCACUUUGGGGAGUCAGGAUGGAGUUGCUCCGGAUAGCGAAGCGCGCCAUGUGUCAUCAAGGGGAGGGGUCCCUACAGGUAGGUUAGAAAACUUAUCAAACCCAUGUGCCUGCAGGGCCAAUAAUCUCACUCUCUUGUGAAAUAUAGUGAGCACUGAGCAGUACAAAAAGUCAAUUUCAUGAGUCUUUUAACUCUUUAUGCCCCAUGUGUAUUCAUUUUUAUAUGUUUAGAGUUUUGUCGAAAUGCUUUGGAGGGUUUUGGCCUUUGAAAUAAUCUAAUUUCUCCUUCCCUAAUUAUUAUUGAUAUUCAAAUUUUCUGGUGGCAAAACUAAUGCUUUUAUAAAUAACAAAUGAGCACUCACUCGGUUCAAUAAAAGAAUUAUAUAUCAUCAUUAAAUAAUACACAUGAUAGGAUAAAUAUGGACAGACAUCAUAUUAUAACCAUUGUUCAGGAUUUAGUUAUCUAUUUAUAUACGAUUUCUAUUUGAUCUAGAGUAUGGACCAUCUAAUGUGUAGAGUCCAAUGCCAUCACGAGCCUUAGAUGAUGGGCCUAAAACUCGUGAGGCCCAAUAGCCAAUGGGUAUGGUCCCUAAGGUAAGAGGGUAUAAAAUAAGGUGAGGCUUUUGUUUGUUCCAUUAUGUUAUCACACCUUUUGAAAUAAAGAGGAACCUGUUCUCUCCCGCUCCCAUCGUCAGAGAGAAUUCAGAAAGAGGUGGUGCCCUCCAAAGUCUUAGAAGAUCCAUAUAUCUUCAACAAAACAAAAGGAAAAUGGACUCAGGUAUGUUCCAAAAUCAAAAGCAAAAGGCAUGUUUGAAUGAUAGAUAUAAAUUUAUCCUACUUGUGUUUGGUGCUAACGGAGAAUAUAGAAACUUUAACAAUUGGUUUCAGAGCCUAUAUACCCAUUUUCACCAUAACCCGCAUUCUGUUUCUUCCUUUUCUCAUUGGGAAUCAAACUAAUUAUAUAUAUAUAUAUAUUUGUAAAACGAAUGGGUAUUAAUACCUGCAAUCAGAUUUGGGAAUUAAUGGAGGAAGGCCAUUCGACGCCGGUGAGAGGUGCCGUUUCAGGCGCGCUUCAGGCUCCAUUUUAGGUGUCGUUUCAGGCGCGCUUUAGGUGCCAUUUCAGGCGCAUUCCAAGUGCCAUUUUUCAAGAGCUCCAGAAGCGCCAUUUCAGGCAAUCCAGACGGCGUGCAGACGCUGUUCCUCAGGCGUUUCAGAAGCCAGUGAGAAGCGCUAAUUUGGGCGCUGUUGCAGGCGUUUUAGAUGCCAUCUAGGCGCCGUUUUUGGAGCCAUAGGUGGGGCUGCUUCCUAGUGACGCCGUUACAGCAUCAUUCCGGUGGUGGCGCCGUCGUUUGGCGAUGGGAAAUCACUAUUCCGAUGAUGGCGGCGGCGUUUUGCCGCCGGUUACCAUUGAUGAUGCCACUGCAGGAGAUGGUUGCUUUGGGAUGCAGUGAACAAAAUAAAUAAAACAAUUUGGUAUCUAGAUACUUGAUUGUGCCAAAUAGAUUGUUAUAUGCAUACUAGAUACUUGAUUGGCUGAGACACUAUUGGUAAUAUCAUGACCACCUUGUACAGUUGUACUUAGUUACCAAAGAUGUUGGAUUUUGGUUAUUUUAUGAUUUGUUUUUUAUGAUUAUACUUGUUUUAAAAUAAAUAAAUAAAUAAAAUAAAAUAAAAAAAUGAAGGAAAUGGUUUUGUCAUAUAGCCUAAACCAUUAGACCAAAGCUUUUAUAUAUGUUUUAUGCUUCAAUUGUUAUAUAUACAUGAGAUUAUGCAUAAAUAAAUAAAUAAAUAAAUAAUUUUGAUUGAAUUAUUUCUUGUUGUAUUUAUGUUUAAUGUUUUAAAAUAAAUGAAUUAUAUAUAUUUGUUGCCAAAGUAACAUAUGGUAUAUAAUUUAUUUAUUUUAUAAUAUGUAAACAUGUUAUUUUUAUUAUUAUUUAAAAUAAUCAGCCCAAAGGAAGAUUAUUUUAAUAUGAUAAUAAAUAAAGUAAUCAUAAAUAUGUGACAUGUAAAGUUUAUCUUGUAUUCGAUAUGUUAGUCCAAAGAUAGGCAUAUUGUUUUCGGUUUUAUUGUCAAUAUUUAUGAAUUAAUUUUGUAUAAGGAUGCCAAUUACAACUUGAUAUUUUCAUCCAAAGACUGAAUAUUGAUGUUUGUGCUAGGUAUCUUGUUAUAUGUCCACAUGCAUAUAUAUAUAUAUAUGUUAAAUUUUUAUUUAUUCAUGUAUGUGUGAUGAUUAUAUGACUGAUUGUGAGCUUUAUUAUUAUAAAUUCAGCCUCUUCUAUAUCUGCAAAUGUCAAUAACAUUCCUAUGUUUAAUGGCACAAACUUCAAGAAAUGGAAAGAGCAUAUUAUAAUCGUGCUCGGGUGCAUGGAUUUAGACUAUGCAUUAAGAGAUGAUCGCCCUCUAAAUCUUACUAAUGCCAACAUUGUUGAGCAAAGGUCUACUAUGGAAAAAUGGGAGCGAUCCAAUCGCAUGAGUCUAAUAAUAAUGAAGCACUCAAUUCCAAAAGCUAUAAGGGGUGCAAUACCUAAGGAAACCAGAGCCAAGGCAUUCUCGGACUAGAUAGCAAACCGAUUCGCUGCAAACGAAACGGUUGAGACAAACACUAUUCUUAGUAAGCUUGUCUCCAUGCGGUACAAAGGGAAAGAGAAUAUAAGGGAGUACAUUAUGGAAAUGUCUAAUCUUGUGACUAGACUCAAGGUACUAAAGUUAGAGUUGUCAGAAGACAUACUCGUGCACUUGGUCUUGAUCUCUCUGCCUACACAAUUCAGUCCAUUCAAAAUUAGUUACAAUACACAAAAGGAAAAAUGGGUUUUGAAUGGGCUUAUUAAUACCCGAGUGGUCAUACCAUAUUUCCGGAUAUAAUUGUUAAUAUUUAAAGAAAUGUCUCUAACUUUUUAACUCACAACACAAUCAAGCAAAUUUUGUUGAUUUUCUUAACUUCAUAAUUAUGUAUGUUAUAAUUUUUCUUUUUUAACUUGAUGAGAGCAUUUGCAACCACACAUCACCAUAAGCAUCUCACUUAAUCCAACCUUCUCUAAUUAUAAAUUUAUAAUUAUACACCCGCAUACUCUUCAUUAUCAAGAAACACUCGAUCAAACACAAUAAGAAUGCGUUUGGUAAUGAUUUUAAAAAGUAUUUGUAGUUUUUCUCAUAUUUGAAAGAUAAAAAUUUUUAAGUAUUAAAAAUGUUAAAAAUAUUUUUUAAAAUCAUUAUCAAACAUACUCUAAGAAUGCGUUUAAAAGUGAUUCUAUAAAGCGUUUAUAACAUUUCUAAUAUUUAAAUGAUAAAAAUUUUCAAGUAUUUAAAAUAUUAAAAAUGCUUUCUAAAAUCACUAUUAAACGGACUCUAAUAAAUUUCCUUACACUUUCACCAUUCCCAUAAUCUCAACCCUCUCUAGUUACAUUGAAAUUACACCCUCAAACCUCCGUAUAUUCUCUCAAUUAUCUUCUCAACCAAACAUUUACUAUGAUUGAUCCUUGACAAAUUUCAAAAGAAAUGUGCAACGACAUAAUUGAGUCUCGCAUCGCUAAAUGAAGGCUUAGUGGUUCAGCUUAUACAUACUUAAACACUCUCCCUUCAUUAUCUGGUUUUCAAGGGUGAGUUCCACCCAUUACGUACAUAAUAAUUGGUAUUAGAGGAGACACCUAGUGAGAAGACCCUCAUCACGAAAAGGGCUACUACCUAAUUGUGUGUGGAAUUCGCAAAGUCGCCUAGCCACCCAUAUAAAAGCAUUGUUGAUGUUGGUUUCGAAAAGCACGGUGAAUUGUAACAACCUAGUUCAAUUCCGCAUUGCUAAGUUACAACUUGGUGAUUAAGCUUUUAAGCACUUGGACACCCACCCCUUAAUAGCCAAUUUUCAAAACUGAAUUCCAUACUAUUCAUGCAUAACAAAAUGCAAGGAAAAGAAACUAAAAAGAAAAAAAAAAGAUUUAUAAUAAAUAAAUUAUUUUUAUAUAAUAUUUUAAACUCAUUUCACUUUUUUUUUUCCUUUUUAUGUAAAGAUUAAAUAAUUUAAUCCAAUUGGAAUGUUUGUUACUUUGUACAUAAACAAAGUAUUCAAAAUUGUGCAAACUUUUUAUAUUUCCACACAUCCAUUCCAAUAAAAUUAUUUCAAUAAAUAGCAUGAUCAUGGAUAGGGAACUAUACUAGCGACCCACCUAAUUUAUUAUAGAAAUUUUCGAGAUCAAUGAUCGGAUCAUGCAAACUAGAAAUAUCUUUUAUUGGAUAAAAGAACAGAUUGUUCAAUCCAUUUCCAUACUGCUUAUGAUGUAUAUAAUAAUUCGGACAUAACUUUCUAACUAAUUUUAAUUAUAUUUGAUUUUCUAUUGUAUUUUCUAGAAUGAUACUAAACAUGAGAAAAUCAUUUUUAUUAAAUUUUUUUUUUCUUUCCUUAAUAUUUUUGGGAAUCAAACUUAGCCUUAAUCUUCCGAUCUCAACAACACCAGACCAGCAAAACAAAAAUAAUUCCUAUCAAGUGACAAUUCAGAGCUAAAAUAAAUGUAAGAUAUAUCAUGAAUCCCUAUUAUCCCUUAGGAUUGAUCUUUUGCUUGUUUCAUUUCCUCUCUAAAUUCUUAUUAACUUGCUCAAUGAUUACUACUCAAAAAGUGCUAUUUCAUAGCUUGUAAUUAACCCUUUUAAACACUUUUGAGUAGUAGUUAUUGCCUUUUAACCCAAUUAACAUGUUAAGGACCCUUGCAAUCAUUUCUAAUCAAAUUGUGUAAGUUUUGGUGUUUUUGUUAGUAAUUUGAUCACCAAAACAAUCCAAGAUUGAGGAGAGUUAUUUGGAAUCCAUGGAAAAGCAAUGAACAGCUCAAAUUCAUGAAGAACCAAGCUUUGGAGCUCCAUAGCCCUUUGCCAAAGUCGUUCAAAGUAUGCAAGGAGAGAAACACGGAGAGAGGAAAAACAGAGUGAAGAAAACAAGGGACAGCAGCUGCAGUCUUCUUGUGCACUUUUGGAGCACUUUCCGAAGUCAAUUUUAUACAUGAUAUAUACCAUUUCAAAGCUCAGGAAGUCAAGAAUCCAACGCUUCAAACCGUGUACGAUUUGGAGCUGAAAUGAGGAAGUUACAGCCUUUGGAAGAUGACUGCUCCAAGCUGAAGGAAGGAUUCAGCAAAGUGUUGCGAAAUCACCCUUUUGUUGCGGAAUGAUUUCGCAGCCUUUUUGCACAGUGCUUUGGAUUUCCCUUGAAGUUUCACGCCGUGAUGGAAGCCAAACACCACAAGAUGAAAGCCAACUUCGCAGCCCUGCGAGAAUAACUUGUUGUUGCGAAUUGAUUUCGCAGCCCUUCUUGAGUGCCUGCGAAAUCUCGCAGACACCAUUUUCUCUUGCGAAAUGGUUCCUGAAGCCUCCCGAUAUUUGCGACCGACACUUUUGGAUAUUUUUCUUCAGAUAUUUUUGUAUAAAUUUCCAUUUUCUCCUUGUAUUCAGCCACUCAUGUAAUUCCUUAGCUAGGAAGUAUCCAAGGAAGGGUAAAUUACCUUCCUAUAUAAACUCUCUGUAAACACUAAAAAGAGGACUCUCAGAGAGAAAUGUAAUCCAUCGAUCAAUAUAUAGAUAUAUCAUAUAUAGAAUCAGAGAACAGAGCACUUGCUCUGUUUUUCAUAUAUAUUCUUGUUUUCUCGUUAGUUUUCUUUUUAGUCAACCAAACUCUGAGGAUUUUUCCUCAGAGGAUGAGAGGCUAGGCUCUUUGUCUCUUGGAGUAAGGAAAGCCGGGUAAGUUUCCGUAUGCAUAAAUUGGAAGUUUUGUUGUUUUAGUUUUUAAUGAAGAGAAAGUGUGACCCGUUAAUGGUUUUUAUCUUUUUAGUUAACUUAAAACGCCUUUAAAUCACCUGGGCCAACACUUGGUAAGGCAAGUGAUCUCCGUCCAUGGAGAUGCACUAGUUUACCCCUUGCGAGCCUUUGGGAGGUGACUUGAAGGUAAGAUUUUCUAGAAUAGCCAACACAUGGUAAGCUUUUGGACUCCAAGGAGACAUCCAUUAGUUAUCUCUUGCGAGCUUUUGACGGGUAAUCCAAGGUUAAAGAUCACCUUGAAUGGCAAGUGCUAGGUGAGAGGUAUGAGCCAUUGCAAGGUGCAUCAAUGAGAGGGAUUUAGUGUCUAAACCCAUUAAUGGGAAGCAUCUGUACAACACCGGUUGGAAAAGGAACUAUAUGUUAAUUCUCUAAUGCGAGGAAAAGAAACAAGUGACCGGAACUCCCUUUUUGUAUGAGGAAUCUGAGCCUAGUGAUCUGAACUCCAAGAAACACUUUUCUUUGUAAGUAAAAUCAGUUACUAUUUGUGGUUAGUUUAAAACCAAACCUUUUUCAUUCAAACAUGUUUAUGUUUUCUUUUAAAGCUAACCUUGAAAUGAAAAUGCACCAAUUCAACUUUGAAUUAAUAUCAUUUGUGAAGUGAAAACCCAUCCCAGUGAACGAUCCUAGAGCCACUAUGCUAUAGUAGCUUUGUCUUUGCUACCCUAGUAUAUGGUGUAAUAGGUUAUAAAUUUUGUUGAUUACUCCCUCAAUCAAGGAGCACCAGCUGGACACGAAUCAGCUGAGACACCAAUUGGGCACGAAUCACUCAAAUUCAAAGACUAGGAUAAAUAAUUGGUGUAUGCAUCAUGGUGACCUCCAAAAGACUACAAUGCAAUUCAACAAUGAAUUAAGAACACCACAAAAAAGGAACCAGAAGAUAUCCUUUCCUUAUGGUUCAAAACAAUCAUAAUUAAUCACUCUUUUCGCUCUUUUCAUUAUACCUUCAACAUCGUUCUCUCAAUUAAUAGUUGGUAAAACACAAUAAUAGAUUCAAACAAAUAAAUGCCAAAAAACUAUGAGGAAGAUAGAGUAGUAAAGGGUUAGAAAGCCCAUGAGAAUUGAAUGGUUGGUUGGUAGACUUUCAAAUAGAUCGGUAUAAUAACAAGGAGGAUUGUGUUCUAUAGUCUAUGGAUAUUAGCUAACAAAAUAAACUUGGUUCAAAUGCCAUUGAUAACAUUUCCGUGGGGCAAAAUGUAACAAAAUCAAAUAAUAUUCUUGUUUUAGACGAUAUCAGUCAAUCAUAUGCUUAGAUAGUCAAAAUCCUUGCAGCAAAAUGCCCUCCAUACCUAAGGAAAACUGGGUCUGAGGAGUUGCUGACAGGAUGGAAGCACAUGCUGCUUCUGAACUCUAUUGUGACUACUGUUAACAAAUUUUCCAGUGCUUUCUCUUGUGCCCUUUCUUGCAGCAAUGUCAGCUUUUGUUGCUGAUAAGAAUGAAGUGGAAAGGAGGCCCAGCUAGAUUUCCAGAUCCUAAGGGGCUGAAAAUGUUCUAGUUGCUGCAAUCUCUGCUGCCGCUUCUGCACACUUGCAUUUUUUCAACUCUGGGAGAGUUAGUUCAUGAAUGAAAAUAAGACCUGAAGAUGAGUUUUACAUCAAUUAUAUAUGCAUAUAAGGAGAAUUGCAAGUUUCAUUUCAAAUAAUACCAGUAUUAUCAUGCUCUAAAUACAAAAAUGGUGAAUUUUUUCAAGAAACAUUUCUUGGAUCAACACUGAACACAACCUGAAUGAAAAUGUAUACUAUGUUGGAAAGAAAGCAAAAGAAUUUUCCAUUCUUAUGCCUUCACAGUGGAAAUGGUACAACCUUACGAGUACAAGGGGUACUCAAUAGACUAAAGAGAACUUGUUACUAGAAAAUUAAUAUAUAACUCAUGACAUUGAAUGAUUUGAACCAAUGAUAGGUGUUGAAAGAGGAUAUAUUUCAUUGAUUAAAAAAAAAGACGUGUUACAACUAGUAUAUAUAAAGAAAAUAGUGAAUCUCAGAAAUCUCAUAGAAACUAAUUUAAGAAACAUAAUCAGUAUCAAGACUAAUCUACCCUUCUAUAGUAGAGAUGCUAAAUACUAAUUUCAACAAUAGGAAACCCCAUAAAUUUCCAGAACCCCCCUUUACUAAAAUCAUGAGUGACUCAUUAGGCAAUGGCACAUGCAGAAUGGCCUUCUGGUUUGAAAUGCCAUCCUAUGAGACAACAAAUGAGCAUGCCCUUAUGCUAAAUUUGAGCUUUCAAAGAGUGUUUACACAUUCUUAUUAUGAGACAAAUAGAACAUUUAAAAUGCUGUUUAGUCUUUAUUUAACGACAGCCCAUGCAUGGCUAGGUAGCUACAAAAUUCAAUAACUGUGUUCUUAAUUUGAAAUAAGUAUCACAUAAUGCAGCUCAUAAUUCAAUACACCAUGCAAAAUCCCUGAAAACCCCAAAAUCCAUGCAUAACAUGUAAAGUGUGAUACAUGUACUUCAAGGAGAACCAAAAUGCAGAGAGGUGAAACAUGGCACUUGCAGUCAGUGGUGGAGCUAGGAAUGUGCUCUAGGAGGGGCACAAAUAGAACAAUUAUUUCAAGGGGGACGAUAAAUGGAGAGAGUGGUAUUUAGUGUAAUGGAAAGCAUACUUUUCCCAUAAGCAUGAGGUCAAGGGGUCAAAGCCCCUGCUAUGGUUUUUUUUUCUUUUUUUGGCCUCCUGGACUUAGCUAGCUCCGCCAGUGCUUGCAGCCAUCUCUUCCUCUCUGAGAUGCAUCAAAAUUUGAACCAACUUCUGUCCUUCUGGUUCAACUUCGUUCUCAUUAAAUUUUAGCAAGAUAGGAUUUCAUUUUGAUUUCAAACAUGAAAGGAAUCAUCUGUGAUACCUGGCUAGUUCCUCAUUUUCCAGCAAUCAGAAUGCAAAUGCUCUCUUAUAAAUGAAUGAAAGAAGUAUUCCAGGAUGGAUAGCCAAGCUCAAAAAAAUAGAUACAAUGAACAGAAAUAAAGUGGCUGUUCAAGUUUUGUAGUUAUUUGGUCAAGUCAUCAGUACUAAAUGACAUUAAACUAGUUCUAGCUUACCAAAUUCUACUUGGACCUUAACAAACUCUGAUGACAUAAUUCAACUCAAAUCAUGAUGAGUUGUGAAAUCAAAUUGGUAAUACCCCUCAAACAUUGUCAAAAAUUGCAAAUAAAAGCCUCAUAAAAGCAAAGUAAAAGAAUAAAGGAGAUAAAUAAAACAUAUGACAGAACAAAAACAUCAAAUACUUGGUGAACAUCACAUACCAGCAGCAUGUAGGAGCAAAACUAGGGACUUCAAAAUGAACGUGAAGCUUUUAUCUGUGCAUGAACAAAUGAUGUAUCACAAAAUCUUUAGCAGUCUAUCAAUUGAAGAAAUUUACAAUAAGAGAAGAUAAGCAGGAGUUAAGAAAUAAAAAAACUCACAUUCUAGAUCAUAAUUUCAACAGGAAUAACAUAGUCAGCUUUAUCUGCAGUCCAACGGGCAUUGUAGUCCUUACAAAACACCAUGAUAUUGACAUGUUUGGAGAGCAGCACUGGCUCAACAACUGAAGGGAGAGUCCUCUUAUAAUUCCUCAACAAUCAAGCAGACAGAAAUUUGAAUGGAUGCGUUACCACCUAGUUUGGUGGGGCCAUAUGAUGACUGUGAGAGACCUUGGAAUUCAAAAAAGUAAUGAGGAUAUUUUCCCAUGAAGAAAUUGGAGAGAAAUGUUAGGUAUUAAAGGCAAGUUCGGGUGAUGAUGCUGAGGGGAACUUCACGUUCUUCGGAAGGAGAUAAUGAUAAGAGAGAUAGUUGGACAGUCGAUUUUGGAUUCAAAAUGAACUGGGACACAAAGUUUGACCUUAAAUAAUAAAGGAUAGUUGGAAUUCUAGUUUCAAUAAAUGUUGGAAAGUCAAUCUUCCUAAAUCUUCCAUAUUAAGAAUAGAUGAUCUGUAUAUGUUAGUUUUCCUAUUGUAAUUCCUGACUUAUAGUUGGAUAGUCUAGAAUAUGGUAAGCUGAUUCCUGACUUGUAGAAAAAGAUCUCAAACCUCCUUGUAUAAAUACACACUUCAACAUCAAUAAUAUUAAUUCAGCCAAUUCUUCUUCUUUUCAUGGUAUCAGAGCAGGACUAAAAUCCUGAUUCAUUGUUGCACUCUAAUCUCUCGUGUAGCAUCUCUUUUCUUCAAUCAUCAUGGCAAAAUCAGAGAUUCCUAUGGAUUUCUUAAAGGCAGAUCUCUCCAAUCCCUAUUUCACUCACCAUUCAGAUCACCCAGGUUUGGUUUUGAUUUCCAAAUCUUUGAAUGGAGACAAUUAUUCGGCUUGGAAAAGGGCUAUGAUUCUAGCUUUAAAUUCCAAGAACAAUUUGGGUUUUGUUAAUGGCUCGAUCAAGGCUCCUUCAGAAGAAAUUGAUCCUGAAGGUUAUGCGACUUGGUCACGGUGUAACGACAUGGUUCACUCCUGGAUCGUCAAUACUUUCAAUCCAGAAAUUGUGGAUAAUGUAAUCUAUUAUUCUACUGCUCAUGAAGUUUGGGAAGAUCUCUGUGAGCGAUUCUCUCAGAGCAAUGCGCCUCGCAUAUUUGAAAUUCAGCGAGAUAUUGCUUGUCUUCGACAAAAGCAACUCUCUGUCUCUGCCUAUUACACAAAAUUGUAAGGCCUGUGGGAUGAACUGGCUUCCUACAACGCUGUAGCACAUGGGGCACAACAAGAUCAACAAAAAUUGAUGCAAUUUAUGAUGGGUUUGAAUGAAUCUUAUAGUGCUAUUCGCGGGCAAAUCCUCCUGAUGAAUCCUCUCCCUUCUGUCCGCCAAGCAUACUCCUCUGUCUCUCAAGAAGAAAAGCAACGCCUCCUCACUUCGACGAACGCAGCAGCAGAAUCUACCGCAAGUGCUGCUAUGGCCGUGCGCAGCAACGACAAGUCUUCGGCAACUUGGAAGGACGGAAUAGAUCGAUCAAACACAGGAAGGAUGGAACCGACUGAUCACCCCUCUAGUUCUCAAAAUUUCUGGGUGAAUUGGUCUUCUCAAGGACAAGAUGGCAGACCAUUUUUUGAUCAAGAUCGGCGCCGCAUGGGUUCUGGAAGAGGACGCCCCCAGUGCUCGUAUUGUGGAGAUAUGGGUCAUUGGGUCCAAAAGUGUUUUCAACUACAUGGAUACCCACCAGACCAUCCUAAAGCAAGAAUGAACUUAGGCUCAAACUCAAAUUGGAAUAAAAGAUUUUCUGCGGCUAACCAAGUUUCUGAGGCAGAUGAAGGGAAACCUGCAGUUGCAUUGUCAGAAGCCCAACUCAAGCAACUUUUUUCACUUCUUAAUAACCAAGAUGAAAACUCUAGUUCCAAAGUGAAUGCGGUAACAAAGCCAAGUUUGUCCAAAGUCGCUUCCCGCAAUUGGAUUAUUGAUAGUGGGGCGACGGAUCAUAUUACUUCAUCCUCUAAGUUAUUGCAUAGAGAUAAAAAUUGCUCGUUACCGCCCGUAUUGUUGCCUAGUGGAGAAAAAGCGAAUAUUGUUACGAAAGAGACUUUGCCUCUAAAUUCCGUCUAUUAUCUGCAUGAUGUCUUAUCUAUGCCUACAUUCAAAUUUGAUUUAAUAUCAGUUAGUCGUUUGACAUGAGGUCUAAAUUGUUCAGUGACGUUUUUCCCUUAUUGGUGUAUUUUGCAGGAUUUGGCUACGAGGAGGACGAUUGGUUUGGGUAAACAACGUGACGGACUAUACUAUUUGGUAGCACUAGCGACGGAGAAAUCUUUAACCAACCAUUCCUCAUCCACAAACCAACCAACCUGCAAUCUCGCCAUCUCUUCCACCGAUCUCUGGCACAGUCGCUUAGGCUAUGUAUCACCUUCUCGUUUGAGUUUCAUUGCCAAGAAUUUUUUGAAUUUUUCUGUUCAGUCCAAUAAUGCUUGCCCUAUAUGUCCUUUGGCUAAGCAAAGUCGUUUACCUUUUGGUACUAGUGCUAUUUCUUCUAAAAAACCUUUUGAGAUUAUUCAUUGUGACAUUUGGGGUCGUUAUCGACACCCUUUUCUGUUUGGUGCCCAUUACUUUCUCACUAUUGUCGAUGAUUAUACACGUUUCACUUGGAUAUUUUUAAUGCGACAUAAAGAUGAAGCACAAUCACUUUUAAAACGUUUGUUCAGCUAUGUGUUCACACAAUUUGAAUCUCGCAUUAAAACUUUUCGAAGUGACAAUGGUAUAGAAUUUACCUCACUUCGUUCCUUUUUUCAAGAUAAUGGUGUCAUCUUUCAGCAUUCUUGUGUUUACACGCCUCAACAAAAUGAGGUUGUGGAACGCAAACAUCGUCAUAUUUUACAAGUAGCCCGAGCUUUGAAAUUCCAUGCUCAAGUUCCCACUCAAUUUUGGGGGGAGUGUGCUCUCACUGCCGUACACAUCAUCAAUCGGUUACCUUCACCAGUAUUGUCUUUCAAAACUCCUUUUGAAUUGCUUUACUCAAAACCACCUUCUUACUCCCAUCUCCGUGUUUUCGGAUGUUUAGCCUAUGCCACCAAUGUUCACACCUCUCACAAAUUUGAUUACCGUUCCAUGCCAUCCAUCUUCAUCGGUUAUCUUGUUGGUCAGAAAGCAUACAAAUUAUUUGAUUUAUCAACCAAAAAGGUCUUUACUAGCCGAGAUGUCAAAUUUCAUGAAGAUAUUUUUCCUUAUGUCUCUCUCAAGCCCAACUUUACUCUCCCUUCGUUGACCCAUAAUUCUGGUCCAAUCCCCUUGGUGGCCCACGACAUCUCUUCCUCCCUUGACUCUACUUCUCACGCACUUUCCCCUAUUCUUUCCAACCACACAAGCACACCGUCUCCCACCAUAGAAAAUGACGACUUUUCCUCUCCUUCUCGACCUUCCGAACUCAUUAUCGAACCUUCUUCUCAGAUUGAUCCAAACCCUUCACCACCGCCUUCUACAACUCUAGUAUCGCCUUCUCCGGUGCCACCGUUUGCAUCCAUCCCAUCCACUCCUCUAGCCAAGACACCCAUCUUUUCACCAGAAACACACUCACCCAAACCAACCACUCCGCUCCGUCGCUCCAGCCGCCAUAUCGUCCCACCAAUCAAGCUCCACGAUUAUGUUUGCUCCCACAUUUCCUCCAAUCAAUCGUCUUCCUUGAUUCCAGGUCCAACUAAAGGUACACAAUAUCCACUGGCCAAUUAUGUUUCUUAUCAUAGAUAUAAGCCUACAUAUAGAUCUUUUGUUGCUCAACAUAGUGCUGUCACAGAACCUAGGUCUUAUUCGGAAGCAGCCGCUCAUCUUGAGUGGCAGGAGGCAAUGCGUUCUAAAUUGCAGGCUCUCCAAGCUAAUGACACUUAGUCUCUCACUCCACUUUCGACCGGCAAGACAUCGAUUAGCUGUCGAUGGGUGUAUAAAAUUAAACACCGUUCAGAUGGGUCUAUUGAGCGUUACAAAGCACGAUUGGCAGCGAAAGGCUUUACUCAAUUAGAAGGUGUCGAUUAUCAGGAUACCUUUUCCCCCACCGCCAAGAUCAUAUCUUCCGCUGCUUGCUUGCAUUGGCCGCAGCCCGUGGCUGGUCUCUUCAUCAAAUGGAUGUUAACAACGCUUUUCUUCAUGGCGACUUACAUGAGGAAAUAUAUAUGUCUCCGCCGCUAGGGCUUCGGCGACAGGAGGAGGAAAACUUGGUAUGUCGUCUUCAUAAAUCACUCUACGGUCUAAAACAAGCUUCUUGCCAGUGGUUUGCCAAGUUCUCAGAAGCUAUUCAAUCCACCGGUUAUGCACAAUCUCGAGCCGAUUAUUCUUUGUUCACCAGAAAACAAGGCAAGUCCUUUACUGCCCUCUUGAUAUAUGUUGAUGAUAUUCUGAUUACUGGAAAUGAUCCUGUGAGCAUUGCUACAACAAAAAAAUUUCUGCAUAGUCAUUUUCAUCUCAAAGAUCUGGGUGAUUUAAAAUACUUUCUUGGCAUUGAGGUUUCUACUUCUAAAAAUGGGAUUUUUAUUUCCCAACGUAAGUAUGCAUUAGAGAUUAUUGAGGAUGCAGGAUUGUUGGGCACUGCCCCUAUUGAUACACCUAUGGAGCGAGGAUUGAAAUUGUCUGAUAAGAGCGAUUUGCUCUAAGAGCGAUUUGCUCAAGGAUCAAGGUCGUUAUAGGAGAUUGGUUGGAAGGUUAAUAUAUCUAACUGUGUCGAGGCCAGAUAUCACUUAUGCAGUUCAUGUGUUAAGCCGGUUUAUGCAUCAACCGAGAAAGGCUCAUAUGGAAGCAGCGUUCAGAGUUGUACGUUAUCUCAAGAAUGCACAUGGUUAGGGUCUGUUCUUCUCUUCGAAUAAUGAUUUCAGAUUGAGAGCCUACUGUGAUUCUGAUUGGGCAGGUUGUUCACUUACUAGAAGGUCCACUACAGGCUACUGUGUAUUCCUUGGACCUUCACUGAUUUCUUGGAGAUCAAAGUGACAGAAAAUAGUGUCACUCUCUUCAGCUGAAGCAAAGUAUCGUGCAAUGACAGGAGCUUGUUGUGAGUUGACAUGGCUUCGGUACCUUUUGAAAGAUUUGGGUGUUUUACAUCAAGAACCUGCCUUGCUGUAUUGUGACAACAAGGCAGCGUUGCAUAUUGCAGCCAACCCUGUUUUCCAUGAGCGUACUAGACACAUUGAGAUGGAUUGUCACUAUAUUAGGGACAAGAUCCAAGAUGGUUCCAUUAUUACAAGACAUGUGAGCUCAGCGCACCAACUUGCAGACAUUCUGACUAAACCAUUGGGAAAGGAGAUUUUUGCUCCUAUGAUUCGCAAGUUGGGAGUGCAGGAUAUCCACUCUCCAACUUGAGGGGGAGUGUUGGAAAGUCAAUCUUCCUAAAUCUUCCAUAUUAAGAAUAGAUGAUCUGUAUAUGUUAGUUUUCCUAUUGUAAUUCCUGACUUAUAGCUGGAUAGUCUAGAAUAUGGUAAGUUGAUUCUUGACUUGUAGAAAAAGAUCUCAAACCUCCUUGUAUAAAUACACACUUCAACAUCAAUAAUAUUAAUUCAGCCAAUUCUUCUUCUUUUCAAUAAAACUCAGUAGUUCCAUAAUGCAACUCAUACUUUUUCACAAAUAGUAUAAAUUUGCAUGCUCCUAUACAAGGUUAUUGAGCCAAAAAAAGAAAAAGAAAAGAAAAACAGAAAAGAAGGGAUGUGAGCAUAAAAAACAUCAUUGUCUUGAAACUCAAACAGUAAAUCCAUUUUAUAUAUUAGUUAAAAGAACACUACAAGGAGAAGAACUAAGAGAAUCACAAAGCAUAGAUUUGCAAUUCAAUAAACAAGUAAUUAACUAGAGAAAAAAAGAUUGAAGAAAAAAUUACCUGGAAGUCUACAUUGAUAUAUCAGAAAGAUGCGGUGCACACACAAUUGCUCCCUCUUCAAAGGAACCUUCUUUAUAAGCAUGGAGAAGAAAACUGAGGAAACAUAACUUUCGUUCAUAAUUCAUUUGGUUAACCCCAUUAAGAUUCCGGCUAAGCUUAGCUUCAUCUAUCAUGAGUUCAGAAAAACUUUUCUUAUCAGGUAACUUAGGAAAUAGAAGCAAAUGGUCACCAUGGAUUUCAUUCAAGUAGUAACUCAGCAUAUGAGAUGUCCUUGAUACAAAUCCUUCAAAUGAGAUAUUAUGAUUAUUCAGUGAUAUAUCACAACUGCCAUUUUUGAGUUUGUAAAUGAAUCACCAUUUGCCACAUCUCUGCUAUAUUUUUCCUCACAAGGACGAGUAUUUCCCAGACUAGAGGAUACUUUAUCAAAACCCAACCGGACACUAACCCAUGGAGGUGGAAUAGGAACUCUUAAAGCUCGCAUGGAAGGAGGAUGAAGUUUUUCCUUUUCAUUAGAUGUUGCUUCAGUUGCCAUAAAAGAUGAGUAUGCAUCAGUAUCAGGGAAAUCUAAAGGAAAAUACGGCAAUUCGACCUGCAGAAGAAUGAAAGUUUAGAAGGAAAAUCUUGAGAACAGAAUUCCAUAAGAAAAUUAUGAUAACCUUGGACUCAAAGUACAAAAUUGAGGUGCACAUACUUCACAUGCAAUCCAGUGCUUCUCUCUCAAGCCUAUGACAUGAGUGCCACUAUUGAGAAGAGGAAUCUAAAAGGCCUUGACCCAACUUAAUGGAAGUAUAAUGGACCAUUUGAAAGAUAAUUAAUUAAACAUUGUUAUUAGAGGCUUUAAAAAAAAUUCUAGGAAUUUUAUUCCAUGUGUCAAGAAAGUGCAUCGCUCGAAAUUGUAUACAAAACAGAAUAUAGACACAAAAUUAAGGAAACAAAGUCAAUCUCAUAUACUUGUUGUGGGUUAAAGCAAACUAGAAAAGGGGAAGAAUUGUUCUCAACAAAAAAUUGCAUGACAGAGACCUUAUGGUUCUUCUGAAGCCUGUACUAAAAUUCAUGUUCUUCUGACCUUAUGGUUUGAUCACAAACAAGAUGCACAACAAAUACAAUGAAUUGGGUUUAUGAUUGGUGUUGAGAGAGAGAGAAAGAAGAAAAACCUUAAUUCUCAUUCAUGUAAAAUCUACUUACAAUUGAGAAAUAUAUAUAUAUACAAGGCUAGGAGUCCUAACUACCAUACAUGUGACCUAUAUUAACAAGGAAAGAUUAUACACUGUAAAUACAUUAUAUUCAACACUCCCCCUCAAGCUGUAGCAUAUACGUCAUAUGCACCAAGCUUGUUACAAAUAUAUUUAAUCCUAGGACCUCUGAGAGAUUUAGUGAAGAUGUCUGCUAGUUGAUCAUUUGAAUUAACAAAACUUGUAGCAACACAUCCUGAUGCGAUCUUCUUUCUAAUGAAAUGACAGUCAACUUCAAUAUGCUUGGUCCUUUCUUGAAAGACUGGAUUGGAUGCAAUAUGUAAUGCAGCUUGGUUAUCACAGAUGAGUUUCAUCUGUUCAUCCUUUCCAAAUCUCAACUCUCGAAGAAGAUGUCUCAACCAUAUGAGUUCACAUGUUGCCAAAGCCACAGCUCGAUACUCGGCUUCAGCGCUAGAUCUGGCCACUACAUCUUGUUUCUUACUCUUCCAAGAUAUUAGAUUACCUCCAAUAAAAACACAGUACCCUGAAGUGGAACGUCUAUCUGUGGGUGAGCCAGCCCAAUUUGCAUUUGUGUAACCAACAACCUGAGUAUGACCUCUGUUCUCGUACAACACACCUUGGCCUGGUGUACUUUUGAUAUAUCGAAGAAUGCGAAUUACGGCAUCCCAAUGGCUAUCACAUGGUGAUUGUAGGAAUUGACUAACAACACUCACAGGAAAAGAAAUGUCUAGACGAGUAAUGGUGAGAUAGUUCAAUUUACCUACGAGCCGUCGAUAUCUCCCGGGGUCUCCUAAAGGCUCCCCCUGUCCUGGUUCAAGUUUGACAUUCGGAUCCAUAGGUGUGUCUACUGGUUUCUUCCAGGAUGUCUAAAGCAUACUUCCUUUGGGAAAGGACCACACCAGAGCUAGAUUGAGCUAUCUCAAUUCCCAAGAAAUACUUGAGUUUCCCCAAGUCUUUGGUUUGAAAGUGGGUAAAAAGAUGUUGCUUUAGUUUCUUAAUACCAUCCUGAUCACUGCCUGUAAUGACGAUGUCGUCCACAUAAACAACCCGAUAAAUACACUGCCCCAAGGAGUUAUGAUGAUAGAAAAUUGAAUGGUCUGCUGUACUGCGAAGCAUGCCAAACUAUUGAACAACAGAACUAAAAUGGCCAAACCAUGCUUGAGGAGAUUUUUUCAAGCUAUAUAGAGAACGACGUAACCUGCACACUAAACCAGACUCCCCCUGAGCAACAAAACCAGGAGGUUGCUCCAUAUAAACUUCCUCGACAAGAUGACCAUGAAGGAAGGCAUUAUCCAACUGAUAAAGAGGCCAAGAACACAGCAUCCAUGGAGAGAAGUAGACGGGCAGAAGCAAACUUGGCAACAAGGGAGAAUGUGUCACCAUAAUCAGAACCAUAAACCUGAGUAUAGCCUUUAGCAACUAAGUGGGCCUUAAGGUGAUCAACCUGACCGUCAGGACCAGCCUUAACUGCGUAGACCCAAUGACAGCCAACGGUAGAUUUACCAGAGGGUAAAACAACAAGAUCCCAAGUGCCAUUAGAGUGUAGAGCAGCCAUUUCAUCCACCAUUGCCUGUCGCCAACCUGGAUGAGAAAGAGCUUCAUGGGUGCUCUUUGGAAGAGAAACAGAGGAUAUAGCAGAAACAAAAGUAGAAUAGGGUGAAGAUAAUCGAUGAUAACUCAAAAAAUUGUAAAUAGGAUGAGGAUUACGAGUAGAGCGAGUACCUUUCCGAACAGCAAUGGGUAAGUCAUUAGAAGAAGGUAGAGCCUGGGCAGGUGAAGCCGAAGGGAUAGGAAGUGAGUUAGCAGGUGCCUCAGCAAAAGGGAGAGGAGCAACGACACGAGGGCAACGAUGAUAAACUUGAAGUGGUCGAGGAGGCAUAGCAUCAGGUGGGGAGACAAUGGGAAUGGGCAAAACUUCAGAAACAGGAAGAGACUCAGAAGUGGUGGAAAAGAAUGGUGAGUCCUCAAAGAAGGUGACAUCAGCGGAGAUAAAGUAUCGAUGAGUCUCAAGGGAAUAACAACGAUAACCCUUCUGAAGUUUGGAAUAUCCCAAGAAGAGGCACUUCAUGGCUUUGGCGGAAAGCUUGUCCUGUCUAGGAGUGAGAAUAUGAACAAAGCAAGUACAACCAAAGACACGAGGAGGAAGGAAAUAAAGUGGUUGGCCAGUCACAAAUUUAUCAGAAAAGGUAAUAGAGCAAUUAAGAGUACGAGUGAUUUUGCUAAUGGAAAUAAGAUUAAAAGGACAUUCAGGAGUAUAAAGGACAGAAGUGAGAGGUAGAGAAGGCAGAGGAAGGGUCAAACCAAUACCUUUAGCUACAGUUUGAGAACCAUUAGCUAAGGUAACAGUAGGUAAAGCAGAGGUAGUAGUAAUAGAGGAGAAAAGAUCCUUAUUACCAGAUAGGUGAUUAGAAGCUCCAGAAUCUAGAAUCCAAGGUCCAAGAGAAGAUGUGUGGGUAAGGUAGGCAGAAGCAUUACCAGGCUAGGCAAUAGAGGCAACAGAAGCCUGAGAUGCCUGAGAUGCGGAGGAGCUCGGAGGCUGAGGCAGCUAAGAAUCAGAGGACUGGGCCACAUGGGCAGUGCGAGGAGGCCAUCCAUGUAACUGAUAGCAACGAUCGCGAGUGUGGCCAAGUUUAUUGCAAUAGGUGCAAUGAGGACGUUGGCCUCUACCUCGGUUACCACUGCAUCCGCCUCGAGAGGUAGUGUGAGAAAUUAACACAGAAGAAUUUGAAAUGCUAUCAGAUGGCAAAGUCUGAGUGGACGAUAUACGAAGGAGGCGAGCAAACACAUCAUCCAAGGACGGAACUGAUGAACUACCAAGAAUUUGAUCGCGGACAGGCUCAAGAUCCGAACGGAGGCCAAUAAGAGUAAGGACCAUGAAGAACUUAUCAAGCUAUGUUUGUUGAGCCCCAACAUUAGGAGUAAGAGGCAUCACAGUCAAGAACUCCUCCUUAAGAGAGGCAAUCUGGCCAAUAUAAGUAGAUAGAUCCAAGUCCUGUUGGCUGAUAUGGACAAUAGCAGAAGCCACCUUAUAAAGACGCUGGAUAUCAUUCGUGUAUAAUCCUUUGGCAUGAGUCCAAAAUUUAAAAUAAGUUUUGUAGGCCCGAAGAUGAAGAAGAAUCUUAGGAUCAACCGAUUGCCAUAAUACACUACAUAACUGUGCCUCUAUCUUCCUCCACUGUACGCGAUCAACCUCAGGGAUAUCUGCCUCCUGUUUAAUCAAGUGAUCCUCAUAUCCUUGACCCAUAAACCAAAGUUCAACAGAGGCAGACCAGGAAAGAUAAUUGUCACUGCCAACCAAUUUCUCCGAAGUAAUCAUAGGAGAUCCAGAUAUAACAGAGGAAAAAAUGGAAGUUUUAGUAGCCAUAUCUACUUAUUUGGAGAAUGAAGUAUAUUUGGAUCGAAGAGAGCCCUAAUACGGCUGUAGAUCGCAGCGUGGCACCAAUGGAAAGGGAGACGGCUUCAGAUCGCGGCGUGACACCACCGGAAAGGUAGAAGAACACUUCCUUAGGCACGUGCAGGGAUUAGGAUGGAGAAAAAGUAGCCGAAGCUCACCGGAAAAACUGUUUGGAGGGUUGGCGGAGGCAAAAAACCUCAAAAAAGGUACGUGCAGAUCUCAGAUAGCAGAACCAGGGAUGAAGAAAGGCUAGUCGGCGUCAAGCGAGGCUGGAGGAGGAGGCGCGUGGCCGGGAAAGUCCUCACGCACCCUCACGCGCCUGCGCGUGAGAUUCAGUCGCUGGAUGGAAAAUUGUGCGUGGCCGGCGCGUGGAUGAUCUUUUGGUUUCGGUGCCUUCACAAAAGUUGGAGAUCUCCUCCAAGCGAUCCUUCUGGUAUGGUCGGUGUCGGAAAAAGACGUCGCCGGAAAGUUCUCCAGAAAAGUUUGUCGGCGGUGAGUGUUUUCUAACGACGAUCCGACUGAUCGGAAAGUAUUGGGAGAUGGGGAUGGUGACCGAAAUGAAACACGGUCACUGGAAAGUUUCCCGGAGUUGAUGACACGGGAAACUAGAAAGAAUUAGGUUUUCUCCCUUGGCUCUGAUACCAUGUUGAGAGAGAAAGAAAGAAGAAAAACCUUAAUUCUCAUUCAUGUAAAAUCUACUUACAAUUGAGAAAUAUAUAUAUACAAGGCUAGGAGUCCUAACUACCAUACAUGUGACCUAUAUUAACAAGGAAAUAUUAUACACUAUAAAUACAUUAUAUUCAACAAUUGGUAAUGAGUUCCACCAUGAGGUACGGAACACUUGAUGGCAUUCAUUGGUUUUUAACUAUAGUAAGAUAAUAUCAUUAUAAACAACUGCCAGGAUCAAUAGGCUUCCUUCAUGCCAGACAAGAUAGCUCAAAAUUUUGGCCAAAAUUCCCAGUAAAUGGUGUUAUUAUUUUCCAUGAAAUAUGCAUGGGUUUAUGAUUGGUAAUGAGUUCCACCAUGAGGUACGGAACACUUGAUGGCAUUCAUUGGUUUUUAACUAUAGUAAGAUAAUAUCAUUAUAAACAACUACCUGUAGGGAAUUAAACCGAAUUCCCAACCCGUGAGAAACAAAAAAUUAGAGAAAACACACACCAAAGAAAAAACAAUCACACGCACAAGACAGUAUUUACGUGGUUCGGCAAUUUGCCUACAUCCAUGGAGUUGCAGGGAUAUCACUAUUAUUAAGGAAGAAUACAGAGUGCAACAUAGCGGCUACAAUAUUCUCUCUAUAUAUAUAACAUGGCAACCCCACCAUACUAAAAAAACCCUAAUUACAAAAGGUGGUUCCACAAUGGGCUAAACCGGCCCAACAGGUCUCAAUAAAUCUCCCAUUAAAAAGUCAUGCAAUAUUAUUCGGGUCGGGUCAUCAAACCGGAUCAAACAAAACUAGGCUCCACAAAGCCCAACAAAUCUCCCACUUGGAGACUAGUCCAAUCACCAACAUCAAACCGCUAUCCUCUAAGAAACAAUCCCUCAUCCCUACAACUCAUCCUCCUGUCCUCAAGCUAGAAGAUCAAUUGAAGCUGCGCACAGCUUCAACUUCUUAAUAGUGACACCCUUAGUUAACAUGUCUGCAGGGUUCUUAGAUCCACAAACCUUCUCAAGUAUUACCAGUUUAUCCUCAACAAGAUAACAGAUAAAAUGGUAUUUUGUUUGUAUAUGUUUUGACUUUGAAUGAAAAGCCGAAUUUUUUGCAAGAAAAAUUGCACUCUGAUUGUCACUGUGUAGAAUGCACAUCUCCUGCUUCUUACCCAAUUCAUCUAAGAAACCAUGUAGCCAAAUAAUCUCCUUUCCAGCUUCAGUUGCUACAACAUACUCAACAUCUAUAGUAGACAAAGUAACAAUCUUCUGUAGAUUUGAAGUCCAUGAUAUAGCUGUACCACCUAGAGUAAAAACAAACCCAGUAGUACUCUUUCUACUAUCAAUAUCACCAGCAAAAUCAGCAUCUACAUAACCCUGCAGUUUCAAACUUGCACCUGUGAAGCAAAGACAUGUAUCUAAUGAACCCUUCAGAUAUCUUAAAAUCCACUUGACUGCCUCCUAAUGCUGCUUUCCAGGCCUACUCAUGAAUCUGCUCACAACUCCCACUGCAUGUGCAAUGUCUGGCCUUGUACCCACCAUAGCAUACAUCAAGCUGCUAAUAGCUGAGGCAUAGGGCACCUUGCUCAUAUGAUCCCUUUCUUCUUCUGUCUUUGGUGACUGUUCUUUGCUUAGUUUGAAAUGACUACCCAAGGGUGUGCUCAUUGGUUUAGUUUCAUUCAUGUUGAACCUACUGAGAACUUUCUUCACAUACUCUGACUAUGAAAGCUUCAAUAUACCAUUAGCCUUGUCUCUAAUGAUUCUCAUACCAAGGAUUUGCUUUGCAGCUCCCAAAUCCUUCAUUGCAAACUAUUUGGACAAUUGCUUCUUCAGAUUAUUAAUCUUCUCAAUGUCAGACCCUGCAAUAAGCAUAUCAUCCACAUACAACAGUAAUAUGAUGUAAGAAUUGUCAAAGGACUUAACAUAGCAACAGUGAUCAGCUUCACAUCUCUUGAAUCCAAUUCUAUGCAUAAAAUUGUCAAACUUCUUGUACCACUGUCUAGGAGCUUGUUUAAGGCCAUACAAGCUCUUUCUUAGUUUGCAGACUAGAUUCUCUUGUCUCUGAACAAUGAACCCUUCUGGCCGAAUCAUGUAAAGGUCUUCCUCCAAGUCACCAUGAAGGAAUGCUGUCUUCACAUGUAAGUGCUCAAGAUGUAAGUUUUCUGCAGUCACCAUUCCAAGUACAAGUCUAAUUGUUGACAUCUUCACAACUGGAGAAAAUAUCUCUGUGUAAUCAAUGCCUUCCUUCUACUGGAACCCUUUAACAACUAAUCUGGCCUUGUAACGUUUGCUACCAUCAUGCUCAUUCUUUAAUCUGUAUACCCACUUGUUGUGCAAAGCCUUCUUUCCUACUGGCAAUUCAGUCAGUUCCCAUGUCUGAUUCCCCAAUAGGGAAUCCAUCUCAUCCUUCAUGGCUAACUCCCACUUGCUUGAAUUCUCAUCUUGCAAGGCUUCAUCAUAACACUCUGGCUCACCACCAUCAGUCAACAGGAGAUAAUUUAAAAUAGGUGAAUAACGCUGUGGAGGUCUAAUUUUCCUGGAAGAUCUGCAAACUUUAGCUACAGGUGUACUCAAAUCUACCUGUGAAUUUACAUUCUCCUUAUCUUCUCACCCCCUUUUUGAACAGAACUUUCAGUCAAUUCAUCUAAGUUGACAAACUCAGAUUUCUUUUGAUCUAUCUCUAUAACAUCUGACACUACAGUUGAGCUGUCCUUGUACAUAACCUAUUCAUUAAAUAUCACAUUUCUACUUCUGUUGAUUUUCCUGUUUUGUUCAUCCCAAAACCUAUAGCCAAAAUUUUCAUCACCAUAGCCAAUGAAAAAACAUAUUUUUGACUUUGCAUCAAGUUUACUACGAGCAUCAAAAUCAAUAUGAACAUAAGAAACACAACCAAAAACUUUUAAAUGUGAAAACUUCACCUCUUUACCGCUCCAAAUCUCCUCAGGAAGUCUGAACUCCAUGGGAACUGAUGGUCCUCAGUUUAUCAGGUAAGCUGCAGUGCUAACAGCAUCAGCCCAAAAAGUUUUUGGUAGUCCAGCAUGCAACCUCAUACUUCUAGCAUGCUCCUUGAGAGUUCUAUUCAUGCACUCAGCCACACCAUUCUACUCUGGUGUCCUAGGAAUAGUCUUCUCCAUCCUAAUUCCCUGUGCAGCACAAUACUCACUGAACACUCCAUCUAUGUACUCUCUUCCAUUAUCUAACCUCAAACAUUUUACUUUCAAACCUGUUUCUGUCUCAACCAUGGCCUUCCACUUCUUAAAAGUUUCAAAUACAUCAGAUUUAUUUUUCAAAAAAUAAACCUAAAUCUUUCUGCUUGAGUCAUCAAUAAAAGUGAUGUAGUACCUUGAACCUCCAAGGGAUGCAACCGGAGAAGGCCCCCACAAAUCAGUGUGUACUAGUUCUAAUUUUUCAGCCUUCGGUGUCCUGCCAGUUUUCAAGAAGCUCACCUUUUUUUGCUUUCAUAAGAUGCAACUUUCACACAUGUCAAAAUCAAUGGACUUCAAUUCUGGUAGUUUUCCUUUUGACAACAACAUUUUCAUCCCUUUCUCACUCAUGUGACCAAGUCUAUGGUGCCAUAGGCUUGUAUCAGUACUUGCAUCAGUAACUACAAUUGUGUCUCUUGGACAUGAGGUCAUAUAUAGGGUACCAGUCUUCUUUCCACGAGCCAAUACCCUAGCUCCCUUUGUAACCUUCCAAGUACCACCAACAAAUAGUAUUGCAUGUCCUUCAUCAUCAAGUUGUCCAACAAAAAUCAGAUUCCUCCUCAGGUCAGGAAUAUGUCGAACCUUCUCCAGUAACCAAACAGACCCAUUGGGCAACAUUAUCCAGAUGUCUCCCAGACCCACAACAUCCAAGGCUGAACCAUCAGCCAAAUACACCUUACCAAAAUCACCUACAACAUAAUUUUGUAUGAGUUCUCGGUGUGGAGUGGUAUGAAACAAAGCUCCUGAAUCCAAAACCCAAUCAUCAAGUGGAAUGUCUACUGCAAGCAGUAAUGCAUCCUAUAGCUCUUCUAUUACAGUAUUAGCAUAAUCAUCUUCAUUCUUCUUCUUAGGGCUUUUGCAUUGCCUUUUAAAGUGACCUGUUUUCCCAUAAUUCCAGCAUUGUACUUGUUGGCUUGAAUAAGAUUUGUUUCUGUUCUGAUUAGAAUUUCUGGAAUUUGAUCUACCCCGAUUUGAAUUUCUGUCAUUACCUUUGCCUCCUGUCUCAAGGUUUAGAGCAGAACCAGAUCCUGAGGUUUCACUUGCAUCUCUUCGGCGAAUCUCCUCAGCUAGAAUUAAAUCUCGUAUAUCAUUGUACUUGAGCUUUUCCUUUCCCGUAGAAUUGCUUACUACCAUCCUCAUUGCCUCCCAACUGUUUGGCAAAGAAGCCAAGAUGAUCAGAGCACGAAUCUCAUCAUCAAAAUCAAUUUCUACAGACGACAAUUAAUUUGUGAUUGUAUUAAAUUCAUUCAGAUGUUGUGCUACUGAUGCAUUCUCUGUCAUCUUCAAAUUGAACAAUUUCUUCAUCCGAUGCACCUUAUUGUUUGCGGACGGCUUUUCAUGCAUACCGGACAAAGUCUUCAUCAAAUCUGUUGUGGUCUUCUCCUUUACAACAUUAUGUGCAACAGACCUGGACAGAGUUAACCUAAUAACUCCUAGAACCUGUCUAUCAAGAAGCGUCCAUUCCUCAACCUUCAUACUCUCAGGUUUUGUCCCCAAAAGAGGCAGAUGCAAUUUCCUCCCAUAGAGAUAAUCUUCAAUUUGCAUCCUCCAAUACGCAAAGUCUGUGCCAUCAAACUUUUCUAUUUCAGACGCCUUUCCUGCUUCCUCUGCCAUUGCUCCCACUCAAACCUAACCCUAGGCUCUGAUACCAGUUGUAGGGAAUUAAACUGAAUUCCCAACCCGUGAGAAACAAAAAUUAGAGAAAACACACGCCAAAGAAAAAACAAUCACACGCACAAGACAAUAUUUACGUGGUUCGGCAAUUUGCCUACAUCCACGGAGUUGCAGGGAUAUCACUAUUAUCAGGGAAGAAUACAGAGUGCAACAUAGCGGCUACAAUAUUCUCUAUAUAUAUAUAACACAGCAACCCCACCAUACUAAAAAAAAACCCUAAUUACAAAAGGUGGUUCCACAAUGGGCUAAAUGGGCCCAACAGGCCUCAAUAAAUCUCCCAUUAAAAAGCCAUGCAAUAUUAUUCGGGUCAGGUCGUCAAACCGGAUCAAACAAAACUAGGCCCCACAAAGCCCAACAUUGCCAAGAUCAAUAGGCUUCCUUCAUGCCAGACAAGAUAGCUCAAAAUUUUGGCCAAAAUUCCUAGUAAAUGGUGUUAUUAUUUUCCAUGAAAUAUGCAUGGGUUUAUGAUUGGUAAUGAGUUCCACCAUGAGGUACGGAACACUUGAUGGCAUUCAUUGGUUUUUAACUAUAGUAAGAUAAUAUCAUUAUAAACAAUUGCUAGGAUCAAUAGGCUUCCUUCAUGCCAAACAAGAUAGCUCAAAAUUUUUGCCAAAAUUCCUAAUAAAUGGUGUUAUUAUUUUCCAUGAAAUAUGCUUUUUUAAGAUGUGAAGGUUAUUUGAAACUUAAAAAAUAUAUAAAUAAAAUUAAAUAAAAACAACAUCAUUGCAAUAAAAGAAUAGCCAUUUUUUUUGUUUAUUAGUAAAUGAGAUUUGUAUUAAAAAGCGCCAAAAAGGGCACACCAAAGUACAUACAAUGUAUACAAUGGCAGCCAAGAAGUGCCAAAAAAAGAAAGAGAAAACAAAAAGCUACUCCCUCCCUCAAAUCGACACCAACCAAUCAAUGAAAUCUACUAUGGACAUUAAUCUUUCACCUAUAAACAGUUUGAUUCAAGUUAACAAAUUAUACAAAAACAAGUAUUUUAGCCUUUGGAUUGAGAGUUCCACAUUCUCAAAAGAUCUUCUACUUCUCUCUUUCCAAAUAGUUUAGAAGAGGCAUAAAGGUGUCACCCUCCAAACUUUUUUCCCCUUUCUUCCAACAAAGGAACCAUGUCAGCCUAGCAGAGCUUCUCUAACUGUGGACUACAUCACCCAAUAAACUCUAAAGAGAGAUAAUAAUAGCUCCCAUAACACCCUUGCCUUGUCACAAUGCAAAAGGAUGUGGUUAAUUGACUCCUCAUGAGACAAACAUAGGAAAUAACAAUUGGCCAAAGACCACCCCCUCGUUUGAAGCUGGUCAAGAGUCAAAGUUUUUUCCCAAGUUGCCUCCCAUGAAAAAAAGCUCACCUUAGGAGAAACCCACGCAUUCCACACAACACUAGAACGGAAUUGCACUACCCUUCCUAUCUCUAGGCUAGCAUAAAGUGGUUAAUAGAGAAAGUUCCACUCUUCGUUUCAACCCAACACACUUUAUCCUCUUUACCCUCUUCUACCACUUUAUCUUGAAGUCUUCCAAAAAGUGUUCCACAAAAACAAUCUCCCAAUCAUUUAGAGGCCUCGAGAAGUUACGAUUAUAGCCAUCCCUCUCAUUAGAAUGCUACCACAGCUCUGCCACCCAAGCAUCUUUAGAGUUAGAAAUGGCAAAUAAAGAGGGAAAAGAAACAUUUAACAACUCAUCCCCGCACCAUUUAUCUUUCCAAAACUUUAUCCUUUUUCCCAUUGCCCACAAAAAAGGACAAUUUACAAUUGACUAAAUCCCACAACUUCCUUAUGUUCUUCCAUAACCCAACACCAUAGCCACCCCUCGCUACCUUAGAGCACCAACCUCCUUCCAAAUCCCCAUAUUUACCACAAAUGCUUUAUCUCCAAAAGGCCUCCCUUUCUGAAGCAAAGCACCAAUUCCACUUACAAAGGAGGCCUUAUUAAGCGAGUGAAGGCACCUAGCACCUAGGGCCCCCCUCCUUCUGUCAGAGCAAACGGUAUCCCAUUUCACCAGAUAAGGCUUACUAUCUAAGCUCCCACCUCCCCAAAGAAAGUCCCUUUGAAUUUUUUCCAACCUUAACCGCACAAUCCCUGACAUCCGGAAAAGAGACAAAAAGUAGAUUGACAAACUAGAAAACGUACUUCUAAUCAAUGUUAGUCUCCCCCCUUUAGAAAUAUAUUGUCUUUUCCAUAACGCCAAUCUUUUGCGGAAUCUUUCUUUCACCCCAUCCCAAGCCACCAAUGAAUUAUAAGGGGUGCCUAGUGGGAGCUCCAAAUAAGUGGUCGGGAGCAUUCCCACUUUACAACCUAAUACAAGGGCCAACUCUUCUGGGUUUUCUACUCUCCCCAUCGAAAGAAUAGCCAUAAUGCACUUAGAUGAAUUCUUCUAUACUUGUUAGAGAUCACACUGCCUGGUACACAAGAAGACCAAUUGCAAAAGAGAAGAUCUAGCAUUUGGAGAAAAACAUCAUAGCCAUGAAAUCUUAAGUGACCUUGUACACAAGGAAAAUGAGGACCAAGUAUUAGAAGCAUGAAAUUCAACAAUUAAUUUGAUCCUUGUUAAUUACAAGUGGAGAAAAAGAUAAGAAAUAAAUAAAGAACUACUUACCCAAUCAUGCCCUUUUGAUUAUUAUUUUUUAAAAGCAGAAUUGGGCAUGAUCCAUGCUGCACAUCACUAGAAGUAUUCAAUAUGCCAGACUGUGACUCACUGAGACAGAAGAAUCCCAGAUGCCGGUGAUGCUUUUCCAUGCAAAGCACAUUCUCUUCCAUUGGAGGACUGAGCCCAUUACUAGCAUCCCACAAAUCCAUGUCCUGAUUUCCUACUAAAGAAGUGGUUUCCAUAGCUUCAUUCUUUGAUGCAUCGCCAAGUACUUUGUUAGAAGCCACUUCUGGAACAACUGUAGUCUUUUUCUCAGGCAAAUUGCAUGGAUCAUUAACUGUAAGAGAUAGAAUUGCACAAGAAGGAAUCUGCUCUUCAUGCUCAAGGCUAGAGCACUUAGUCAGUUGCGAGGAUUUCAAAAUUUUACUAACAACCAAACAACACAUUUAGAUAUGUUCAUUGCUUUGUUUAAAAUGAACAGGUUCUACUUUUGGUUUUGGAGGACUUACCAAGUAAUAGGAUGCAGUAUCUUUUGAAGAAGUCCAAAUGCCUUUGAUCCUAUUACUUCCAAUUUAGCAAGUUGGCCCUCAAGUGAAAAACAAUUAAUCAAGAUGCCAGUUUCAUCCAUCUAAAAGAUAAAAAGAGAUGGAGACAAAGUAAAUAACACGGGGCAAGCAUAUGAUCUCUAUCCUGCUAGGUCUUAUCUUUGUUGACAUAAUGCUUUACAAAUUUAAAUUUUAUUCCAAGGAAACAUGUAAACCCAGCGUUAUAUAAGACAAGGAUAUAUAUUUAUGAGCAUUACAUAUGCACACUAAACAGUACAAGGGGAUACUAUUGAUAAGUAUUCACUUUUUCGAACUAUCACAUAGGAACAGUUUGUUCACAAGCUACUCUUCAUAACAAAUAAGCACAUUAGAGUCUUCAAAAGGGGAAAAAAUAGAUCAAAGAUAAAUAAUCUCUAUGGUUUACCAGUUCUUGACAAGCAAAUUUCAAAGCAUCAUAUCCUUCAUUGAAAGCUGAGGCAUGCAUCCACACCCAUAGCUGGCGGAAGGAAGAACAACACUCAUUUGUCUGUGUGCUGUUAACAGAAUCAACAUUAUGGUGUUCUACUCCAAUACCUAUAUCCUUUUUUUGUAAGGGUCUCCACAUAUAGGUUACAGGGGCAAUUGAUUUAGAACCAGGUUCUCCAACAUGAUGAAGCUGCAAAACAAAACAAGGAGAGUCUAUCCAUAUGUUUGUUUCAUCAUUCUUGAAGUGGAGAAGGUGCAAUGGAAUAACUUACCAUAGCACUUCCAUAGACAACACCAGAAAACAAAACGGAGAAUAUCCUCAGAGUGAGCUGAUGGAGAAGGCACCAAUACCAUGCUUAGAAUUGAAAAUAAUGAAUCCUGGAAGCAUAUAACAUGAUAAACUAAAUUUCCUUAUGCAAAUGAAACAGAAAAACCAAAAGCAUUGAGAUACCACUUCCAGGUCUAUUAGCACCUAAAAUAAAAAUUCUUCUGAAGUAAUGAAUUAAGAGAAAAAUCCACAAUUGAAAUGGUUUGCAAUUACAAAGAAAUGAAAUGCAUACCUCCGGACCCUCCAAUUGCAGGGCAAUGUGGUAACAAGCAUCAUGUACAAGAGCUCCAUGUCUGAACUACUUCAAGAGAGCCCUUGAACCCCUUCCUCUACAUCAUUUUAGAGAAAAAUUGCCCAAAUUAAUUCUUUCUCAUAUACUCAAAUAACAAAUAGAAGUUGAAAUAAAAAUACGGAAAGGGUAACCCAAAUUGGUUCUUUAUCUAAGAGACUUCUCCAUGAAAAAGAGCUCCCAAUGGAUGUUUGGAAAGUAAUUCCACUGCAAACCCAAAUCUAAACGUAUUAAUGCUCCAUUUCAAACUUGAAGUUUGAGGUAAAGUACCCUUUGAACCUCAGAAACAAAAAGGAGAAAAUCAUGAAAAAUGAAAAAAAAGUUUAAACUAAAUAAAAAUUUUCAUGUUUAUUAUUAAUGUAUCAAAUUUUACAUAGUUUUCGAAGUUGGAAUUUCUUCCUAAAUUUUUUUCCCUUUUCAGUACCAAAUGGCCUAAGAAGAAUCUCCAAUAAAAAAACCUAGAAUGAAUUACCUGCCUUGCAAGCCCAGAGGUAGGUAGAAACCCCAAAGCUUCGUCAUUGUGAAGCGCUUUGCAUGCCAAACAUGGGUUCUUAGCCUCUUGGUACCGUCCCCAGAAGUAGAGUAACCAUGUUCAGGGUUUCUUCUCAGUUCAACUCGCCGACGAAUACGACGAGGAACUGUCUUCUCAUCUUUCUCCAAAGCCCCAACAUUGCCUUUAUCAACCACCCCUAUUCUCUCCCUCUUUCUAAAUCUCUUGUUUGCAUCUCUGUUAUCAUACCCCGUGGUCCUUCUUCUCUUGUUUCUCUGAGACCGGAAAUUGUUGUUCACUCGAUUUGCUACAAUUGAGUGAAGAGCCUCAAGUUCAGAAGCUCAGGAUUCUGCAAAUUUCUCAACAUUAAGACUUCGAGGAGGUGGGGCUAUCGAUGAUCGUUUGAAACCAUCAGUAACCAUUACUGGGAAUAACACCCAAACUGAAGAUCAGGAAUGGCGACGGCGGUAUGGCCGGAACGGUGAUUGCCGCCGGUGUUAUUGGAUGGAGAUGCGUUUGUGUUGAUGGGGCUGAGUGAAGGUGGCGGCGAUUAGGAUGACAGCUGAGCAGCACCGUCUAGUGUUCUACAACCCUGGGUUUUUGGCGGCAGGCCUGUCGAGCAGGAAACCAUUCUUUGUUCUAUUCUAACUAAACUCCGGAAUAAGGAGAGAAUUGUUACAGAGAUUAAACUCUCCUGCACCCACUUAGUAAAAUACUACUUUUUUUUUUUUUAAAUAUUACAAAGUUAAAUAAAAAAAAAUUAGAAUAUCAAAGAUCAAAUAAAAAAAAUUUAGAAUAUCAUGUUUGCACUUGAACAUGAUAAAUGAAUUUUCAACCUUUUAAUAUUUUCUUAUUUCAAUUAAUUAAUUAAUAAUAAAUUUAUAUUCAUGUAAUUUAAAUAAUUUUUCUAUAACUCGUUUAAAUCACUAACUCGUUUAAAUUAAAUUAUAAACUAAAACUAAAUUAAUCCGGAAUUAAAAAAAUAAACUUUAUCUCAUAGAUUUCUUAAACUAAGGAAUUAAAAUCACUAACUCAUUUAGACUAAAAGAUAGAUUAAAACUAGACUAAUUGAGAAUUAAAAUACGAACUUUAUCUAACAUGUUUAAUUAAACUAAACAUAGAAGAUAGAUUAAAAUUGAACUAAAUUGAAAUUAAAAAUAAGAACUUUUCUAAUAUAACAAUUAAACUAACGAAUUAAAACAACAAACACUAAACAUAAACGGUAGAUUAAAAGUGAACUAAAUCAAAAUUAAAAACAAAAACUUUUCUAAUAAAAAUAAUUAAACUAACGAAUUAAUAUUACAAACACAUCUAAACAUAAAAGAUAUAUUAAAAUUGAACUAAAUCAAAAUUAAAAAUAAGGACUUUCAUAAUAGAAACAAUUAAAUUAAAGAAAACUACAAACACAUCUAAACAUAAAAGAUAAAUUAAAACUAAAUCGAAUUGGAAUUAAAAAAAAGGGAACUUUAUCUAAUGGGAUAAAUUAAACUAAAAAAUUAAAACUACAAACACAUCCAAACUAAAAAAGAAAAAAUAAAUUAAAACUAAAUCGAAAUUAAAACAAGAAAUUUAUUAUAUAGGAUUAAUUAAAUCAAAGAACUAAAAUCAUUAAAACACUUAAAACUAAAAUGAUGGAUCAAAACGAAAUCAAAAAUAAAUUUGAAAACAUACACUUACCUAUAAACCGUUGUUUGUGGAGAUUUUGUGGGCUGCUCCCCCCUUUUUAUGGUUAUGUGUCGGCUCCUCAAAGUUCUUCGUGCGUCCUAUCAAAAGAAUUGCUCUCAUGUCCUCUCUGCCUCUUUAAAAAAUCCCCGUGCCUGUUAUUUAUCUAGCAGCCCAUUUCCAUGGAAUCUUUUAUUUCCUUUCUUAAUGCACGUGGAUAUAGGAAAGUGCAUGCCUGUGGCUCACAUUGGGGACUUCCCUAAUAUGCAGCCCGCGUCUCAUUUGGUAAGUGAUCAGAUCCUCAACGGUCCCAAAGUGGUAAGUUCCUUCGGAUCCCAUGUUGCUAUUCUGCAUCUCUUUGUGUUUUGGCAUCAUCCCUCUUAAUUAAUUCACCAUCCGGCUUCUCAAAUUCCUCGAGUCCUUUCUUUGUUCUUGUGGAAACAUUAGGAUCUCUAGUACUUGGCCAUCUCAAAUCCAUUCUUGCUAUAGUGAUAGUCCUUAAUAGUUUGUUCAAUUUCUUUCUGUGUUCAUGAUAAAAGGCCCCUACUGGACCACAGGUUCGUUCAGAGGCUGCCCUCCAAUGAGCACAAAUCUCAGCGGUUUGGAUGACUUGUUCCACGUGCUCAGGCCGUCACCAGGGCCUAAAACCAAGACAUGGUGAGCGGUCACUAGAGAUGAGUUCACUACCCCGAAUACUCCUUCCCCUUCAACUUUGUACACAAAGGAGUUCCAUGAUUCUGAAAUGCUUUAAUGCAUUUGGGCCCUUGGUUUUAGAGUAAAAUCAAGGUACAUUGUUGGAGUUCUGGUGUAAAUAGGGGACCAGAGUCCCAUUGAUUCUCUUGCUAUGACCCGGACUUCAACGCCAUCUUUCUCUGCUCUUUUGAUGUUGUAAGAAAACAGAGUAGAACAGAGUGUUUUGGAAAUCUAGAAAUCUGGUGUAUAUUCCAUUUUACAACUUACAGGGAAGAAGAUGCAUAUAUACAAAGUAUUGGUUAGCCUAUUCUAGGAAUGUAUGAGCAAACAUAUCAGUUACAAUCAAUCAAAAUAAUCUUCUAUAUACAAUCAAAUAUCAUCCUCAAAUUACGGGAUCCUUGAUUCCUUUCCCAUAAUACUCCCCCUUAAGUUGGAGUGUGUAUGUCAAGAACGCCAAACUUGUUGAGAAGGGAAUGAAAAAUUGAUGAAUUGAGUGGCUUAGUGAACAAAUCAGCAAGCUGGCAAGAUGAUGGAACAUGAGCAGUUACUAUGGCACCUAAUUGAAUUCGUUCUCGAACAACAUGACAAUCGAUUUCUAUAUGCUUGGUACUGUGGACCCGCAUUUUUCACGUGCGCCCCCACUCGAUCGGCGAGACUCGCUUUUUAUUUGUGAAAAAUUAAUUUUUGGAAAAAAGUUGGAGCCGCCACUUAUUUUAUUUUUAUUUUAAAGGGAAAAUAAAACAAGAAAGAAAAACCCUAAAAUGUGACUCCAUAAUUUUUGGAAAAAGCAUGUCUUUGAAAAACCCGAGUCUAAGUCCGGGGAUCAGGUUACUUAUUGGGAAGGUACCUUUAAAAGGUAGCACCCCUUUAAGCCCUAUAAAGGUCUCUAUUGACUAAGUUGACGGAAAUAUGGCAAUUAAUCGAUUGAUCAUAGAUACCUAAGUAGACUAGGUGAUUUUAAAGUGUGGCAUGUCAAACACAAUCAAAUUGCAACAAAUGAGAGUUAAGGCGCGUACCUGAAUCGCUUCUCAAGCGCUAUCAUAAAACAUCGAUGGUUAAUUUAAACAAUAUAUCAUCCAGCAUGUAUUUUAUUAGAAAUAAUCAAACAAUGAAACAUGUAUAUCAGAACACUCAAGCAUUAUUAGACAUAAGCAUUAUUUCACUAUUCACAGAAUUCAGAAAGUAGGUGAUAGAGGACAUACCUGGAUAGCAUAGAUAAUUUGUAACGUGCUUCCUCAAGUUAUAAGGGGUUAGAUAACAAAUAAUAAAAUAUAGAAAUCCUAGCAUGCUCGUUAUCUAAUUAGCAUAGCAAAAGUGAUUAAAGUAUACAGAAUCAUCAAUUAUCACAUACAUCUUGUAUAUAAUUCCUAAAAAAAUAGAUAGACAUGAUUCCAACAAGUGUCAAAUAUGGCAACAAAAAUAAAUUUUGAAAAGAUUUUCUUAUGUAGGGGAUUCACCAAUUCCCCAAUCGAUAUACACGAAUUUAGCUUAGAAUUAUCCCAUUUAUUUGGGACCACAAGCUUUGAUUUGUGUUUUAUUCAAAACUGUAAUUUUAUUUGAAAGAUGUGAACCAAUCAAAACAUGGUUGCACAUUAUUUUAAAAAAUGAGAUUUUGAUUCUAAGAACUCUAAAUGAAUUUUUGAAAUGGAUUGUUAAGGGGAUCUUUUGACUCUAAGAAACUCUAAAUGAAUUUUUGAAAUGGAUUUUUAAGGAAAAUGAGAUUUUGAGAAUAGUGUUGUAUUUUAAAAAGAAAUUAAUUUGAAAGCAAUAAAGUGUAUGAAUCAAAAUACCAAGCAAAACAAAAGAGAACAAAAUCACAAAGUAGAAUUUUUGACAACCAAGAAAAUUGAAGGUGAGAAUGGAGGCUAAUCUUCAUGAGUUUCCAAAAGCCUCAGAAAAAGAAAUCAAAUUAAGUGAAGGAUCACUAAAACAACAAGCAAAGCAUUCUAGAUUAGACGAACUAACAAGGUAUCGAUUCAUGAACUAACCGCUAGGAUUUUAAAAGCAUAUAAAUUUAGAUAAGGGUGAUCAGGAUCUAACAUUAAUGAUUUUGAAACAAAAACUAAAAAUGGAUCAAUUCAGGUAAGGAACUAAAAUUAUAGAAGUACCUAAACUAAUUAAAACGAGUUUGACUAAAUUAAACCAACAACAUGAACUUUCAAGCAUAGAAUUAAUUUUAUUGAUGAACCAAAAUUUAUAAAAGUGUCUAAACUAAAUAGAUGAAUUAAAUUAAAUCAAAGUACGCUAAAAACAUGAACUUUUAAAUAAAGAAUCAAUUUUAUCAAUAAAUAAAUAAAACUAUAAAAACACAUAAACUAAUUAAAAGGAACCAAAUUAACAAAUAGAUUAAUACUAAAUUAUAUUAGGACUAAAAAAAUCCACUUCAUCUAAUAAAAUUGAUUAAGCUAUCAAAUUGGAAUUAAAAAGAAUACAUUUUUAAAAUAAAACAAAUUAAUAAUUUAGUGACUCGAAACUGAAAUAAUCGAAAUUAGAAAUAAGAUGCAAUCUUUCUAAAGGUUUAAUCAAACAAUUGAAUUAAAAUUAUGAAUAUAAUAAAUUAAUAAACCAAAUCGAAACCUCAACCCCAUCUAAGAAAAUUAAUUAAUUAAGCGAAUAGAUCAAAAUCAACAACGAAACUAAACUAAGGAGUAAAUUAAGACAAAACCAAUUAAAUUAAAAUCACAAAUACGUCUAAACUAUCAUAUGGAUUAAAACACAUUAGCAUGGACUUAUGAAUUACGAACCCAUAGAAAAAGACAUCUAAUAAAAGAAUGAAAACUCUUUCAAAAACGAACCUGUGUUAUGGGAGAAAAAUUCGUCUUUGAUGGGUUGAAGUGGCUGCUCUAUUAAAAUUUGAAAGCCUCUGUUACUUCCCUUUGUCCAGAAAAUCCUCUUCCCUUUACGUGUUCUCUCUCUGCCCCCAAAAAAAUAAUCCUCUCUUCCCCUUUCAAUUUAUAUGGCAGCACUUUCCUUUAUGAAAUACUUUAUUUCUUUUUCCGAAACGCGCAUGGAUAUGGGAAGUAUGGCUCACUUGGAGAUUCUUCUAAGGGUGCGGCGUGGCGACAUCCCUCUCAAAACGUGGACUGUGCGCCUCCUCCAAAGGCAGCUGCGCGUGAAUGCCACCAUCUCAACUGUGCGGUUGCUCUUAAAAAAAAGGAUUGUGCGCGAGUGGUGAUUCUCCACUAUGGAAAAUGGAUUGCAAGACUCACAACCGCACUGCAUCAAGCACUAAAAUGCGCCAUGAACGACUAGUGCUCCUACCUGAUAUGCAUCCCGAGGACUGUUUGGAUUGGAUGACCAUGGCUGGAUGGGUAUCAUUGAAGCUUAAAGUUGCAGGAACCUUUCUUCAACAAAUAGAUCAACAAACGAUAGAGUCUUCGGGGAAGAACGGGAUGCCGCAAUUAGAUGAACUUGAUGAGAAGAUCUUUGCGAAAUCGGAGAGGGAAUAAGAUGAUGAAUGAAUGUCGGUGGUGGGGACAGCAGUCGAAGAGAUGUCUGCGUGUUCGUUGAUGGAGGCAGCGUAGGAGCAGUGCUCGCCGGAAGAGGAGCGUUGCUCAUCUGUUCCGGUGGAACUUGACUUUUUCUUCACAAAGACCCUUUUCUUGAACCUCUGAAUGUGGUAACGUCGGAAUCAGAAGUCACAGUAAUGGAGAUCGUGUUGGCGGAGCCAUCCUCGAAGGAGGGAUCAAUUCGAAAGCAGAUUCGACGCGUUGGAUUUUAUGUUGAAGAGAUCAUAUUUGUUUGGCCUCGAGCUGAAAUUCCCUUCAUAACGGUUGGUGGUGGCGUUGGCGAUGGCAUCCUCGUGGCGAUGAGAAAGCUUUUGGAACAGGCGGCCAUCUCCACUUGGGUCUUUCCACCGAAAAAAAAGAAUUUCCUCCUACAAUCAAAAGAGAGCCCCUCCCUUUCCUUCAUCUCUCACGUAUAUGUAUAUAUAUCCGCCUUUCCCUAAAACCUAAAUCUCCCUAAAAAAGUUGAAAUCUCCUAUUUUCUCUCUUCUUUUCUCCUUAUCCUUUUUUAAAUCUUCCAAUUCAAAAGCAAUCUUCCCAAUUUCAAAUUCCUCUCCAAAACCUUCCAAGGAGAGUCCCGCCUUCCUUAAACUCCAAUAGUAAGUUUCCUUGCAAAAACAUGAAAUUUUUGAAGUUAAAUAAUUGAAUGAAUAGAUAAGCAAGUAAAUAAAUUAGGAAACGGUAAAAAUAAAUUAAUAAACAAACAAAAAUAAAUAAUAAAUAAAUAAAUAAGUUAAGGAAAAUAAUAUAAAGAGGAAAAUAACCAAUAAAAAGUGAAUGAGAAUCAUAAAACUAAAACUAAAAAAAUAAAAUAAAAUAAAAUAAAAAUAAACCAAUAAAUAAAAGUCGAGCCCAAAAGCCAUGUAGCCAUGCAAGUCAUACAAGUCACACUAAAAAUGUCCAAAUGGGGCAAGUGUAUCUAAAAGCUAUCCUAAAAAAAAAAAAAAAAAGCCUAAGUCUAAGUUAGGGCUGCCAGGGGUCACAAUAAGGGAUCAAAUAAUCCCUUAACCAAAGUCUCCGAGGUGACUCAGAAAAGAGUAAGUCAUACGAGUAGUAAUGGGCCACCAAGGAACUAUCGUGGAGCACUGGAAGUGAAUUUAAAUACAUGUGCUAAAAGGGCAAAAUUGAGGGUCUACAGGUACGUUCAUGGUAAACUGGAUUAGCAGCAAUAUGGAGUGCUGCUUUACUAUCACAGAAUAGAUUGGCAGGUUGCGAGUGUUCUAUCUUCAAGUCAUCCAACAAAUACUUGAGUCAUGUAAGUUCACAUGUAAUGGAAGCCAUUGCUCGAUAUUCUGAUUCAAUUGAUGACCUUGACACUGUUGUCUGUUUCUUGGUUUUCCAUGAAAUGAGAGCUCCUCUAAGAAAAUACAAUAUCCAGUCAUAGAUCGUCUUGUGAUCGAACAUCAAGCCCAAUUUGCAUCACAAAAUCCUCUUAGUAGCAAAUUUCCCUUUACAGGAAAAUAUAAUCCUUGUCCAGGUGCACCUUUAAGAUAUCGUAGAAGAUGAUGAAUAGCAUGCAAAUGAGGCUUUCUUGGUUCUUGCAUAAACUGGCUUAAAAUGUGAACUGAAUAACUUAUCUCUGGCUUUGUAAUGGUAAGAUAAAUGAGUUGUCCGACCAAUCUUUUGUAGGUGGAUGGAUUCUUCAAUAAAUCUUCUACUGUGGGUAGGAGUUUAUUAUUUUCUUCCAUAGGUGUCAACAAUGGUUUGGCCCCAAGCAAUCCUGCUUCAUCUAAAAUAUCAAGAGUGUAUUUUCAUUGGGAUAUUGAAAUACCAUCAGUAGAACGAGCAACUUCAAUACCAAGGAAAUAUCGUAAUUGACCGAGGUCCUUGAUGCGAAAUUUGGUGUGGAGAGACUCCUUAAGAGCUGCAAUUACAUUCUCAUCAUUGCCGGUGAUGAUCAUGUCAUCUACAUAGAUGAGCACAGCUGUGAAAGAAUUGCUAGAGAUCUUUGUGAAAAGUGAAUAAUCAGCCCUUGAUUGAUGGAAACCAUCUUGUUGAAUGGUGGCAGAAAAUUUCUGAAACCAGCUACGGGAGGCUUGUUUAAGUCCAUAUAAUGACUUGUUGAGUUGACAUACCAUUGGUGUCUCCCCCUGUCGACGAAAACUGGGCGGCAAUUGCAUAUAAACUUCUUCAAGCAAAUCACCAUGGAGAAAGGCAUUUUGAACAUUCAUUUGGUGAAGUGAUCAAUGUCGGACAGCAGCUAUAGCAAGUAAACAUCGAACUAUAGUUAACUUAGCCAUAGGAGAAAAGGUCUCCUUAUAGUCAAUCCCUUCGCGUUGAGUGAAGCCUUUUGCCACCAACCGAGUUUUGUAUCGCUCAACUGUGCCAUCAGAGUUAUAUUUGAUCUUAUACACCCAUUUGCACCCAAUUGGACGAUGAUCGGAAGGGAGAGGUGUGAGUGUCCAAGUGUGAUUUUGUUCAAGAGCAUGGAGUUCUGCAGCCAUAGCUUCCUGCCAUUUUGGAUCCAAUACUGCCUGUUCAUAAGUUGUAGGUUCCAUAAGAGUGGUGAUGGCACAAAAAAAAUUCCGAUAUUUUGGUGAGAGUUGUGCAUAGGAAAUAUACCGAGUCAAAGGGUGAUGCGUACUUGACAAGGAAGAAGAUUGGCUGGAAGCAACCUUGGCGGGGUGGUAGAGAUGAAAAUUCUAAAGUUGGACAUUUGGUUGCUUGAUGCGGUCAGAACGACGAGUAGCAGGAGGUGGAGGUGACACAAUGGUGUCAAGAUCAAGUGUACGUUCAUUAGAGGUAGACUCAAGAGAUGAAAGCAAGGGUGGUGGCUGAUCAUCAGCUUGUGGUUUGGUUGUCUCUAUGGUUAUGGGUUCAUAUGAGGUUUGUGGUAAAGGAAGAACGACCACAUCAUGUUGUUCUUCUUGUGGAUUAGUGUGGAACGGAAAUAUAUGUUCAUGAAAGACAACAUCUCGGGAAGAAAAGAAUUUAUUAGUUUCAAGAUCAUAAACCCGAUAACCCUUUUGACCAAGAGGAUAACCAACAAAUAUGCAACGACGAGCUCUUUGAUCAAAUUUAUGUGUGGGUAAGAGAUUGGUGGCAUAACAAAGACAUCCAAAAGUUCGUAGAUGAUGAUAUGAAGGUAGCUUGUUAUAGAGAAGUUGGUAUGGAGAUUUGUGAGAAAGAAGGGGUGUAGGUAAGCGAUUGAUUAAAUAGCAAGCCGUUUGAAUACUUCCCCCCAAAAUUUUAACGGCAAGUUUGCUUGAAAACGAAGAGUUCUUCCCACAUUUAAAAGAUGACGAUGUUUCCUCUCAACCACCCCAUUUUGUUGGGGGGUGUAAGCACAUGAAUGAUGGUAAUUGAUCCCCUUAGUAUCCAAAUACUGUUUCAUAGAGGAAAUUUCAGUCCCAUUAUCGGUUCGAAGGGUUUUAAUGCAACGAUUAAAUUGGGUUUCCACCUAAGAAAUGAAUGAUUGCAAUAUCCCUUGUGUUUCAGAUUUAAAACUCAUGAGAUGCAUCCAAGUAUAUCGAGUAUGAUCAUCAACAAUUGUUAGGAAAUAACGAGCCCCAGAGUGAAAAUUUAUUCAAUGUGGUCCCCAAAUAUCACAAUGUAUCAAAUCAAAAGGUGCGUGAGAAGAAAUGAAACUAGAUGGAAAGGACAAACGAGUUUGUUUGGCUAAAGGGCAAAUAUCACAAACAUGCUUGGAAUCAAAAUAAAUUUCAGAAUUAACUUUAGCAAGAACUUGAAGAGGACCGGAUGAUGGGUGCCUAAGACGUUGAUGCCAAAGAUCAGAAUGUUUGUGAAUGGCGUAAGCCAAGGCUGGAUUUUGGUGCGAGGUAGUAGAGGCCAUUAUGUUGCUUGCCCAGGCCAAUCAUCUUCCUCUUAGUAGCGUCUUGCACAACACAAAAAUCGGAAAAGAACAUCACUAUACAUUGUAAUGCCCGCAUUAGUUUACUAAUUGAUAGUAAAUUAACUUGAAAUUGUGGAACUUUGAGUACGUUAUCAAGUUUAAUGUGGGCGGUAACAUGCAAUGAACCAAUUGACUCAAUAUGUGCUUGACCACCAUCUGGCAAACUAAUGGUAGUGGUUUUGGGCAAAAUUUUCAGAUCUAAUAAUUCAACUGAGGAAGUCACAUGAUUCGUGGCUCCACUAUCAAUAAUCCAACACAUUUUUUAGUAUGGGCAAUUCAGAAUAAUUUUGGAUGAUGGCAUAUUUAUACCUGUGGCAUUUGCAAAAUGUUGUGAAUUACCACCAUUGUUUUUCCGAAUCAUAGCCAUUAAUUGGUUAUAUUCCUCAGUUGUGAGCCUUGGUCCAUCAUUUGUUGGAAGAAGUUUUGCUUCUGUCUCUACAGCCUUAUUUGUUUCCACUUUCACAUUGUUUGCAUUUGAGUGACGUUGAUUGGGAGGCUUCACGUUCUUCCCAUGGAGCUUGUGGCCAAUCGGAAAGCCAUGUAGGUAGUAACACUUCUCAAUGCUGUGAUAAUCACGGUCACAAUAAGAUCAGUGCAGUGGCGUCUUUUGCUUUUGAACCUGGUGUGCUGAAGUCGCCUUAUUGUCCCGAUCUGCAAGCAUGGCAUAAUGGUUCUUGUUCCCAUUAUUGAGAGAAACUUCAACUUGUUUUUCUUGUUGAAGGACAAGUGAGUAAACUCGGCGUGUAUCGGGUAGAGGUUGCAUCAAUAAGAUUUGUUCACGAAUGGCAGCAUAACUAUCAUUCAAUCCCAUGAGAAAUUGCAUAACUCUCUCUUUUUCAUCCAUUUCCUUAAGUUUCUCUAAUCCUCCACAAGAGCAGGAUAACACUUCAUGAUAGGAUGAAAGUUCAUCCCAAAAAGCUUUAAGCUUUGUGUAAUAAACUGAAAUUGAUUGCUGCCCCUGCCUAUGUUCCACAAUGUCUCGCUUGAUCUGAUAAAUUCUUGAAUCAUUUCCUUGCGAAAAACAUUCUCGCAGAUCUGCCCAGAUUUCUAAUGUUGUUUCGGCAUAAAUCACACUACUGGCUAUGUCUGGAUGAAUGGAAUUCAAUAGCCAUGAGAUCACCAUAUCAUUGCAACGUUGCCAAGAAGGAAAACUAUCAUCAGUCGAAGAGGGUGGCUUAAUGGAACCUGUGACGAAUCCAAUUUUUUCUUUAGCACUCAAACUGAUCCUCAUAGCCCGACUCCAUGUGCUGUAGUUAUCUCCUUCAAGUACUUUGGAGACAAGUACCAUACCCGGGUGGUCCGAGUGAUGUAGAGAGAAGGGAUCUAAAGCUUCUGUGGUGGCCUUAGAUGAUGUCAAUCCCAUUUUGUUGAUGUCCAUGGCAGCAGCUGUAACGAGGAAAUAAGUUGUAGAAGCGCUUGGAAGAAUUCAGAGUCACUAGGUUUGGUGCUCUGAUACCAUGUAAGAAAACAGAGUAGAACAGAGUGUUUUGGAAAUCUGGAAAUCUGGUGUAUAUUCCAUUUUACAACUUACAGGGAAGAAGAUGCAUAUAUGCAAAGUAUUGGUUAGUCUAUUCUAGGAAUCUAUGAGCAAACAUAUCAGUUAUAAUCAAUCAAAAUAAUCUUCUAUAUACAAUCAAAUAUCAUCCUCAAAUUACGGGAUCCUUGAUUCCUUUCCCAUAAUAGAUGUCCUCACUCGGCUAUUCUUGGUAAUUUGGUUCAAUCAUUUUGUCUUUGGAUGCUAGAUUGAUCCAAAGUUGCAAUCCCUUUUGGGUUCCUUCACCUGCGGGCAUUUCAGAGUGGAUUAUGCCUCUGCCUGCAAUCAUCCACUACACAUCCUUGUUCGGAUUGUGCCCUUAUGCCCUGCAAAAUCUUGAUGAGUGAAAGCUCCUGUAGACCCUCAAUUUUGUCCCUUUAGCACAUGUCUUUAAAUUCGUUUUCAGUGCUCCACAAUAGUUCCUUGGUGGCCCAUUGCUACUCAUACUACUUACCUUUUUUUUUAGCCACCUCGGAGAUUUUGGUCGAGGGAUUAUCUAACCCCUUAUUAUGACCCUUGGCAGCCCUAUUUUAGACUUAGGCUUUUCAUUCAUUUUUAGGAUAGCUUUUAGGGUAGCUCAUUUAGGCACCCUAGGCCCACUUAGGCACCCUAGGCCCACUUAGGCACUUAGGCCCAUUUAGGCACCCUAGAUCCACUUAGGCACUUAGGCCCAUUAGGUCCACCUUGGCCCACUUAGUCUCAUCAUAGGUCCGUUUAGACACACUUGGCCCAUUUGGACAUUUUUAGCGUGACUUGUAUGACUUGCAUGGUUACAUGGCUUUUGGGCUCGGCUUUUGUUUAUUGGUUUAUUUUUAUUUUAUUUUAUUUUAUUUUUUUAUUUUAUUUUAUUUUUUUAUUUUAUUUUAUUUUAUUCUAUUUUUUUAGUUUUAGUUUUAUAAUUAUCAUUCACUUUUUAUUGGUUAUCUUCCUCUUUAUAUUAUUUUCCUUAACUUAUUUAUUAUUUAUUUUUAUUUAUUUAUUUAUUUAUUUAUUUUUACCGUUUCCUAAUUUAUUUACUUGCUUAUCUGUUCAUUCAAUUAUUUAACUUAAAAAAAUUUCAUGUUUUUGCAAGGAAACUUACCAUUGGAGUUUAAGGAAGGUGGGACUCUCCUUGGAAGGUUUUGGGAGGGGAAUUUGAAAUUGGGAAGAUUGCUUUUGAAUUGGAAUAUUUAAAAAAGGAUAAGGAGAAAAGAAGAGAGAAAAUAGGAGAUUUUGCCUUUUUUAGGGAGAUUUAGGUUUUAGGGAAAGAGUAAUAUAUAUAGGUGAGAAAAGGAAAAAGAUAGGGUAGCACGCAUAGGAGGAUUUCAGAGGGAAGAAGGAAGGAGUGACCGGGGCAAAAGAGGAUUUUUAUAUGAGAAAUCGUCUUCAGAGGUGAGAGGGAAGAUAGCCGGAAGCCAAGCCAUUGCGGCCAUUGCGGCCAAGACUGCCCAGAAUUUAAAAUCCAUUGGGUCUGGAGGAGAGGCACAGAGGAGAGAGGACUUUCAGCAUGCAUUAAGAACGAAGUGGAAUUAGAAAAGAUAAGCAAUCUCUGCUUCUUCAGAAAAGUUCUAAGGUAAGUUUACUGAUGUUUUGUUUUGGCUCAUACUCCCAAUCUAUGUUCCUCAUUUUUAUUUAUUUAGUUAUUUAUUCUUUUGUGACCUAGGACGCUGUUUGCUUGUUGGGUUGGAGAUGGCAUAAACUCCAUGUGAAUCUUGCUGAUUUCUCAUAUAUUAUUACGGAUAUUGUUUCAUUCCCUGCUUUUUUUUUUCUUUUAUCAUUUGAACUCAAUGAGACUCUGUUUUAUGGUAUAUAUUAUUUCAAGAUUUUGGUUGCCCAGAUUCUCUUUACUCCUCCCACCAACCUAAUCUCGUGGAUCGAAAUAUGAAACACGACUUUCUCUAGAUCAUUCUAUUUUCAUCCUCUAUGCUUUCUUUUCUUGGUUGCCUUCUUUUGUUCUUGUGUGUAUUUUCAAGAGAGAGACUGGCAGCAUCCAUGGGGGAAAGAGGGAGAUACGUGACUAUUUGUUAAUUCACUGGAAAUUCACCCGCGUUCGGGAAGGCGCGUAAAGACUGACCUUGUUGAAUCUUGAAGGAGCAGUAGUCGCAACAUUCUGAAGAUGGAGGACCGCAUCAUCCUUAGCGUGAAAAAGGCUGUUUGAAGGGAUAAAAAAAAAAUAGAGUUUUGAGAGUGUAAGAGAGGUGCAAGGUGCAGCCGCACCCUUUAGGAAUUCUUCUGGAACAGCCACAUCUUUGAGGAACUUUCAGCAUCACCCACACCUUUGAGAGAACUUUUGGAACAGCCACAUCUUUGAGGAAGAACGACCAGCCGCACCAUACUUGGGACGCUUUCAGCACGCAUAAGAGAGUCUGACGCCUUUGAAGAAGCAAGAACAACCAGCUGCACCAUUCUUGGGACGCUUUCAGCAUACAUCAGAAGAGAGGGUGACACCAAACGGGAAGAGGAUCAGCAGCCGCACUAAGGGGAAUCCGGGUGAGAGGAGCGAGAUUAUUUUCUGGAAUGUGAGAGGGUGCAGCCGCACCAUUGAGAGGAGGAUUUCCGGAACAGCCGCACCAUUGAGAGGACGAUUUCUGAAUCAGCCGCACCGAGGUUGAGAGGACUUCCGGAGCAGCUGCACUAUAGGAAGAAAGGAAACAUUCAGUCAUGCUCCUAGGCUUCAAAGACCACCAAGAAGAAGUCUUCAGCUACAGUGCAUGGGCAGCCACCACACCAUGGAUCCUUGGUAAUGAUUCUUUUAAAAUAAAAUAAAAAAAAAAAUAGAAAUCCUACUAGUGGAAAGUGACCUACACGUUUCGGAAAAGGUGAAUUUAUCCUUCCUAUUUCAAUUUUGAUUCAUGAAAUAUUCAGUUCAAUACAUAAUUGUUUUAGAGAUUUAUCUAUUUAGUUUAAUUAUUUCCUGAUGAAAAUUUAUUAGUUUUAAAAUUAUUCCCAUUCAAUCUUUGUAUUUUAAAUUUUUAUUGUAAAUUCAUGUUUAGCUUAGAUGUUAAUCUUUAAUUUAUUUUUAAAAUUUUCCAUAUCUAAAUAAAUUAAUUAUUAUUGAUUCAUUAUUCUAGCUUGAAGAUUAUGAUUUUUGUUUAAUGUAGUUACAAUUUAUUAUUCUUAGUUUGACAAAUUAGAUUUUUUUUUUUAAAUAUUGGUUUAGGCAAUUUUUGUUGAUAAUGGAAAGGUUAGGAUUUUUUUUAAGAGUUUGGGCAAUUCAUUAUGAUGGUUUAAAAUUUAGAAAUUUGAUUAACAUUAUUAAAUAUUGGUUUAAGCAAUUCUUGUUGAUAAUGGAAAGGUUAGGAUUUUUAAGAGUUUGGGCAAUUCAUGAUGAUGGUUUAAAAUUUAGAAUUUUGAUUAGCAUUAUUACUAUUAUUAUUUUUUUCUCAAUUAGGAAAUUCAUAAUUUCUUUUAGUUUGGUUUUAAUUUAUCUUUUAGUUUAGAUGUUAUUAAAAUUCAGUUUAUUAGUUCAAUUGAUUCCAUGUCACAUCUUUCCAUAUCUAAAGGUUGUUAAAUUUAAUUCAUGAUUCAUUCUUUUAGUUUAUUAAUUUUAGAAUUUAAGUUGGUUAAUUUAUUUCAUUCCACGUUGAUAUAUUCAUGUUUUAAAAUAAAUAAAGAAAAAAAAUUAUUAUUUUAGUUUUGAUUGAUCCUGCUUUAGUUGAUAUUCUUUAGAGUUUUAAUUAAUUCGAUUGGUUUCAUAUUGUUUAGUUUAUGUUAAGAUUUUUUUAAUUCCAUUUUUCUAUUAAUUCUAUGCUUGAAAGUACAUAUCUUUAGUUUGCUUUGAUUUAGUUUGGCUCAUUUUAAUUAGUUUAAGCAUUUUUAUAAUUGUAGUUCAUUAGUAAAAUUAAUUCUAUGUUUGAAAGUUCACAUUUUUAGUUUAAUUUAGUCAAACUCGUUUUAAUUAGUUUAGGUACUUCUAUAAUUUUAGUUCCUUACCUGAAUUGAUCCAUUUUUAGUUUUUGUUUCAAAAUCAUUAAUGUUAGAUCCUGAUCACCCUUAUCUAAAUUUAUAUGCUUUUAAAAUCCUAGCGGUUAGUUCAUGAAUCGAUACCUUGUUAGCUUGUCUAAUCUAGAAUGCUUUGCUUGUUGCUUUAGUGAUCCUUCAUUUAAUUUGAUUUCUUUUUCUGAGGCUUUUGGAAACUCAUGAAGAUUAGCCUCCAUUCUCACCUUCAAUUUUCUUGAUUGUCAAAAAUUCUACUUUGUGAUUUUGUUCUCUUUUGUUUUGCUUGAUAUUUUGAUUCAUACACUUUAUUGCUUUCAAAUUAAUUUCUUUUUAUUUUUAAAAUAUAACACUAUUCUCAAAAUCUCAUUUUCCUUAAAAAUUCAAUUCAAAAAUUCAUUUAGAGUUUCUUAGAGUCAAAAGAUCCCCUUAACAAUCCAUUUCAAAAAUUCAUUUAGAGUUCUUAGAAUCAAAAUCUCAUUUUUUAAAAUAAUGUGCAACCAUGUUUUGAUCGGUUCACAUCUUUCAAAUAAAAUUACAGUUUUGAAUAAAACACGAAUCAAAGCUUGUGGUCCCAAAUAAAUGGGAUAAUUCUAAGCUAAAUUCGUGUAUAUUAAUUUGGGGAAUUGGUGAAACCCCUACAUAAGAAAAUCUUUUCAAAAUUUAUUUUUGUUGCCACAUUUGACACUUGUUGAAAUCAUGUUUAUCUAUUUUUUUAGGAAUUAUAUACAAGAUGUAUGUGAUAAUUGAUGAUUCUGUAUACUUUGAUCACUUUUGCUAUGCUAAUUAGAUAACGAGCAUGCUAGGAUUUCUAUAUUUUAUUAUUUGUUAUCUAACCCCUUACAACUUGAGGAAGCACGUUACAAAUUAUCUAUGCUAUCCAGGUAUGUCCUCUAUCACCCACUUUCUGAAUCCUAUGAAUAUGCUUGUCAUUGUGAAAUAAUGCUUAUGUCUAAUAAUGCUUGAGUGUUCUGAUAUACAUGUUUCAUUGUUUGAUUAUUUCUAAUAAAAUACAUGCUGGAUGAUAUAUUGUUUAAAUUAACCAUCAAUGUUUUAUGAUAGCGCUUGAGAAGCGGUCCGAGUACGCAUCCUGACCUUCCUUUAUUAUGAUUUGAUCUUGUUUGGCAUGCUAUUUUUUGGAACCACCUAGCCUACUUAGGUAUCCAUAAUUAAACCGAUUAAUUGCCACAUUCCCCUUAACUUAGUUAGUAGAGACCUUUAGAGGGCUCAGAGGGGUGCUACCUUUUAAAGGUACCUUCCCAAUAGGUAACCUGAUCCCCGGACUUAGACUCGGGUUUUUCAAAGACAUGCUUUUUCCAAAAAUUAUGGAGUCACAUUUUAGGAUUUUUCUUUCUUGUUUUAUUUUCCCUUUAAAAUAAAAAUAAAAUAAAUGGCGGCUCCAACCUUUUUCCAAAAAUUAAUUUUUCACAAAUAAAAAAAAAAAACGAGUCUCGCUGAUUGAGUGGGGACACACAUGAAAAAUGCGAGUCCACAGCUCCCUGCAGCAUGUAUGUAACAGUCUCAAAGCCUCAGUAUGGAUGAUUUGGAAAAUUAGUAGGCGGUGCAACUGUGAACUCAUCCAACUUGAGAAAAGGAUCCUGGUUUUUCAAUUCACUCCUUCCAAUGCUCCGCCUAACAACAGCACCCUCACCCUCACAUUGAGGCUUGGCCAAGACCUUCUUGACCACCAACCUUGGCUGAUCAAAACCAGAGGAAUGAUCUGAUCCAGACAUGAUUUUUCUCAUGAAACAAGAAACUCUGCUUGGUUGGUAUUGAUUCAAUAACAGUAACCCAUAGUUACAGCUCUCAUACAAGUGUAUUCCUUGUGUUUCUUUUUUGUAGAUGGCUUUCUCAGAUCCCCCUUGCUGCAUGUAUGUCUUUGCCUUGCUCAUAAUCUUCCCAAAGAAAUCCUAUGCAAUUUUUCUCCUCAUGCAAGAACAGAAUAACAUAAAGUUAAUAAAGGUAAAAGAAAAGAGAAGAAACUAAUGAAAAAUUUUGAGAUUGGUAAUAAAACGAAAUACGAUUUUAAAAGAAAAGAAAGAGAAAAGAAAGAGAAACCAGGUUAUAUAAUUCCACCAUUCAAUCAAGGGUUAUUUUCACAUUUUGGAGUCUAAACAAUUCGAGCAAUUUCCUAUUAGAUGAGUGAAUAAAUAAAAUAAAAAUAAAAAUAAAAAUAAAAAUAGUAAUAAUAAUAAUAAUGACAAUGAUAAUGAUAAACAAAUAAAGAGUAAAAAAAUGAAAAUGAAUAAACAAAAUAAAUAUAAUUAUCGAAUGCAUGCAAUAAUAAUAAUAAUACUAAUAAAAGUUAUAUAUAUAUAUAUAUAUAUAUAUAUAUAUAUAUAUAUAUAUAUAAGUUAAGCCCGAUGAAGUGUUUAAACGGGCCUAAGUGGGUGCCUAAUGAGCCAAGUGUCAUAAAGUGAUCGGGAUAUUGUCUACGUGACCUAAACAUGCCUUAGAACUAUCCUAAAAAGGAAUGAAAAGCUUAAGUCUAAAUCAAAACUGCCAAGAGUCACAAUAUGGGGUUAGGCAAUCCCUCAACCAAAGUCUCCGAUGUGGCUCAAGAAAGGUAAGUGGUGUGAGUAGCUAUGGGCCACCAAGGAACUGCUGUAAAGUAUCGAAUAAGUAUCUAAUAGGACAUGUGCUAGGAGGACAAAAUUGAGGGUCUACACUUUCCUUGCCUAUUCUAGUCUCAUGAGGCAACUAAGACCCAUUCAUCCCUCUUGAUGGUCCUAUAAAUUUGAAGAAUCCAACUUGGAUCUCUCUAGAAAUGUAUGGAGCCUGUAGAGUCUAUCUGGAAGGGCAACAAGUGUUCAGUCUUGAGGUGCUUGAUUUGACAGAGGAAGGUCUCAUGAAGAUGUUUGUUGUUGGGGUCUCCCAAUUUACCCCGCUCUCAUUAGCUAUCUUAUACCCAACCCCAAUAUUCACAUUCUAGGCUCACUUGCAUGAUUUUGGUUUGCAUGGCCACCUCUCUAGGCCCAUUUUCAUAGCCCAUACCUGAAUGCAUGUCUCCAAAACCGAUUUUUGAAAAAUCCAAUUUUCACAUGAUUUAAUUCACAACUCUUCAUACAUCUCUAGAGUUUUCAGGAUCACCCAAAAGUCCCAAUUUAAUAAAAUUUGUUGCCAUCUUUCUUUCUGGCAAGCAAUUUUCACAUCUCCUUUGAUUUUUAAAAAUGUUUUAAAAUAAAUGUGAAUUAAAUUUCGUAAUUCCAAGUGAUGGGAUUUAUGGAAUUGAUUGAUGCAAAAAUAAAAUGGGCUUUGGUGGGGGCCCAACAUCAAUGAAUGUUUACUUUGAAAAUGAAAUUGAGUGAAGUGCGAUAUCUGAUGAUUUAUUAUCUUGUUUAGCGAUGCAUGUGACAUAUUUUAUGCUCAUUAUUGUGCACUAAUCCCAUUUCUUGAUAGCGUAUUAUGGUUCGCUACUAAGGUAUGCAAUCACUCUCAAUUUGAUCUUUUUCCAUGCAUGUUUUGGCUUUUAGUGUGUGAUCAUGUUGAUAUCCAUUGAUUUCCUCACCAAUUGCCAUGAUUGCUUCAUCUUAUUAGUAGAGACCUGUUUUUAAGGACUUAGAGGGGUGCUACUAUCUUUACCGUACCUUCCUGAUAAGUAAUCUAACCCCCGAACCCCGAUUUGGUUUUUUAUGGACCAUCUUUUCCGAAUAAGGAGUCACACUUAGGGUUUUCUUUUUUAUUUUUUUUUUGCCAUUUAAAAAUAAAACAAAAAUAAGUGGCGACUCUAAGUCAUUUUAAAAAAAAUAAAAUAUUUUUCAAAUAAAAAACGAGCUCGCCAUCGAAUGGAAGUGCAUGAGCCGAAAUACGAGGUCCAUAGUAUGUAUUCUAUAUAUAUUAUUUUUAUCAUUAUAAAAUUAUUUACAAAAACAUUAAAUCAAAUAAAUUUAAAUUGACUCACUAAUUACCUUUCCAAACAUUAUAUAUCUCCAUCUAUUAUUUUUAUAUAUCAACAAUCACUUGCCUACGUACACCUUCACACAUGGUUUUAAAAACCGGACCGGACCGGCCGAUCACGGUUUCGGUCCGAUCCGAUCAAGUAGCCCGGAAAAAGGUUGAACCAAAAUUGGACCGGUUGAACCAGUGGUUUGACCAACGAAUUGGACGAACCAAUCGGUUCAAUCCCUCCUCCUCCCUUCAGCAACCUUUUUGGGAGCUGGCCACUGUCAUCGGCACGGAGCUACCACUAUCGUCGGCACAAAGCUCCCCUAUCGGCAUGAAGUUGCCACUGAAAUGCCCCCCACCCCAUCCUCUUGCAAUGUUGUGAAGCCCUCCACUGGCGGCCGUCCUUCCAAAAACCUCUCUAGGAGUUGGCCACUGUCGGCGACACGGAGUUACCAUUGUUGUUGGCAUGGAGCUCCCUCGUCGGCAUAGAGGUGCCACUAAAACGCCCCUACCCCACCCUCUUGCAGUGCUGUGAAGCCCUCCCCCAGCAGCACCCGCUGUAAACCCCACCCCCCCCGGUUGACACUGACUAUAAAUCCCUCUCUCCCUCACCCCGCGUGUUAAAAGUUAAAACCCCCCCUCCUCCUACUACAGCCUGCAACACCCACCCCCACCCCCACCCCUAGCCCCCCAUCCCCUAUGCUCAAUGUGUUGGGAUUUAUUUCAAAAAAUAAUUUAUAUAUAUAUAAAUUACAUAAUUUUUUUUCAUUUUUAAUAUGUCUUUAUUCUUAAAUAGUUAAAUACAAUUUCUUUUAUCAUUUUCAAUAUAUUUUCAUAUUUAAAUAUUAUAUAUAUUUUGUUUAAUAACAUCAUAAAUAUUAUUAAUUUUGAAUUAUAUAUUUUAAAUUAUAUAUUUAUGACAUCACCGGUUCGACUAGUGAACCAUAAAUCGAUAAAUUUUUCGAUUCAAUAUCCGAUCCAAUUUUGAAACAUUGUCUUCACAUGCAUCUUAUGUGUUUUCUACUAGUGUGUAUAUGUACAAAAUGGGUCGCCCAUUUUGUGGGCUUGGCCAUUUUGAAUUUUUUUUUUGCCCUUUUUCUGUGUGAGCUGACGUCAUCACCCCCCUCCUUUUUUUUUCCUCCCCCUUUACAAGGACUCCCUCUCCCCCAACCCCCACAUCUUUUCUUUUUCAUUUUGCUCGCCCCCCAUCCCAGCUGCUCCCUCUCUCCCCGACUCUUUUUGGACCUCGAUUUCAGUAUAUAAUUAUUUUAUUUUUCAUUAAUUAUUUUUUUAAUUAAAAAUUUUCAUUUUUUUUAAUAAGGAAACUUGAAAUACAGUCAUAUUCCUAUUAAUUUAAUAUUUUUUUCAUUUACUUAACGUGACAUUACAUUUAAUUCGUUAUAAUCUAAAUUAGUUCUCAUUUUAAAAACUUCAAACAGUUGAAGUAACAAUAUUAUUUGACCUUAUUACAAUAAAAUGUAAUCUUCAAAAAAUAUAAGGUUUUUUUUAAAAAAAAAAAACUUAGAACAACUCAAUUCCCAAUUUUCCAAUCAAAAUCCCAAUGGAUUUGACAGCUAAAAUUCAUUCCAAAUUCAAUUUCCAGAAUUUUCCUUGUUUUCCUUUAAUCUAAUCUCCACUUUGUAAUUAAUUAAACUCCAACUUAAUACCAUUCCCAACCUUAUUCAAUAAUUAAUCAACUGUGUAAAAUUAAUCGCCCCUAUCAUGCCUCAUUUCUCCUAUUUUGAACUUUCCUCGUCUUCUCUUGGUCUUUUAAUAGUUCCGGUCACCAUGUUGAGCAUACUGCUGCAGUUGACCAAUAUUAAAAAUUGGUAAGAACAGUAGGUAGAUCCAAUUUCCUGGUAGUGGUAGUCACCAAUCUUCCAAUAUUAGUCUCCUUCCUUCUUUUCCUAUACUUGAUCUUUCAAUACCCACAAAGAAUCUCUGAACAUUAUUUUUCUCCCUUUUGCAUCAGAAUUGUUGUGAAACAAUAUCGGUAACGUGUGUUCCAUCUCAAUCUCCAUAGACAAUAUGAUCUCUGGCUGCUGGGCGGCUACAGGUGGUCAAGCAACUUAUGUUUGUGAAUUCGAAGAAAAGUUUGAUGCUGUGAAGCUGGCAUUAGAAGAUUUAAAAGAUUUCAGAAAUGACAUGAAGAGAAAGAUUGACACGUUUGAGGAACAACGAUUGGAACAACUUGACCAAGUGCGGAGGUGGUUUUCGAGGGUGGAAGAUGUGGAAACUGAAGCCAGUCAACUGAUAAAAGAUGGUACUACUGAAAUUCAGAAGCUUUGUCUGGGAGGUUAUUGCUUCAGAAAUUGCAUAUCUAGUUACAGAUUGGGGAAGAAACUAGCCAAGAAGGUUGAAGACUUAAACAAUCUAAGAAGCACAAGGCUUUUUGACAUGGUAGCAGACAGAUUACCUCCAGCUUCAGUGGAUGAAAGACCCAGUGAGCCAACCGUGGGCAUGAUGUCCAUCUUCAAUAAGGUUUGGAGUUGCCUUGGAGAAGAGCAAGUGGGAAUCAUUGGUUUAUAUGGGUUGGGUGGCGUUGGGAAGACAACCCUUUUGACCCAAAUCAACAAUGAGUUCCUCAAAACAACUCAUGAUUUUGCUGUUGUGAUCUGGGCUGUGGUGUCACGAGAUCCAGACUUUCCCAAUGUUCAAGAUGAAAUUGGGAAAAAGGUUGGGUUUUGUGAUGGUAUAUGGAGAAAUAAAAGCAAGGAUGAAAAAGCCAUAGACGUCUUUAGAGCCUUGCGCAAAAAGAGGUUUGUGUUGUUGUUAGAUGACAUAUGGGAGCCGGUAAAUCUAUCAGUCUUGGGAGUUCCAGUUCCAAAUGAAGAAAAUAAGUCCAAGCUAGUAUUCACAACCCGAUCCGAGGAUGUAUGCCGACAAAUGGAAGCUGAAAAGAAUAUCAAAGUGGAGUGCUUGGCAUGGCAGGAAUCCUGGGAUUUGUUUCAGAAGAAGGUUGGACAAGACACUCUUGACUCCCAUGCAGAAAUCCCCAUGCUAGCUGAAAUAGUUGCCAAAGAAUGUUGCGGAUUGCCACUGGCACUGGUUAUCAUAGGCCGGGCCAUGGCUUGCAAGAAGACAACCGAGGAAUGGAAUUAUGCAAUUAAAGUGUUACAAGGAGCGGCUUCAAUUUUUCCAGGUAUGGGGGACAGGGUGUUUCCUAUUCUAAAAUUCAGUUUCGAUAGUUUACCAAGCGAUGCAAUUAAAUCUUGCUUCUUAUAUUGUUCCUUAUUCCCUGAAGACUUCAACAUUCAAAAGAAAAUUUGAUAGCUUAUUGGAUUGGCGAGGGAUUUCUACAUGAAUUUGAUGACAUAGAUGAAGCUAGGAACCAGGGACACAACAUUAUUGGUAUUCUUCUUAAUGCAUGUUUAUUGGAGAAGAGCUCCCGAGAUAUUAUAAGAAUGCAUGACGUGGUUCGUGACAUGGCAUUGUGGAUAGCUUGUGAGCAUGGGAAGGUGAAAGAUGAGUUUUUUUGUGAGAACGCGUGUUGGGUUAAUAGAAGCACCUGAGUUUACCAGAUGGGUGAGUGCCAAAAGGAUAUCAUUGAUGGAAAACCGAAUUGAGAAGUUGACCAGAGCUCCUCCAUGCCCGAAUCUCUUGACUUUGUUUCUGGAUCGUAAUAAUUUGAGAAGGAUAACCAAUGGUUUUUUCCAAUUUAUGCCUGAUCUAAGAGUUUUAAGCUUGUCAAGAAACAGAAGGUUGACUGAGAUACCAUUGGAAAUUUGCAAUUUGGUUUCAUUACAGUAUCUUGAUUUAUCACAUACAAACAUAAGGCUUCUACCAAUUGAGCUUAAGAACCUGCAGAAUUUGAAGUGCUUGAACUUGAAUUUUACGCAAAUACUUAAUGUAAUCCCAAGACAUCUAAUAUCAAGUUUUUCCUUGUUGCGAGUGCUGAGAAUGUACAGCUGCGAUUUUUCUGAUGAAUUGACCAAUUGUAGUGUUCUCUCUGGUGGUAAUGAAGACUUGUUAGAGGAGUUGGAGAGUCUAAAGCAGUUGCAUGAUUUAAGUAUCACACUAGAAAGUGCAACUGCUCUCUUACGAAUCUGUGACUCCAAGUUACAAAGCUGCACUCGAGAUGUAUACCUCAAGAUUUUGUAUGGAGUGACAUCUCUCAAGAUAUCAUCUCCAGAGAAUAUGAAGCGCCUUGAAAAGCUUUGCAUCAGUAAUUGCAGUACUUUGGAAAGUUUGGAGAUUGAUUAUGUUGGAGAAGAAAAGAAGUUAUUAGCAUCUUACAAUCUCCACAACUCAAUGGUGAGAAGCCACAAAUGUUUUAACAGCCUUAAGCAUGUUCGAAUAGAUUCCUGCCCGAUUUUGAAGGACCUAACAUGGCUUAUUUUUGCUCCAAACCUUAUUCAUCUUGGGGUUGUGUUCUGCCCCAAAAUGGAAAAAGUACUAAUGCCUUUAGGGGAAGGGGAAAAUGGGAGCCCAUUUGCAAAACUUGAAUUGCUAAUUUUAAUUGAUCUGCCAGAGCUGAAGAGCAUCUACUGGAAAGCUUUGAGGGUCUCUCACCUGAAGGAAAUCCGUGUACGUUCAUGCCCACAGUUGAAGAAGCUGCCACUCAAUUCAAAUAGUACCGCUGGAUGUGGCACUGUGAUUUAUGGAGAAAAAUAUUGGGCAAAUGAGUUAGAAUGGGAGGAUGAAGGAUCACGACAUGCUUUUCUUCCUUGUUUCAUAUCUUGGUGAUAGGUGGGAGUAAUGUAAUGGAAUAGGCUUGGAUUUGAUCAUCACAGAUGAGGCUAGCUAUCAUUUCAUCCCCUUCAGCAAGGUAACAUUUACUUCUCAUGGUUUCGAGACUUUUUCGAGAACAAUGAUAUGAAAUUUAGUACUAAGUUUUUCUAUUUUUUUUUCCCUAUUAUUUUUGUAGCACUUAAGAAGUCUUGCCAAUGCAUCCAUGUAUACAGGGAGAUAAAUUAAGCCGGUGACUUUAUACCUGCCUACUUCCAUCCUUCUAAUAACAGAGACAUAUACACUAAAGGAGAAUUUCCCCGCUUGUACCAUCGUUUAUGUCUGAGAUGGAUAAUAAAAACAUCAAAUUUACUAAAAGAAAAAAAUCGGAUGCAUGUUGUCCAUAACGAACGAGAUUACAAAUAAACAAAAUUACAUGAAUAUUAUGUGCCCACAUACAGAUUUCAGAUUCAUUCUUAUUCUUUUUUCUUUUUCUAUUCUUAUUUUUAUUUAUUUAUUUAUUUGUGCUUUUCUUCUGGUGUUUUUUCAGGGUCCUAAGACAAACAGAUUGAUAACAUUGUCCCUUCCCCCCAUCCCCCCUUUGGCAAGAGUGACGAUGUCAGAUAGAUUUUCUCAAUCUGCAACCCUAAAGUUCUAGAUGAUUCACCAAGCUUUCUCACCAAGCGUGGUGCCACUGGACCCUGACCUAUUACCCAGCAAGCUUGGACGUGAAGUGUAAACUAUGUUAAGGCAGGGGAACAGGGUGAAAUAAGCAGGCAAAAAGGAGUCAAGCCCAGGCUGUUCAUUACUUGGACUGCUCAUUUUCCAAAUCUUGGCAGUUGCAUUAGGUGUUUUUAUCCUACCCCUCAAAGAAAAAGAUAGAUUUCUCUGUCAUUAGGUGCAAUUGAACUUGGUCUAAACUCUUUUUUUUUUUCCCCUUAAUCCUCUUAUCGAGCUCCAUAACCCAUAACCCAAGUGGCCAAACCCCUCAAGACUGUUGCAGCAUCUGUAUCAUAAAUGAAGUGGAGGUAUUAUAGGUUUCUAAGCUUGGGAUCCAAAAAUAGCAAAAGGUAGCCUCGAUCGGUUGAGCUAGGGGUCGAUCGGUUCACUAGCAGUUGGAGCAUUAAAUGCUUUGGUAGGUUACCUUUGCCUCGAUCGGAGGUUGAUCGAACCUCAACCGGGAAGGGGUGAACCUCAACCGAGAAGAGGAAGCUACUGGAAGAGAGAUAGUGUUUUUUACACUCCUCGACCAGACCUCAAUCGGACAAGGGUAACAGGUCAACCAAUUCCUUAUCCAGUUGAGCCGGUUGGCCAGAGCCUCGACCGGUUCAGUCUUUUGGCCCCAAAAACCUAUCUUUUUCAAUUCCUUUCUUUUCUAACACUUAGGCAAGACCUUUAGGUGAAUUAAUAUGCCAAUUUUAAAAUGUUUUGCCUAAGGUACAUUUGAUAAAACUUGGGUUUUAAUGAAAUCGAAAUUUUAAAGAAUAAACAGAGUUUUCAAAGAUGUAUGAAACAGUAUGAAAAACCUAAGUGCACCCAUGCAUUCAUUUUACAUUUGUUUCCUAUGAUCAAAAGUCUUCAAAAAGUCUCGAUCUUGUAUCAAUUUGGUCCUUCAAUGAAUUUCUGAAUUUAUACAUGAGAUUCUUUACCAUUCAAAUCAAUUAGUCACUUAACCAUGGUUUGUUAUAAUCAAAACCCGAUUAGGAGAACCCUUGGGCUAACAACCUCUAUCGAUGGUGGUGAUGAUGCAACAAGUGGUACUAUAGGUGGGGUGGAUGACACCUCCAUAGGUAUAAUAGGAGUCUCCUCAACAAGUGGCAAGCUAAUGUCAGUCGAUGGUGCAUCUUUAAGAACAGAUGUAUGCCUAGUCCCUCUUAUAUGAGCUCCUCCCUCUUUAGUUCGUACAUCUCCUAAUCGAGUAAUGGAUGAUAUCAACUGAUGAUAAGGUGGUGGACUAAUGUCAAUCGAUGGUCACACUCGGGCAACAACUAAUGUAUGCCUAAUCUCCCUCGUACGAGGCCCUCAUCGUGUAGGUCAUACAUCUCCUGAUCGAGGUUGGAGCUACGUAGUAGCAUCAACACUAAAUGGAGCAUCUAAGCGAUCCAUCUCAUGUAUGACCUCUAAUACGUACAUAGUCAGCGAAUGCAAAAAUCAUCUAAACAUGCAAUUUCAUAUAUCUGGUGUAUGCUGGUAGUCUAUAAGUCAAAUAAGAGUUAAAUUAAAUUCUUAUAAAAAUAAAAUAAAGUUUAAUAAAAAGAUAAAACAUGAAAAUUAUUAGUAGCUCAUGGAAGGACCCAGUCUGAGUAAGAAUCCCAUUUUGCCCCAUGAAAUUGAAUUUGCCACCGCUGGUAGCAUUUCCUAGUGAAGAAUCCCAUUUUACCCUCAUUGAAUCUGCCAUUCUCAAUCCUCGCAGGUACUAAUAUAAUCAUGUUAUUUUUUUAUUUUUUUUGCAACACCUGUUUGAUUCCUAAGAAAAUCCAUCCCCAUUUGAUUUCCAGGAAGAUUCAUCCUCAUUUGAUUUCCAAGAAAAUCCAUGCAAAACCCCUAAUGAAAACCAAAAAAAAAAAAAAAAAAACCUUUUUCUGGAUCUAUUCUAGGGGUCUCUUUGCUUUUGUGCCAUUGAAUUUAAAUUUCAUGAACCUUAAAUCCACGAUUUUUGAGCCAGGCUGAAAAACACAACCUUUCCUUGCAAAUCAUGAUCAGGUUACCAAAUACCAUCUUAUGUUUUUUUUAUAAAAAAAAAUGGACAAAUUUUGUAUCCUGUGCACGGGCUAGACCGGUAAGAAAUAUUAGGAAAUUUCCCAAAAAUUACCGAAAUUUCCUUUGAUCAAUAAUUGGUGAUGAAUAUUGUGUCGAAGUCGGUCGAUAAAAAAAUGAAAACAAAAUUUUCAACUUUCCCACACUUUCUUGGCAACCAAAUACAAUCACAACAAGUCGAACCACAAAAAAAAAAUGAAAACUUUCUCCAUAAUUUUUAGUCUACUCGGUUUCAUUGUAAAAAAAAAUGAAAACUUUAUUUUUUUUCAACUUUCCCACACUUUCUCGGUGACCAAACACAACCAGACCACCAAAUAUAACCACAAACUUACAGAAAACACCGAGGGCAAUGGUCUCUCAGAUCUGUACUUCACUUCCUUCCUAUUGGUGUUGAGGCAAGGAUUUCCACUCCAUGAUCAGCGUGAGGGAAAAUUGAUUUUCGGGUAUAGGACAAAAUGAGUUUUGAGGCAGAGAAGAAAACGGGUUGGGGGGAAAUGGGUUUCCAUUUCUUUUUAAAUAUAAAAUGCUAUUUUUUUCCACUCUCAUCCUACAUGUUAAAAAGUGUCGUGGAAUUGGAAUUAUUUUCCAAUCUACAACAUUUUACAAAUUACUUUCCCCAAUAGCCAUACAUUUAUCAAAAUCCCAACUCCACCACCUCUUUUUCUUUUUGGCAAAACAACCCACAUUUCCCUUAGCCUAGUGUCUACUCCUAUGAUGGAGUUUUCUUAGCAAAAUAGCCUAAGAAAUUCUGCAAUGAGCCCUAUGGCCCAACCUAACAUCCAAUUAAUUUGUAAGGGAUGGAAAGAGGUUUAUAAAUCUAUUUAUGCUUCCUCUCACUCCCGAUGUGCGAUCAACGUGAAGAAAUUUAAGGAAAACCUCAACUUUUUUUAUUGCAAGAAGGAGAGCUUGAACCAUAGACCUCAAGAUUCCCAAUACAAUAUUAUCCACUUUGCUACAACCAUCCUUUCACUGAAAUUUAACAAGGAAAAACUAUAUAGGUUAUUUUAAAAAAUAAUUAUAAAUAUAAAUACAAAUAUAUAUAUAAAAUUACACAAUACAAUUUUUUUUUUUUCAUUUUCAAUAUGUUUAAUAUUUAAAUAUGAUUUUUACCAUUUUCUUUUCAUAUUUAAAUAUUGUAUAUAUUUUGUUUAAUAAAUUAAAAAUGUUAAUACAUUUAUAUAAAAAUGAAUAAAUAAUAUUACAAAUAUUAUUAAUUUUUAAUUAUAUGUAUUUAAAAUUAUUUUUAAUUUAAAUAAAAUAUAAAUUAUAUAUUUAUGACGUCAUUAGUUCGACCACCGGUCUGACCAGUGAACCCUGUAUCAAUAACUUUUCUAGUUUAAUAUCCAGUCGGGUAUUGAAAACACUAACAUUAACAUGUUUCAAGAAAAAAAAAACUUAAAGAGAAAUUCUAUACUGAAGUUUGAUGAUAAGAUCAUUUUGUUCAUCUUUUAUCAUCAUUGACAAGUAUAAAUAUCCUUUGAAAAAUUAUGUUGAUAUCUUUAAUAAGUAUAAAUGUCCUUAGGAAAAUUAUGUUGGUAUUAGCUUGUACAUCGAGGAUGUUUCAAUAUUGUCAAUUAAAGAAACCUCAAGGUCAGGCUUUUUGCUAUUACUAUCCAAAUAGCAUAUAAGUUUAAGUCACAAAAAAAAAAAAAAAAAAACUAAAAGGGAAAGGAAAAAAAAGAAAAACAAAAAAACAAAAACCAAUCACAUUGGGUAGCAAUAUCAAUAAAUAAAGGCCUUUGACAACUAGUCGCUAUACUUAUUUCCAUGCAACCAUGAAAUAUAUGUUUGUUUUUCUUUGAGCAACAAAAUAAUGGAAGUUGUCAACAUAACAUAGGUUUGAUUAGUAGUCAACUUUCCUUUAAAUUUUUUAUUCUUCUUCCUAUCAUCCUUGGAAUCUCUCACAUACUAAUAGAAAAUGCAUGCUCAGACCCAAUCUCAACUAACAACAUCAUUGGACACUAUCGUUGCUACACUAUCAUCCAAGAAAAUUAUAUAAGCUUGAAGAAAACCAAUAAGAUUUGAGAAGUACUAUUGCAUGUGCUUGCUAAGUCAUAUAUGUGGAAGUCAAGUUAUAUGCAAAAAGACCAAGUCUUGCUUGUUUUGUUUGAAUGGUUCUUUUGUUUUGAAGAUGUUAUUUUUGUUAUUAAAGGUGAGAAUGUGUAAGUCAUUGCCUUUAUUUCUUUGCUAGAUUGUUCCUUAUUUGUGAGGAACUUAAUAUUAGAAUUAUGGAUAUUUAAGUGUUUAUCUCAAUGGAAUAAGACGUGAACUUUAUAUCUUAUCAAUUUUUUAGUUGUAUUAGUAGGGGUUGACCCCUCAAGUGUUAACAAAUUUCUUUAUAUCUUUUAAUUUUCUUAUCUUUUUCUUAACCCACUUAUGAGCAUAUCAAUUAUACAAAAGAAUAAGCAAGUAGAGGAAUCAUUUAAAAAGGAAGAUGGUUCUAGUUGGAUCUUAGAGGGUCUAGGGUUUAGGCUUUUGUUAGUAACAUUUCUACCAGAAUCUUUUAUAAAACACAAUUAAUGUUUAAAUAUAAAAAUAAAAGAAUUAUUUUUUAUAGUAUCUUUUGUCAUGUGUUAUUACACAUUAUGAUAACACAAUUAAUGUUUGAAUACGAAUUAAAAGAAUUAAAAUUGGUUAGAAUUUUUGGGCUUAAUAUUGGGCCUCCAUUAUGAAUUGGUUUUCCUAAUUUGCCUAAGCCUUGUUGUCUAGGAUAAGGUUGAAAAAAUACAAAAUAAAAUAUUUGGAUCAAGAUGAACAUUCAAACAUCCUUAGACAUUUAAAUGUUGGGACUUUCAAAUUAGUUUCCUUCUUUUUUUCUAACUAAAAAAUCUCAAUUUUGAAAUGUUUUAAAAUUAAGAAACUCUCUAUAAUUGUUUGUUAAGGUUUUUCUAACGUAAAGUAGUUUGUUUUAUUGAAAUUUUGUGAACUCCCAAAAACUCUAGAGAAUAUAAUCAUUCUUAAAGUUUGUAACUCCAUCUUUUGAACCUUAUAAGAUAUUUCUUGAAAGAACCUCUUGUCUAUAAUAAAGGUUAAAGACUCAUACAACAAAACUUCAAUAAGGGCCUUAAGAGAUCUACUAAAGAGCACAGGGAAUAUUGCAUCAAGAAUUUGGAAGGCAUGUAAGUACUAUUGGUAUAAGACCCUAUAGAAUAGGUAAUCAAGUAAAAAUAUUAUAUAUAUAUAUAUAUAUAUAUAUAUAUAUAUAUAUAUAUGUAUUGUUUUCUCAUAUUUAGUAGGUUAUUUAACGGUUGAGAGACCAUACUCGCAAUUUUUUACAUUUAGGCCACAGGUUGGUUUUUCCAUAUUAUAUCCUGUGUUUAUUAUGUGAUUGGGAAUCCAUGGGAUUCAUUAAAUUUUUAAGGUAUUCAACAAUUAAUUUUUUUAAUUAAUUUAGAGAUAUCCUAAAAUUAUACAAAAAUUCACACAACUAUCUUAAUAUGUCUAUUUUAAAUAAAUAAAAAUAAUAACAGAGCAAUAUCACAUUUAUAACAUAUUUAAAAAUAAACAAACAUCUAUCAACUCUAGAAGAAUACUUGUGUAGUGGGUGUAAAAAAAACCAAAAAUCAUAUCUCUCAUUUCAUAAAUCAUUUCUUAAUAUUUAAUGCUUCAAAAAUUACAUAUAGGAAGUAUGGAUUAAGAAAAAAAUGUUCAAAGAAAUUAAAGAAAUCGUUUAAUAAUUUAAUUUUUCAAAACAAAACUAAAUGUCAAAAACAGAGUGAAAAUUGAACCUUCUCAAAUAUUGAUUUAUAUCUUCUAAUUAGAAAAUUAUUUUUGACUCAAACAAAAUUCUAAAAUCAAAUUCAAGAAGUUUACAACACCGUGGAAUAAUUAGAAAAAAUUUAAAGAGUUUAUAAAUAGUCAUAUUCCCAUUUACCAAUUCAAAAGUACAAUCAGUUGUCAAAAAUGUCAAUAAAGAUCCAUGUUUUAGAAAAUUUUGUAUGUAAGGAUCUAUUAAACCCCAUUUUAAUUUCCAUGAAUUCAUCCAUAAAGACUCCAUUGAUUGGAGCUAUGAAUUUUAAUUCAUAUGUAUUCAAAACCAAAAUUCAUUUUAAAAUCUUUUCAAAGUUGCAUACAAAACAAAAUAGGCAGCAUUAUCAUUUUGGAAAAUUGAAGUUUCAUACUUAAAGGGACUAAGAUGAAUUUUAAAUAUAAGUUUAAGGAUUGAUUUUGUUAUGAAAGAAAUAUAAAAAUAAUUUUCUAAAAAUAUUAAUUCAUACAAAUUUUUAAACUUGGAUCACAAAAAAAUGUAAGAGUGCAUGUGUGAAUCACUUAGAAAAAAAAAAAGAAAAAAAGGAUAAAUCAAGUUUUCAUGAAUCAAAAUCAAAAGAAUUUAUUCAAAGUCAGUUAUCAUGUAAUUAUCCAAUAGCUUAUUUAGAUGAAAAAUAAAAUAAAAUAAAUCGAAGAAAAAAAUUAAUUCAAUCCCAAUCAUAAUUUAUCACGCAAUCAACAUUCAAUUAUACAACUUCCUAGGUGUCAAUUCUAACAACACUCAUGGUCCACACCCAACCUAAACUAAUACAUACCUAAGAAUCAUCAAAAUGACAAGAAGUGAAUAGAAGAAAAUAUUGAUAAUAAAAAUUAGAGUUAGGGAAUUGAAUAUUUCACUUCAAACUAAAACAUCAACACUAAUCAUAUUUAAAAAUAAAAAAUAAAAUAAAUAAAUAAAAGUCAUUAUAUUACAUUUCAACAAGGCACCAAUCAAUGUCUUAUCCUCCAUUUUAAAGAUCAAUAAAAUCAUUUCUACAAGUAGUUGGAUGUAUCAAUGUCUCAAUAAAAAAAAAAUAAAAAAAAUAAAAAAAAAAUCGAGCAUGACAUCAUUUCACUCAUGGCUAAUUAUGAACAUUUAUUUUAUUUAAAAUUUAAUCACUAGAUUAUGCAUUUGUGAACAACAUAUAUUCUCUAAUCUAGAUUUCAAGCAUGUGGACCAAUAUCUUUUAAUCCUAUAGAACCAAAAUCUAAUGUUUUAUAUUAACAUGGAAAUUUCAAGUGAGUCAUUAAUCAAAUGCAUGUAAUAAUUAGAUUAUCUUAAUAUAAUAAAACAAAGGAAUCCAAAUUUUGAAUUCUCUAAAAUACUAAGGUCAAUUUAUGACAUUUAAAAUUGAAAGGGAAGAAUGCAAUCUCAUUUAUAUUAAAUCAAUCAAAUAUGUCAUUAAAAUAAAAUUAAGACAAAAUAAUGAUUUUAAAUUCUGGAAGAAUAUUUUAAUAUUAUAGUUUAUAAGAAUUUGAAGAAAAUUAUUAAAGUAAAGAUUUAGAUCAACUAAGUUCAUUCAAAGUCAUGGAAUAAGAAAUGUUGAUACAUUGAAUUAAAUCAGAUGUAUGAAAAUUUUAAAUAAAUCACUAAUCAAAUACUGGAAAUGAUAAUAUUGAUAUUACCUUGGCAAUUUCUAAAUGAAAAAUCUAUAUCUAAAAAAUUACUUAGAUUCAUAAUAAUUGACACAUAAAAUGAUCUUUAAUCUCAUGAUUGCCUAUUAUGAAUUCACUAAACAAAUAUCUAAAAAAAUGACAUUAAUUCAUAUUUUAAUAAAUCUAAUCCAAUAUUCAUAGAAAAAUAGAGGAAAAGGCUAAAUCUAAUAUUUCAAAAUCGAUCACAACCUCUAAUCAUGCAACAACUUAUUUAGUGUUAAUUAAAUAAAAAUUCUCAUGAAACAUCAAUUUUUUAUCAUAAUCCAAAUAUUUUAAACAUUUACAGAGGAGAAGUCUUAGAACUGAAAUUUCUCGAGCUAUUACAAACAAACUAUAACAAAAACGAUACAGAAACUAUGUAAAAUGUAGAGAUCACGAAAAUCUAUUCCAAUAAUUUUGAAAUAAUCAAAUCAACUAGAAAACAAGAUUUAAUCAUCAAUUCCAAAAUAACUUGAUUCAAACCAAAUGAAAUAUAAAAUCAAAUGAUUAUAAUUUGGAUAUUCACAAAUAUACAAAAUAAUUAAAGAAGUAGAACCUAAAGGACGAGAUGCACCAAAUCAAACAACCAAAAAAUAUAUUUACUCUCUGACUCCCGUCAGAAACCCUUCCCGAUAAUCUUCCUCAGCACUCUUUCUCUCCUUCUUCUCAAACUCUCUAACUCACUAUCAACAAAGAUCAAAAAUCAUAACCAAGAAAAAAUCUCUCUUCCUUAUCUCUUUAACUCUCUCUUAACUUAGAUCCAGAGUUCUCUUACCGAAAAAUCUCUCUCCCUCUCUAACCUUCUGUCAACAAAGAUCCCCCGAAUGGCCAAAGAUCGUUCACUCCCCAACAGAAGACGUUUCCCGAAUUUUAUAUCAUCUCCCGGAGACUCUAAAACCCUCUCUCUUCUCACGUGACCUAACCCUCUCUCCCUAAUACAAACAUCCUGAACUUCAAAAUCGUUCCUUCUUUUCCCAACCAAAUAGACCUUGGUUGAAAACUAAUUUUCCCACCCCUUUUAUGUCUAAAAAUUUAGAAUACCAACUCAAAAAAUACAAAGGAUAAAACUCAAAAAUAAUGAUAAUAAUACAAAAUCAAAUAAGUAAAAAAAAGAAAAGGUACCGUGAGCACAACAUGCAUGGCCUGCAAGAUCAACGAGAACAUCGUAAUAGUGUGUGAAGAUCAGCAACAGGCCUGGACGCCACGACCAGAGAAUGGCAAAGAAAUCAUCGAAAACCAAGAAGUUCAGCUCCGACCACCAAAAUGGUCCAGCAGAUAAUGACCCAGAUAAACUUGGUUUGGCGUCGCCCGACCUGAUCCUUUGUUCGUAACAGCAUAAGUGAAGAUCGCGAAGCUGCUUAUAGCAGCAUUGAUGAAAAACGUAGCCCAAAGAGAAAACCAUACGAGGAAGAUCCUCAGGUGACAAGUCCUGGCGAAGCCGACGAGAGAAAUGGCCACGAUGUCUGUUCCGAUGAUGAUCAAUGGCCACGGUAGAAACCCCAUACAGCCGGUGUUGUCUGUGAAGAGGUUUACGGGAAAGGGGUUUGCAGGGAUGGGUUCAGCUGCAACAAGGGCUUUAAGAUGGGAUUGAGAAACUUGGUGGUCUGAUGAAACUGUACGGAGAUAAAUAAAAAAAUGGCUUCGGUGUGUAUUUUUCCAAAGGCCGAUUGUGAGAGUCGUAUAUUAGGUUAUGGCAACUUAGGAUGAGCUGUUUUCUUGCUUAAGUUAUGCGUUAGCAGAGGGCUAUUAGGGACAGCUGAGGAGAUGGUUUGCAGAUUGUAAGGUAUGGUUUGUGGAGAUAGAUGAGCUAGCAGGUAGGUUGGUGCGACUUUGGGCAUGGAACUGUUGGGUGAUGGCCUGGGAGAUUGGAUGGCUAAUAAGGGAUAAGUUGAGAUGCCUUGGACAGCUAGAAAAGUGAGUAUGGCUUGUGACAGCUAGAAAAGUGAGUGUGGCUAGCACAAUUGAUGGAUGUGUCUUGUGGUGGUCGUGGGCACCCAAAAUUGGGUUGUGGCGACAACAUUGAUGGGGCUGUAGCGGAUGACUGGGGCAUGAAUUAGGAAAAAGGCUUCACUAUUAAUUAUAGAAUAAUUUUAACUUAUAUUUUAAAAUCUGAAUUAGAUAGUAGUAACAAAAUUCAAUUUUAAUAUUACUAUUUAUUUUUAUUAUUAUUAUUAUUAUUAUUAUGUAUUUGGUCAUGAAUUAUUAAAAAAAUAAAUAAGUAAAUGAGUAGUUUUUUCAUGCUUAUUGUUUAAGGAGAUAAUUUAUUUUAUUACAUUUUAAAAUAAUAUUUUAAUAUUUUUAUUUUAGUUUAUAAUUAAUAUAAAUUCAAUCAAUCAAGAAACUUUAAGUUACAAACUUAAAGGUUUAAGUGAUCAUAUCAAAAUUUCAUAAUUUAUCUUUCAAGAAACUUUCGAAGAAGAAUCAGAGACUACAAAUUGAUAAUUUACAGUAAUUUACCGGAGUAUAACUCAUGGGUCUCCACAAGAAUGUAGUUCCCAUUUUAUGAACAUAGAAUGCUUCAAAAGAUGCAAAAAGCAUUUUCCUCGUAAUCGCGAUGUGCAUGUGGGAAAACUAUGUUGGCUUAUCUGUGAUGACAUCAUCACUAUCCUUGUUUCACAACAUUGAUGGGGACAAAACUGAUUAGAUCUUGUGUUAAGGAAGAGAAUCUUGAUGUUCCACCAGGGUUUGAGUCACUAACAUCUUAAUUGUUUCUCUCCAACAUAUGGAACAGUGUGGAAUACAUUUUAUAACUAUGGGUUGUUUCAGUUUAUCCCGGCCCAUUCUAUAUGUUAAUUACUGUGCAAGUUUUUUAAUAUCUGGAUAUUACUUUGAAAGAUGGAAAAGUUUCAAAAUUGUAAGAAAAGUAUGAUCGAUAUUUAUGUGUUUAAGAAAAUAAUUACCUAUCAUUUUUUAAUACAUUCUACUGAACUCUAUGCCUAAAGUAAAGAUAGUCAAUCUUAUUUACCUGUUAUUUAAUAAUGAAAAUAUCGGUAAUAAUGGAUAUAUUGAUAUCUCGAUUUUAUGAAUAUAACAUAUAUAUCGAAAAUAUAUAUACUGAUAUUUUGAUACAAAAUAUAAAUAUCAGUGAUUUAAAAAUUAAUAAAAAUUCUAAAAAUAUUUAAAAAAUUCUAAAAAAAAUUAUAUAAGAAGUAAAAAUAGAUAUUUUAAAGUUAUUUUUUAAUAUAUAUAUAUAAAUUUUCAUAUUUGAUAAAAAUAUUAUUAUGAUAAUAUGUCUAAUUUUAAAAUAUAUUUAAUAUUAAAAUUAUGAUUCAUUCUAAUUUAAAUAUAUUCAAUGAUAUCAAAUAAAUAAUAAAAUAUUUAUAAUUUUUUUAAUAUUUAUAUUUAUUAUAUUGGUUGAAACACCAAAAGAUCGAAAAAUUGGUAAAAUAUCCAAAAAUAUCGGUUGAUGGAUAUUGGAUAUACCAUGGAUAUAUUGGAAUAUUAACGAGUGGAACUAGAGAAAUUCAAUAUCCAGCACCUCUUCUAGAGCUAUGGAUGAGAAGUAUCCAACUCCCCCAUGAUUAGCCCUCUGGUGAGAGUUAAUUAAUCACUGUUUUUUGAGAUUAUCUGUUUUGCAUAGGAUAUAGAUAAAGCAAUACAUUCUGUGCUGUGUAGGAAGGAACUCCCCACCGUAGCCACCAGAACCCUCACCAUCAGACAGAGUUCAUCAUCAAGGUCCAGCAGGAUUUGUAAGCUACUCUGCUAAACCUUUUAGUUUAACGUCUUAAAGGAAAAAACAUAUUAGUCUGUCUCAUAAAUUGUUUGAAUAUGAAGCCUUUUGAAGAUUGUCUCAGUGGAGUUGGUUCCCCAUCACUGGGAGUUUCCAUAGAGAAGCAAAGAGGCACGAAUCAUGACAACAAUGAAUCACAAUUUGAAAUCCUCACCGCCUCACUAAGAACUAAGCUUAUAAAUGAGCAAGGACAACUGAGGCUAUCCUUACACCUAGGAAUUCUGGUAUGCUAAAGAGAAAAGAACAUUGUGAAAUACAUUUUAUAACUAGAAAUAUUUGUGCUUUUAUUUAUUUUUUCAUCUAGCAAUUAAAUGUUUUACUUUUAAUUAAGAAGAGAUCCAAUAUUCUCUUAAUUAAUCUUUUCUUGUUCAUACAUGUAGGCUAAAUCUAUCAAUGGAAAUUUGAGGGAUGCAACUUCAGAUGCAAUCAGAGAGUGCCAUUAUUUUUAUCUUUUCAAGAAGGGCUUGAAACAAAUGAUUAUUACCAGCAAAAUUCCCAGUACAAAGAGAUCUAUGGAAUGCUUCUUGUUCCGAGUCAAGGCUCUUCUCCACACUACCUCAAGUGAAUGCACUUUCUGGAUGGGUAUGUAAUGGUUUCUUCCAUUAAAUUCUUUGAAUAUUCGUAACUUAACAAGUCCUGGAUAACACCUUGAGUUCUCAUUGUGAUCUUAUUUGUCAUUCAACUAUUAGUACUUGGCCUGUUGAUUACUAGAACUCCCUGGCUAUUCCAAAUCAGUCUGAAAUGACUGCAAUUGCUCUUUUAUCUACCCUUAAUGAGAUGCAUUGGUUCCUUCACUCUGUUUUACUUUUAUUUUCUUUUUGCUGGGUUUAUGUCCCAAAAAGCUUGCAUGGUUGGCAUUUGAACUCCAUUAGAAGCAUCACAUAACAAUCAUAAGGAAUGUUUCAUUACCAAAAGCUCUUGUCAUCCAGAACUAUCCUCACAUGCAUACAUCUUUUAUUUUAGCAGGCAAUCUGAAACACAAAGAUUUGAUGGGUCAAGUGGUGAGCUCCCAAGCAUAAAGAGCCUACCGUCGAGGAGCAAUGUGCAAGUGAUGCUAAUGAAGAGGAUAGAGAAUUAGAAUGAAGAGUGCUUCAUCUAUCACAAAGCUUCAAACACAUUCAUUGCAGGAAAAAUACACAUGCAAUCAAUUGUCUACCUACCUGUUCUUGACCAAAAAGCUCUUAUUUCUUUCGUAGUGCAUUAAAUCAUUACUUACAUAUCCUUUAGUGCACCUUUUUGAGUCAUCCUAGCUUUUUUUUUUUGCAUUUGAGCUAUCUUUAAGUUAGGUUGAGGGAUUCAUUCUUGUAAAAACUAAGUGUUAAAGCCUUCAAGAGGUUUGAAUCUUGAAGAGAUUGUGUAAGAGCCCAUUGGAGCUAGAAUCCAAGUGUAAGAAGAUUGGAAGUUUGGUUGAAGCUUCAAGUUAGUGGAACCCUCACUCGGUUAGGAGAUUGAGGAGAGUGGAAGUAGGCAAGGAAGUGCUGAACUACUAUAAAACUCGAGUUUGAAUUCUCUAACUCAAUUUAUUUAUUUAUUUUUAUAUUGUGCUUGAACUUAUUGUGUUUGAAAAGAUUUUAAAAAACCCAAUUCACCCCCCCCCUCCCUCUUUGGGUGUUUUUCUUAAUUAAGCAUAACCUUUAUUUUCUCAAAGGCUACAUUGGUUGAUGAGGAGUUAGUUCAUAUAGAAAAUGAUGAUCAGCAAGGACAAAAGAAUGAUCGUGGUCGAGGACGUGGUCGUGGAACUCAUGGAGGGUUACAUGUUAGCCCCAUAGAGCCAAUAGUGGAGCAUGCAUAUCAUGGACAUCCACAACGGAAGAGGAAGGCUCCUUUGUGCGGUACACAUUGAGGAUGUUACUACAUAUGACUUGUAUUUUGGAUACUGUUAGUAUUUUACAUAUCAUUAUUUUGGACAAAUACUCAAGAUGUAUAUUUAUACUUGAUAUAUUUUGGAUUAACUAACUUUUUAUUAACAUAAGUUCUAUGGUAUUCUAUCUAUUUAGUAUUGUUACUAUUUUGGAAAUGUGCUAACUUAAUUGACAUUUGGUUUACUUGUUUUUAUUGGAUUUGGAUUGAAUGUCAAAAUAUUAAUUAUAAUGUAUACAGGUGAUAAACUUUAAACAUUUGGUUGUAUAGCAGGUAAUACUAAUUAAGAGAUAGAAUUUUUUUUCUUUUGUGGAAGAUGUCUCUUGAAAAGGGUUCAACAUAAAUUCGAAAUUUUCCACUGUGUAUGGUAAUUGUGGAAAGUCACUCGAAGAGACACUUUCAAUAUAAACCCAAUUUUUUAAAAAUUAUGGAAAGUGUCUCCUCAAGAUCCGCCUUUAGUAUAAUUCCAUUUUUUGGUAAUUAUGGAAGGUGUCUCUUCAAAAUUUGAAAUUUUCCACCGUGUAUGGAAAUUGUGGAAAGUGUCUUUUGAAGAGACACUUUCAGUAUAAACCUAAUUUUUCAAAAAAUUAUGGAAUGUGUCUCUUUAAGAGACACCUUUAAUAUAAUUCCCUUUUUUGGGAAUUGUGGACUAUGUCUCUUCAAAAUUUGAAAUUUUCCAUUGUGUAUGGAAAUUGUGGAAAGGUGUCUCUUGAAUAGACACUUUCAGUAUAAACCCAAGUUUAUUUUUUUUUAAAUUAUGAAAGGUGUUUGAGUAUAAUUCCAUUUUUUUGGGAAUUGUGGAAGGUGUCUCUUCAAGAGACACCUUCAGCAUAAAUUCGAAUUUUUCUAUUAUUUCAAGAGACACCUUCCACAAUUCCUAAAAAACUGAAUUAUAUUAAAGGUGUUUCUUGAAGAGACACUUUCCAUAAUUUUAAAAAAAAUUGGGUUUAUACUGAAAGUGUCUCUUCACGACACUUUCCACAAUUUCCAUACAAAUAGUGGAAAUUUUCAAAUUUAUACUAAAGGUGUCUCUUCAAGAGACAUCUUUAGUUUUAAAAACAUUUGCACAAUUUUUAAUACAUAUUAAAUUUUAUGGAAUUGUGGAAAGUGUCUUUUCAAGAGACACUUUUAGUAUAAAUCUAGUUUUCAGGAAUUGUAAAAGUUGUCUUUUGAAGAAACACUUUUAGUAUAUAUUGGAAUUUAUGGAAUUGUGGAAAGUGUCUCUUCAAGUGACACAUUUUGUAUAAAUUAAAAUUUGUUGGAAUUGUAAAAGUGUCUUUUCAAGAGACACCUUUAAUAUAAAUCAAAUUUUUUGGAAUUGUAGAAGGUGUCUCUUGAGAGGUGUCUCUUCAAGAGACACCUUUAGCUUAAAUUCAAUUCUUUUAAAUAUGUAUCAUGAUUUUGAACAAUUAUGGAAGGUGUUUCUUCAAAAGACCCCUUCCAUAUGGCAAAAACUGUCGUAGAUCUAUCAAUAUUUUCCCAACUACCAUUUUUUAAUAAUUAUUUUUUAAAAUUGCUACAAAAGUUAAAAAAAAGCCCGAUGGAGUUAACCCAUGUAGUUCUUAAAGAACUGUCUAGGCCAGAAUGCCCUCUGAGCGGCGAUCGGAUAAGAUGUUAUUAAUUAAAUAAUUCCUUAAACAUGUUAGUGUUCCUAAUUAAAUAAUAAACUUUUCUUAUGGAUUUAUUUUUCCUUGGUUUUUGUAAUAUUUUGCAUUAUUAAGGUUUUGUUUGGAUACUCUUCUCUAUUUUUUUUUUCAAAAAUAGAAAGUAGCAUAAUUUCUAUAUAAAAAUUAGAGAAUUUUGUGCAAAAAGUACAUUCUUUGUGUCCAUUUGAAUAUAUUUCGUGUUUUCUAUUUUUAAAAAUAAAAAAUAGUAUUAUCUUUUAUAUAAAAUAUAAAGACUUUAAAGACUUGCAUUAAGAUUGUAAUGGUCUUUUAAAAUUGAUUUAAAAAAUUAAGAUAUUAAAAUUUCUCUAUUACCUCAAAUUUAAAAAUUUUUAAAAAUAAUUUUUAAAGGGAUAAGGUAAGUUUUAUAUGAGAGUUUACGCAUUUUUAUGUAGAAGUUUCUAUUUUGAAAACAAAAACUAGAAAGUGUAUCCAAAGGUCUAGGUUGUAUGUUUAAAAAUUUAAAAUGUGAGAAAUUAAAACUUUUUAAUAUCUCAGUUUUUUCAAAUACUUUUUAAAAAUUAUUAGCUUUUUCAAUCUUAUUUUAUUAGAAUUAAAAAUAAUUUUAAAUACAUAUAAUUAAAAUUUAAUAAUAUUUGUAAUAUUAUUUAUUCAUUUUUAUGUAAGUUUAUUAACAUUUUUAAUUUAUUAAACAAAAUAUAUGCAAUAUUUAAAUAUGAAAAGAAAAUGGUAAAAAUCGUAUUUAAAUAUUAAACAUAUUGAAAAUGAAAAAAAUUGUUUUAUGUAAUUAUAUAUAUAUAUAUUUAUUUAUUUAUUUAUUUAUUUUUAAAUAUAUUUAUAUUAUUUUUUAAAAUAACCUAUAUGGUUUUUCCUUGUUAAAUUUCAAAUUUCAAUGUAAUCAUUGUUGUAGCAGAGUGGAUAAUAUUGUAUUGGGAACCUUGAGGUCUAUGGUUCAAGCUCUUCUACUUGCAACAUAAAAAAUUCAGUUUUUUAAAUUUAUUCACGUUGAUCCCACAUUGGAAGUGAGAGGAAGCAUAAAUAGAUUUAUAAACCUCUUCCCAUCCCUUGCAGGUUUAUUGGCUGUUGGGUCGGGCCACAGGGCUCAUUGCAUAAUUUCUUGGGCCAUUUUGCCAAGAGGACUCCAUCAUAGGAGUAGAGACUAGGCCAAGGGAAAUGUGGGCUGUUUUGCCAAAAAGAAAAAGAGGUGGUGGAGUUCACCCGGCUCCACAUCACUAGUCCAACCGUCGGUUUAAUGGCCAUAGAGCUCAUUGCAUAAGAAAAAGAGGUGGUUGUUUUGCCAUAGGGCUCAUUGCAUAAGUUUUAUAUGAGAGUUUUUGCAUUUUUAUGUAGAAGUUUCAAUUUUGAAAACAAAAACUAGAAAGUGCAUCCAAAGGUUUAGGUUGUAUGUUUAAAAAUUUAAAAUUUGAGAAAUUAAAAUUUUUUAAUAUCUCAGUUCUUUCAAAUAGUUUGUAAAAAUUAUUAUACAUUUAUUUUUCCCUCUAAUUUCAAACUUGAGAUAGCAAAAGUGGAGUGAAAUGGAAAGCCAAAAAACCAAAAGCAUAACUGAGACUUAAAUUGAGUGUAAUAUUUUUUUUUUUGUUAUCAACUUGAUAAUUUUGCAAAGCAUAGAUUUAAUUGAUACCAAAGCAUAGGAUCAUAUUUUAUUUUCUCAUCGUAAUUGGAUUUGGAACUUCAAGUAAACAUGUCAAAAAAAUAAAAAUAAAUUUCUAGAGAGAAGUAUAAGGCAAAACUAGAGAUUACCCUUGUACCAAGAUUAAGCAUGGCAAAAACUUGAAACUAUAAUCUCAAUCAAUUCCAUAAAUAUUAAUCAGCCAAAAAAAAAAAAAAAAGUCCUGAAAAAAUGGAAUUUAAAUCCACAACGAACACCCAGACAUUUGCAAUUAUAUUUGGUUGAUUUUAAUUGGAAUCAUACCUAAGCCCCUUGUUCUUAUAUUGCUUUGAAACUGGGAAGGAAAGUUGUUAGAGUAGCUUCAUCCUCCCAUUCUAACUCAUUCCACCACUCUUGCUUUCCUACCAUCACAACUCUACCUUGAUUGGCACUGUUGGAGUUGAGUGGCAGCUUCUUCAGCUUUGGACAUCCGAUUACUUCAAUUCUGUCAAGGUAAAGAAAGGGCAAGGGAUUCCGGUACACAUUCUUCAGUUGGGGUAAACCAUUUAACUCCAGUUGUAUGAGUUUUGUGAAUGGGCUCAGAUUUCCUCCAUCCUCUGCACCUUUACCUAUCACUUCUUCCAUUUCAUCACAUUGUCCUAUUUUAAGAUAUAGGAGGUUUGGGGCAAAAAUAAGCCAUGUCAAAUUCUUCAACAUCUGGCAUCUAUUGAUGGCCACUUCGCGAAGGCCAUGGAAGCAUUUGACCUUCGGGUUGAGACUGCUAUAGCCCAUUGUUUCCUUUCCUUUCCCUGCCCAAUCAAACUUAAUCUCUCUCAAACUAUCCAAAUCUUUCAUUGUAAGCGCAUAGAGAUGCUUCAUAUUUUCGAGAGAUGAUAGGUUGAGUGAGCUUGAACCCUUGAACAUCUCGAGGCAGAUUCCUACAGUGCAACUCGGUAACUUUCUGGAACUUAAAAAUCUCUUAAGCACAGAGGCACUUGCUAUGGUGACAGUUAAAUGCGUCAAGUAUUUCAAACUCUCCAAUUCCUCUACCAAGGACUCCUUACCAUAUGAUUCAACGCCUCCUUCAGCUACUUGAUCAUAAAGUCCACAAUUGUACAUGCCAACCGCUUGCAACAUUAAAAGACUUGAUAUUAGUCCUCGUGGAAUUGAAGAGACUUUAGAUGUACACAAUAUCAAAAUCUUCAAUUGUACGAGAUUCUUCAUCUCAAUUGGCAACUUCUUUAUCUCUGUACCAGAUAAAUCAAGAUAUUGCAAUGAAACCAAAUUAGAAAUAUCUGAUGGUAACUCAACUAUUUUGGUGUUUGAUAAGCUCAACACUCUUAGAUUGGGCAUAAAUUGGAAAAAACCAUUGCUUAUCAUCUGCAAAUCACUAUUCAAAUCUAGACGAAGUGUCGAGAGAUUGGGACAUGUGGGUGAUCCUGUUAACUUCUCAAUUUGGUUGUCCAUCAGUGAAAUCCUUUCCGUCGCCUUCCAUUUGACAAAGUCAGGUGCUUGGGUCAAACCGGCACUUGUUUGUACCAAAAACUUGCCCUUCAUCUCCCCCAUUUCACUGGUUAUCCACAAGGCCAUAUCACGUACAACAUCAUGAAAUUUUACAAAUCUAGUAUUUGAAGAUUCCUCAAGUAGACAUGCAUGA